rnacentral:lncRNA from 1 species
UUUUGUAUUAGCAAGUUUUGCCACCUGACUCAAUUGUAAAUUGGGAUUUUUGAUGGAAGCAUCCGAUGAUUCGGUUUGUAAUCUCCUAUUAUUGGAGAGUUUAUUUGUUCCUUGAAUCCCUCUUUUCACUUGCGGGAUUAAUUUAUUUGUUCUGUCCCAUCCUUUGCAUGUUGACUUGAUGCAGCGAGGCCUCCGAUGUAUAAAAUUCCAUGGCCGAGCCGCUCGCCUCCGUCCCCAUGAUGCCCGUGGCCACAACCGCCGCGGCUGCACUCUGCACCGCGCCCCCGCCUCGUUCGACCUCCUGUCGCCGCCCCGCCCCUCCUUUCUCCCUUGUUCUCUCCCUCACCUCCCUGACUUCUUUCUGCCCAGGAGCCGCGACUGCCCGGCAAGCCGCGCUCCGGCCUUGCUUGUCAUCACCGGCAACCCCGCCUUCGGAUCCGCCUCCCUCGCCCAUGCUACGCAUGGAUCCGGCCGUGCAAGCUCUAGUCCCACCACCGUUCUGCACCGUGGGUUGAAUACUACAAAUUAUAGGGUCUGUUUUGUAAAAGAAUGAAAAGUUUUCUCAUUUAUCCAUGUAAAACAGGACUGCGGGUUGAAUACUAAAAAACACAAGGACGUUGUUGCAAAAUCGCUAGAGACGACGUACGACCAGAAACCCAAUUUUAUCUAUCGACAAAGCUAAUUUCCUGUCGACUGUUUGUCGACCCACUAGCUACAGCACAGGCAGCCAACCAUCUCGUCUGGCUCUUUCACAUGCCUAGGAGCAGGUUAGCUUUUUAUCUACUUUCAUUCUCCAGAAUUUUUAAGCCCUCUUAUUUUAACUCAUUCGAUUUUUCUUUGGAGUUAUUGCAUGCACACAUGCAUGUGAGUAGGUGAAUUGAUAUGGGGGUGCAUGUAAAAGCAUAUCAAUGCGUGAUUUGAGGAGCCAGAAGAAUAAAUCAUCAACAAUAAACUACAUGCAAAAUUAACGAUCACCUGACCAUUGAAGGAGUUAAUGCCUAAACUUGCAUGCAUAAUUAGUAGCUAGUUUUUGAUCUGUAGGCCCUAUGAUAGCAUGGCAACUUUACGAAUCACAGAGGUGAUAACUCAUGUAUUAAUAACAAAGUAAUAUACAAACCGUAAACCUGAUAACCUAUGUAAAAACCGCGGUAAUUUUUUCUAGCAAGGUAUUUUUUUCAAAAUGAUCGUAAACCCGGGGAAAAUGAAGGUGAAUCUGAUAACCUAUACACACCAUUGACCUGAUAACCCAUGAGUAUUAACAACAUGGUACUUCUGCCUAAAUAGCAUGAUAAUAUACACAAUGCGGACAUGGUAAAUUACACAUAGACACGUGGUAACCUAGGCCCAGAGAAAAAAUUGUUGUUGAAACCACACCCUUGAUAAUUUCUUUGGAAAUAGAAUGGUAAUACUCCCUCCGUUUCUUUUUAGUCCGCAUAUAAGGUUUGGUCAAAGUCAAGCUUUGUAAAGUUUGACUAACUUUAUAUUAAAAAAUAUAAACAUUCACAAUAUGAAAUUAAUAUUAUCACAUACACCAUGAAACGUACUUUCAUAUUAUAUAGUUUUAAUAUUGUAGAUAUUCAUAUUUUUUUAAAUAAAUUUGGUCAAACUUGGUGUAGUUUUACUUUGACCAAAUCUUAUAUGCGGAGUAAAAAGAAACGGAGGGAGUAUAUGCAUAGUAGACCUGAUAACUCAGGUAUAAAUAUCAUGGUAACUUCUUAACCCGGAGGGGGGGAUAGUUGUUGAAAGAAUACCUUGGUAACUUCAACGUAAAUAGUAUGGUAAUAUACGAAUUGCACACUUGAUUUAUGCACAAACACCAUGGUAACUUUAGACCGGGGCAAAACACAUACCCACGGUAAAUUAUGUAUAAAUAGGUGGUAACAUACGCACAACAGAGCUGAUAACUCAGGCAUAAACACCAUGGUAACUUUGAACUGAGGGUUGUAAAUAGCGUGGUACUAUAAGCAUCGUAUACAUGAUAACUCAUGCGCAAACACCACAGUAAUUUUGACCUGAGGGUGGGGGAUGGGAGGAAGUUGUUUGAAAAUAUAGGCCCCUCCCGAUAACCUCCAUAUGUAAAUAGCACAAUAUAAUAUACAUGUUGUAAACUUGAUAACUCGCGUACAAAACACCAUUGUAACUUUGAACCGGAGGAAGGGGGAGGGGGAGGAAGUUGUUCGAAAACAUACCUUUGACAACUUAUGUGUAAAUAACGUGGUAAUAUACGGACUGUGUGCAUGAUAACACACGCACAAGCAACACGGUAAUUUUUGUCCCCAAAAAACAAGUUGACAAUAUACCAUGGUAACUCACGUAUAAAGAGCAUGAUAAUAUACAUACAUCAGAGCCGAUAGCUUACUUAGCCCAUGCCUAGUAACUAUUUGCACGGAAAAAUCAUCAGAACAUAUCAACACGUGAUCUAGUUUACUACUCCCUCUGUUCCGAAUUACUUGUCGCAUGUAUGGAUGUAUCUAGAUGUAUUUUAGUUCUAGAUACAUCCAUUUCUUCGACGAGUAAUUUGGAACGGAGGGAGUAGAUCUCAUCGCGAUGGUUUUUACUGCGUGAAAAUGAUUUUUUGAUCGGACAGACAGUUCACGCUAUAAAAACCUUUUAAAGUUUGAAAAUAGGGAAGCAUCUAAGAUGACAUCCAUUUCCCCCUAAUGCAUUAAGGCAUGUGCAUGUGAAGCGAAGGUUUGAGAGACUAUUUUUAUGUCCCUGUAAUUCCUUUGUAAACAACAUGAUAACUACCAGGCAGCAAGCCUAGUAAGCUAUCUAAAAAAUAACAUGAUAACUUAUGCACAACUGACAUGGUAACUUGCAUAGCAGAUGCGUGGUAACUGUUUUCUCGGAAAAAAAAUCGUCGGAACAUAUCAACGUGGGAUCUAGUUUCGAAGGUCUUGCCGCGAUGAAUCUUUUAUGUGAAAACGAUUUUUUGAUCGGAGCAACGGUUCAAGCUACAAAACAUUUUGAAUUUUAAAUUUUGUUGGAAUCUUUGCUGACAUCACCAUUUUUGUCUCACAUGAAUGCAUACUUAAUUAAAUUAAUUGGAGCUAAUUAGCACAGGAGAGUCACGCGGGCUCAAAAAUUGUUCGUCUGGCGUAUACGCUUGGCUGCAUGUUGUUCGUAUCGAGAGAAGUGGAUCGUACAGGAAUAAAUUGUGCGGAUCUGCUGCUAACGACCAGUCGACUGGUCGUUAGCACAGUCCCUUUAUCUAUUACUAGUAUAUAAACAUGCCCGGACCAGAAACCCAAUUUUAUCUAUUACUAGUAAAUAUGUCCAUGCGUUGCAACGGGUGAAAAAAUAUCACGUCAUAGACAUUUCUUGUCUAAGACACUAUCUUCUGUUUUGAUACGAUUUUGAUUCUAAAUCACCGAUUAUUAUUGCGGUGCUAAUGACGCACACCACCACGACCACACUCAGCAGCAGGAUGGUGCCGCCCGACAGUGAGAAGGCCGUGUCUAAAAAUUAAGUCUAUUUAAGAAAGCCCAUGUAUAUCACCAUCACAUGUGGAAUGGAUGAAAUACAAAUUAAGACCGUUCAUACACAUGUUUUGAUAAGGACAAAAGAUGAGAAAUGUCACAUCUCUGUCAUGACAAGUGGCAACAUUCCUCUUAUUUUUUGUCUCUCCUUUUAUCAACAUGUGGAUCACGGAUCCAUCCGCCUUGUUCUGCUGAGACAUGGCGUUGGGGAGUUAGGUGAAGUACUACGCCACUGCCGCCAUGGCUGGGUUUCCGAUGUUCCAUAUAAAUUUAAAAGGAAAAUACAAAAUGCCAUAGUUGAAGCAUAUUAGGCCAAUUCCACCACGCGAUCCCAAACAGACGUCCGUUUUGUCCGGUUUCUGUCCCUUUGGGUAGGGAUUUGGGGUCAUGUCCGGGCGUGUCCUGGGAUGCGGUGGCCGUGCGCCCAGCGCGCGGCCGCAUCCUUUUGCCCUAUCCUGUCCGCGUCUAUUUAAAAAAAGAAACGUUUCAAAUGCCAAGCCCUAGUUCACGAUCCCAGUUCAUCACGCCGGCAACAAAGCCAGCGGCCUACACAUCCAUCGCCGGCAUCGGCCAGCGGCCGGCAACACAGCCAGCCUCCAAAAUGAAUAGUUGUCCUCGCCGGCAACACAGCCGGUCUCCAAAAUGAAUGUUUUCUCGCCGGCACACUGCCAGCGGCCCAGCGAGCGGGCGGCACCCGUGCCAGCCUCCAAAAAGAACGGCCACGCCGAUCGGACGACCUAGUUCAGGCCUUCGGCUCGAGCAUCUCCUUCUGCCUGGCCUCAAACCAGGCCCUCGUCUUGUCGCUCAUCUUCGACAAGUCCACUCUCAUGAUCGCAAGGGCCACCUCCUUCACUUUUGUGGCGGCAUUGGUGGCCUCGAUGUCGAGCUGCCUCUGCCUGGCCUUGACGUUGUCGGCCUCGAUGUCGAGCUGCCUUUGCCGGGCGGCCUCUUCCAUGUCGAGCUGCCUUUGCCGGGCCGCCUCCUCCAUGUCUAUCUUCCUCUUCUUGGCCGCCUCCUCCAUCUCAAGCUUCUGUCUUUGGAGGUCUAGGUAUUGCUUCAUUUGCUCGUCCUUGCUUUGCCGCUUCUUCUCGUCCCUCACAUUCUUUUGUGACAUCAUGCCAUGCAAGGCCCUGGAUGAGGCGUCACGUAUGUCGUCCACCUUGGAGUUGGUCUUGCCCCUCGGCCUCUUCAACGCCUCGCCAUCCCCACCUCCGGCGAACUUGGUCGUCUUCUUGCCUCUCUUCCUUUGAAGUUCACGGUAUUGAUCCUUGAACUUAGGGCAAUUGUUGAUGAUCGUCCAACAAUGCGUAAGAGUGAAUGGCUUGUCAUUGUGCCGGGCCUUGAAUGCCUCCAAAGAUUGAAAUGCCUACACCACAUGAUCAACAACAAGUGAACAUGCAAACAUAUACACGGCCGAAAUCUCAUGGCCGUAGCAAGGAAAGGGCUAGAAAGAGAAGAGCAUACCAUGUCCCCAACGCCGAGACCACUCACGGGUCGUGCUUCAACACUCUCAAAUGCGGUGCAAUACUUGUUGCACUCUUGUUGGAUGAACAACCAUAUUUUUUGAAUCGAGCCGAUGCCACCGUUGCUUGUAAUUUGGUAGGGCUCAAACACCUUCCUUUCAUGGAAUGUUUUGUGGACUCUCGUCCAAAAAACAAUGCCAUUUUGUUGCGCGCCGGUCCUCGGAUCUUGGCUAAUCUCCAUCCAUGCUUGGCAAAUCAACUUGUCCUCGUCUUGUGUAUAUGAACCCGUGUGAAUGCUCUUCCGCUUCUUUUGUGUUUCCGCUCUUUGGGUGAGCUCGUCGAUGAACAGUGGCUCGCCACUAAUAUCAACAUCAUUGCCUUCGUCUUCAUCACCAUCACCUUAGACAUAGAUGUCAUCGUCUUCAUGCCACGAGUCAUGAAGGAAAUAUGCCCUAGAGGCAAUAAUAAAGUUAUUAUUUAUUUCCUUAUAUCAUGAUAAAAGUUUAUUAUUCAUGCUAGAAUUGUAUUAACCGGAAACAUAAUACAUGUGUCAAUACAUAGACAAACAGAGUGUCACUAGUAUGCCUCUACUUGACUAGCUCGUUAAUCAAAGAUGGUUAUGUUUCCUAACCAUGGACAAAGAGUUGUUAUUUGAUUAAUGGGAUCACAUCAUUGGUUGAAUGAUCUGAUUGACAUGACCCAUUCCAUUAGCUUAGCACCCGAUCGUUUAGUAUGUUGCUAUUGCUUUCUUCAUGACUUAUACAUGUUCCUAUGACUAUGAGAUUAUGUAACUCCCGUGUGCCGGAGGAACACUUUGUGUGCUACCAAACGUCACAACGUAACUGGGUGAUUAUAAAGGAGCUCUACAGGUGUCUCCAAAGGUACAUGUUGGGUUGGCGUAUUUCAAGAUUAGGAUUUGUCACUCCGAAUGUCGGAGAGGUAUCUCUGGACCCUCUCGGUAAUGCACAUCACUUAAGCCUUGCAAGCAUUGCAACUAAUGAGUUAGUUGCGGGAUGAUGUAUUACGGAACGAGUAAAGAGACUUGCCGGUAACGAGAUUGAACUAGGUAUUGGAUACCGACGAUCAAAUCUCGGGCAAGUAACAUACCGAUGACAAAGGGAACAACGUAUGUUGUUAUGCGGUCUGACCGAUAAAGAUCUUCGUAGAAUAUGUAGGAGCCAAUAUGGGCAUCCAGGUCCCGCUAUUGGUUAUUGACCGAAGACAUGUCUCGGUCAUGUAUACAUUGUUCUCGAACCCAUAGGGUCCGCACGCUUAAGGUUUCGAUGACAGUUAUAUUAUGAGUUUAUACGUUUUGAUGUACCGAAGGUUGUUUGGAGUCCCGGAUGUGAUCACGGACUUGACGAGGAGUCUCGAAAUGGUCGAUACAUAAAGAUUGAUAUAUUGGAAGCCUAUGUUUGGAUAUCGGAAGUGUUCCGGGUGAAAUCGGGAUUUUACCGGAGUACCGGGAGGUUACCGGAACCCCCCGGGAGCUAUAUGGGCCUUAGUGGGACUUAGUGGAAGAAGAGGAGAGGCGGCUAGGGCUGGGCCGCGCGCCCCUCCCCCCUAGUCCGAAUAGGACAAGUAGAGAGGGGGCCGGCGCCCCCCUCCUUCUCUCUCUCUCUUUUCCACCUCGCGAAUCCUAUUCCAACUAGGAUUGGGGGGGGAGUCCUACUCCCGGAGGGAGUAGGACUCCUCCUGGCGCGCCUCUCCUAGGCCGGCCACCCCCCCCUUGAGCCUUUAUAUACGGAGGCAGGGGCACCCCAGAGGAACACAAGUUGAUCCACGUGAUCAUAUUCUUAGCCGUGUGCGGCGCCCCCUGCCACCAUAGUCCUCGAUAAUAUUGUAGCGGUGCUUAGGCGAAGCCCUACGACAGUAGUACAUCAAGAUCGUCACCACGCCGUCGUGUUGACGGAACUCUUCCCCGACACUUUGCUGGAUCGGAGUCCGCGGAUCAUCAUCGAGCUGAACGUGUGCUAGAACUCGGAGGUGCCGUAGUUUCGGUGCUUGAUCGGUCGGGCCGUGGAGACGUACGACUACAUCAACCAAACGCUUCCGUUGUCGAUCUACAAGGGUACGUAGAUCUCACUCUCCCCUCUCGUUGCUAUGCAUCACCAUGAUCUUGCGUGUGCGUAGGAAAUUUUUUGAAAUUACUACGUUCCCCAACAGUGGCAUCCAAGCCUAGGUUUUAUGUGUUGAUGUUAUAUGCACGAGUAGAACACAAGUGAGUUGUGGGCGAUAUAAGUCAUACUACUUACCAGCAUGUCGUACUUUGGUUCGGCGGUAUUGUUGGACGAAGCGGCCCGGACCGACAUUACGCGUACGCUUACGCGAGGCCGGUUCUCCCGACGUGCUUUGCACAUAGGUGGCUUGCGGGUGACAGUUUCUCCAACUUUAGUUGAACCAAGUGUGGCUACGCCCGGUCCUUGCGAAGGUUAAAACAGCACCAACUUGACAAACUAUCGUUGUGGUUUUGAUGCGUAGGUAAGAUUGGUUCUUGCUUAAGCCCGUAGCAGCCACGUAAAACUUGCAACAACAAAGUAGAGGACGUCUAACUUGUUUUUGCAGGGCAUGUUGUGAUGUGAUAUGGUCAAAACAUGAUGCUGAAUUUUAUUGUAUGAGAUGAUCAUGUUUUGUAACCGAGUUAUCGGCAACUGGCAGGAGCCAUAUGGUUUUCGCUUUAUUGUAUGCAAUGCAAUCGCGCCGUAAUGCUUUACUUUAUCACUAAGCGGUAGCGAUAGUCGUGGAAGCAUAAGAUUGGCGAGACGACAACGAUGCUACGGUGGAGAUCAAGGUGUCGCGCCGGUGACGAUGGUGAUCAUGACGGUGCUUCGGAGAUGGAGAUCACAGGCACAAGAUGAUGAUGGCCAUAUCAUAUCACUUAUAUUGAUUGCAUGUGAUGUUUAUCUUUUAUGCAUCUUAUCUUGCUUUGAUUGACGGUAGCAUUAUAAGAUGAUCUCUCACUAAAAUUAUCAAGAAGUGUUCUCCCUGAGUAUGCACCGUUGCGAAAGUUCUUUGUGCUGAGACACCACGUGAUGAUCGGGUGUGAUAGGCUCUACGUUCAAAUACAACGGGUGAAAAACAGUUGCACACGUGGAAUACUCAGGUUAUACUUGACGAGCCAAGCAUAUGCAGAUAUGGCCUCGGAACACGGAGACCGAAAGGUCGAGCGUGAAUCAUAUAGUAGAUAUGAUCAACAUAGUGAUGUUCACCAAUGAAACUACUCCAUCUCACGUGAUGAUCGGACAUGGUUUAGUUGAUUUGGAUCACGUGAUCACUUAGAGGAUUAGAGGGAUGUCUAUCUAAGUGGGAGUUCUUUAAGUAAUUUGAUUAAUUGAACUUGAAUUUAUCAUGAACUUAGUACCUAAUAGUAUCUUGCUUAUGUAUGUUUGAUUGUAGAUAGAUGGCCCGUGCUGUUGUUCCGUUGAAUUUUAAUGCGUUCCUUGAGAAAGCAAAGUUGAAAGAUGAUGGUAGCAAUUACACGGACUGGGUCCGUAACUUGAGGAUUAUCCUCAUUGCUGCAUAGAAGAAUUACGUCCUGGAAGCACCGCUGGGUGCCAGGCCUACUGCUGGAGCAACACUAGAUGUUAUGAACGUCUGGCAGAGCAAAGCUGAUGACUACUCGAUAGUUCAGUGUGCCAUGUUUUACGGCUUAGAAUUGGGACUUCAACGAUGUUUUGAACGUCAUGGAGCAUAUGAGAUGUUCCAGGAGUUGAAGUUAAUAUUUCAAGAAAAUGCCCUGAUUGAGAGAUAUGAAGUCUCCAAUAAGUUCUAUAGCUGCAAGAUGGAGGAGAAUAGUUCUGUCAGUGAGCAUAUACUCAAAAUGUCUGGGUAUAAUAAUCACUUGAUUCAGAUGGGAGUUAAUCUUCCAAAUGAUUGCGUCAUUGACAGAAUUCUCCAAUCACUGCCACCAAGCUACAAGAGCUUCGUGAUGAGCUAUAAUAUGCAAGGGAUGAAUAAGACUAUUCCCGAGCUCUUCGCAAUGCUAAAAGCUGCGGAGGUAGAAAUCAAAAAGGAGCAUCAAGUGUUGAUGGUCAACAAGACCACUAGUUUCAAGAAAAAGGGCAAAGGGAAGAAGAAGGGGAACUUCAAGAAGAACAGCAAGCAAGUUGCUGCUCAAGAGAAGAAACCCAAGUCUGGACCUAAGCCUGAAACUGAAUGAUUCUACUGCAAGCAGACUGGUCACUGGAAGCGGAACUGCCCCAAGUAUUUGGCGGAUAAGAAGGAUGGCAAGGUGAACAAAGGUAUAUGUGAUAUACAUGUUAUUGAUGUGUACCUUACUAAUGCUCGCAGUAGCACCUGGGUAUUUGAUACUGGUUCUGUUGCUAAUAUUUGCAACUUGAAACAGGGACUACGGAUUAAGCGAAGAUUGGCUAAGGACGAGGUGACGAUGCGCGUGGGAAAUGGUUCCAAAGUCGAUGUGAUCACGGUCGGCACGCUACCUCUACAUCUACCUUCAGGAUUAGUAUUAGACCUAAAUAAUUGUUAUUUGGUGCCAGCGUUGAGCAUGAAAAUUAUAUCUGGAUCUUGUUUAAUGCGAGACGGUUAUUCAUUUAAAUCAGAGAAUAAUGGUUGUUCUAUUUAUAUGAGUAAUAUCUUUUAUGGUCAUGCACCCUUGAAGAGUGGUCUAUUCUUAUUGAAUCUCGAUAGUAGUGACACACAUAUUCAUAAUGUUGAAGCCAAAAGAUGCAGAGUUGAUAAUGAUGGUGCAACUUAUUUGUGGCACUGCCGUUUAGGUCAUAUCGGUGUAAAGCGCAUGAAGAAACUCCAUACUGAUGGAAUUUUGGAACCACUUGAUUAUGAAUCACUUGGUACUUGCGAACUGUAAGUGCAUCUAGUGCCACCCCUAGUUGGUUUUGGAGUAUUGACGACAAACCUAGUUGAGGGACUAAUGUGUUUGUGAGAAUUGCAGGAAAACACAGGUAGAAGUCCCUCAUUGAUUCGGUUUUACUACUAGAGAUGACCCCUAAAAAUGUAUGAAGACAUUGAAGACAAAGGUGGUAUAUGAAGAUAUUCACAUUGAAGACUAUGACAAAAGAAGACACGUUAUGAAGCCUAUGGAACUCGAAGACUUAGAUCCUUCUUAGUUCUUUUUCUUUUGUGUUGAGUCAUAGGAACCACCGUACUGUUAAGUGGGGUCCAGGAGAACCAGUCAGAAUGACUGAAGUGAUGCCUAAAUCAAAAACCUAUGUCUUCGAGCGAAGAUAAUGAGAGCGAAUCUUGUCCAGAGCCGGACAAGUUAGCUUUGCUUGUAGCCCAAGCAAAGUUGCCAUGAGAGUUUGAAAUCUGACCGUUGAGACACAUGUCAGUUCCUUAGUGACCCAGGGUCAUUUCGGACAAAUCAGGUCGGGUUGCCAAGUGGCUAUAAAUAGCCCACCCCCACAACCAUAAACGGUUGGCUGCUUAGAUUUCAGUGCACGGCUUUUGUCGUUUGAGAGCAACCCACCUCGAAGCCUUUGAGAGAAAAAUUCUAGUGAGGAGAAAGCCCUAACCACCAGAGCCAGAGUAAAUUGGGCAUCACUAAGUCUUCUUGUCUGUGUGAUCUGAAGACUUAUUACACUUGAGGACUGUGAAUCCUCCAGACGGUUAGGCGUCGCGUUCAGAGCAUCCAAGAGACAUUGUGGAUUGCCAGUGAACGAAGUCUGUGAAGGUUUGGGAGUCUACCUUGAAGACUUACCGGAGUGAUUGGGCGAGGACUAAGUGACCUUAGCUCAAGGAGAAUACGGUGAGGACUUGGUGUCCUGGACUGUGUGUUCAGGACUGGGUGUCCGGGACUGUGUGUCCUAAGGUUUAAAUACCUAGCCGCUCCAACCAGACGUACAGUUGUCACAGCAACUGGAACUGGUCCAACAUAUCAUUGUCUUCAAGGAGUCACUGGUUUCAUCUUCUCUUCCUUUUCUUACUGUUACACAUUGUGAAGCCAUUGCAUGCUUGCCUUAUCUUUUGUCUUCACAACGUGAAUGUAUGAACUGUUCGGCUUCAUAACUUCUUCCUACCUGAUCCUUAUUACACUGCAGUUGUUUGUCAUUGUGCUUUCACUCUAUUGAAUACAUGACCAUUGCUGGCCUAGUGUAAUCUAACUUCCGCUGCAUAGUAAAAGGCAUAAUUUUCGCUGUUUGUCUUCAUAACUCUCACGUUUUGAAGACUUUCAUAAAAAUCGCCUAUUCACCCCCCCUCUAGUCGAUAUAACGCACUUUCAAUUGGUAUCAGAGCAAGGUGCUCCCUUGUUCUGUGUGAUUCGGUUUAACCACCUGGAGUUUUAGCUAUGUCGACUGCAGGGAUAAUCAAAGUCUCCACUGCGUGCCCCGUCUUCGAUGGAACUGAAUAUCCCUACUGGAAGAAUAAGAUGCGCAUGCAUCUUGAAGCCAUUGACGUCGACCUAUGGUAUGUCGUCGAGAACGGCGUUCCCAAGGCUGGAGAAGGUGUCACUGCUGCUGAUGUCAAGAAGUUCACUCAACUGGACUCUACUGCCAAAAAUAUCAUCUGUGGUCAUCUGACAAAAGGACAGUAUGGCCGUGUGAGUGCCUUGAAGACAUCCAAGCUGGUCUGGGACUGGCUCUCCAAGGUCAAUGAAGGCGUCUCAACCCAGAGAGAUCAAAGAAUCAGUGUUCUUCGCAACCUCUUCAACUGCUUCAAGCGAAACGACAAUGAGAAUGUCCAGCACACAUUUGACCGGCUCACUGACAUCACAAAUGAGCUUCAAGCCCUCGGCGCCACUGAGAUCACCAAACAUGAAAUCGUCAAGACGCUGCUGAGAUCACUUGAUAGUUCGUUUGACAUCCUGGCCCUGAUGAUUCAAGAACGUCCUGAUUUCAAGACACUCGAUCCGUCUGACAUACUUGAGAGGCUCAACACACAUGAGUUUCAGCUUUCUGAGAAAAGAGAUAUCUACGGUCCAAACUAUGGGCGAACUCGUGCCUUGAAGGCAAAAGCUGUUUCCUCAUCUGAAGAAGAAUCUGACUGCAGUUCUGAUGAUCCUGAAGACAUUGGAAGAGAACUUGCAAUGCUAGUGAAGAAGUUCCAAAAAUUCACCAAGAAGAAAGGCUUCAGAAAAUCUUCACGAUCAAGCUCAAGGAAUGAUGAAGCUUCUGCUCAUGACUACAAGAAGAAAACAUGUCACAAGUGCAAGAAAACUGGACACUUCAUCUCUGAGUGUCCACAGUGGGACAAUGAGAAUAGAAGGAAGAAGAAGAGCAAGGAAUAUGAUUCUGACGACAAGAAGAAGAAGAAAUACUCAAAGUCUUCUUCCAAGUCUUCCUCAAAGUCUUCAACACACAAGAAGAGCUCAUCUGGCAAAGCACGUGCGUUUGUUGGCAAGGAAAUGGAUUCAGAGGAUGAGUCCGCUUCUGAGGAGGCGGAGGUGGAGUCUGAGGAGGAGUCUGAUUCUGGUAUUGCGAGUCUGGCUACGGCAUACGUCGCCAAGUCCAUCUUCAACACUGAAGACAAUGACUUCAUCACCGAUACCGAUGCAAAUGACAAGAACGACUCCUCUCCUACCUACUGCUUCAUGGCACGCGGUGCCAAGGUAAACACACACACUACUCGCUAUCAAACAUCUAGUGAAGAUGACUUUGACUGUGAUUCAAAACCCAGCUACAAAACACUUGCUAAAAUUGCAACUGAACAACAGAAAGCUAUGGAACAUAUUCAAAAAACUGUUAGACAGAAGCGAUGAUCUGUUGGGUGCUGAAAUGACUCGAUCUGAAUCCUUAAUUGAAGACAUAAAAAAUCUUCACAUUAAGUAUCAGGAACUUGAGGAUCGUCUUGAUACUCUCUCAACAACUCAUGAAAAGCUUUCCUAUGAUUAUCUUCAAAGGAAGCAAGAACUUGAGAAAUUGAGAGCGGCUCAUGAAGAUCUUCAAAAGGAAAACGAGUCACUUCGCGCCGAACAUAUCAGUCCCACUCAGGAAGGAUUUGAACCACCAUGUCUUAAAUGCAUUGAGCGUGAUAAUGCUACUUCUGUUGUUGAAUGUUCCACUGCUACUGUUGUUGCAAUAUCUUCAACUGUUGAUGUGGUAACUAACCCCUCUGCUGAGGAUACCACUGCUAUUGCUGAUGAGAAUGCUAGGUUGAAGACAUUGCUUGAAACAGGGAUGUACAAAAGUCUUAAAGGACAUCAGACAUUAUGUGAUGUCCUCAAGAAGCAGAUUCUGAACCGAAACACUAGGAAAGAGGGUGUUGGGUUCGUGAGGAAAAUAAAUGUAGAUGGCUCUUACUGGAAACCUGAGCAGUACCCCAAAACCACAUGGGUUGCUGCAAAGGAAACUUCAGCAGAUUCAUCCAAUUUAUCUGGCUUCACAUGUGCUAACCCCAUUAUUAUUGAUGAAUCCUUUGAUGCAAACUAUAAACUGUUUAAGAAUCAGAAAGGUGAAGUGUUUGCCAGGUACAUUGGUACUAACUGCAGGAAUGGACCGCUUAUGAAGAAGAUCUGGGUUCCGAAAAAAUGUCUUGAAAAUCUUCCUGUGAAUGUCUUCAUGACACCUCACUUGAAGAAGACAAACCUCAGACCAAUGGCUUCAUAUGGUCCAAAGGCUUCAUACAAAUAGAGGACUCACCCGAGUCACACUAAUGCAAAUGUUUUGCAGGGAAACCAUACUCAGGCAUAUGAAUAUGAGAGCGGUUCUUCGAAUCAUCAUGUUCAUAUGACCAAAAAUUAUUCUGCCUAUUCCUAUGAGUACUAUUGUCCACCUGCUAGACUGUUUGCUAAGGCUUCAAAGCCAAAAUUCUCAGAUGUUGCACUUAGACUUAUUGCUUCUAAGCCACCCUUGAAGAUGUGGGUGGUUAAGAAAGCUUAACUCUCUUUUGCAGGGAAAGGUCUCCAGCAGACAAACAAAAUCUUCUGAUGCUAUUGCUGGGGACCUUAAAAAUCUUGUAGGGCGCAAGAUAAAAUGCCCGAAUGGCAUCAUUAUGUACUUCGUUCCUGAAUCGCAUGCUACUCUCCCUAUUAGUCCUAAUCUGGAUCUAAGUUUUCAUAACCCACUGGUUCAUCAAAUGUUUAUGCUUCACAAUUCUCUUCGUGAAGCCUAUCCCCCUAACUGCACUGUAGGGUACGACACCAGCGACUUCAAAGUCUUCAGAAUGGAUUAUUGACAGUGGGUCUACAAAUCACAUGACUGGCAAAAUAAGCCUUCUUAUGGACUCAACAUUAUGUCCAUCCGACAAGAGCCACAUCACAUUUGCUGACACUGGUAAAAGCAAGGUAUUGGGUCUAGGUAGAGUUGCAAUCUCAAAGGAUCAACACAUGGAUAAAGUCAUGCUUGUUGAAUCCCUUGGCUUCAACUUAAUGUCUGUCUCAAUGCUUUGCGAUUUGAAUAUGAUCGUAAUGUUUGGAAAAUAUCGCUGCCUGGUACUAAUGGAAUCUGACAAGUCUCUAGUGUUUGAAGGGUAUCGGAAAGGUGAUUUGUACAUGGUAGAUUUCUCAGCAGGACCACAACUUGCAGUAUGUCUUCUUGCAAAAGCUUCAGAAUGCUGGCUUUGGCAUCGGAGGCUUGGGCAUGCUGGCAUGAGGAACCUCCACACCCUUGCGAAGAAGAAGCAUGUCAUAGGCAUCGAGGGCGUCAAGUUCAAGAAAGAUCACUUAUGCGGUGCCUGUGAAGCAGGGAAGAUGACAAGGGCAAAGCAUCCUUCGAAGACAAUCAUGACUACUACUCAACCCUUCGAACUGCUCCACAUGGAUCUUUUCGGUCCCACUCACUACUCAACUUUUACUACCACUGCUUGCCUCUAUGGCUUCGUGAUUGUUGAUGAUUACUCUAGAUAUACUUGGGUGCACAUAAUCCUUUACAAGACUGAAGUGCAGGAUGUCUUCAGACGCUUCGCCAAUCGAGCUAUGAACAAUUUUGGCGCCAAGAUAAAGCACAUCAGAAGUGACAAUGGCACUGAAUUCAAGAACACUGGCCUUGAUACAUAUCUUGAUACCUUGGGCAUCACACAUGAAUUCUCAGCUCCGUACACGCCACAGCAGAAUGGCAUUGUCGAACGCAAGAACAGAACACUCAUUGAGAUGGCCAGAACGAUGCUAGAUGAAUACAAGACUCCAAGAAAAUACUGGACUGAAGCCAUUGAUACUGCAUGCCAUACAAUCAAUCGUGUUUAUCUUCACAAGCUUCUGAACAAGACAUCUUAUGAACUCCUAACUGGCAAGAAGCCAAAUGUCAGUUACUUCAGAGUAUUUGGCUCAAGGUGCUGGAUCAAGGACCCACAUCACACUUCAAAAUUUUGCACCUAAAGCACAUGAGGGCUUUAUGCUUGGAUAUGGAAAGGACUCGCACUCCUACAGAGUCUUCAAUCUCUUUCAUUACAAAGUGGUUGAAACAGUGGAUGUGCGGUUCGAUGAGACAAAUGGUUCACAAAGAGAGCAACUACCAAAUGUGCUAGAUGAAGUUCCAGCUAGUGAAUCGAUCAAGCUUAUGGGAACUGGAGAGAUUAUACCUUCUGAAGCUCAUCCUGAAGAAGAACUUAUCAUCUCAGCACCUGAUCAACAUGAAGACAAUGCUCAGCCUGAAGACAUUCCUCCCAACAACAACGCAGAUCAGCAAGAGCAAAGUCUUCGCCCUGUACAUCCUCGUAUUGCAAAUGAAGUGCAGAUUGACAGAAUAAUUGACAGCAUCAAUGCACCUGGUCCACUCACUCGUUCAAGGGCAACUCAGCUAGCAAACUUCUGUGGGCACUUCGUAUUCGUCUCAAUAUCCGAACCCAAGAAAGUUGAAGAAGCCUUCAUGGAACCUGAAUGGAUUCAAGCUAUGCAAGAAGAGCUUCAACAGUUUGAGCUGAAUAAUGUAUGGGAACUGGUUAAGCGUCCUGAUCCACGGAAGCACAACAUAAUAGGCACCAAAUGGAUAUACCGCGACAAGCAAGAUGAGCAUGGUCAAGUUGUCAGAAACAAAGCUCGUCUCGUUGCUCAAGGAUAUACUCAAGUGGAGGGCAUUGACUUCGAUGAAACAUUUGCUCCUGUGGCAAGGCUUGAAGCUAUACGCAUACUGCUGGCCUAUGCAAAUCAUCAUAACAUACUUCUAUAUCAAAUGGAUGUGAAAAGUGCCUUUCUCAAUGGCAAGAUUGAAGAAGUGUAUGUUGCACAGCCACCUGGCUUUGAAAAUCCAAAACAUCCUGACAUGGUAUACAAGCUCAACAAGGCACUGUAUGGCCUCAAACAAGCCCCUAGGGCCUGGUAUGACACACUCAAAUACUUCCUGAAGAGCAAAGGCUUCAUACCUGGUUCCUUGGAUCCCACUCUUUUCACGAAGACAUAUGAUGGUGAACUGUUUGUGUGCCAAAUAUAUGUGGAUGACAUUAUAUUCGGCUGCACCAAUCAGAAGUAUAGUGAAGAGUUUGGAUAUAUGAUGCAAGAGCAAUAUCAGAUGUCCAUGAUGGGGGAGCUGAAGUUCUUCCUUGGCCUUCAAAUACGACAACAACGCAAUGGCAUCUUCAUAUCUCAAGAGAAGUAUCUCAAAGAUUGCAUGAAGAAGUUCGGUAUGCAAGACUGCAAAGGCUUCACAACACCAAUGCCAGCCAAACAUCAUCUAGGUCCUGACGACAAUGGUAAAGAGUUCGAUCAAAAGGUAUACCGCUCCAUGAUUGGUUCUUUGCUUUAUUUAUGUGCAUCUAGGCCAGAUAUCAUGCUUAGUGUUUGCAUGUGUGCUCGAUUUCAAGCGGCACCAAAGGAGUCGCAUCACUUAGCUGUGAAGCGAAUUCUUCGAUAUUUGGCUCACACCCCAACUCUAGGAUUAUGGUAUCCAAAGGGCUCAGAGUUUGAUUUGGUUGGAUUUUCGGAUGUUGAUUAUGCUGGUGACAAAGUUGAUCGCAAGUCUACAUCAGGCACAUGUCAUUUUCUGGGACGAUCACUUGUAUGUUGGUCUUCAAAGAAGCAGAACUGUGUAUCUCUCUCCACUGCUGAAUCUGAAUACAUUGCUGCUGGAUCUUGCUGCGCCCAGCUUCUGUGGAUGAAGCAAACACUCAAGGACUAUGGCAUUCAUCUGAAGCAAGUGCCACUUUACUGCGACAACGAAAGCGCCAUCAAGAUUGCCAACAACCCAGUUCAGCACUCGAAGACAAAGCACAUUGAAAUUCGUCAUCACUUUCUCAGAGAUCAUGUUGUGAAGGAAGACAUUGAUAUCAUACACGUCAACACUGAAGAGCAAUUGGCAGAUAUCUUCACCAAGCCCUUGGAUGAGAAGAGAUUUUGCAAGUUACGGUGUGAGCUAAAUAUCUUGGAAUCCUCAAAUGUCCUGUGAUCAGGCACACAUCCUAACACUUAUGCAUAUUGAUGACUUAGAUGUGCAACACACAAAGUAAAGUAUAUCUUCAUUCAAUGAAGACAUACAUUCUAAGUGUGAAUACAUUAAUGUGGAAUUUGACUUCGGAGCGCCACGAUAAUUGUGCGCCGUGUCUGGGUCUAAUACUUCCUAUACGGUGGGUAACGCCACCACCAAACGUUCUAUUUGAAGUGUUUCACUCAUGGCGUUACCUUGCAAUAUCUUCACAUUUGGUUGUCUUCACAUUUGGUUUGGCUUCAAACAUGUCUUCAUAAUUAUCUUCACUAUGUUGCUUGUAUAGAUAUAUAUAUAUAUAUAUAUAUAUAUAUAUACUAGUGUUCUGUCCUCUACAGCAUUCACUUAUAGCUAUGUCUUCUUGGUUGAAUCUUUUGAACUAAGUGAAUGUGAUCGGACCCUAAUCUCUCUAUGCUUUCUAUCUCAAAUUCUAUCUCUCCAAGUCAUAUGCAUUCUAUUGAAACUGUCGAAUGUCUUCAAUGCGUCCUAGUCAGCAGAAGAUAUAGAGACAACCAUAAAGUCCGUCUUCAAUGCUCAUUCCUCCACAUAAAAUCCGGAGAAGUAGGAACGACCGCCCGACAAACCAGGCGUGCGUGGGAUGUGGAACUGCCCCCAAAAUACCGCAUGAUGGCCACGUACUACUCAAAUGCGAAUCGCCAGGGGCACCUGAGUAAUAGCGCAGUGCCGCCCCUGCGCCUAUAAGUUCACACUUACCACGGUUAUUAUCUCUUUCUUCCACCCUCGCACGAACCCUAGCGCCACCGCUAGCUCUCGACGACGCCGGAGACGAAGCGCUUCGCUGCCGCAACCUCUCCAACGUCGUCCUCACGCUGACCGCGGACAUCAUCCUCUCCGCCGUCACCGUAGGUGUUUUCCGUCGCCAAGUUAGGGCACGGAGGACUGAACUGCUCGGCAUCAACUCCCUUCUGUCUAGCAGUUCCAGUGUGGUAAAUAAAACUUCUUUUUACAGCCUCUUUUGAUCUCAUGGUUCUGUCACUUUCUACCAUAAGAAGUUUCUCUUCACACUAGUUAGAUCUCUCACUGCAUCUCAUAACAUGCCUAGUAUAUUCACUUGUGCUUCAUAAAGUAGUUAGAUUCCUCACUUGUACUGAUCUGUGGGUUCGUACAAAUCUGGAACCAACUUCUUAUCUAUGAGUGAAUGUCUUCGCACGAUGAGGUCAAUGUCUUCUAAACUGAUUAAUCUUCAAAACCUUCUGAGAAUGCAUAUGACCUCUUCCCCUUCCCUUGCACCUUAAUGCUGUCACAGGUACAUGUCCGUGGGAGAAUCCUUCGGUUCUCAUAGUCUGCAUUCAUUUGCAGAAUUCCUACAGCAUCACAUAAACUCUGUUGAAGCCAGUUCCUGUUGGUCCAGAAAAAGAAAGCCUUUGAAAGUUUUGAAGCCUUUCAAGUUAAAGUUUAUGGCUUCAGAAGCAGCAGCAAGGAAGGGGGGCAGACAGAGAUGUGAGGGAACUUCCAAGGAUCUGCCUGAAGACUUGGCAGAAAUGUACAAAACAGAUCCAGAAGAGAGCUAUGGGCAGCGCAAGACACGAAUCCAAUGGAUUCGACGCUAUUGGGCAGAACAGUGGUUCAAAUACCGCUUCGUCACCGAGGAGUAUGCUGAGAAAAGUGCCAUCAGGAGACCAUGGGGGGACAUCCGCUUCAAGAAUCUCUUGCCCAGGACCAGAGAUGAAGCCAUUGCUCAAGGUUUCUACCCAUGCAUGGUCCGAGGACCACAGCCUGAUGAUGCGCAUCCGUCGUCACUCCUCUGGUGUCGUGACAACAAUCUGUUCAAGCGCAACUACCAGUUUGCUCAACAAUCUACGAAGCUGAGCAAGAAGAAAUUUGGGUUAGACUUCAACCCUGGCCCCUCCGCACCAAGGGCAGAUGGCACACGCUACGCCGAACCCAAUGUCAUCGGUCUGUUUGCCAAUCUUGAGGGCCUGAUCACUCACAUCUUAGUCCAAGGGACUGCCGUAAAUGACCCUCCAGCUGACUCUAAGUCUGAUGAAGCUCCUGCUGUACUAAAGCCAAAGCAGACGAAGAAACCAAAAGCUUCAAAGCCGGCCCCUGCCUCAAAAAUCUCAAGGGCGAAGCCAUUGAAAACUACACCUCCUAAAGUCAGUGUGCAGUCUGAAGACGUAUCCCGCGUCUCCAAGCCCCAGAAGGAAAAGGAGCCCCAGCAACAAACAGGCAAAGAGCUCACUGCUGCUGCCAUUCUGCGCAGCAAAGCCAUUGAUCUAUCAAGCGAUGAAGAUCUGGGAGAUGACGCUCUAGAGUAGCUUAUCAAAAGCAAAGAAGAAGCUGAAAUCUUCAACAAUUUACCUCUCUUUGAUGUCGCCGUCAUCCACAACUUCAUCGAUGAAUGGUUUGCCUCACCAGACAUCAGCUUCGAAGAUCUGCAGCUGCCUGUCGGUCUCAGCGUCGCCUUCCAAGGCGCAAUUGCCUCAAAACUUGCCAUUGCUCAGCGCAUAGUUGAGCUGAAGCAGAAAAUUGAUCAUGAAAAGGCUCAGUUCAAGAAGCACAUGGCCAGGCUCAGCGUGCAGGAAGUGAAGAGCUUCAAAACCAUGUUGCAUGAGCUCAAGGAAAAUUUCCUGAAGAAGCGUGCUGAAGCUCAGGGCUCGUGUGAGCGGAUGAAGUCUCUGGCAGAACGAUGUGUGCAGGCCUACAAUGAGGCCGAGAAGCGCAAGGCACUUGGGCGUCCUGGCAUCGACCCCAAGAUGGCCGCAAAGAAGAAGAAGCAGCCUGCUGUGAAUGAACCAGAGGCACCAAGGCAAGAAGCUGUUCCGAUUGUCUUCCCCACCGCCAUGACUGGCUCGAAGCCAAAGAGCCGGUCAACAGCUUCAGAGCUUAAGAAGACACGAAAUGCAGAGGCUGAAGCUAGGAAGAGAAAACUCUUUGAAGCCUCUCCUUCUGACCCCAGCAAGAAGAAGCGCAAGGUCAAGAAAUCUCGGGCUUCUCCCACAGAGCCCUUGAUGGUUGAACCUCUCUCUGUCAUUCACCCCAAUGCAGAGAGACGACUGACAGUUCAUGAGCCUGCUCCCACAGAGGCCCCUGAAGCUGAAGAUAUACCAGCAGCCGACCCAAUAGCUGCUGAAGACAUUGGUCAUCAGGACAAUGUACAAGAUGAUGCAGCCCUUCCUCAGCUUGAAACAAGCAAACUCAUCAGUAUUGGUCGUCCUCUGACGCCAAUGGCACAAGAUGAGUCAUGGGCGGAUCGCCCUCAGAAGGAAGAAGACUUUGAGGUCCAGCCCACUCCGACCCCACAAGCGUCAUCUGCGUUCCGUAGGCUUCGCAAAGGUCCACGGCCUCAAGUCCAUACUGCAGAAAUUCCGGCUGCAUCAGCCGAAGACAAUGAAGAAGCACCACCAGAACCCACUUCCCCGCUUCAUCAAGAUGCAGUUCUCUAGGAGAACGUGCCUAAGGUUGUCCCUCCAACUACACAAGCGGAGAAAGAAAAUGUUGCGACUGCCACCACAAACACUGAAGCCAAUGUGGAGCCCGCCCCACCAAAUGCUUCAGCGGAUAGCGAAGCUACCGAGCCAGACACUUCUGUUCCUGAGUCUGCUACAGGUCCUCAAUUCGAUUAUCAUAUUGAGCACAUGCCUCAUGUUCAGAAGCCAGUCCCAAGGCUGCCAAGGUUCCCAGGUCCUGCAUCAGCACCUGGUUCCUUUGACAUCAACAGCUUCAAGGCAGACAAUACAUUUUUCAAUAGCUCCAAGAACCCCUAUUCAAGGGAAAGGAUUGUAUCAGACAGGUUCUGGAGCUAUUCUCAGCGCAGCUAUUAUUCAUGCAUCUUAUACAACCAAGGCCGCAUCUUUCCGCACAAGUGCCUUGAGGUUGAAGCCAUUGCUGGUCUGCCCUGCUUAGAGGAAGCACUGGAUUGCUUCAGGCAAGUGGGUCUGCUGCCGUUUGUGACUGAUGAAGAGCACUGGAAUGAAGAGCUUCUGCUUCAGUUCUAUGCCACCCUCCAUAUCAAAGGAUACAACAGAGAUCCGAAGACUUGGAUCCUGGAGUGGAUGACCGGCAAUGUCCAUCAUGAAGCCAAUGCAUUUGAUAUCAUUGAGCUCACCGGCCUGCCCACUCCUGGCGAAUUCUUCGAGGAAGGCUGUCAACUACAUUCUGAAGCUAUUGAGAGCAUAUUCCAGAGGCCUGAACCCAAUAUGAGUCAGAUGCUCUCAAUGAUGAAGCCUUUGCCCCAUGAUGCACCCUAUCCUACUGAGUUCUUCGUUGAAGACCUAGAGUACCUGCCCAGGACCAUAUAUCACAUCAUCCGGUGGACUCUCUGGCCCAUUAAGGGACACUCACCACAUGCCAAGAUUGAGGGUGCAAUGAAGACUCUCAUAUUCUAUAUCCUGCAUGGCAAAUGCUUCAACGCACAGGAUCUCUUCAUACGCCAACUUGCAGCGUCAGGCUCAGAAUUGUUUGGUUUGAAGUUCUAUGCUCCUUGGGUGAUGAGGCUAAUCAAACUGCACUCUGCGAUCUCGUAUCAGCCCUCUGCCCGAAACCAUCGGAUCUUCUUGCCAGAUGUGGAUACCUCUGCUGAAGCAAUAUAUCCUGAGCCUGCCAAGCAACCGAUAAGUCUUCAGAAUGCAGAACACCAGAGCUUCACGUAGAAUGUUGAAGGUGUUGAAGCCAUAUCCAGGGUAUAUCCGUUGGCUGGCACUACACGUGCACCAGCAUCUACUGAAGCCACAGACAGCACAAAUGCUCCAAGACCCAAGAAGCGUGCUCGUGUCCUCACUGACCGAGAGCUUCUUGUGGCCCUUCACCAAAAGCAGGAUAGGCAUCACGACUGGCUAAAACGUCAGAUGAAGAGCCUCUUGGUGGAUAUCAAUCGUCUUCGAAACCUAGCCACCAAGAAUGCUUUCGUUACACAUGAAACGUGCCGCCGUACAUGGAAAGGGCUCUCAAUGAUAUGUACUGAAGCUGAACUUGAAGAGGAUGGCUUCACAGAGCGUUUCAAGUUUGACACCACACCUCCCAGAAGGGUUGUGAUGCGCAACACACCAUCACUUGAAGACUCUGAGUUUUCUUCAUCUGCUGCCACAAUUACUGCAAGGAUCAUUGAUGAAGACGACGAUGCUACAUCACCACCACCUGCUUCAGCACAUCCAAGCUUUGCACCGCCAAACAACUCCACCGACCCUGCUGCGCCUGGGAACGCGUAGAAAACUCUAUGUCUUCAAACCUUUUUGGUCAUUACUGACAAAAGGGGGAGACACAUAUGAUGUUUAUAGUCUUCAAGCGGGUCAAUAUGGGCGGGUGCCCUAUGUUUUGUUAUAUUUUGCUUCAUGUUUACAACUCUUGAUUUUGCUUCAUUUGGUUCUUUGAGUUGUAAACAUUAAAACUCGAUGGUCGUCUGCUACUUGUUUGCCACUCUGUUUGCGAAGAUAAAUUCCGCACUUAUCUCAUUCUGCAGACGUCCAUUUUCCAUUAUGCAUGUCAUUAUCUUCAUAUACUUUCACAUGCAUAGUGGAUUGUCAUCAUAAGCUGAAGUGGAUCUCCACAAGUACAACCUGCCAUGUGCAUUUGGAUUCCAAAAGCAAAUUAACUUAUAUGCACAUCUUCAGGGGGAGCCCUUGCAACUUAUGAAGACAAUUCCCUAUCCUUUACAAACUUCACACUUUAUAUUCCCUGUUGAAAACUUCAACUAGUUUGUCAUCAAUCACCAAAAAGGGGGAGAUUGUAAGUGCAUCUAGUGCCACCCCUAGUUGGUUUUGGAGUAUUGACGACAAACCUAGUUGAGGGACUAAUGUGUUUGUGAGAAUUGCAGGAAAACACAGGUAGAAGUCCCUCAUUGAUUCGGUUUUACUACCAGAGAUGACCCCUAAAAAUGUAUGAAGACAUUGAAGACAAAGGUGGUAUAUGAAGAUAUUCACAUUGAAGACUAUGACAAAAGAAGACACGUUAUGAAGCCUAUGGAACUCAAAGACUUAGAUCUUUCGUAGUUCUUUUUCUUUUGUGUUGAGUCAUAGGAACCACCGUACUGUUAAGUGGGGUCCAGGAGAACCAGUCAGAAUGACUGAAGUGAUGCCUAAAUCAAAAACCUAUGUCUUCGAGCGAAGAUAAUGAGAGCGAAUCUUGUCCAGAGCCGGACAAGUCAGCUUUGCUUGUAGCCCAAGCAAAGUUGCCAUGAGAGUUUGAAAUCUGACCGUUGAGACACGUGUCAGUUCCUUAGUGACCCAGGGUCAUUUCGGACAAAUCAGGUCGGGUUGCCAAGUGGCUAUAAAUAGCCCACCCCCACAACCAUAAACGGUUGGCUGCUCAGAUUUCAGUGCACGGCUUUUGUCGUUUGAGAGCAACCCACCUCGAAGCCUUUGAGAGAAAAUUUCUAGUGAGGAGAAAGCCCUAACCACCCAGAGCCAGAGUAAAUUGGGCAUCACUUAAGUCUUCUUGUCUGUGUGAUCUGAAGACUUAUUACACUUGAGGACUGUGAAUCCUCCAGACGGUUAGGCGUCGCGUUCAGAGCAUCCAAGAGACAUUGUGGAUUGCCAGUGAACGAAGUCUGUGAAGGUUUGGGAGUCUACCUUGAAGACUUACCAGAGUGAUUGGGCGAGGACUAAGUGACCUUAGCUCAAGGAGAAUACGGUGAGGACUUGGUGUCCUGGACUGUGUGUUCAGGACUGGGUGUCCGGGACUGUGUGUCCCUGUCCUAAGGUUUAAAUACCUAGCCGCUCCAACCAGACGUACAGUUGUCAUAGCAACUGGAACUGGUCCAACAUAUCAUUGUCUUCAAUGAGUCACUGGUUUCAUCUUCUCUUCCUUUUCUUACUGUUACACAUUGUGAAGCCAUUGCAUGCUUGCCUUAUCUUUUGUCUUCACAACGUGAAUGUAUGAACUGUUCGGCUUCAUAACUUCUUCCUACCUGAUCCUUAUUACAUUGCAGUUGUUUGUCAUUGUGCUUUCACUCUAUUGAAUACAUGACCAUGGCUGGCCUAGUGUAAUCUAAGUUCCGCUGCAUAGUAAAAGGCAUAAUCUUCGCCGUUUGUCUUCAUAACUCUCAAGUUUUGAAGACUUUCAUAAAAAUCGCGUAUUCACCCCCCCCCUCUAGUCGAUAUAACGCACUUUCACGAACCGUGCCUCAUGGGCAAGAUGACUAAAACACCAUUCUCCGGUACUAUGGAGAGAGCAACAGAUUUGUUGAAAAUCAUACAUACAGAUGUAUGUGGUCCAAUGAAUAUUGAGGCUCGUGGAGGAUAUCAUUAUUUUCUCACCUUCACAGAUGGCUUAAGCAGAUAUGGGUAUAUCUACUUAAUGAAACAUAAGUCUGAAACAUUUGAAAAGUUCAAAGAAUUUCAAAGUGAAGUUGAAAAUCAUCGUAACAAGAAAAUAAAGUUUCUACGAUCUGAUCGUGGAGGAGAAUAUUUGAGUUACGAGUUUGGUGUACAUUUGAAACAAUGCGGAAUAGUUUCACAACUCACGCCACCCGGAACACCACAGCGUAAUGGUGUGUCCGAAUGUCGUAAUCGUACUUUACUAGAUAUGGUGCGAUCUAUGAUGUCUCUUACUGAUUUACCGCUAUCGUUUUGGGGUUAUGCUUUAGAGACGGCCGCAUUCACGUUAAAUAGGGCACCAUCAAAAUCCGUUGAGACGACGCCUUAUGAGCUAUGGUUUGGCAAGAAACCAAAGUUGUCAUUUCUGAAAGGUUGGGGCUGCGAUGCUUAUGUGAAGAAGCUUCAACCUGAUAAGCUCGAACCCAAAUCAGAGAAAUGUGUCUUCAUAGGAUAUCCAAAGGAAACUAUUGGAUACACCUUCUAUCACAGAUCCGAAGGCAAGACUUUUGUUGCUAAAUUCGGAAACUUUCUGGAGAAGGAGUUUCUCUCGAAAGAUGUGAGUGGGAGGAAAGUAGAACUUGAUGAGGUAACUGUACCUGCUCCCUUAUUGGAAAGUAGUACAUCACAGAAAACUGUUUCUGCGACACCUACACCAAUUAGUGAGGAAGCUAAUGAUAAUGACCAUGAAACUUCAGGACAAGAUACUACUGAACCUCGUAGAUCAACCAGAGUGAGAUCCGUGCCAGAGUGGUACGGUAAUCCUGUUCUAGAAAUCAUGCUGCUAGAUCAUGAUGAACCUACGAACUAUGAAGAAGCGAUGGUGAGCCCAGAUUCCACAAAAUGGCUUGAAGCCAUGAAAUCUGAGAUGGGAUCCAUGUAUGAGAACAAAGUAUGGACUUUGGUUGACUUGCCCGAUGAUCGGCAAGCAAUUGAGAAUAAAUGGAUCUUCAAGAAGAAGACUGACGCUGAUGGUAAUAUUACUGUCUACAAAGCUCGACUUGUCGCAAAAGGUUUUCGACAAGUUCAAGGGGUUGACUACGAUGAGACCUUCUCACCCGUAGCGAUGCUUAAGUCUAUCCUAAUCAUGUUAGCAAUUGCCGUAUUUUAUGAUUAUGAAAUUUGGCAGAUGGAUGUCAAAACUGCAUUCCUGAAUGGAUUUCUGGAAGAAGAGUUGUAUAUGAUGCAACCGGAAGGUUUUGUCGAUCCAAAGGGAGCUAACAAAGUGUGCAAGCUCCAGCGAUCCAUUUAUGGACUGGUGCAAGCCUCUCGGAGUUGGAAUAAACACUUUGAUAGUGUGAUCAAAGCAUUUAGUUUUAUACAGACUUUCGGAGAAGCUUGUAUUUACAAGAAAGUGAGUGGGAGCUCUGUAGCAUUUCUGAUAUUAUAUGUGGAUGACAUAUUACUGAUUGGAAAUGAUAUAGAAUUUCUGGAUAGCAUAAAGGGAUACUUGAAUAAGAGUUUUUCAAUGAAAGACCUCGGUGAAGCUGCUUACAUAUUAGGCAUAAAGAUCUAUAGAGAUAGAUCAAGACGCUUAAUUGGACUUUCACAAAGCACAUACCUUGACAAGAUUUUGAAGAAGUUCAAAAUGGAUCAAGCAAAGAAAGGGUUCUUGCCUGUGUUACAAGGUGUGAAGUUGAGUCAGACUCAAUGCCCGACCACUGCAGAAGAUAGAGAGAAAAUGAAAGAUGUUCCCUAUGCUUCAGCCAUAGGCUCUAUCAUGUAUGCAAUGCUGUGUACCAAACCUGAUGUGUGCCUUGCUAUAAGUCUAGCAGGGAGGUACCAAAGUAAUCCAGGAGUGGAUCACUGGACAGCGGUCCAGAACAUCCUGAAAUACCUAAAAAGGACUAAGGAUAUGUUUCUCGUAUAUGGAGGUGACAAAUAGCUCAUUGUAGACGGUUACGUUGAUGCAAGCUUUGACACUGAUCCGGACGAUUCUAAAUCGCAAACCGGAUACGUGUUUACAUUAAACGGUGGAGCUGUCAGUUGGUGCAGUUCUAAACAGAGCGUCGUGGCGGGAUCUACAUGUGAAGCGGAGUACAUAGCUGCUUCGGAAGCAGCAAAUGAAGGAGUCUGGAUGAAGGAGUUCAUAUCCGAUCUAGGUGUCAUACCUAGUGCAUCGGGUCCAAUGAAAAUCUUUUGUGACAAUACUGGUGCAAUUGCCUUGGCAAAGGAAUCCAGAUUUCACAAGAGAACCAAACACAUCAAGAGACGCUUCAAUUCCAUUCGGGAUCUAAUCCAGGUGGGAGACAUAGAGAUUUGCAAGAUACAUACGGAGCUGAAUGUAGCAGACCCGUUGACUAAGCCUCUUCCACGAGCAAAACAUGAUCAGCACCAAAGCUCCAUGGGUGUUAGAAUCAUUACUGUGUAAUCUAGAUUAUUGACUCUAGUGCAAGUGGGAGACUGAAGGAAAUAUGCCCUAGAGGCAAUAAUAAAGUUAUUAUUUAUUUCCUUAUAUCAUGAUAAGAGUUUAUUAUUCAUGCUAGAAUUGUAUUAACCGGAAACAUAAUACAUGUGUGAAUACAUAGACAAACAGAGUGUCACUAGUAUGCCUCUACUUGACUAGCUCGUUAAUCAAAGAUGGUUAUGUUUCCUAACCAUGGACAAAGAGUUGUUAUUUGAUUAACGGGAUCACAUCAUUGGUUGAAUGAUCUGAUUGACAUGACCCGUUCCACUAGCUUAGCACCCGAUCGUUUAGUAUGUUGCUAUUGAUUUCUUCAUGACUUAUACAUGUUCCUAUGACUAUGAGAUUAUGUAACUCCUGUGUGCCGGAGGAACACUUUGUGUGCUACCAAACGUCACAACAUAACUGGGUGAUUAUAAAGGAGCUCUACAGGUGUCUCCAAAGGUACAUGUUGGGUUGGCGUAUUUCGAGAUUAGGAUUUGUCACUCCGAAUGUCGGAGAGGUAUCUCUAGGCCCUCUCGGUAAUGCACAUCACUUAAGCCUUGCAAGCAUUGCAACUAAUGAGUUAGUUGCGGGAUGAUGUAUUACGGAACGAGUAAAGAGACUUGCCGGUAACGAGAUUGAACUAGGUAUUGGAUACCGACGAUCGAAUCUCGGGCAAGUAACAUACCGAUGACAAAGGGAACAACGUAUGUUGUUAUGCGGUCUGACCGAUAAAGAUCUUCGUAGAAUAUGUAGCAGCCAAUAUGGGCAUCCAGGUCCCGCUAUUGGUUAUUGACCAGAGACAUGUCUCGGUCAUGUCUACAUUGUUCUCGAACCCGUAGGGUCCGCACGCUUAAGGUUUCGAUGACAGUUAUAUUAUGAGUUUAUACGUUUUGAUGUACCGAAGGUUGUUCAGAGUCCCGGAUGUGAUCACGGACUUGACGAGGAGUCUCGAAAUGGUCGAGACAUAAAGAUUGAUAUAUUGGAAGCCUAUGUUUGGAUAUCGGAAGUGUUCCGGGUGAAAUCGGGAUUUUACCGGAGUACUGGGAGGUUACCGGAACCCCCCGGGAGCUAUAUGGGCCUUAGUGGGCCUUAGUGGAAGAAGAGGAGAGGCGGCCAGGGCUGGGCCACGCGCCCCUCCCCCCUAGUCCGAAUAGGACAAGGAGAGAGGGGGCCGGCACCCCCCCUCCUUCUCUCUCUCUCUUUUCCACCUCGCGAAUCCUAUUCCAACUAGGAUUGGGGGGGGGGGGGAGUCCUACUCCCAGAGGGAGUAGGACUCCUCCUGGCGCGCCUCUCCUAGGCCGGCCACACCCCCCCCCCUUGAGCCUUUAUAUAUGGAGGCAGGGGCACCCCAGAGGAACACAAGUUGAUCCACGUGAUCAUAUUCUUAGCCGUGUGCGGCGCCCCCUGCCACCGUAGUCCUCGAUAAUAUUGUAGCGGUGCUUAGGCGAAGCCCUGCGACAGUAGUACAUCAAGAUCGUCACCAUGCCGUCGUGUUGACGGAACUCUUCCCCGACACUUUGCUGGAUCGGAGUCCAGGGAUCGUCAUCGAGCUGAACGUGUGCUAGAACUCGGAGGUGCCGUAGUUUCGGUGCUUGAUCGGUCGGGCCGUGGAGACAUAUGACUACAUCAACCAAACGCUUCCGUUGUCGAUCUACAAGGGUAGGUAGAUCUCACUCUCCCCUCUCGUUGCUAUGCAUCACCAUGAUCUUGCGUGUGCGUAGGAAUUUUUUUGAAAUUACUUCGUUCCCCAACAAGUCACCAUGGUCGUAGUCAGCACGGUCGUCGGCCUCUUCAUCGGGGACGUACUGGGUGCGGCCAUCCUGACUUUGGGUCUCAUCGGGGUCGUAGGCACGGCCAUGCACACCCUGGAAGAUCACGUCCUCCAUGUACUGGUUGUAGAAGGGGUCGUCGAUCGUUGGCGUUGGGGUUGUCAUUCCGUCAAACAAGACGCGGGGGGGCGGCAUGGUGCCCGUGAACGGUGCCCGGCCUGCUUUCUUUGCAUCUCGACGGACGGCCGCCCGCUGCUGCUGGACCCAGGCAUGACGUUGAGGUCGAUGACGGCCACGGGGCGCGGUGUGGAUGGCGCGAACAAGCACACGUCCGGCAACGCCGAGAAACGGGUCUGGCCGUCGUGCCUUGGCGGAGGAAAGCUGGGCGACAUGGGCGCGGCACGCGACGUCGGCGACUGGCAGUGCGUAGGCCGGGCGACCGACGAGCCUGUGCUCGCUGGGCCGACGGCCGCUGCAUGGAACCCCGUCGGACGGCCCAUGCCAAGCAUGAGGAUGGCGUGCGCUUUGUUGACGAGGUCCUCCUUCUCGUCGGCAACGGCCUUGCGCCGCGCGGCCUCCAGCUCCUCGCGCUGGGCGGCGAACUCGGCCGCGGCGGCAUUGACCUUGACGACCGCUCGCCGUUCCCUCCUCUUCACCGAAUCCGCGUCCAACUUGGCGAUCUCCUCCGGCGUGCACUCCGACCGCGGCUUCCUUGGCGCCUUCUUCUUCACCUUUGCGGGCGGGUCGACGGCCAGGCCGCCGGAACUCGGCGGGGCGUCGGCCAUGGACGGGGGAGAGGGGGCGGCGGAAGGGACGUGGGAGGGUUUGGGGGAAAUGGCGCCAAAUGGGCGUGGUGGGGGGGUGGUUUCUCCCACCGACGGGCGGGCCAGGGGAGGACAAGCGCGCGCGUCCCAUCCGUCCGCGCGCUGUCCGUUUCACCCCAAAACCGACGCAAACUUGGGCCGGGGAUGGGUCGAAAGCGGACACAAAGCGGACAAAAGUCCGUUUGCGCCCGCGCGCUGGGCCGUCUCGUCUGUCCCUUUUACCCCAAACGGACGGGGGCGGACAGGAUAGGGUCACACGGUGGAGUUGGCCUUAUGUCUAAAGUAAUACGAAACUCGAAAUAACCAUUAUUGAUGUUAACAUUAAGACCAAUUCAAUAUCAACAAAGUGAAUCUAGAUCAAAACAAGCGGGGGCCAAUAUAAUACCAAAAUUGAACCAGCAGGCAGGUGUAAUCAAGUAAUUCAUGUCAUAAGAGUUGCAACGGAGUAAGCAAGUUAGGAUUAUGCAUGUUUUACCCCCAGCACGCACUAUCCUGCAGGGCUAAACACGACCAACACGUGUUCUAGUCAGCCCCACCACUGAAACGGCAUAUUUUAUUUUUUCUUUCCAUUCCCUUACCUUAUCUCCUGGACUCCUCUAGCGAGUCAAUUACACCGGUGGUGCUUAAACUUGGCACAAAUGGUCACUUUGGUGCUAGAACUUGCGGCAUACAAUGAACUGGUGCAACAACUUGGCUCGGACGUGCAAAUACGGUGCUAAUCACACUUGGGUACAAAAUCGAUGCUGACUUGGCGCGCCAGCAUGGCAUAGGGCCCACUGUCAAUAACGGGAAGGCGUAGAGUAGGUUUGUGGCCUUUUUUGCGAAAACACCCUCAAAAAGUUUUAUUUCUCACAGAAAGCCCCUAACAACACGGCAGUUGCCAUUUCAUUUUGACUCCAUGACACAUGGGCCCCACCUGUCAAUAUGUGAAAACAAAAAUAGAUCAAACGCCUUCGCGUCUCGAACUCAAGACCAACUGUUGUAUAGCUAGCCGUCCAAACAACUGCACCAUUCAUGUUUGCAUUGAGAAACACUGAUAACAGUCCUUAAUGUAGUACAAGGAGGAGGCGUCUGGGACUUCUAUGAGCUGUAAAUAGGGCGGCACAUUUUGCACGCACUGACUUUUUAAUACUUUUGUAAAACAUAAGUAAUAAAAAUAAUGUGCAUAUUAAUGAUUAGUAAAUAAAAUUAUUUAAAUAUACACACAUGUAUUAUAAAAAUGUUUGGUAAAUACGGACAUUUAAAUAUUUAUGAAGUAAAAUAUUUAAUUGAUACAGAAAAUAUACACUUGUAACUUAUAUUUAAAUUAUACAAAAUGAUGAAUAAAAACAUCCAUGUGGUAUAAUUUUCACUCGUGAUUUAUAUUAAAAAAUAUUAUAUAAUUUAAACAUUACCCAUGAAUGAAUAUUCAUGUGAAUUUUUAAAUUUAAAUUAUGAAUAUUUAUUUUUACGAACAUUGAACUAUUAAAAUGUGCACAUAAUUAUUGACAUGUUUGUAUGAUUAGAAAAUACUUUGGAAUUGUAAUGUUAAAAUACUUGAUUUGUUAUUAAUUAUCCAAAAAAUAAGAAUUCAUGAAUAUCAUUUUAAAUAUAUUAAUAUUUUUAAAAUAAUACGUGAACAAUUCUGAAACGUAAGUUAUUUAGUUUGUAUGUAUAAUAUUUAUACGACAUGAAUAAUUAAAUGUUAUUUUUAUUACUGAGAUCAUAAUUUACAUACCUUUUAAAAAGUUCUAAAAAAACAGGUGCAAAUGAGCCGCAUCCGCACUCAUCACAGUCCAUUUCAGCUCCACAAGCAUGUUUGUUCCGCUACAUUAAGUGUUGAGGGAGCUGUGACGGUGUCAAACCUAUUGGAGACUUAUUGCAAAGCCUCGGGGCAACAGAUAAAUAAUGAAAAAUCUUCCAUUUUUUUCAGCAAGGGUUGUCCUCAGGUGAUGAGGGAUAACAUAAAACAAACUUUGAACGUGCACAAUGAGUCUUUGAGUGAGAAAUACCUUGGGAUGCCUACUGAUGUGGGUCAAUCAAAAAUGGGCACGUUCAAAUAUUUGAGAGACAGAGUAUGGGAGAAAGUCAGAGGGUGGAUGGAGAAAUUGUUGUCUGCAGCAGGCAAGGAGGUACUUAUCAAGUCAGUGGCCCAAGCUAUCCUAGUUUAUUCUAUGGCUUGUUUCAGGUUACCCCGAGGUUUGUGUGAAAAUAUUACCUCAAUAAUUAGGCAAUUUUGGUGGGGAAGUAAGCAAGGAAGGAGGAAGCAAGCGUGGGUAGCAUGGGAUGUGAUGACUCAACCAAAAUACAUGGGAGGUAUGGGUUUUAGAGACAUAGAAAUUUUCAACCUUGCUUUGUUGGCCCGUCAAGCUUGGAGGAUUCUGGAUGAUCCGAACUCUUUAAGUGCAAAAAUAUUAAAAGCUGCAUACUUCCCAACUUGCGGUUUCUUGGAAGCAGAGUUGGGGAACCGCCCCUCGCAAAUUUGGUGAGCUGUGAUUGAUGGAAGAGAUGUAUUAAGGCAAGGACUUAUUCGGAUGGAAGUACUAUAAAUAUUUGGGAGACAAACUGGAUACCUAGGGCUGGUCCGUUGCGCCCCAUAAUAUCUAGAUCAGAUAAUCCUCCGGUGUUUGUCUCUGAACUGAUUGAUGCAACGACAGCAACAUGGAGAGAAGAUUUGAUAAGAGCAAAUUUUAUACCUUUUGAUGCUGACGCCAUUAUGUCCAUCCCGUUGUGCACCAGGGUAAUUGAUGAUUUUUGGGCCUGGGAGGCCGAGAGGAGCGGGAGAUUCACAGUAAGAUCAUGCUACCGGAUGGUCAUGAACAAAAAUUCCAUAGAGAGAACUGGAUAGAGGAACAUGCUGGAGCAUCUGACUUUACUGCAAGAGGAAAAGCAUGGAAUGAUCUAUGGCACAUUAAAGUCCCAACGAAACUGAGGGUGUUCUUAUGGAGACUUGCGCAACAUUCCAUGCCAUCCAUGGAUGUACUGCAUCAUCGCAACAUGGCGACCACACACCUUUGUGCGCUCUGUGGCUGUGCCGACUCAUGGAGGCACACUCUUUUUGAUUGCACCAUGUCACGAUGUAUUUGGUCUUUGUCAGAGGUUUCUUUGGUUGAAAGAGUUAGCAUGAACACAGAUACGAAUGCUCAGAAUUGGCUCUUUGCAAUGCAUGAUCAACUACCACAAAGGGAUUUUGUGCCUUUGGUUGUAACUCUCUGGUCGGCAUGGAAGGCGAGACGUAAGGCAAUAUAUGAAGGUAUCUUUGAAAGUCCAGACUCCACACAUCAGUUUAUUAAAGCCUAUCUGAGGGAUCUUGACACACUUGAGGAGACAGGAAACAAGCCUCCAGAACGGCGACAAAGCAGACCGAACCAGUGGCUCAAACCUCCAGACGGAAUGUUCAAGUUCAAUGUCGACGCUGCAGUUCCCCAGAGCCGGAGUCGCGGCAUAGCAGCAACGAUAUGUCAUGACCAAAAUGGAUGCAUUCAGGGAGCAUCAGCAUUAGUGGUGAAAGGAAGUUUUGAUCCUCCGACUGUUGAGGCUCUGGCUAUUCGGGAAGCAUUGGCACUUGCUGCAGAUCUUAAUAUACAAAGUGCACAUGUAGCUUCGGAUUGCAGAACGGUGGUAGAUGAUAUUAAGCAAAGGAACCCAGUAAGCUAUGGGGCGAUCUUACAUGAAAUAAUAGAUCAGAGCUCUUCUUUAAGUAGAUGUAGCUUUGUGCAUGAGUUUAGGAGCUCGAAUUUCGAGGCUCACAAUCUAGCGAAGCAUUGUUCAAAUUUAGGGGUGGGCCGCCAUGUUUGGUUAGGGCACCCCGGUGAUCUCUCUUUUGUACCCAUGAACAUCGUUUUGAUCUAAAUAAAGCUUCGCGAGAUUGUCUCAAAAAAAAAACAUUAAGUGUAUUUAUCCAUUUUGUCACACCACUAAAUUAUUGUUUAUCCAUUUUGUUACGUGAAUACUAGAAGUUGUAGUGGCUACGUCCUACUGUGCAAGGAAUGGUCGAGGGUUCGAGACAAGGGGGCUUCAUUUUUCGUCAAUUUCACACUUCACUAACACCCACCUCUCGCAGAGCUGAAAGNNNNNNNNNNNNNNNNNNNNNNNNNNNNNNNNNNNNNNNNNNNNNNNNNNNNNNNNNNNNNNNNNNNNNNNNNNNNNNNNNNNNNNNNNNNNNNNNNNNNNNNNNNNNNNNNNNNNNNNNNNNNNNNNNNNNNNNNNNNNNNNNNNNNNNNNNNNNNNNNNNNNNNNNNNNNNNNNNNNNNNNNNNNNNNNNNNNNNNNNNNNNNNNNNNNNNNNNNNNNNNNNNNNNNNNNNNNNNNNNNNNNNNNNNNNNNNNNNNNNNNNNNNNNNNNNNNNNNNNNNNNNNNNNNNNNNNNNNNNNNNNNNNNNNNNNNNNNNNNNNNNNNNNNNNNNNNNNNNNNNNNNNNNNNNNNNNNNNNNNNNNNNAAUUAAAAAGGCCUCACUGACAGCAGGGCAGAUGCCACAUUGGCAUGCCAACUCAGCAUCAUUACGUAUCCAAACAUGAUUUGCAUCGUAUUUGCACGCCCGAGCCAAGUUUUUGCACCAGUUCAAUGUAUGCCACAAGUUCUAGCACCAAAGUGAUCGUUUGCGGCAAGUUCAAGCACCACCGGUGUAAUUGACUCUCCUCUAGCUGCCUCAGUUCGACCUCAAUGAGGCGUUUCCCACAAAGUGAGACGGUGAGAUGCCAGUCCGCUGUCCGGGGCCAUCGCCGUCGCCGGCGGCAAGUAGGGAUCCCUUGCAGGUAGCACGGCCCGCGUCCGGUGCGUCCAAGCCCGGGCCUAAGUUGUGGCAGCUGCUCCCAUGCCUAUGUUCUCCUCAGUUCGAGCUCAGAGACGAUUCACACAAGGUGAGAUGUUGUCUGCCGUCUAAGGCUGUUGCCGUCGGCAAGGCGAGAGCUAUUGCGGGUAGCACCGCUUGCAUCCGGCACGCCAAAUAAGUUGUGGCAGCUGCUCCAUGCCGUUGUUCCCCGUCAAAUAGCAUCGCGUGCAGGGGCGGUCAGCUGGUACCCCAAGAUACAGCACAAGCUCGUGAAGACUCACUUGAAGUUUGGAGCUCGAUGCAACCUCACAGGGAGAGGUGAGUGCUACCCCCAUAUGCUACUUCAUCUACCUGUAAUUUCCCUUUCCUGUAGCUCAAAGUAAUGGAAACAGAGGAGGGGCAGAGUGUAUGCACAUAUGCAUGUACUCUUAGUUUUCAAUCACACGAGCGCAAGAGCAAGAGGCAAGACUACAUUUAACUGGAAAACUAAAUCAUGAAGGAAUAACCAGCAACUAAUUUGUAUGCAUAUAUAUCUUUAUUUGAGCAUAAAACUGUUGUACAUCUAACAUCAAAAGGAAUGGUACGAUAAAGUAUUACAUGACUUGACUGGCUACCCAAAACCUAGAAGAACAAAGAAACAAUUUCAAUGACAAAAUUAAAGCGUGCAAGUAUAUUAAAGUACAUAUGUGCCAGAAGUUCUGAAUUUAUGUCUUGUCAACAUAUAUUAUUCAUGAACUGAGAACCACAAAUGACUGCAAGCGCAAUUAAGUAGCAAAAGGUGGUUAUUUAGGCUUCAAAGUUAAAGCCAGAAAGAAGUAACCGGUCAAUGUCUGUUAUGAACUGAGGGACCAAUCAAAUCUGAUACUAUUCUAACCUAAAUACUACAUGAGUACACAUAGUAAAGAAAUUCUAAAGCCGCUUGACUUGAAGUAGCCUCUGCAGGCUUGUCAGUGUGGAUUGCACACAGAAAAUGCAUUGCUCUACUUGUCUAGUAAUUAACCAUCUGCUUGACAGGACAAAAGACCAUAUGCUUGACAGGACAAAAGGAUAUGAUAAUUGUAUUAGGCUAGUAUUACUGUACCACCAAUUCAAUCAAAUGGUCUCUGGUGCUGCACAUCCAAACUACACUGGUUAAUUGUAGCCUAUGAUUAACUGAUAGAUUGAUCAAUAAAGCAAUUUAAUUACAGUCCGCGAUUGGGCUAGGAAUUGUGGUAGCCUGUUAGUUGGGCCUUGGAACUGUUCUCCUUGGAGCCGAGCUGCGCCGCCAUGGCGGAUAGGCCUUCCACACGCUUGGAUACCCCACUGCCACCCAACAACAAGUGGUGCAGUGGAUGCAUGGGAGAUCCGCACACGCACACACGUCUGCUGGGUCCAGUGCCAAGGGAGCUAGACCUAACCAACAAAGAACUUGCCAAAGACGUUCUAAUCUGCCAGCUAAUCUACAAAGAAAUUCUAGAAUCAACCAAGAAUUCUACCCUGCGCUCAAAUCUGCCGUUAACCAAAAGAUGUCUACCUAAUAUACUAAUCCCAAAUCCAGAGGAUUUUUUUAACAAAUAAGAGGUAUAUUUAAUGCAACACCAGGAAGAAUGAUAUUGUUGCACCUUGAGUUCAUGCCUCAUGGAAAUCAAUUUCUACAUCUGUUAUGGUCGGCCGGUCAUAUGAAAGGCCCAUCGGACAAUCUUAGCCCACAAGUUAUCUUAGGUUAAUUCGUGUGCAAGUUAUCUAGGUUAUAAAUAUAAGUUGUAAGACUCUUUUCAGAUCAAACAAUAAGAAGAAUAUUAUCUCCUAUUGCCCGGCUCCCUGAGGAGCCGGAAACCCUAGCCGCCAACAGCCCUAGCUGCCGCCCUUCUCCUCUCCCGCGACGGCGCCCAGCCGCCGGCGCGGCCGCUCAUCGCCACGCCUAGCCCCCUCCUUCCCCUACUGCCUACGGCCAAGACCGGACAGAACCCUAGCCCCUAACACCUUGGUAUCAGCUAGCUUCGGUUCGAUCAUGUCUUCACCGCCGCCCAACCCGUCUCUUCCACUGCCGGUCACGACCGUCGCCCCGCUCCUGCUCGCGCCGGGAUCCUCCGUCGCGCCCGCCCCCGUCGUCCUCACCCCGGAGGUGUCCGGGGCGCUGCGGGACCUCACACAGGCGGUCCAGGAGAUCCACCUAUUCUUGGCCGGGUCCUAUGGGCCGCACCCGGCUGCGCCGCCCAUCACCGCCACCGCACCGCCGUGGCUGCCGUGGCAGCCGCCGCACCAAGCGGCCCCCGCCGCGCUCGCCGGGCUACUGCAGCAGCCGCUGCAGCUGCCAUCCAUCGCCCCGUCCUGGCUGUCAUGGUAGCCGCCGCACCAGGCGGCCUCCGUCGCGCUUGUCGGGCUGCUGCAGCAGCCGCUGCAACUGCCAUCCACCGCCACCACCGCCCCGUCCUGGCUGCCGUGGCAGCCGCCGCACCAGGUGGGCUCCGCCGCGCUCAUCGGGCCGCUGCAGCAGCUGCCAUCCACCGCCCCUGCCCUGGCUGCAGUGGCAGCCACCGCUCCUGGCGACCUCCGCCGCGCCCGGCGCUCCGCCGCAGCAGCCGCUGCAACUGCAGCAGCCAUCACCGGUCAGCUCCGGCCCCGCAUCGACCGCGCCGAGGGGAGUCCCGAUCCACCAGAUCAAGUUCCCGCCGUCGCCAUCACCGCUUCCCCAGGGCGUCCCCAUCCAGCAGAUCAAGCUUCCGCCGUCGCCGUCACCGCUUUCAGCUUGGAUCACUACCCGCCAUGUGUCGGCGACGGUGAGGCUGCAGGCUGCUGCACGCGGCCUCCUAGCGCGUCGGCGUGUGCGGGAGUUGCGUGGUCUGCAGCUGCCGCUCCUCCCAGUUGCGCUUCGCUGCGCAAAGGACCUCGAUCUCAUCCACUGCGUCGGGGAUCUUGGGCAUGCUGUUUUCCUCACGGGCAGCGACCUCCAAGUCUACGACAUUGGUGGUUGGGGGGGCGCACCCCUCCUCGUCAUUCUCCAUCGCAAGCCCCCCACUCUUCCCUGUGCGGUGCAGACCAACAGCCGUCCGGCAGGAAGAAGGCAUGGUGUCACCGACAACAACGCACCACGUAGCACCACUGCAUUCCGUCACCGGGCGCCGCAAGGGCGCCUCUGCUGGUCACUCUUGCGACCACUUCCAGGUGGUCCUACACAUGCACUCCUUUUGUCCAGAUGGUGUCCAUGGGAUCCAGGUGGCUGUACACGUGCAUGUCCGACGUGCGGAUGGUGUCCACUUUUUGUUAAGGGGUCCAAAAUAAAGCGUCCCAGUCCAUUUUAGGUUGAGAAUAAUAAAACAAGCCGAGAUGUAAAAGGCUUGUUUUUAGGUGUUAGGUUUGGGUUGCGUCGAGUCAUGGUUAUAAGUUGGUUAGGCUGCAGCUUGAGGACAAGCUGCAUGUCCAGGUGGGGUGUAGUGUUAGAGUACGUAAUGGGCCUAAUGGGCCCGUUAGUCUUAGGGAUAAUUAGAGAUAAGAGUCGCUUUCUUAGGGUCAAGUAAGCCUUGCUUGGGAGUCAAGUAAACCUCUCUAUAUAAAGAGAGGAGAUGCAUCAAUCUAAUCAAGCAAGAAUUAAGAAGGAAAUCCUUCCAUCUUGCCCGGCCGUGGGCAAAAGGCCCCCGGCCGGCCUUCUUGCGCCCUCCUUCUAGCAGCGCCAUAACAAUUUGGUAUCAGAGCCCCGCCUCUACCUGGCAGGUCCGUACGGGCCGCCCCCACCACUCCAUCCAGCCAUGGCCGCGGGUCAGCAGGCGCUUCCGUGGUACUCGGCACCGGGGGCCAUCACCGGACUCCAUCCAGCCAUGGCCGCGGGUCAGCAGGCGCUUCCGUGGUACUCGGCACCGGGGGCCAUCACCGGAGGCUACUCGGCGCUCCCCGCCCAAGCGGCCNNNNNNNNNNNNNNNNNNNNNNNNNNNNNNNNNNNNNNNNNNNNNNNNNNNNNNNNNNNNNNNNNNNNNNNNNNNNNNNNNNNNNNNNNNNNNNNNNNNNNNNNNNNNNNNNNNNNNNNNNNNNNNNNNNNNNNNNNNNNNNNNNNNNNNNNNNNNNNNNNNNNNNNNNNNNNNNNNNNNNNNNNNNNNNNNNNNNNNNNNNNNNNNNNNNNNNNNNNNNNNNNNNNNNNNNNNNNNNNNNNNNNNNNNNNNNNNNNNNNNNNNNNNNNNNNNNNNNNNNNNNNNNNNNNNNNNNNNNNNNNNNNNNNNNNNNNNNNNNNNNNNNNNNNNNNNNNNNNNNNNNNNNNNNNNNNNNNNNNNNNNNNNNNNNNNNNNNNNNNNNNNNNNNNNNNNNNNNNNNNNNNNNNNNNNNNNNNNNNNNNNNNNNCUCGCCACCAUGGAGCCGCAGUGGCCCCCCUGGACCGCGCCGGCCGCGCCGUCCUCCGUCGCGCCCUACCGUCCACCGGCCUCGGAGCAGGGUCCUCCACCGGCCCCGCCCAGCCCUAACCUGCGCCUCGGAGCAGGGCCAGACCCAGCAGCUUCUUCCGGCGUCACCGCCGGCCCCCACGCCGCAGGCGCCGCCGCCAUCGACAGUACCACCACCCGCGCCUAGGGCUACGGGUCGGCCCCUGCACCGGGUGCAGUUUCCACCGUCACCAUCGCCGAUCCCCGCUUGGGCGACCGGCUCGUCUCCGGGCCCGGUCUACUCCACGGCGCCGGAACACCCGACGCCCUCCCUGCGGUUUGAUCACCCCUCCAGCUCGGCGAACUAUGCCCCGGCGCUUCCAGACCCAGCAUACGCGUCGGCGGCGACUGCGGCCGCCCCCGGGCACGGCGGGCCGACACCCCCUCGCUUCGCCAAACUGGACUUCGCCACCUACGAGGGCACGGAGGACCCCCUCAACUAGCUCAACCAGUGCGAGCAGUUCUUUCGAGGGCAGCGGACGCUCGCUUCGGAUCGCACCUGGCUUGCGUCCUAUCAUCUUCAGGCACAGCGCAGACCUGGUACUACGCCCUCGAGCAGGACGAGGGCGGCAUGCCACCAUGGGAGCGCUUCCGGGAGCUCUAUCUCCUCCAGUUCGGGCCUCCUAUCCGCGGGAGCCGACUGGCGGCCCUCGGUCGCUUACCUUUCACAUCUGCGGUGCAGGACUACGCCGACCGCUUCCAGGCCCUGGCGUGCCACGCGCCGGGCGUCUCCGCAACUCAGCGCGCCGAGUUAUUUGUGGGCGGCCUACCAAACCAUAUACGCGUGGACGUGGAACUUCGGGGACCCCAGGAUCUCCAGUCGGCCAUGUAUUACGCCCGCGCAUUCGAGCGCCGCCGGUGGCCAUCCAGCAGGAAUCACCGUCCCAGACUGCUGGGUCGCUACCCGGACCGAAUUCCACGCAGGGUCGGCCCGUGCAGGCUUCUGCGGCACCCCUCGCCGCGACCGCGGGGCGCCCGUUCCGCCGGCUCACCCCAGCUGAGAUACUCGAGCGUCGCCGCCAAGGGCUGUGCUUCAACUGCGACGAACCCUACAAGCCCGGCCACGCCUGCCCGCGACUCUUCUACCUGGAGGUGGCAGACUACAGUCCGGAGGACGCCGUCGCCACCGACCUGGCCGCCCCAGAUGUCGAGAAGGUGUUUGACGCUGGUUGAUUCCCUCGAAGAGUUCAAGCAAGCGCUUCCCCACCUUACAGCUCGAGGACAAGUUGUUUGUGCAGGCGGGGAGAAGUGUUAUGGCCGGCCGAUCAUAUGGAAGGCCCAUCGGGCAAUCUUAGCCCACAAGUUAUCUUAGGUUAAUUCGUGUGCAAGUUAUCUAGGUUAUAAAUAUAGGUUGUAAGACUCUUUUCAGAUCAAGCAAUAAGAAGAAUAUUAUCUCCUAUUGCCCGGCUCCCUGAGGAGCCGGAAACCCUAGCCGCCAACAGCCCUAGCUGCCGCCCUUCUCCUCUCCCGCGACGGCGCCCAGCCGCCGGCGCGGCCGCUCAUCGCCACGCCUAGCCCCCUCCUUCCCCUACUGCCUACGGCCAAGACCGGGCAGAACCCUAGCCCCUAACAACAUCAGAAAGGGACAAACGCAUUGAACGACAUCACUUUGAUAUAGAAUAAUGAAGAGCGAACAUGAGACAACUAAACAAUAAAACAUGAACUUAUGUUUAUUUGGCAUGCAAGAAUUGAAGCAUACAUGAUAAAGAUGAAAAAUCAGCAAAGAUGUAUCUACAGAACCUCUGAGCAGCAAUGCAUAUACUUUACACUGUUGAUGUUCUAUAGCUAGGAUCUCCAGUUUAACCAAAUAUCACUACCAAAUAAAUGGAAAUAAAUAGUUCACAACCUUGAGCUCAGUAACAAAAAUCCUAGAGCAUGAAUGCGCAAUCGUCCUCUGAAGGAGAGACGCAAUGACUUGCAAUAUUUUUUCCCUUUUAUUUUUCAUAAGAGCUUUUAUUCAAUUUUUGUAUCCAAAUCCCCCCUCCCCCUCUAGCAAUGCAUAUACUUUACACUGUUGAUGUUCUAUAGCUAGGACCUCCAGUUUAACAAAAUAUCACUACCAAAGAAAUGGAAAUAUAUAGUUCACAACCUUGAGCUCAGUAAAAAAUAUCCUAGAGCAUGAAUGCGCAAUCGUCCUCUGAAGGAGAGACGCAAUGACUUGCAAAGUUGCAAUAUUUUUUCCCUUUUAGUUUUCAUAAGAGCUUAUUCAAUUUUUGUAUCCAAAUUGAUCUGCCUAAAUAUUCAAGCUGAUACUUAGAAGGCACAAAGUUGAAAGACAGUUGCAGAACCUACCAUUGCAUUUGACUAAGAAAUUCACAGGAUUUUAAGAUGAGACAGAAACAGCAACCUUAUAUAACUAAGGAGCACCAGUUAAAUCAUGCAUCGGGUAGUUCUUAAUGGAAACAAAACUGUAUAUAAUAACUUUAGUUAUGUAUCUUCAGGAUGAAAAGCAUGGGAAAGAAGUGAACCAGAAUCAAUAAGUUCAUUGAGAAUCUGCCACUCAUGAUUGCUGUCAAUAUACAUGUGAACACUUUUCUAGAUUUCUUCAAGCUCAGUCAUUUUCUUUAAGACAAGCUCUUCCAUUUUGCGAGCUUUCAAAUGCUUCAGUCUCUUGACCUCAACCUCUACCCAAACAACGGGGGAAAGGAAUUUCACAUGACAUUUACUAUAAUUUAAAGAAAUUAGCUUGAUGAAAAUAGAAAGAAAAUAAGUAAAUAAAUAGACAAUCAAGAAUCAACUCUAACCUUCUUAAUAAGGUCAUGUGCAAGGCAUCCUUGGGGCAUCGCUGUAUUUUGUGAGACUGAAAUCAAAGAAGUAACAUGAUCAAAGCAUUUCUGUUCAUCUAAUGGUGUGUCUAUUAGACUCCAUAACUCAAUGAGUGUGCUUCCAUGAUCUUGUAGCUGCAAUAGAUAAUGCAAAUUUCAACAAUAUGGAUCUUUGAUACAAAGAAAUAUGGAACAAUAUUUAGCAGAAGUUGAAAGGAAAGCAUGCUAAAAUGCACAAGUCAGUAAACCAUACACUGGUCAGGAAUAAAACUGAAUUAGGAUGGCAAACCAUGUCAUGUAUAGUGUAUGUAAAUCAUAAUGGAAUGGCAUAAACCAAAUAAAUCAAACUACAAAAGGUUUAGAAAAAUUCAUGAUAUGCUUUGCUAAGCUGAAUCGCAUUAUAAUGUCAAGUCUCAAAUUCAAUGACUGGCAUACUGGAGGUCAAAUAGUAAAACAAUAUAUGCCAAGGUGAAAGCAUUGAAGUAAGAUAGAUACAUGCUCCUGCUUUUAUUAAAUGUACAGGUACAUUGAAUCAUAAGAGUUACAAGCAAGACAACAUAUUCGACAGUUCAGGAAAAAUAAAUCAUGAUAUGAUUUGCUAAGCUGAAUCAUAUUAUCAGGUCAACUACUCAAACACAAUGACAGGCCCAUACUGGAGGUCAACAGUAAAACAUAUAGACUAAGGUGAAUACGCUAAAGAUACACACAGACCCAUACUUUUGUUAAAUGACAAACAUGAACAGCAAACAUCAGUACCUUCCGGAGCCUCUGUUUCUUUUCUUGAUUUAGUGCAUGAACUUUUCCUGCAAGCCUAUCAAGUGUGCUAUCACUUAUACUCAUGGAUUUGAUUCUUUCCAAUUCAACAAAGCUGGGAUGAACUUCAUAUAAUGUCUUCUUAAGAUCAAGAGACAUCAUGUUGCACAUUUCAUUAAUACACUUGAUCUGACCAUCAAUCUUUGCAGUAUGAGAUUCUGAAAACACAUCAGGACAAACAAUUUAAGCGUCAGAAUUGAAAGAUUCAGGAAAUGAUAGGCUUAUACCAGGUGUCUAACCUUUUCUGUGUGGAGCUCAUCACUGUCCCUUCUUUCUCCCUCACCUCCCUAUCUCCUUUCUGCCCAGGAGCGCCAUGGAUUUCUGCCCAGGAGCCACCAUGGAGCCGACCGGGAAGCGUGCUCCGGCCUUCCUCCGCGUCACCGGCACACCCCCCCGGCAGAUCCGGGCCCUGCAAGCUCCGUCCGCUGCCGUUCUGCAUCGAACCGCGAGCCCUCCCGGGCGGCACACAGUGACGAGCUCGGGCGCGCGUGGAGGAGAGGAGGAUCUGAGGCUUAACGGUGGUGCAGGGUGCUGUGCUCGCCGGCGCCGACCGGCGCACGUCGCGGCAACGGAUCGAGCGUCGCCGGGGUCGGUCGCCUCCUGGCGGCUGGGAUCGGGAGGUGAGGGAGAGCCCGUGCUCUAUUUUUUGCUUGUGGACCAAGGGUUGAAUAUUGGAAACUACAGGGGGCGUUUAGAAAAACAACCUGAACGAAACGUUUUUCUCACUUAAUAAAGGACUGCGGGUUGAAUACUAAAAUACAGAGUUUCCCCGUGCAAAGAUUAGGUAAAGAUAAAGAUAUAGUGUGGCUUUCGUUUCUUAGCCACUAGAGUUUCCUCGUCGCACUGGUUAGCUGCGUGGUCGUGUUUGCCGCUGUUUGUGGGUUCGACUCCCACCAGGGCGUAGUUUUUCUUUUAUUUUCACGCCUCGCUGCCUUAAAUGGGUCGGCCCAGGUCAUCUAUGCCCUAUCCGAUUCAUCGACUGUUUGCCGGGGCCAUUGCAGAGAGUAGGCUACUGUAGCAGACGGCCUUUGUAUGUCCAGUGUCCUGUAGCAACCGAGUUUUAGUGCUUUAAAAAUUUUAAGCUUUUUUUAUAGAAAGAAUAUAUUUUUAGAACGCAAACAAUUUUCGAAAUUUCUGAAGAUUUUUUGAAAUUCCGUACAUUUUUUGAAAUUGGGAACAUUUUUUGAGACCUAGAAUUUUUUUUGAAAAUCCAAACUUUUUAUUAAAAAGCGAACAUUUUUUGAAACUCCCGAACAAAAAUUGAAACACGAACAUAUUUUUUGAAUUUCAAACAAUUCUUUAAAUGGAAACAUUUUUUGAAACUCCCAAAAAAAUUGAAAGCAUAAACAUUUUUUGGAAAUUGGCCAACAAAUUUUGAAAAUGGGAACGUUUUUUGCGUCCUGACAGGGCCAUCGGAAUAUAACCCUGUCAGGACGCAAAAAAUGGCGCGCCCCACCAGACACCCUGUCUAAUGGGUAGCGCGAGUAAUAGCCUGUUUUGCGCGACCGAUUUGAUCUUCAAGAUGACCUUUGAUCAAAAAACAAUCAACAUGAAAGUUAUUCGUCUCGUCGAAACGGUCAAGAUUGCUUUUGGGAUCGUUUCCAUCCAAGGUCGUUUACCACCUUAAUAGUUACUCGCAAGGUGCAGCCAGUUUAAACCGAACAGUUUUGGAAAGUUCAGACAAAACCAAUCCGAAUUUGACUAGGGUUUUGGACAUGAAUCCAAGCCUUUUCCUUUCACGGGAAGUCUAGCCACCUCUUAUAUACCUAAGGGGUGACGACCGAUUGAACAACACACAACGAUCAAAUCAUCUACCACUUUUUAUCUUUUAUCUUUUCUCCUUAACCCUAGUUUUUUUUCUUCCUCGUUCUUCGUCUGUUCUUCUUGUUGCAGGGCGGCGAACCUCGAGGCCCUAGGGGCGAUCAGGUCGACCUAGGGCAGCCCACAGCCGCCGCGCGCCCUGACGGGCUCCCUCCCGGGUGCGUGGGGUUUCGGGUCUUCAAAAGCACCCACCGGAUUGCUUGCAUACCGCGCUUUUGGCAGGUCUCCUUCGAUGUGAGCUGCGGUGCAUCACCCCCGGCGUCGAGCGUACAUGGUGACAUGUUCAUGUGCGAACAUACUUUUUGGCGACUCCGCUGGGGAUGAAGCUUUGAACGGUCUCCAGCCCGUUCUUGUUACAAAGAGAUCGUCAUCUAGGGUUUGUAAUCUACAAAGGUAAUAUGAAUACCCAAUUCACUUAUGUAGAUGCAAAUAAUGCAUAUGUUGUUGCCAGAUCGCUUAAUGAGCAUAAUGUAUCGGCUAGCCCUAGUUUUAUCAAUUAUGCAUCUAAUUAUUCGUAACAGCCGAUUCAGAAUAAUCUUCAUGCUUCAACUUCAUAUAAUUUUAGCAACAUGCAAGAUAUGUAUCCCAACUCCCAUGCAUCGGCAACCCCACAAAUCUAUAUGCCGAUGAACAACAUGAUGAGUUUGUUUAAUCAAGUCGAGACACACCAUGUAGGAACUUCCAAUAGUAUGCAACAAAGUGUUUCAACUUUUUAUUCAUCGGCAAAUAACUUGCAGUAUGUUAAUCCAAACGUGUCGGUGGAUAGGGGAAUUGGACAUGCUACUACUAGUUAUUCAACCAAUACCCUCAAACAUCAUAUGCUACACCUCAUGCUACUAAUUUUCUGGCACCAUAUGCAACUGUUGAUGUCCAUAAUUCGGCUCCGCACCUUCAUGGUCAUGGCCGAAUAAGUGAAACUUCUACAGGAGCACAAAUGCCUUCACCUACUACCGUGGCAUAUCAUGUCCCCCCAACACAAUUACAGAAUUUCGGCAACAUCUCAUUGACAAAAGAGUCUAAAAGCAUCGAGGGGCAACCAUAUCCAGAUUGGGUAAUUGAGAAAAAGCUUACAUUCUCUUGGGAUUUGUGCAACGCUAUUCGCCAGGAACUAAUAGAUGGCGGGAAGCCUCAUGACUUUGCUACUGUAAAAGCAAGAGUUGUGCAAAUGAUGCAUUCGCCUAGUUCUGUAGCAACCAAUGUGCCCCCUAAACAAUUGCAAAGUUUCGGCACCUCAUUGCUAAAAGAGUCUCAAAGCAUUGGGGGGCAAUUUCAUGAGGAGUGGAUGCAAAUUGAGAUGAAAAAGUUUAAAGCUCGCCAAACUAAGAUGUGGGCUAAAAUAAGACAAGAGCGAGAAGGCUUGCAAAUUCAAAAAGAGAAAAGUAUUGAUUCAGGUAACAAAGAAAAUCCGGUUAUUGAAAAAGCCGAAUCAAAUAGUAUGUGUACCGAAUCUAUCGAAGAAAAAGAGGAUGCCAAGGCAUUGGACAGUUAUUCAAAAGUGGAACAUAGUAUUAUUCAAGUGAUAAAACCAUCAUGCUCUCCCAACGUGUAUGAAGAGGUAUGUCUACCAAGUGAUUUACCUAUUUUCAGAUUUGGUCACAACUUUAUUGUUGAUGCAUCUAUUAGAAAAAAUCUUAUAAGUAAUUUUGAAGGACCAAUGAUGAAGGGUAAUUUACUUGUGAGCAACAAAAUUGUUACAAAGUAUAUCGGUCAACCUAUUGUCCCAUUCAUAAAGACCGAUAGUGACUUAUUAUUGCAGCCAAAGGCUUCCCCAUUGCUUUACUUAAAACUUAUCUCUAAGGGGGUAGCUUUGCUUGUUUCAUACUUGGCUUUCACUUGGUCUCAAUUGAGACACGUGUGUUCUAACUAUUUUCGUUUCAAAAAUUUAAAGCCAAUGUUAAAUUCUUUUGAGAAAUCCGAUGCUAAUAUAAUAUCUUAUCCAAAGACAUCGGAUUUAGAGUGGAAAACACAAUGCAUAGCCGAAUGGGGAGAUUCCAAAUCUGUACCAUUUGUUUGCUUACCUCCAAAGCCGUUCGUACACCAAGAUCGGCUAGAAAACAAGAAGUAUACCUUCAACUCAAGCAUGUGUGAUCAAAUAUUUGAUUUGUUGCUGAAAAAUAAUUACAUUAGAAUUCUUGAUCACUAUGUCAAGCCAUCCAUCCAGGGACGAAUGUAUUGCAAGUUGCAUGAUUCGUCCAAGCAUAAUUUCGAGGAUUGCAACAUGUUUUGUCAAAUAGUUAAAUCGGCCAUUGAUAAGGGACGAUUGAAAUUUGUUGAAACACCGACAGAUGACCAGUCUAUUCCAAUUGGUCCUGAUGGCAAAAACUUUUUGCAUCGGCUGCUUCAAGCCGAUCCAUUAAAGAGAAGGUAAAAAUUGCAGGUGAUGAGAUCAAGAUUUCAAGUAAAGAAGUUGUUCAAGAGCACAAUGAAAAUAUUCUUGAAGGCAUGAGUUCUAUUGAAGUUACAGUAAAGACGCCAAGGACUGGGGGGCAACAUGCAAAUCCUAUGAUCAAUGAAAGCAAACAAAAAAAACAAAGACCGAAAUAAGCGCAAGGGUAAGAGAUCGAAAAUAACCUUUGCUGAAUUAUUAGAUAAAUAUCAAAAAAAAGAGUGAAGAGAAAAGUGCUUAUCGGUCAAGUAGUUUAGAAGCAUCAAGAUCACCCCCUAAAAUCUCUAUGAGCAUAUUCAUGUCCUUACUUUGGGCCGCUAAUGCCAAUGUCAUGGAUACCUCCUUAUGCUCAUGUAAAUCCAUAUCCAUCAUGGGACAUGUAUAAUAUAAGGGCACAUUCUCCAUCUUAUUUUAGACCAUCUCACCAAUACUAUGCAGUUUCAAGAAGAUCAACAUUUGAAAAAUCACACGUCAAAGACCGUUUCAAUCAUAAGGAAUCAGUCCAGAGCUCAUGGAAGAAGAAAGAGGUGGUCAAGCAAGUUUACCGCGUGAAAAGAGAUGGUCAUAAGUGUGCUACUUCAGAUUUGAUCUCAAAUAACAAAGAGCCAAUUAAAGUGUUGACAUUGGCUACAAAAGGCAAUGAGGCAAGUCAAUCAAGUGUCAAAUUUGAAGAAAAGAAGUUGAGAGUGCGCAAGGUAAAAAAAUAAUUUCCAUUACUUCAAACAAAAUCACAGCCGGGGUGCUCACUCGGCUUAUCAUAUCGGGAAAAAAAGAAAUUACAAAAACUUAGUGCACAAAAACUUGAAGAAAGAAACAUGGCAUGGGUUUCUAAAGGAACCACUCAAAAUAAGAAUUAUGUGAAAGCAUCCAUUACAUGACAUGCGGCAAAGAUGAAGAAGGAAAAGAGUGAAAACUAUGAAGGGCCAAGCCGAAUGUUUCAACAUCUUCGGUUCACACAUUAUUCAUAUUCUUCAACUAUGCCGUUGAUGGCUAUGCCAUGAAAUUCGUCAUCAAGUAUGAUUGGUUACCCUCAAUGGGCUUAUUUUAAUCCAUGGAUGCAAUAUAAUUUCUUACAUCAUGAAGGGGUAUUACCAAAUUAUUAUAUGUUCGAUUAGCUUCACUUUUGUUUCUAAUCUAAAUGGCCGAUAUAUACAUAUCGUCCUAAGCACGUACGAAUGCCGAUGAAGUGUUGACAUCGCACUUAGAACAAACUUCGUGCAAGUUAUUUUUCGGCACACAAGUUUUGCCAAAAACAGAGGGGCAAGUGUUGACACCAGAUUUUGGCACGGUCAAGAACUUAACUAAUAUGGUCUCAAAUGGAGAAGUGAUCUACUAGAAAAAGUUUCGUAUUGUCAACAUGAACAUCUUUGAAGUUUGGGCCAUCGCCAUCCGACCUCAUCUCAAGGGCCGAAACUAUGCUCAAAGUAUUAAGAUUUUGUUUUCAAAGUAUUGUUCGGCCAAUUAAGACUCCAAGACGACCUCAUAUGAGAAAAGUUUCUACACGAAUUGUCUUCGUCUCGUUAAAACGGUCGAUUUUCAUAUAAAAUCAUCCCAAUCCGAGUUGGUACGCAAAAGUUAGAGCCAUCAGAAUACAGCCUUGUCAGGACGAAUAAUAGCGUAUUUUGGGCGACCGAUUUGACCCUCAAGAUGACCUCUGAUCAAAACACAUUCAACAUGAAAGUUAUUCGUCUCGUUGAAAAGGUCAAGACUGCUUUUGGGCUCGUUUCCAUCAGAGGUCGUUUACCACCUCAAAAAUUACAGCCGAGGUGCCUAAUUCUACGUGCAGGCUGCCGACGACGAGCAGGAGUAGUUUAGGAGGAUCCCAGGCAGGAGGUCUGCGCCUCUUUCGAUCUGUAUCCCAGUUUGUGCUAGCCUUCUUAAGGCAAACUUGUUUAACUUAUGUCUGUACUCAGAUAUUGUUAUUUCCGCUGACUCGUCUAUGAUCGAGCACUUGUAUUCGAGCCCUCGAGGCCCAUGGCUUGUAUUAUGAUGCUUGUAUGACUUAUUUGUGUUUUAAAGUUGUGUUGUGAUAUCUUCCCAUGAGUCUCUGAUCUUGAUCGUACACGUUUGCGUGCAUGAUUAGUGUAUGAUUGAAUUGGGGGCGUCAUAGCUAACCUCUCUGUUGUGUGUAGGUAGUGCUGCGACGUGUUGAUCUUCCGAGGCCAGGCAUAACCCAGGAAAGUGUGUCCGGCCAGAGGGAUCGAGCGUGUUGGGUAAUGUGGUGCACCCCUGCAGGAAAGUUUAUCUAUUUCAAUAGUCGUGUUCCUCGGUAAAAGGACGACCCAGAGUUAUACUUUGACCUUAUGACAACUAGAGCUGGAUACUUAAUAAAACACACCUCUUACAAUUUCCGGAUACAACCCGGUGAUCGCUUUUCCACAGGGCGAUGAGGAGAGGAUCGCCGGGUAGGAUUAUGCUAUGCGGUGUUCCUUGAUGCUGCUCUUGCUACUCUCUUCUACAUGUUUCAAGAUGAAGGCUGCCAGAAGCGUAUUCUUCGAUAGGACUAGGUAUCCCUCUUAUUCCAAAUCUGGCCUAAAUCACUGCUUCAAUAUAUUCACAGAGGGCCCAGCAACUCCUAAGAAAAUGGCCCAGAUUGUUUAGCACCGCCCAUCUGCACCGGGUCCGAAAUAGCACCGCUCUGCUGUCCUAGAGCCUGCAAUGUUUCAACUUGUGCUACUCCCGUGUUGUCGCUUCAAACAGCGGCUGUCUCUAGAUUAACCGUGACUGGCAGCAGCACUGUACCCAUAAAGGCACCACUUUGACUUUCUGCUUGAAUAUACCUUUGAAUUAUGGGUACAUCGAGGUGACCAUCCGGGCCGGCGCUGGCUUCCGCAAUCUCAAGUAACUGGUCGUAGCAGCGAGGUGCCAACUGAGAGCACACACAUAUAUAUCUUUGAAUUAUGGGUACAGCUAUUAUCAAGGUAUAUUCAAGCAGAAAGUCAAAGCGGUGCCUUGAUAAUAGCAUAACCCAUAAUUCAAGCAGAAAGUUAUCCGAACCCAUGCUCCAAGGCUGAGGAGUAAUCACAAACAUAACAGCAUCCAUGCUCUAGCCAUAGAGUGCUGCACAGCCUAAACCGAAAGAACUCUGAUUGGACCUCUUGUAGAAGCAAGCUUCAUGAGAAAAUUGAAAUCUGCAUCCUGACCCUCCUCAAGCCUCUGUUCAGCCUGAAUAUAAACAAUCGCCGGUUCGCUGAUGGACAGCGCUUGCAUGGUGAGCUCAAUCCCAGGAUCUGGCGCAAUCGCUCGAGAAGAGAGCUGAGUGACCUGAUUAACACUCUUUUCCCCAGGCUCGUCCGCAUCCGGACGAGCAAGCUCUCUUUUUAUGCUAGAAACCCGCCCGUCCAGAACCACAAGUGACCGGGAGGGCCAAAGCAGGACAGCUGAUAAGAAAGGAUCCACAAGAGAGAUGUGACAAGGGAUUAGAGAGAGAUCAGAGGGCGAGGGAAAGAUUGGGGGAACGAGGAGGAGGGGAGUUGGAACAGAGGAGGAGAGAAGGUUAGAGCGGCAUAGCGCCAGUCCAGAAAGUCCCCUGCGUGUAUAAACUGAUCUGGUUUAUUGAAGACUAGAUGAAAGGAAUUACCCACCGUCCAAACAAAAUUGAGUGAAAGUACAGCAGAUCGGAGAACCAUCGUGCUUACCUGCAAGAGCACCUUCUUGUGAAAUUGGAUGUUAACAGGUGCGGCUGCGCGCCCGUCCGACCUGACAAAAAUAAAAUCCACCAACAAUGGCUCAGCCUGUGAUUCCGCGGAGAGAAGGAGAUAAUUUGAGGGGGGACGCGGGAGAAAAAAUGGGCUCUUACUGCCGGUAGGUGUCGAGGCUGUCGGACGGUGACUCGAGGGCAGCGGCUGGGCCACGGAGAGAGACGCAGCGGAGGCAUCGAGGGCAGCGGCUGGACGAUGCAUCCAGGAUGAAUCUCGGCUGGAUCCAGUGACCUGGGGAGAAGGACCACGCCGCCACGGACUCGGCUGUGCCGUCCAGAUCAGGGGCGUGCGUGGUGAUACGGCGCUGUCUCAUCCUGGGUGUACGGGAAGGACGGAGAUGACCGCUUCAGUUCUUCUGGCCAGGGACAAAAGGCUAGUUCGUUUAGUCCCACAUCGGCUAGCGAGGUAGAGCAGGACCGGUUUAUAAGCCGCGCGCUGCUACUUGUACUGUCCCUUCGGGGACACCCGAUAAAAAUGCUUAAUAUAUGUGGUACCUUGAUGAUUGCACAACAUUGGUUGUCAAAAAAAAGGAUGACAGUUUUUUUUGCCCCUCAAGCUAUACUGAUUUUAUGGAAUGUCCUCAUUGUUCUUGUUUUGAGAUCCAAAAUUUUAUGUAUACUACAAUUUUUAUUAAAAGGUCCACAUAGUUUCAUUUUCCAUCUUUUGAGAUCCUAGCCGCUGCCAUAUUUUGGGUGGCAGGUCAAUAGCCAAUUUUUACUCUUGUUUUUUGCACCUCACGAGUUAUACUGAUUUUGUAGAACGGUCCUCAUAGUUCUUAUUUUGAGAUCCAAAAUUUUAUGAUUUUCACGCACCAUAUUUUCAGCUCCUCACGUAUACUAGUAUUUUUUUUAUUAAAAGGUCUGCAUAAUUUUAUUUCCAUCUUUUGAGAUCCUUAUGCCUGCCAAAUUUUGGGUGGCAGGUCAACAACCAAUUUUUACUCUUGUUUUUAGCCCCUCACGAGUUAUACUGGUUUUACAGAAAGGUCCUCAUAGUUCUCAUUUUCAUAUUUUGAGAUCCAAAAUUUCGGAUUUCACUCUCCAUCUUUUCAACCCCUCACAUAUACCACUAUUUUUAUUGAAAGGUCCACAUAAUUUCAUUUUCAUCUUUUGAGAUCCCUAUAGCUGCCAAAUUUUGGGUGGCAGGUCAACUGCCAAUGUUUACUCUUGAACCAUGGUCAUGUAUACACAUGAAAUACUACCUCUGUUUCAUUUCACUUAGCAUAUUAGAUUUGUCUAAAAUCAAACUUGGACGUCUUGCUUAUUUGGUUUGACUCACUUGUCCGGGGCUUCAUGCGCUUAGCUGUGUAGUUUCCUCUCUUUGGGCCGAGCAUCCCCUAUCUCUCUGCUCCGGGUGCCAUGUUCACGCCUCCUUGUGUUCGUGUAGUGUGUUGUACCUGUGGCGCCCCCGAUUUGACCGUACACUAAUCAUACACGCAAAUAUGUACGACCAAGAUCAGGGACUCACGGGAAGAUAUCACAAGACAACUCUAAACACAAAUUAAAAUAAUACAAGUUUUAUAUUACAAGCCAGGGCCUCGAGGGCUCGAACACAAACGAGUCAGCGGAAGCAACAAUAUCUGAGUACAGACAUAAGUUAAACAAGGUGCCAUAAGAUGGCUAGCACAAACUGGGAUACAGAUCGAAAAAGGCGCAUGCCGCCGGCCUGGGAUCUUCCUAAACUACUCCUGGUCGGCGGCGGCCUGCACGUAGUAGUAGGCACCCUCGGUGUAGUAGGGGUCAUCGUCGACGGUGGCGUCUGGCUCCUGGGCUCCAACAUGUGGUUGCGACGUCCGAGAAGAAUGGAAAGGGGGAAAAGAGGGAGCAAAGCAACCGUGAAUACUCAUCCAAAGUACUCGCAAGUAAGGAUCUACACCACAUAUGCAUUGGUAACAAUGAAACGGGUAGUAUCUGUGGACUGAACUGCGGAAUGCCAGAAUAAGAGGGGGAUAGCUAGUCUAUCGAAGACUACGCUUCUGGUAGCCUCCAUCUUGAAGCAUGUAGAAGAGAGUAGCAAGAGCAGCAUCAAGGAACACCGCAUAGCAUAAUCCUACCCGGCGAUCCUCCCCUCGUCGCCCUGUGGGAAAGCGAUCGCCGGGUUGUAUCUGGAAAUUGUAAGAGGUGUGUUUUAUUAAGUAUCGGGUUCUAGUUGUCAUAAGGUCGAAGUACAACUCUGGGUUGUCCUUUACCGAGGGACACAGCUAUUCAAAUAGAUAAACUUCCCUGCAGGGGUGCACCACAUUACCCAACAUGCUUGAUCCCUUUGGUCGGACACACUUUCCUGGGUCAUGCCCGGCCUCGGAAGAUCAACACGUCGCAGCCCUACCUACAUACAGCAGAGAGGUCAGCACGCCGGUCAAAAUCCUAAGCGCAUAGGGGUCUGAGCCCAACGCCCGUUGCACAACUGCACGUUGCGUACGCGGCCGGUGAGCAGACCUAGCAACCUCCAUUACAAAGGAUGUUGCGUUACACGGUCCAACUCGGUGCGCGCCGCUCAGUCGCUGAUGUCAAGAAGGCUUCGGCUGAUACCGCGACGUCGAGUGCCCAUAACUGUUCCCACGUAGUUGGUUAGUGCCUAUAGGCUCGUAGCCAGACUCGGAUCAAAUAUCAAGAUCUCGUUAAGCGUGUUAUUUUGAAGUAACCAGGGACCAGGCUCACCUGUCUCCUAGGUGGUCGCAACCUUCCCUGUCGCUCCGCCACAAAGUAACAAUCUGGGGGCUACCGGGGACCCAGACCCACCACUACCUGGGUGGAACCACCUGCCCCUUUAGCCCCCAUCUCCGAAUCAUCAACAUAAGUAUGUAAUAGUAUAGUAUAUACCCGUGAUCACCUCCCGAGUGAUCACGGCCCAGUAGUAUAACAUGGCAGACGGACAAGAGUGUAGGGCCACUGAUGUCAUACUAGCAACCUAUACUAAGCAUUAGGAUAGCAGGUAAAGGUAUCAACAACUGUAGCAACAGUGACAGGCUAUGCAACAGAAUAGGAGCUAUUGAAUCAACAACAAUAGCGAACCUAAUGCAAGAAUAAGAGAGAAGAGAGUGGGCGAUAUCUGGUUGAUCAAAGGGGGUUUACUUGCCUGGUUGCUCUGGCAAGAAGGAGGGGUCGUCAACACCGUAGUUGAUCGGGGCAGCAGCGGCAUCAGUCUCGUAGUCUACUGAAGAGAAGAGGGGGAAGAAAAAAUGAAUACAAUGCAAACAGAUGCAUGACGAUGCAUGUCAUGACAUAUAAUAGUGCUGGGUGUGCUCUAACACGGUACUAGGUGCUACUGGCGAAGGGGGAAAACAUCCGGGAAAAUAUUCCCCAUGUUGACGUUUUCGGACAAAUGAACCGAAGGUGGAUUGUUGCAUGUUCGCUAUUCUAGGGAUGUGUGGCGGAAGAACGGGCUACAUAUUUGAAUUCGUCUCGUCGUUCUGAGCAACUUUCAUGUACACAGUAUUUUCAUCCGGGUUACGGAUUAUUUUACAUGAUUUUCUGAAGUUUUAGCAAUAUUCUAAAAUUAUUAUUUAUUCGAAAAUAAAGACUAAAAUUGCUAGGGGCACCCAGCACCGGGUACACAAAAGUGUACCAGUGGCUGACAGGUGAACCGGGGGGUCCUAGUUGAUCAGUCAACGUUUGACUGGUCAACAGGGGGUCACUAGUAGAAAAGGGGGCAAUGGUCCAGGCCGGGUCAGCCCAUUAGUCCCGGUUUAGUCCAAAACCGGGACCAAUGGGGGCAUUGGACCCGGUUCGUGAGCCCAGGGGGCCGGCCGGGCCACGUGGGCCAUUGGUCCCAGUUCGUCUGGACCUUUUGGUACCGGUUGGUGGGACGAACCGGGACCAAUGGGCCUGGCUCCUGGCCCACCACCAUUGGUCCCGGUUGGUGGCCUGAACCGGGACCAAAGGCUGCCCUUUAGUCCCGGUUCAUGCCACGAACCGGGACCAAUGAGGUGCCUAUAUAUACCCUCGCCCGCGAGCAGAGCACUCCAGUGCUCUGUUUUUCUCUGGCCGGCGAGGGGAGGGGUUUGUGGUGCUCUAGCUCACCUCCUAUGCACAUGAGGUGUUCGAUGAAAUGCCCGAGCCACACUAGUUAAGUUUUCUCCUCUCGAAGCUCGACCUCAAAGCUCCAUUUUCCUCGAGAUUUGUCUAGAUUUAGCGGUCCGUCACGCCCCACCGCCGUCUUCACCGCCGUCGAUCACCCGCGCCGAUCUCAUCACCGACACCACCAUGGUGAGCCUCUUGUUCUUAUCUUCUUUCUGAAAGGAAAAAUAUUCUUACUUGUAUGUUUAGAUAGAUACUUGUAUCAUUUUCUUACUUUUAUUAUUGCAUCUUAUAUAGUGCGAUGGUUUUGGUAUCCGCCCCCGUCGGCCCUCGUCCUGUCUAUGAUUCGGAUGUGGUAUAUAUAUUAUCUUUGUAACUAUUGGUUCAUUUAUUGUUUAUGAAAAUUAUGCGGACCAACAUGACAUAGAUUUUAUUUAUCUAGGAUGUAUGUGAACCGGAAAUUCCAACCGACCCUAUUGUCGAGAGGUUAAAUUUAGUUGAAGAAGAAAACAAUUUCUUGAAGGAAAAAAUAAAAAAAAUUGAGGAGGAGAAGAUGAUAUUGGAGUUGCAUGUUGCGGAUGUCGUCGAUGAUCAAAAGAUCAAGAUGGAUGCAAUGCGCUUGAAGAUUAGAAAGAUUAGAAAAUAUGCCAUUCAUACCGAGGCUUGGUAUCAUUAUGCCGUUGGAUCAAUUGUUACCUUGGUUGCGAUUAUGAUCGCCUUUGUUUACGAAGAAGAAGAGUACGAUGACAACUAUGUGCCCCCUGAAUACUGUGAUGCUGCAACGGGGGGAGCUGGUGAAGAUCAAGAGGAACCAGACGAUGUGCCCAAUGAUGCUGCAACGGGUGAAGCUGCUGAAGAUCAAGAGGAACCAGACGAUGUGCCCGAUGAUGAUGAUCUCCACCGGGUCAUUGUCGAUGCAAGGACGCAAUGCGAAAGUCAAAAGGAGAAGCUGAAGUUCGAUCGCAUGUUAGAGGAUCACAAGAAAGGGUUGUACCCCAAUUGCGAAGAUGGCAACACAAAGCUCGGUACCGUACUGGAAUUGCUACAGUGGAAGGCAGAGAAUGCUGUGCCUGACAAAGGAUUUGAGAAGCUACUGAAAAUAUUGAAGAAGAAGCUUCCAAAGGAUAACGAAUUGCCCGACAGUACAUACGCAACAAAGAAGGUCGUAUGCCCUCUAGGAUUGGAGGUGGAGAAGAUACAUGCAUGCCCUAAUGACUGCAUCCUAUACCGCGGUGCAUACAAGGAUCUGAACGCAUGCCCGGUAUGCGGUGCAUUGCGGUAUAAGAUCAGACAAGAUGACCCUGGUGAUGUUCACGGCGAGCCCCAUAGGAAGAGGGUUCCUGCGAAGGUGAUGUGGUAUGCUCCUAUAAUACCACGGUUGAAACGUCUUUUCAGAAACGGAAAGCAUGCCAAGACGAUGCGAUGGCACAGUGAGGACCGUAAGAAAGACGGGAAGUUGAGAGCACCCGCUGACGGGUCGCAGUGGAGAAAAAUCUUGAGAAAGUACUGGGAUGAGUUUGCAAAGGACCCAAGGAACGUAUGGUUUGCUUUAAGUGUGGAUGGCAUUAAUCCUUUCGGGGAGCAGAGCAGCAAUCACAGCACUUGGCCUGUGACUCUAUGUAUGUAUAACCUUCCUCCUUGGAUGUGCAUGAAGCGGAAGUUCAUUAUGACACCAGUUCUCAUCCAAGGCCCUAAGCAACCCGGCAACGACAUUGAUGUGUACCUAAGGCCAUUAGUUGAAGAACUUUUACAGCUGUGGAAUGGAAACGGUGUAUGUACAUGGGAUGAGCACAGACAGGAGGAAUUUAACCUAAAGGCGUUGCUGUUCAUGACCAUCAACGAUUGGCCCGCUCUCAGUAACCUUUCAGGACAGACAAACAAAGGAUACCACGCAUGCACACACUGUUUAGAUGACACUGAAAGUAUAUACCUAGACAAAUGCAGGAAGAAUGUGUACCUGGGCCAUCGUCGAUUUCUUCCGACCAAUCAUCAAUGUCGAAAGAAAGGCAAGCAUUUCAAAGGCGAGGCAGAUCACCGGAAGAAGCCCGCCAUGCGUACCGGUGAUCACGUACUUGCUAUGGUCAAUGAUUUACAUGUAAUCUUUGGAAAGGGUCCCGGUGCACUAGCUAUUCCAAAUGACGCUGAGGGGCACGCACCCAUGUGGAAGAAGAAAUCUAUAUUUUGGGACCUACCCUAUUGGAAAGACCUAGAGGUCCGCUCUUCAAUCGACGUGAUGCACAUGAUGAAGAACCUUUGCGUGAACCUGCUAGGCUUCUUGGGCGUGUAUGGAAAGACAAAAGAUACACCUGAGGCAUGGGAGGACCUGCAACGUUUGCACGAAAAAGACGGCAUGCCUCCGAAGCAGUAUGAAGGUCCUGCCAGCUACGCUCUUACAAAAGAAGAGAAAGAAAUCUUCUUUGAAUGCCUGCUCAGUAUGAAGGUCCCGACUGGCUUCUCGUCGAAUAUAAAGGGAAUAAUAAAUAUGCCAGAGAAAAAGUUCCAGAACCUAAAGUCUCAUGACUGCCACGUGAUUAUGACGCAACUGCUUCCGGUUGCAUUGAGGGGGCUUCUACCGGAAAACGUCCGAUUAGCCAUUGUGAAGCUAUGUGUAUGUGCAUUCCUCAAUGCAAUCUCUCAGAAGGUGAUUGAUCCAGAAAUCGUACCAAGGAUAAGGAGUGAUGUGGCACAAUGUCUUGUCAGUUUCGAGCUAGUGUUCCCACCAUCCUUCUUCAAUAUCAUGACGCAUGUCCUAGUUCAUCUAGUCGACGAGAUUGUCAUUCUGGGGCCCGUAUUUCUACACAAUAUGUUCCCCUUUGAGAGGUUCAUGGGAGUCCUAAAGAAAUAUGUCCAUAACCGCGCUAGGCCAGAAGGAAGCAUCUCCAUGGGCCAUCAAACAGAGGAUGUCAUCGGGUUUUGUGUUGACUUCAUUCCUGGCCUUAAGAAGAUAGGUCUCCCUAAAUCGCGGUAUGAGGGGAGACUGACGGGAAAAGGCACUCUUGGAAGUGACUCAAUAAUAUGCAGGGACGGAUAUUCUUGGUCUCAAGCACACUACACAGUUCUACAGAACUCUACCUUGGUGACCCCAUAUGUCGAUGAACACAAGAAAAGUCUGCGCUCCAAACACCCAGAGCAGUGCGACGACUGGAUUACAUGUGAACACAUUAGGACUUUAAGCAGUUGGUUGGAAGCACGUCUCAGAGGUGACAACACUGUUUGUGAUGAGUUGUACUUGUUGUCUAGGGGACCAUCUUUGACUGUAUUGAUUUAUAAAGGAUACGAGAUAAAUGGGAAUACAUUUUACACGAUUGACCAAGAUCAAAAGAGCACCAACCAAAACAGCGGUGUCCGCUUUGUGUCAUUUCCCUUCUCGGUUGUUGCAUCAAAGCGGACACCGCUGUUUUGGUUGGUGCUCUUUUGAUCUUGGUCAAUCGUGUAAAAUGUAUUCCCAUUUAUCUCGUAUCCUUUGUAAAUCAAUACAGUCAAAGAUGGUCCCCUGGACAACAAGUACAACUCAUCACAAACAGUGUUGUCACCUCUGAGAUGUGCUUCCAACCAACUGCUGAAAGUCCUAAUGUGUUCACAUGUAAUCCAGUCAUCGCACUGCUCCGGGUGUUUGGAGCGCAGACUUUUCUUGUGUUCAUCGACAUACGGGGUCACCAAGGUAGAGUUCUGUAGAACUGUGUUGUGUGCUUGAGACCAAGAAUAUCCGUCCCUGCAUAUUAUUGAGUCACUUCCAAGAGUGCCUUUUCCAGUCAGUCUCCCCUCAUACCGCGAUUUAGGGAGACCUAUCUUCUUAAGGCCAGGAAUGAAGUCAACACAAAACCCGAUGACAUCCUCUGUUUGAUGGCCCAUGGAGAUGCUUCCUUCUGGCCUAGCGCGGUUACGGACAUAUUUCUUUAGGACUCCCAUGAACCUCUAAAAGGGGAACAUAUUGUGUACAAAUACGGGCCCCAGAAUGACAAUCUCGUCGACUAGAUGAACUAGGACAUGCGUCAUGAUAUUGAAGAAGGAUGGUGGGAACACCAGCUCGAAACUGACAAGACAUUGCGCCACAUCACUCCUUAGCCUUGGUACGUUUUCUGGACCGAUCACCUUCUGAGAGAUUGCAUUGAGGAAUGCACAUAGCUUCACAAUGGCUAAUUGAACGUUUUUCGGUAGAAGCCCCCUCAAUGCAACCGGAAGCAGUUGCGUCAUAAUCACGUGGCAGUCAAGAGACUUUAGGUUCUGGAACUUUUUCUCUGGCAUAUUUAUUAUUCCCUUUAUAUUCGACGAGAAGCCAGUCGGGACCUUCAUACUGAGCACGCAUUCAAGGAAGAUUUCUUUCUCUUCUUUCGUAAGAGCGUAGCUGGCAGGACCUUCAUACUGCUUCGGAGGCAUGCCGUCUUUUUCGUGCAAACGUUGCAGGUCCUCCCGUGCCUCAGGUGUAUCUUUUGUCUUUCCAUACACGCCCAAGAAGCCUAGAAGGUUCACGCAAAUGUUCUUCGUCACGUGCAUCACGUCGAUUGAAGAGCGGACCUCUAGGUCUUUCCAGUAGGGUAGGUCCCAAAAUAUAGAUUUCUUCUUCCACAUGGGUGCGUGUCCCUCAGCGUCAUUCGGAACAGCUAGUGUGCCGGGACCCUUUCCAAAGAUUACGUGUAAAUCAUUGACCAUAGCAAGUACGUGAUCACCGGUAUGCAUGGCGGGCUUCUUCCGGUGAUCUGCCUCGCCUUUGAAAUGCUUGACUUUCUUUCGACAUUGAUGGUUGCUCGGAAGAAAUCGACGACGGCCCAGGUACACAUUCUUCCUGCAUUUGUCCAGGUAUAUACUUUCAGUGUCAUCUAAACAGUGUGUGCAUGCGUGGUAUCCUUUGUUUGUCUGUCCUGAAAGGUUACUGAGAGCGGGCCAAUCAUUGAUGGUCAUGAACAGCAACGCCUUUAGGUUAAAUUUCUCUUGUCUAUGCUCAUCCCAUGUACGUACACCGUUUCCAUUCCACAGCCGUAAAAGUUCUUCAACUAAUGGCCUUAGGUACACAUCAAUGUCGUUGCCGGGUUGCUUAGGGCCUUGGAUGAGAACUGGCGUCAUAAUGAACUUCCGCUUCAUGCACAUCCAAGGAGGAAGGUUAUACAUACAUAGAGUCACAGGCCAGGUGCUGUGAUUGCUGCUCUGCUCCCCGAAAGGAUUAAUGCCAUCCGCGCUUAAAGCAAACCAUACGUUCCUUGGGUCCUUUGCAAACUCAUCCCAGUACUUUCUCUCGAUUUUUCUCCACUGCGGCCCGUCAGCGGGUGCUCUCAACUUCCCGUCUUUCUUACGGUCCUCACUGUGCCAUCGCAUCGACUUGGCAUGCUCUCCGUUUCUGAACAGACAUUUCAACCGUGGUAUUAUAGGAGCAUACCACAUCAUCUUCGCAGGAACCCUCUUCCUGUGGGGCUCGCCGUGAACAUCACCAGGGUCAUCUCGUCUGAUCUUAUACCGCAAUGCACCGCAUACCGGGCAUGCGUUCAGAUCCUUGUAUGCACUGCGGUAUAGGAUGCAGUCAUUAGGGCAUGCAUGUAUCUUCUCCACCUCCAAUCCUAGAGGGCAUACGACCUUGUUUGCUGCGUAUGUACUGUCGGGAAAUUCCUUAUCCUUUGGAAGCUUCUUCUUCAAUAUUUUCAGUAGCUUCUCAAAUCCUUUGUCAGGCACAGCAUUCUUUGCCUUCCACUGCAGCAAUUCCAGUACGGUACCGAGCUUUGUGUUGCCAUCUUCGCAAUUGGGGUACAACCCUUUUUUGUGAUCCUCUAACAUGUGAUCGAACUUCAGCUUCUCCUUUUGACUUUCGCAUUGCGUCCUUGCAUCGACAAUGACCCGACGGAGAUCAUCAUCAUCGGGCACAUCGUCUGGUUCCUCUUGAUAUUCAACAGCUUCACCCAUUGCAGCAUCAUUGGGCACAUCGUCUGGUUCCUCUUGAUCUUCACCAGCUCCCCCCGUUGCAGCAUCACCGUAUUCAGGGGGCACAUAGUUGUCAUCGUACUCUUCUUCUUCGUCGUCUUCCAUCAUAACCCCUAUUUCUCCGUGCCUCGUCCAAACAUUAUAGUGUGGCAUGAAACCCUUGUAAAGCAGGUGGGUGUGAAGGAUUUUCCGGUUAGAGUAAGACAUUGUAUUCCCACAUUUAGUGCAUGGACAACACAUAAAACCAUUCUACUUGUUUGCCUCAGCCGCAUUGAGAAACUCAUGCACGCCCUUAAUGUACUCGGAGGUGUGUCUGUCACCGUACAUCCAUUGCCGGUUCAUCUGCAUGCAUUAUAUAUAAUUAAGUGUCCAAAUUAAUAGAAGUUCAUCAUCACAUUAAAACCAAUGUACAUACAUAGUUCUCAUCUAACGACAUAUAGCUCUCCAGAGCAUCUAAUUAAUUAAACCAUACAUUGAAACUAUGUAAAACAUUUAAAUGCAAAAGUAAAGGCGAUCAUAAUCGCAACCAAGGUAACAAUUGAUCCAACGGCAUAAUGAUACCAAGCCUCGGUAUGAAUGGCAUAUUUUCUAAUCUUUCUAAUCUUCAAGCGCAUUGCAUCCAUCUUGAUCUUGUGAUCAUCGACGACAUCCGCAACAUGCAACUCCAAUAUCAUCUUCUCCUCCUCAAUUUUUUUUCCUUCAAGAAAUUGUUUUCUUCUUCAACUAAAUUUAACCUCUCGACAAUAGGGUCGGUUGGAAUUUCCGGUUCACAUACUUCCUAGAUAAAUAAAAUCUAUGUCACGUUGGUCGGCAUAAUUUUCAUAAACAAUAAAUGAACCAAUAGUUAUAAAGAUAAUAUAUAUACCACAUCCGAAUCAUAGACAGGACGAGGGUCAACGGGGGCGGAUACCAAAACCAUCGCACUAUAUAAGAUGCAAUAAUAAAAGUAAGAAAAUAAUACAAGUAUCUAUGUAAACAUACAAGUAAGAAUAUUUUUUCCUUUCAGAAAGAAGAUAAGAACAAGAGGCUCACCAUGGUGGUGCCGGCGAUGAGCUCGACGCGGGUGAUCGACGGCGGUGAAGACAGGGACAGGGCGUGACGGACCGCUAAACCUAGACAAAUAUUGAGGAAAAUGGAGCUUGGAGGUCGAGCUUGGAGAGGAGAAAGCUUAAGUAGUGUGGCUCGGGCAUUCCAUCGAACACCUUGUGUGCAUAGGAGGUGAGCUAGAGCACCACCAGCCCUCUCCCCCUCGGCCAGGAAAAACAGAGCAGUGUGCUCUGCUCUUGCGCGAGGGGGGUAUAUAUAGGCACCACCACUGGUCCCGGUUGGUGGCAUGAAUCGGGACUAAAGGGGAGCCUUUGGUCCCGGUUCAUGCCACCAACUGGGACCAAUGGUGGUGGGCCAGGAGCGAGGCCCAUUGGUCCCGGUUCGUCCCACCAACCGGGACCAAAGGUCCAGACGAACUGGGACCAAUGGCCCACGUGGCCCGACCGGCCCCCUGGGUUCACAAACCGGGUCCAAUGCCCCCAUUGGUCCCGGUUCUAGACUAAACCGGGACUAAUGGGCUGACCCGGCCUGGACCUUUGCCCCCUUUUCUCACGACCCUUUGUUUUCAUUUAUUUUGAAUGAUCAUAGCAAGUUGGCCUCGGCAUCUGCGGCACGAUGUUCAACCUCAGUUGCAUCUAGAGAUAUGUGUUAACGAACCCAAUAUCACCGAUUUGUCUUUUCUUCAAUUUGGCGAUCUUCAAUCUGCAUAAUAUAGUGAGGAUAAUUAUAAAUACUUGCAAUGAAGGAGCUGAGCUAUAUAGAGAGACUUACUGACAGAAGUAGUAGUACUUACAGACAGUAGCAGGUGACCGUUGCUUUAUCGAGGGCCAAUUGAUUGAAAAACUGAUAGUACUCCUCAAAUGGAAUAGGCAACAGAUCAAUUCCAACGAGGUCAUGCUCCGGUUUAACUCUCGCAUACAAAGUACACCUCCCCCCAGACUCUCUGCAGAUUUUCAAGUACCAAUCAUGCAAUCUUCACAUCAUCGUUGUUAGAGAUUUUUCAUCUUUGACGAGAGGCUUCCCGUACUCGUAUCUGUGUAUCUGCACGUCCAUGGGAUCAUAAUGUACAUCAUCGGGUAGGUAAUCUUCAAGAUUGCUAUAACCGGGCACCAUCCUCGGAUCGACGAUGUCGCUAGGCACCUUGAGCGGGGGGCACAAUUGAUUCCCUUGUUCGCUGAGCUGGGCAAUUUGUUUCCCAGCUGCUCGUCAUUCUUUCAUCCUUUGAUCACUGACUGUACUUCCCGACCGCUCCGCUUCGGCCCAUGUCUUUGCAAUAAUGCGCUCAUAGUUGCCUUUCGGCGGAGACUUGGGUGGUUUUGCCAGGGCAGCCAGAGUGCGCUUCGCUUUCAACGGAUCUACCUUCUCCUCUGGAGGUGGAUGUCUCUGUGCUUUCAACCCUUCAAACCAUUCCUUCGCUUCGGUUCGCGCGAUCUUCGCGUUCUCCUCCGGGCUCAUCUCGUAUGGUAACUUCUCUGGAGUCUUCAGAGAAGGACCGAAUCUGUAUGUCUUCCCGCCACUGGCUGUACUGCUAGACGCCGGCCGAGCAGACGGAGCGGUUGUCUUCUUUACUUGCUUAUGAGGUGGAGGAGAAGGACUACGACGCACCGGAGCAGCUGCUGGAGCGGCGGCGGGUCUCUUCCGGCCUUGCUGACGAGGCGGAGAAGGAGGAGGCUGGCUGCUCGGGCGCGCAGGCGUAGGCGGAGAAGGAGCCGGAGUGCCGCCACGCGCCGGAGAAGGAGCCGGCCGAGUGCCCUGAUCGUCACUUGCCGGAGGAGGAGGCGGUGGAGGAGGCGGACUGCCCUGACUCGCCGGAGAAGGAGGAGGAGGAGGCGGAGGCGUCCAGUUCUGAAGGUUGAUGAGAUCCUUCCGCCAUAGGCAUGGAGUCUUCAGAGCAGAACCCAGCCGAGUCUCCUCUUCACUGGUAGGGUGGUCAAGCGGGAGCUCCUCAAAUCCCUCCGUUAUUUCAUCCACCAUCACCCUAGCAUAUCCUUCUGGAAUCGGCCAAUAGUAAAAAGUUGCGCCGGGUUCAGAAGGAUAAAUAGAGCCAACAGCCGCCUUGACCUUCAUAUUAAUCCAUUGCGUCAUAAGGUGGCAAUUUUGAGACUCCGUGAUAGCAUCCACGGGAUAGCUGGCAGGAGCCGUCAAGACAUGCUCCGGCUGAAGCAGCUCGGUGGAAGCCACGCUGCUUCUCCGCUGAGAUGGCGGGGUAGCUUCGGGGGAAGCUUCGGCAGUUCAUUUACUGCGAUUUGCUUCUCGUUCCUCUAUCCCGAGUACCCUUGCUUUAAGCGCCUGCAGUUUGGACUGCUGCACUUUCUUCCUCCUUUCCUGGCAUUUGUAACCGCCUGCGUCCGGAAACCCAUCCUUCCACGGAAUGGAGCAUGGCGUGCCUCGUGUCCGCCCAGGGUGCUCAGGAUUCCCGAGGGCCAUUGUGAGCUCGUCCUUCUCUCUGUCUGGAACGAACGUCCCUUGCUGCGCUGCUUCGAUAUACUGCUGAAGCCUCUUGACUGGUAUAUCCAAUUGAUUGUCCGUCCAAAUGCACUUCCUUGAUACAAGGUCCAAGGUUCCGCCAGCCCCGAAGAACCAAGUCCGGCAACGGUCUGGCCAGUUCAUUGUCUCUGGUUCGAUCCCUUUUUCAACCAGAUCAUUCUCAGCCUUGGCCCACUUAGGCCGGGCUACGAGGUAGCCACCUGACCCCGUGCGAUGGUGAAGCUUCUUCUUUGCAGCAUUUUUCUUGUUUGUCGCCGACAUCUUCUUACUCUUUUCCUAUGUCUUGUGGGCCACAAAUGCGGGCCAGUGAUCUCUGAUCUUCUCAUACCUGCCCUUGAAUUCUGGUGUCUCUUUUUUAUCGACAAACCUAUUCAGCUCUUUCUUCCACCUCCUGAAUAGGUCUGCCAUCCUCUUAAGAGCAAAAGACUUGAUUAAUUGCUCUUUAACUGGCUUCUCCGGAUCAUCCUCUGGCGGUAGGGUGAAAGUUGACUUCAGCUCAGUCCAAAGAUCAUUUUCUGCAUAUCAUUGACGUAAGACACCUCAGGGUCUUCUGUAGCCGGCUUUAACCAUUGCUGGAUGCUGAUCGGGAUCUUGUCCCUAACCAGAACCCCGCACUGAGCAACAAAUGCGUUCUUUGUUCGGAUGGGUUCAAUCGGUUGGGCGUCGAGCGCGAUUGCUAUGAUCUCAAACCUUUCAUCCGAGCUCAACUUUUUCUUCGGGCCUCUUCUCUUUACCUUAGUUGUGCUCGAUCCGGAGGGCUAGAAAAAAGAACAAAGACUUAUUUAAUAUGUGUACAUACCAAAACAAUGAAUGCAUCAAUUAGCUAGUCAGCACAUGCUUAACUAAUAUAUAUACCUGGCCGGACUCGGUUCGGUCACUGGAGCCGUCAUCACGGUCUCCUUCUUGCACCGGCAUUGGGUCACCAUAGCCGUCCUCACGUUCUCCUUCUUGCACCGACAUUAGGUCACUGGAGCCAGCUUCUUCACCCUCUCCUUCCAGACCAUCAGUGUCGUUGAGAAACAACAAGCAGACGGCAUCACUUCCCAUUGCGAUUAUGUCCCUCAACAAUGCUUCUUUUACUUUGUCUCGGGCGGUGUCCAUAGUUUCUACAAAUAUUUACAAUAUGGCAAUUAUUAUUCAAACAUGACACAUGGAUAUAUUAGUGGCAAACGUAGAACUAGCUAGCUAAUCACAGUAAGGAAUCAUAUAUAUUAAUUAGUGGCCUCGACGCUGCUUCUCUAGGGUUUGGGGUGGCCUCGACAACGCUUCAAGGGUUUGGGGUGGCCUCGAGAGAGUUUGUCGGGUAGGGGUGCGGCAGGAGGGGGUAGGAGACCGACAUCGUUUUUUUCUAGGGUUUGGGUGUCCUCGAGAGUUUUGGUCGAGCGAGAGGGUCGGGGGGGUGCUCCCGCGGUAUAAGUUAUCACAGUCGAGAGGGGGUAUAUCGACCCCCGCACACGUGUUGAAGUUAUCGGUUGGGGGUUAUAUCGACAACGACGACAUACAUACAUGGGAAAAUAAUAUUAUCGGGGAGGGGGUAUAUCGACCCCCCUCGUAUUGAAGUUAUCGAGAGGGGUAUAUCAACGACGAUAGACCCGAUAAAACAUAAGAAAACGGAGAAGAAAUAAAAAGAGGAGAAGAAGAAAGGAAUAGAGGAGAAGAUCGAAGAAAAAAAAGAAGAAAAAAAAGAGGAGAAGAAGAAAGGAAUAGAGGAGAAAAAAAAUAGAAAUCAUUUUAUAUUUUUUCUUCUUCUCCUCUAUUCCUUUCUUCUUCUCCUCUCCUUUUUCUUCUUUUUUCCUCUUCUUAUUUNNNNNNNNNNNNNNNNNNNNNNNNNNNNNNNNNNNNNNNNNNNNNNNNNNNNNNNNNNNNNNNNNNNNNNNNNNNNNNNNNNNNNNNNNNNNNNNNNNNNNNNNNNNNNNNNNNNNNNNNNNNNNNNNNNNNNNNNNNNNNNNNNNNNNNNNNNNNNNNNNNNNNNNNNNNNNNNNNNNNNNNNNNNNNNNNNNNNNNNNNNNNNNNNNNNNNNNNNNNNNNNNNNNNNNNNNNNNNNNNNNNNNNNNNNNNNNNNNNNNNNNNNNNNNNNNNNNNNNNNNNNNNNNNNNNNNNNNNNNNNNNNNNNNNNNNNNNNNNNNNNNNNNNNNNNNNNNNNNNNNNNNNNNNNNNNNNNNNNNNNNNNNNNNNNNNNNNNNNNNNNNNNNNNNNNNNNNNNNNNNNNNNNNNNNNNNNNNNNNNNNNNNNNNNNNNNNNNNNNNNNNNNNNNNNNNNNNNNNNNNNNNNNNNNNNNNNNNNNNNNNNNNNNNNNNNNNNNNNNNNNNNNNNNNNNNNNNNNNNNNNNNNNNNNNNNNNNNNNNNNNNNNNNNNNNNNNNNNNNNNNNNNNNNNNNNNNNNNNNNNNNNNNNNNNNNNNNNNNNNNNNNNNNNNNNNNNNNNNNNNNNNNNNNNNNNNNNNNNNNNNNNNNNNNNNNNNNNNNNNNNNNNNNNNNNNNNNNNNNNNNNNNNNNNNNNNNNNNNNNNNNNNNNNNNNNNNNNNNNNNNNNNNNNNNNNNNNNNNNNNNNNNNNNNNNNNNNNNNNNNNNNNNNNNNNNNNNNNNNNNNNNNNNNNNNNNNNNNNNNNNNNNNNNNNNNNNNNNNNNNNNNNNNNNNNNNNNNNNNNNNNNNNNNNNNNNNNNNNNNNNNNNNNNNNNNNNNNNNNNNNNNNNNNNNNNNNNNNNNNNNNNNNNNNNNNNNNNNNNNNNNNNNNNNNNNNNNNNNNNNNNNNNNNNNNNNNNNNNNNNNNNNNNNNNNNNNNNNNNNNNNNNNNNNNNNNNNNNNNNNNNNNNNNNNNNNNNNNNNNNNNNNNNNNNNNNNNNNNNNNNNNNNNNNNNNNNNNNNNNNNNNNNNNNNNNNNNNNNNNNNNNNNNNNNNNNNNNNNNNNNNNNNNNNNNNNNNNNNNNNNNNNNNNNNNNNNNNNNNNNNNNNNNNNNNNNNNNNNNNNNNNNNNNNNNNNNNNNNNNNNNNNNNNNNNNNNNNNNNNNNNNNNNNNNNNNNNNNNNNNNNNNNNNNNNNNNNNNNNNGGUCAACCGGGACUAAAGGGGGCCAUUGGUCCCGGUUGGUGCCACGAACCGGGACCAAUGCCCCCCUUUGGUCCCGGUUCGUCCCACCAACCGGGACCAAAGGCCUUCUGCUGCCCCGCGCCCAAAAGUUUAGUCCCACCUCGCUAGUUGAGAGGGCUCGGGAGUGGUUUAUAAGCGCUGCUGCGCCCACCCUCUCGAGCUCCUCUCAACUGCAGGCUGUCGGGCCUAAUCUGUCACUAUGUGCCUGUGGGCCUACUGGGCCUCCUGCGGGCCUGAAUUCUGGCUCAUGGUAGGGUUUCUAGUCGUAUUCAGGCCAUGAGGGCCCAGUAGGUGGCACUAUUUUUAUUUUUUUCUAGUUUUUUGUUUUGUUUUCUGCAUUAUUUAUUUUCAUUUGUUUUUUGCUUUAUUUUUAAAUUCUUUUUGCUUUUAGUUUUAGAAAAAUUAUAAACUUUAUUUUGUUUUUGAGUCAUUAGUUUAUGAAUAACUUUACUAUAAAAAUUGAUUUUUGAGUCAUUAUACUCAAUUUGUUAAUUUUAGUUAGUCAUAACAAAUAUUAUAGGUAUUUUUUUGCUAUUUAUUUUUUUCAUUUCUACUUAGAACUAAAUACUUAUAGUUUUUUUAUGAUUUCUUUUUUCUUUUAGGUCACAAAAAUUAUAAACUUUCUGUUAGUGCCAUUAGUUUUAAAAUUUGAAUAGUUUAAAUUUGAAUUUUUUAAAAUUUGUGUGAAUCACAAGUUUGUGAUUAACUUUACUAAAAAAAUGAACAUAGAUGCACCUAUAGAGAAAAUUAAACCUAAAUUCAUAAUCAAUUUCUAUGAAUUUUAGAGAAAUUCAUUAUGAAUUUAGGUCAAAUUUCCUGUAUAGGGGCAUCUAUUUUCACUUUGAGAGGAGCUCAGCAAGGCAGAGAGGGACGGGCUUAUAAACCGCUGUGGGCGCCCUUUGGUUGGGAGGUGGGACUAAACUCUGGGUGCAACGAGGGCCAACCCUUUAGUCUCGGUUUGUGGCACAAACCGGGACUAAUGGUCAUGGGCCAGGGGCGAGCCCUAUUUUUUUCCAGUUUUUUUGUUUUGUUUUCUGCAUUAUUUAUUUUCUUUUGUUUUUUGCUUUAUUUUUAAAUUCUUUUUGCUUUUAGUUUUAGAAAAAUUAUAAACUUUCUGUUAGUGCCAUUAGUUUUCAAAUUUGGAAACACUUUUUUAGUUUUUUUGAUUUCUUUGUUGCUUUAUUUGUUUUAUUUUGUUUCUACUUACAACAAAAUACUUAUUGUUGCUAUUUUUAUUUUUUUUCCAGCUUUUAUGUUUGUUUUCUGUAUUAUUUAUUUUCUUUUUUUUUGCUUUAUUUUUUAAUUCUUUUUGCUUUUAGGUCAGCAAAAUUAUAAACUUUCUGUUAGUGCCAUUAGUUUUAGAAAAAAUAUAAACUUUCUGUUAGUGCCAUUAGUUUUCAAAUUUGAAUUCUUUGAAAUUUGUGUGAAUCACAAGUUUGUGAUUAACUUUACUAAAAAAAUGAACAUAGAUGCACCUAUAGAGAAAAUUCGACCUAAAUUCAUAGUUUUCAAAUGAACUCUGAAAAAGUUGGCAUAGCAUACUCGUCUGUUACAAAUUUGGCAUGGUAUCAUCAUAAUAGUUGCGGGAGGAAGUCUUCACUUUUUCUUCGCUUGUGUCAUUUGCUUAUUGCGCCGUAACCAUGGAUAAUCUUCAUCGUUUAUCAGGAUGCUUGGGUCAGCCUUGACAUUGAAGGGAGGAAUUUCAUGAAACUUUUCAUAAUCUUCAGACAUGUCUGUCUUGCCCUCCACUCCCAGGAUGUCCCUUUUUCCUGAAAGAACUAUGUGGCGCUUUGGCUCAUCGUAUGAUGUAUUCGUUUCCUUAUCUUUUCUUUUUCUCGGUCUGGUAGACAUGUCCUUCACAUAGAUAACCUAUGCCACAUCAUUGGCUAGGACGAACGGUUCGUCAGUGUACCCAAGAUUUUUCAGAUCCACUGUUGUCAUUCCGUACUAUGGGUCUACAUGUACCCUGCCUCCUGACAGAUUGACCCAUUUGCACUUAAACAAAGGGACCUUAAAAUCUUGUCCGUAGUCAAGUUCCCAUAUGUCCACUAUGUAACCAUAAUAUCUGUCCUUUCCCUUCUCGGUUGUUGCAUCAAAGCAGACACCGCUGUUUUGGUUGGUGCUCUUUUGAUCUUGGUCAAUCGUGUAAAAUGUAUUCCCAUUUAUCUCGUAUCCUUUGUAAAUCAAUACAGUCAAAGAUGGUUCCCUGGACAACAAGUACAACUCAUCACAAACAGUGUUGUCACCUCUGAGACAUGCUUCCAACCAACUGCUGAAAGUCCUAAUGUGUUCACAUGUAAUCCAGUCGUCGCACUGCUCCGGGUGUUUGGAGCGCAGACUGUUCUUGUGUUCAUCGACAUACGGGGUCACCAAGGUAGAGUUCUGUAGAACUGUGUAGUGUGCUUGAGACCAAGAAUAUCCGUCCCUCCAUAUUAUUGAGUCACUUCCAAGAGUGCCUUUUCCAGUCAGUCUCCCCUUAUACCGCGAUUUAGGGAGACCUAUCUUCUUAAGGCCAGGAAUGAAGUCAACACAAAACCCGAUGACAUCCUCUGUUUGAUGGCCCAUGGAGAUGCUUCCUUCUGGCCUAGCGCGGUUACGGACAUAUUUCUUUAGGACUCCCAUGAACCUCUCAAAGGGGAACAUAUUGUGUAGAAAUACGGGCCCCAGAAUGACAAUCUCGUCGACUAGAUGAACUAGGACAUGUGUCAUGAUAUUGAAGAAGGAUGGUGGGAACACCAGCUCAAAACUGACAAGACAUUGCGCCACAUCACUCCUUAGCCUUGGUACAAUUUCUAGAUCGAUCACCUUCUGAGAGAUUGCAUUGAGGAAUGCACAUAGCUUCACAAUGGCUAAUCGGACGUUUUCCGGUAGAAGCCCCCUCAAUGCAACCGGAAGCAGUUGCGUCAUAAUCACGUGGCAGUCAUGAGACUUUAGGUUCUGGAACUUUUUCUCUGGCAUAUUUAUUAUUCCCUUUAUAUUCGACGAGAAGCCAGUCGGGACCUUCAUACUGAGCAGGCAUUCAAAGAAGAUUUCUUUCUCUUCUUUCGUAAGAGCGUAGCUGGCAGGAUCUUCAUACUGCUUCGGAGGCAUGCCAUCUUUUUCGUGCAAACAUUGCAGGUACUCCCGUGGUGUAUCUUUUGUCUUUCCAUACACACCCAAGAAGCCUAGCAGGUUCACGCAAAGGUUCUUCAUCAUGUGCAUCACGUCGAUUGAAGAGCACACCUCUAGGUCUUUCCAGUAGGGUAGGUCCCAAAAUAUAGAUUUCUUCUUCCACAUGGAUGCUUGUCCCUCAGCGUCAUUCGGAACAGCUAGUGCGCCGGGACCCUUUCCAAAGAUUACGUGUAAAUCAUUGACCAUAGCAAGUACGUGAUCACCGGUACGCAUGGCGGGCUUCUUCCGGUGAUCUGCCUCGCCUUUGAAAUGCUUGCCUUUCUUUCGAAAUUGAUGGUUGGUCGGAAGAAAUCGACGAUGGCCCAGGUACACAUUCUUCCUGCAUUUGUCCAGGUAUAUACUUUCAGUGUCAUCUAAACAGUGUGUGCAUGUGUGGUAUCCUUUGUUUGUCUGUCCUGAAAGGUUACUGAAAGCGGGCCAAUCGUUGAUGGUCACGAACAGCAACACCUUUAGGUUAAAUUCCUCUUGUCUGUGCUCAUCCCACGUACGUACACCGUUUCCAUUCCACAGCUGUAAAAGUUCUUCAAGUAAUGGCCUUAGGUACACAUCAAUGUCAUUGCCGGGUUGCUUAGGGCCUUGGAUGAGAACUGGCAUCAUAAUGAAAUUCCGCUUCAUGCACAUCCAAGGAGGAAGGUUAUACAUACAUAGAGUCACAGGCCAGGUGCUGUGAUUGCUGCUCUGCUCCCCGAAAGGAUUAAUGCCAUCCGCGCUUAAAGCAAACCAUACGUUCCUUGGGUACUUUGCAAACUCAUCCCAGUACUUUCUCUCGAUUUUUCUCCACUGCGACCCGUCAGCGGGUGCUCUCAACUUCCCGUCUUUCUUACGGUCCUCACUGUGCCAUCGCAUCGACUUGGCAUGCUUCCCGUUUCUGAACAGACGUUUCAACCGUGGUAUUAUAGGAGCAUACCACAUCACCUUCGCAGGAACCCUCUUCCUGUGGGGCUCGCCGUGAACAUCACCAGGGUCAUCUCGUCUGAUCUUAUACCACAAUGCACCACAUACCGGGCAUGCGUUCAGAUCCUUGUAUGCACCGCGGUAUAGGAUGCAGUCAUUAGGGCAUGCAUGUAUCUUCUCCACCUCCAAUCCUAGAGGGCAUACGACCUUCUUUGCUGCAUAUGUACUGUCGGGCAAUUCGUUAUCCUUUGGAAGCUUCUUCUUCAAUAUUUUCAGUAGCUUCUCAAAUCCUUUGUCAGGCACAGCAUUCUCCGCCUUCCACUGCAGCAAUUCCAGUACGGUACCGAGCUUUGUGUUGCCAUCUUCGCAAUUGGGGUACAACCCUUUUUUGUGAUCCUCUAACAUGCGAUCGAACUUCAGCUUCUCCUUUUGACUUUCGCAUUGCAUCGACAAUGACCCAGCGGAGAUCAUCAUCAUCGGGCACAUCGUCUGGUUCCUCUUGAUCUUCACCAGCUCCCCCCGUUGCAGCAUCAUUGGGCACAUCGUCUGGUUCCUCUUGAUCUUCUCCAGCUCCCCCCGUUGCAGCAUCACCGUAUUCAGGGGGCACAUAGUUGUCAUCGUACUCUUGUUAUUCGUUGUCUUCCAUCAUAACCCCUAUUUCUCCGUGCCUCGUCCAAACAUUAUAGUGUAGCAUGAAACCCUUGUAAAGCAGGUGGUUGUGAAGGAUUUGAAGGAAAUAUGCCCUAGAGGCAAUAAUAAAGUUAUUAUUUAUUUCCUUAUAUCAUGAUAAAUGUUUAUUAUUCUUGCUAGAAUUGUAUUAACCGGAAACAUAAUACAUGUGUGAAUACAUAGACAAACAGAGUGUCAUUAGUAUGCCUCUACUUGACUAGCUCGUUAAUCGAAGAUGGUUAUGUUUCCUAACCAUGAACAAAAGAGUUGCUAUUUGAUUAACGAGAUCACAUCAUUAGAAGAAUGAUGUGAUUGACAUGACCCAUUCCAUUAGCUUAGCACCCGAUCAUUUAGUAUGUUGUUAUUGCUUUCUUCAUGACUUAUACAUGUUCCUAUGACUAUGAGAUUAUGCAACUCCCAUUUGCCGGAGGAACACUUUGUGUGCUACCAAACGUCACAACGUAACUGGGUGAUUAUAAAGGAGCUCUAUAGGUGUCUCCAAAGGUAAAUGUUGUGUUGGCGUAUUUCGAGAUUAGGAUUUGUCACUCCGAUUGUCGGAGAGGUAUCUCUGGGCCCUCUCGGUAAUGCACAUCACAUAAGCCUUGCAAGCAUUGCAACUAAUGAGUUAGUUGCGAGAUGAUGUAUUACGGAACGAGUAAAGAGACUUGCCGGUAACGAGAUUGAACUAGGUAUUGGAUACCGACGAUCGAAUCUCGGGCAAGUAACAUACCGAUGACAAAGGGAACAACGUAUGUUGUUAUGCGGUCUGACCGAUAAAGAUCUUCGUAGAAUAUGUAGGAGCCAAUAUGGGCAUCUAGGUCCCUCUAUUGGUUAUUGACCGGAGACAUGUCUCGGUCAUGUCUACAUUGUUCUCGAACCCGUAGGGUCCGCACGCUUAAGGUUUUGAUGACAGUUAUAUUAUGAGUUUAUACGUUUUGAUGUACUGAAGGUUGUUCGGAGUCCCGGAUGUGAUCACAGACUUGACGAGGAGUCUCGAAAUGGUCGAGACAUAAAGAUUGAUAUAUUGGAAGCCUAUGUUUGGAUAUCGGAAGUGUUCCGGGUGAAAUCGGGAUUUUACCGGAGUACCGGGAGGUUACCGGAACCCCCCGGGAGCUAUAUGGGCCUUAGUGGGCCUUAGUGGAAGAAGAGGAGAGGCGGCCAGGGCUGGGCCGCGCGCCCCUCCCCCCUAGUCCGAAUAGGACAAGGAGAGAGGGGGCCGGCGCCCCCUCCUUCUCUCUCUCUCUUUUCCACCUCGCGAAUCCUAUUCCAACUAGGAUUGGGGGGGGGNNNNNNNNNNNNNNNNNNNNNNNNNNNNNNNNNNNNNNNNNNNNNNNNNNNNNNNNNNNNNNNNNNNNNNNNNNNNNNNNNNNNNNNNNNNNNNNNNNNNNNNNNNNNNNNNNNNNNNNNNNNNNNNNNNNNNNNNNNNNNNNNNNNNNNNNNNNNNNNNNNNNNNNNNNNNNNNNNNNNNNNNNNNNNNNNNNNNCCUCUCCUAGGCCGGUGCACCCCCGCUUGAGCCUUUAUAUACGGAGGCAGGGGCACCCCAGAGGAACACAAGUUGAUCCACGUGAUCAUAUUCUUAGCCGUGUGCGGCGCCCCCUGCCACCAUAAUCCUCGAUAAUAUCAUAGCGGUGCUUAGGCGAAGCCCUACGAUGGUAGUGCAUCAAGAUCGUCACCACCCCAUCGUGCUGACGGAACUCUUCCCCGUCACUUUGCUGGAUCGGAGUCCGGGGGUCGUCAUCGAGCUGAACGUGUGCUAAAACUCGGAGGUGUCGUAGUUUCGGUGCUUGAUCGAUCGGGCCGUGAAGACGUACGACUACAUCAACCGCGUUGUGCUAACGCUUCCGCUGUUGGUCUACAAGGGUACGUAGAUCACACUCUCCCCUCGUUGCUAUGCAUCACCAUGAUCUUGCGUGUGCGUAGGAAUUUUUUUGAAAUUACUACGUUCCCCAACAGUGGCAUCCGAGCCUAGGUUUUAUGUGUUGAUGUUAUAUGCACGAGUAGAACACAAGUGAGUUGUGGGUGAUAUAGGUCAUACUGCUUACCAGCAUGUCAUACUUUGGUUCGGCGGUAUUGUUGGACGAAGCGGCCCGGACCGACAUUACACGUACUCUUACGCGAGACUGGUUCUCCCGACGUGCUUUGCACAAAGGUGGCUAGCGGGUGACAGUUUCUCCAACUUUAGUUGAACCAAGUGUGGAUGCGCCCGGUCCUUGCGAAGGUUAAAACAACACCAACUUGACAAACUAUCAUUGUGGUUUUGAUGCGUAGGUAAGAUUGGUUCUUGCUUAAGCCCGUAGGAGCCACGUAAAACUUGCAACAACAAAGUAGAGGACGUCUAACUUGUUUUUGCAGGGCAUGUUGUGAUGUGAUAUGGUCAAGACAUGGUGCUAAAUUUUAUUGUAUGAGAUGAUCAUGUUUUGUAACCAAGUUAUCGGCAACUGGCAGGAGCCAUAUGGUUGUCGCUUUAUUGUAAGCAAUGCAAUUGCGCUGUAAUGCUUUGCUUUAUCACUAAGCGGUAGCGAUAGUCGUGGAAGCAUAAGAUUGGCGAGACGACAACGAUGCUACCAUGGUGAUCAAGGUGGCGCGCCAGUGACGAUGGUGAUCACGACGGUGCUUCGAAGAUGGAGAUCACAAGCACAAGAUGAUGAUGGCCAUAUCAUAUCACUUAUAUUGAUUGCAUGUGAUGUUUAUCUUUUAUGCAUCUUAUCUUGCUUUGAUUGACGGUAGCAUUUUAAGAUGAUCUCUCACUAAUUAUCAAGAAGUGUUCUCCCUGAGUAUGCAUCGUUGCGAAAGUUCUUCGUGCUGAGACACCACGUGAUGAUCAGGUGUGAUAGGCUCUACCAAGGUUGUCAGAAUCGCGAUUUUGAAUAGGAUCGGAGCUUCGAUGGUAGGAUCGCAAAUCGUAGAAUCUUCACUAUCAGAAUCAUAGAAACAUAGAUUCUAAGAACUAAAAUCGUAGAAUCGUAGGGGUUAGUUUGGAUCGUAAAGUCGUAGAAUCGUAUAACAGAAUCGCGAUUCUGACAACCUUGGGCUCUACGUUCAAAUACAACGGGUGCAAAAUAGUUGCACACGCGGCAUACUCAGGUUAUACUUGACGAGCCAAGCAUAUGCAGAUAUGGCCUCGGAACACGGAGACCGAAAGGUCGAGCGUGAAUCAUAUAGUAGAUAUGAUCAACAUAGUGAUGUUCACCAAUGAAACUACUCCAUCUCACGUGAUGAUCAGACAUGGUAUAGUUGAUUUGGAUCACGUGAUCACUUAGAGGAUUAGAGGGAUGUCUAUAUAAGUGGGAGUUCUUAAGUAAUAUGAUUAAAUUGAACUUAAAUUUAUCACGAACUUAGUCCUGGUAGUAUUUUGUAAAUCAUGUUGUAGAUCAAUAGCUCGCGUUGUUGCUUCCCUGUGUUUAUUUUGAUAUGUUCCUAGAGAAAAUUGUAUUGAAAGAUGUUAGUAGCAAUGAUGCAGAUUGGAUCCGUGAUCUGAGGUUUAUCAUCAUUGCUGCACAGAAGAAUUAUGUCCUUGAUGCACCACUAGGUGACAGACCUAUUGCAGGAGCAGAUGCAGGCGUUAUGAAUGUUUGGCUAGCUCAAUAUGAUGACUACUUGAUAGUUUAGUGCACCAUGCUUAAUGGCUUAGAAUCGGGACUUCAAAGACGUUUUGAACGUCAUGGACCAUAUGAGAUGUUCCAGGAGUUGAAGUUAAUAUUUCAAGAAAAUACCCGAGUUGAGAGAUAUGAAGUCUCCAACAAGUUCUAUAGCUAAAAGAUGGAGGAGAAUCGCUCAACUAGUGAGCAUGUGCUCAGAUUGUCUGGGUACUACAAUCGCUUGAAUCAAGUGGGAGUUAAUCUUCCAGAUAAGAUAGUGAUUGACAGAAUUCUCUAGUCACCAUCACCAAGUUAGUAGAACUUCGUGAUUUACUAUAAUAUGCAAGGGAUAACGGAAACAACUCCCAAGCUCUUCGUGAUGCUGAAAUCAACGAAGGUAGUAAUCAAGAAAAACAUCAAGUGUUGAUGGUUGACAAGACCACUAGUUUCAAGAAAAGGGCAAAGGGAAGAAAGGGAACUUCAAGAAAAACUGCAAGCGAAUUGCUGCUCAAGUGAAGAAGCCCAAGUCUGGACCUAAGCCUGAUACUAAGUGCUUCUACUGCAAAGGAACUGGUCACUGGAAGCGGAACUACCCAAAGUAUUUGGCGGAUAAGAAGGAUGGCAAAGUGAACAAAGGUAUAUUUGAUAUACAAAUUAUUGAUGUGUAUUUUACUAGUGCUCAUAGCAACCCCUUGGUAUUUGAUACUGGUUCAGUUGCUAAGAGUAGUAACUCAAAAUGGGAGUUGCAGAAUGAACAGAUACUAGUUAAGGGUGAAGUGACGAUGUGUGUUGGAAGUAGUUCCAAGAUUGAUAUGAUCAUCAUCGCACACUCCCUAUACUUUCGGGAUUAGUGUGGAACUUAAAUAAGUGUUAUUUGGUGUUUGCGUUGAGCAUGAAUAUGAUCUGAUCAUGUUUAUUGUAAUACGGUUAUUCAUUUAAGUAAGAGAAUAAAUUGUUGUUCUGUUUACAUGAAUAAAACCUUAUAUGGUUACACACCCAAUGAAAAUAGUUCGUUGGAUCUCGAUUGUAGUGAUACACAUAAUCAUAAUAUUGAAACCAAAAGAUGCAAAGUUAAUAAUGAUAGUGCAACUUAUUUGUGGCACUUCUGUUUAGGUCAUAUUGGUGUAAAGCGCAUGAAGAAACUCCAUGCUGAUGGGCUUUUGGAAUCACUUGAUUAUGAAUCAGUUGAUGCUUGCGAACCAUGCCUCAUGGGCAAGAUGACUAAGACUCUGUUCUUCGGAACAAUGGAGCGAGCAACAAAUUUAUUGGAAAUCAUGCAUACUGAUGUAUGUGGUCCGAUGAAUAUUGAGGCUCGUGACAGGUAUCAUUAUUUUCUGAUCUUCACAGAUGAUUUAAGCAGAUAUGAGUAUAUCUACUUGAUGAAACAUAAGUUUAAAACAUUUGAAAAGUUCAAAGAAUUUCAGAGUGAAGUGAAAAAUCAUCGUAACAAGAAAAUAAAGUUUCUACGAUCAGAUCAUAGAGAAGAGUAUUUGUGUUACGAGUUUGGCCUUCAGUUAAAAACAAUGUGAAAUAGUUUCACUACUCACGCCACCUGGAACACCACAAUGUAAUGGUGUGUCCGAAAGUCAUAACCGUACUUCAUUAGAUAUGGUGCGAUCUAUGAUGUCUCUUACCGAUCUACCACUAUCGUUUUGGGGUUAUGCAUUAGAGACAGUUGCAUUCAUGUUAAAUAGGGCACCAUUUAAAUCCGUUGAACCGACAAAAUUUGAACUGUGGUUUGGCAAGAAACCAAAGUUGUUGUUUCUUAAAAGUUUGAGGUUGCAAUGCUUAUGUGAAAAAGUUUCAACCUGAUAAGCUCAAACCCAAAUCGGAGAAGUGCGUCUUCAUAGGAUACCCAAAAGAAAAUGUUGGGUACACCUUCUAUCACAGAUACGAAGGCAAGAUAUUCGUUGCUUUGAAUGGAUCCUUUCUAGAGAAGGAAUUUCUCUCGAAAGAAGUGAAUGGGAGGAAAGUAGAACUUGAUGAGGUAGCUGUACCUGCUCCCUUAUUGGAAAGUAGUUCAUCACAGAAAUCUGUUCCUGUGACUACUACACCAAUUAGUGAGGAAGCUAAUGAUGAUGAUCAUGUAACUUCAGAUCAAGUUACUACCAAACCUCGUAGGUAAACUAGAGUGAGAUCCGCACCAGAGUGGUAUAGUAAUCCUGUUCUGGAAGUCAUGGUACUUGACCAUGACGAGCCUACGAACUAUGAGGAAGCAAUGAUGAGCCCAGAUUCCGCGAAAUGGCUUGAGGCCAUGAAAUCUGAGAUGAGAUCCAUGUAUGAGAACAAAGUAUGGACUUUGGUUGACUUGCCCGAUGUUCGACAAGUCAUUGAGACUAAAUGGAUCUUCAAGAGGAAUACGGACACUGAUAGUAGUGUUACUAUCUACAAAGCUAGAAUUGUCGCAAAAAGGUUUUCGACAAUUUCAAGGUGUUGACUACGAUGAGAGUUUCUCACUCGUAUCUAUGCUUAAGUUUGUCCGAAUCAUGUUAGCAAUUGCCGCAUUUUAUGAAAUCCGGCAAAUGGAUAAACAAAACUGCAUUCCUUAAUGGAUUUAUUAAAGAAGAGUUGUAUUUGAUACAACCAGAAGGUUUUGUCAAUCCUAAAGGUGGUAACAAAAUGUGCAAGCUCCAGCGAUCCAUCUAUGGACUGGUGCAAGCAUCUCGGAGUUGGAAUAUACGCUUUGAUGAGAUGAUCAAAGCAUAUAGCUUUAUACAGACUUGCAGUGAAGCCUGUAUUUACAAGAAAGUGAGUGGGAGCACUACAACAUUUCUGAUAAGUAUAUGUGAAUGACAUAUUGUUGAUCGGAAAUAAUGUAGAAUUAUUCUGCAAAGCAUAAAGGAGUGUUUUGAAAGAAGUUUUUCAAAGAAAGACCUCGAUGAAGCUGCUUACAUAUUAAGCAUCAAGAUCUAUAGAGAUAGAUCAAGACGCUUGAUAAGAUUUUUUCAAUGAGUACAUACCUUGACAAUAUUUUGAAGUAGUUCAAAAAUUGGAACGGUCAAAGAAAGAGUUCUUGGCUGUGUUACAAGGUGUGAAAUUGAGUAAGACUCAAAGCCCGACCACGGCAGAAGAUAGAAAGAGAAUGAAAGUCAUUCCCUAUGCCUCAGCCAUAGGUUCUAUAAAGUAUGCCAUGCUGUGUACCAGAUCUAUUGUAUACCCUACACUGUGUUAAGCAAGGGAGUACAAUAGUGAUCUAAGAGUAGAUCACUGGACAACGGUCAAAAUUAUCCUUAGUGGAAUAAGGAAAUAUUUCUCAAUUAUGGAGGUGACAAAAAGGUUCGUCAUAAAAAGUUACGUCGAUGCAAGUUUUGACACAGAUCUGGAUGACUCUAAGUCUCGAUCUAGAUACAUAUUUAAAGUGGGAGCAAUUAGCUAGAGUAGCUCCGUGCAGAGCAUUGUAGACAUAGAAUUUGCAAAAUACUUACGAAUCUGUAUGUGACAGACCCGUUGACUAAAAUUAUCUCACAAGCAAAACAUGAUCACACCUUAGUACUAUUUGGGUGUUAAUCACAUAAACGACGUGAACUAGAUUACUGACUCUAGUAAACCCUUUGAGUAUAGGUCACAUGACAAUGUGAACUAUGGGUGUUAAACACAUGGUGAUGUGAACUAUUAGUGUUGAAUCACAUGGCGAUGUGAACUAGAUUAUUGACUCUAGUGCAAGUGGGAGACUGAAGGAAAUAUGCCCUAGAGGCAAUAAUAAAUUUAUUAUUUAUUUCCUUAUAUCAUGAUAAAUGUUUAUUAUUCAUGCUAGAAUUGUAUUAACCGGAAACAUAAUACAUGUGUGAAUACAUAGACAAACAGAGUGUCACUAGUAUGCCUCUACUUGACUAGCUCGUUAAUCGAAGAUGGUUAUGUUUCCUAACCAUGAACAAAAGAGUUGCUAUUUGAUUAACGGGAUCACAUCAUUAGAAGAAUGAUGUGAUUGACAUGACCCAUUCCAUUAGCUUAGCACCCGAUCGUUUAGUAUGUUGCUAUUGCUUUCUUCAUGACUUAUACAUGUUCCUACGACUAUGAGAUUAUGCAACUCCCGUUUGCCGGAGGAACACUUUGUGUGCUACCAAACGUCACAACGUAACUGGGUGAUUAUAAAGGAGCUCUACAGGUGUCUCCAAAGGUAAAUGUUGGGUUGGCGUAUUUCGAGAUUAGGAUUUGUCACUCCGAUUGUCGGAGAGGUAUCUCUGGGCCCUCUCGGUGAUGCACAUCACAUAAGCCUUGCAAGCAUUGCAACUAAUGAGUUAGUUGCGAGAUGAUGUAUUACGGAACGAGUAAAGAGACUUGCCGGUAACGAGAUUGAACUAGGUAUUGGAUACCGACGAUCGAAUCUCGGGCAAGUAACAUACCGAUGACAAAGGGAACAACGUAUGUUGUUAUGCGGUCUGACCGAUAAAGAUCUUCGUAGAAUAUGUAGGAGCCAAUAUGGGCAUCCAGGUCCCGCUAUUGGUUAUUGACCAGAGACAUGUCUCGGUCAUGUCUACAUUGUUCUCGAACCCAUAGGGUCCGCACGCUUAAGGUUUCGAUGAUAGUUAUAUUAUGAGUUUAUACGUCUUGAUGUACCGAAGGUUGUUCAGAGUCCCGGAUGUGAUCACGGACUUGACAAGAAGUUUCGAAAUGGUCGAGACAUAAAGAUUGAUAUAUUGGAAGCCUAUGUUUGGAUAUCGGAAGUGUUCCGGGUGAAACCGGGAUUUUACCGGAGUACCGGGAGGUUACUGGAACCCCCCGGGAGCUAUAUGGGCCUUAGUGGAAGAAGAGGAGAGGCGGCCAGGGCUGGGCCGCGCGCCCCUCCCCCUAGUCUGAAUAGGACAAGGAGAGAGGGGGCUGGCGCCCCCUUCCUUCUCUCUCUCUCUCUCUCUCUCUCUCUCUUUUCCACCUCGCGAAUCCUAUUCCAACUAGGAUUGGGGGGGGGAGUCCUACUCCCGGAGGGAGUAGGACUCCUCCUGGCGCGCCUCUCCUAGGCCGGCCACACCCCCCCUUGAGCCUUUAUAUACGGAGGCAGGGGCACCCCAGAGGAACACAAGUUGAUCCACGUGAUCAUAUUCUUAGCCGUGUGCGGCGCCCCCUGCGACCAUAAUCCUCGAUAAUAUUGUAGCAGUGCUUAGGUGAAGCCCUGCGACGGUAGUGCAUCAAGAUCGUCACUACGCCGUCGUGCUGACGGAACUCUUCCCCGACACUUUUCUGGAUCGGAUUCCGGGGAUCGUCAUCGAGCUGAACGUGUGCUAAAACUUGGAGGUGCCGUAGUUUCGGUGCUUGAUCGGUCGGGCCGUGAAAACGUACGACUACAUCAACCGCGUUGUGCUAACGCUUCCGCUGUCGGUCUACAAGGGUACGUAGAUCACACUCUCCCCACGUUGCUAUGCAUCACCAUGAUCUUGCGUGUGCGUAGGAAUUUUUUUGAAAUUACUACGUUCCCCAACAGGAUUUUCCGGUUAGAGUAAGACAUCGUAUUCCCACAUUUAGUGCAUGGACAACACAUAAAACCAUUCUUCUUGUUUGCCUCAGCCGCAUCGAGAAAUUCAUACACGCCCUUAAUGUACUCGAAGGUGUGUCUGUCACCGUACAUCCAUUGCCGGUUCAUCUGCGUGCAUUAUAUAUAAUUAAGUGUCCAAAUUAAUAGAAGUUCAUCAUCACAUUAAAACCAAAUUACAUACAUAGUUCUCAUCUAACAACAUAUAGCUCUCCAGAGCAUCUAAUUAAUUAAACCAUACAUUGAAACUAUGUAAAACAUUUAAAUGCGAAAACAAAGGCGAUCAUAAUCGCAACCAAUGUAACAAUUGAUCCAACGGCAUAAUGAUACCAAGCCUCGGUAUGAAUGGCAUAUUUUCUAAUCUUUCUAAUCUUCAAGCACAUUACAUCCAUCUUGAUCUUGUGAUCAUCGACGACAUCCGCAACAUGCAACUCCAAUAUCAUCUUCUCCUCCUCAAUUUUUUUUAUUUUUUCCUUCAAGAAAUUGUUUUCUUCUUCAACUAAAUUUAACCUCUCGACAAUAGGGUCGGUUGGAAUUUCCGAUUCACAUACAUCCUAGAUAAAUAAAAUCUAUGUCACGUUGGUCGGCAUAAUUUUCAUAAACAAUAAAUGAACCAAUAGUUAUAAAGAUAAUAUAUACCACAUCCGAAUCAUAGACAGGAUGAGGGCCGACGGGGGCGGAUACCAAAACCAUCACACUAUAUAAGAUGCAAUAAUAAAAGUAAGAAAAUAAUACCAGUAUUUAUGUAAACAUACAAGUAAGAAUAUUUUUUCCUUUCAGAAAGAAGAUAAGAACAAGAGGCUCACCACGGUGGUGCCGAUGAUGAGCUCGAUGCGGGUGAUCGACGGCGGUGAAGACGGGGACAUGGCGUGAUGGACCGCUAAACCUAGACAAAUAUUGAGGAAAAUGGAGCUUGGAGGUCGGGCUUGGAGAGGAGAAAGCUUAAGUAGUGUGGCUCGGGCAUUCCAUCGAACACCUUGUGUGCAUAGGAGGUGAGCUAGAGCACCACCAAGCCCUCUCUCCCUCGGCCAGGAAAAACAGUGCAGUGUGCUCUGCUCUUGCGCGAGGGGGGUAUAUAUAGGCACCACCGCUGGUCCCGGUUGGUGGCAUGAACCGGGACUAAAGGGGAGCCUUUGGUCCCGGUUCAUGCCACCAACCGGGACCAAUGGUGGUGGGCCAGGAGCGAGGCCCAUUGGUCCCGGUUCGUCCCACCAACUGGGACCAAAGGUCCAGACGAACUGGGACCAAUGGCCCACGUGGCCCGGCCGGCCCCCUGGGCUCACGAACCGGGUCCAAUGCCCCCAUUGGUCCCAGUUCUAGACUGAACCGGGACUAAUGGGCUGACCCGGCCUGGACCUUUGCCCCCUUUUCUACUAGUGAUUCUUAGGAACAUACAUAAGCUUGGCAAUUUUAGUGGGAGGACUAGGAGUAUUCUUUACGGGAGAAAAGGUGGUUCCCAAGUUGGCAAUGAUACCCUCAAGUUUAUCGAUUCUAGUGGAAUCUAGAUUUAUUUUCUCAUUAACCAUAUGUUCCUUCUCCUUAAUAUUUUUCAAAGUCAUUCCUACCUUAGAUCCAUAUUGAGUAAUUUGAUUAUUGAUCUUUUUAUCUAGAUUUUCAAUGGACUCAAUGGUAGCAACUUUGUUUUCAACAAUUUCAAGCCUUUGCAUAACAUGCUCCAAAGUUAACAUAGUUCCAUUAACCAAAAGAGGUGGUGAGCCAAAUAAAUCUAUCAUAGCAUUAUAAGAAUCAAAAGUAUGGCUACCCAAGAAAUUACCCCCGGUAAUGGUACCAAGGAUAUAUCUAUACCAAGGACUAGCACCUACAUAAAAAUUGCGAAGAAGAAGUGAAGUAGAUUGCUUCCUGGUAGAUCUAUUUUGAGCAUUGCAAAUUCUAUACCAAGCGUCUUUCAGAUUUUCUCCCUCCCUUUGUUUAAAAUUUAGGACUUCAUUCUCGGGAGAUAACAGAGAAGAAAUAAGAUUAGCCAUGAUGACAAGGCAAACGAGAAAAAGGCAAACGGAAAAGGAGAAGGAGGUUGGGAAAGAGAGGGCGAAUAAAACGGCAAGGGUGAAGUGGGGGAGAGGAAAACGAGAGGCAAAUGGCAACUAAUGUAAUGCGAGAGAUAGGGAUUGUGAUGGGUACUUGGUAUGCUGACUUUUGUGCAGACUCCCCGGCAACGGCGCCAGAAAUUCUUCUUGCUACCUCUUGAGCUUGCGUUGGAUUUCCCCGAAGAGGAGAGGAUGAUGCAGCAGAGUAGCAUAAGUAUUUCCCUCAGUUUUUGAGAACCAAGGUAUCAAUCCAGUAGGAGGCUACACGCAAGUCCCUCGUACCUACACAAAAACAAUAGCUCAACGCAACCAACGUGAUUAGGGGUUGUCAAUCCCUUCACGGUCACUUAUGAGAGUGAGAUCUGAUAGAUAGUAUUUUUGGUAUUUUUGAUAUAGAGAUGCAAAGUGAAAAGUAAAAGGCAAAGUAAAAAAGCAAAGCAAUAAUAAAGUGAUGGAGAUUGAUAUGAUGAUAAUAGACCCCGGGGCCAUAGGGUUCACUAGUGGCUUCUCUCAAGAGCAUAAGUAUUCUACGGUGGGUGAACAAAUUACUAUUGAGCAAUUGAUAGAAUUGAGCAUAGUUAUGAGAAUAUCUAGGUAUGAUCAUGUAUAUAGGCAUCACGUCCGAGACAAGUAGACCGACUGCUGCCUGCAUCUACUACUAUUACUCCACUCAUCGACCGCUAUCCAGCAUGCAUCUAGAGUAUUAAGUUAAAAACAGAGUAAUGCUUUAAGCAUCUACUACUACUACUAGACAAGGAGUACGCCAGUGGAGCUUUGAGGGGCCCAUGAGGCAGGGGGCGCACCCCCCACCCUCGUGACCGCCUCUUGGCUCCCUUGGAGUACGGUCCAAGUCUCCUGGAUCACGUUCGGUGAGAAAAAUCACGUUCCCGAAGGUUUCAUUCCGUUUGGACUCCGUUUGAUAUUCCGUUUCUUCCAAACAAUGAAAUAGGCAAAAAACAACAAUUCUAGGCUGGGCCUCCGGUUAAUAGGUUAGUCCCAAAAAUAAUAUAGAAGUGGAAAAAUAAAGCCCAAUAUAGUCCAAAACAGUAGAUAAUAUAGCAUGGAGCAAUCAAAAAUUAUAGAUACGUUGGUGACGUAUCACCCACGACCGGAAAACCUUGUCUGGGCUAAAGUCCAUGUAGUGAUAGGUCUAGGAAAGCUGAGGACUCAUCGCCAGGCCGGCCAGAUGUGACCCAGCCAUCUUGGCAAGCUUCUGGACAGAAAGUUGGCUGCUACAUCUGGAUAUCUUCUAGAUGGCCAUUAGGGCUGAUCUCUUGGGGUUAAGGUUUUCUUAGGAGGGUCAAGAGGCUCAAGAAAAAUCAGGGCGAAAGGAUCAAGGAAAAAUACACUUGCUGUACAAAGUGCAAUUUUGGACCAGAAGAGAAAUUAUUUUUUGUAGAAAAAAUAUUACAAAAAGUCAUGCAAUAUUUUUGCUAGAGAAGGUGGGCCAUGGUUCAAAGAAUAUUCAGGAAUUAUUUCAGAAUUUUUGGAUCAAUAAAAAUGGGGGUUGCUUUGGAGCACUAGUUUCUGAAAUAAGUUUUAGAAGAGAAAAUGAAUAUAUAUUUUUUCAUGAAAAAUAUUCAUUUGAUUAUUUUGGGGAUUUUUCAGAGAAAUGGGAUUGAAUGAGAAGUAGAUAGGUCACUUGGGUGAAAGUCAAGAGCAUGCCCAAGUGAUAAGUCCAUUUGAAUUGAUUCCAAAAAUCCAAAUCCAAGGCAAAGGCAAAACCAAGUUCGAAAAACGAGAGAAGGCAAAAUCCAGGCUGUCAUAUUGCGUCAUUAUCUAGGCAAGUUGAUCAGCACGGUAGGUGGUCCGGAUGGGAAGAAAAUGUGCCACCUUCGUUAAGGUGUCCACUAUGACCCAUAUUGUGUCAUUUCCUCGGUGAGUCCUUGGUAAACCGGUGAUGAAAUCCAUGCAGACAUCGUCCCAUUUCCAGUGUGAUACGGGUAAAGGUUGAAGGAGUCUGGUGGGUUUUUGGUUUUCCGCCUUUACCUGGUUGCAUAUAUCACAACCAGCCACAUAGUAAACGAUGUCGUUCUUCAUUCCAUUCCACCAGAGUACCUGACGAAGGUCUUCGUACAUUUUAGUGCCACCUGGGUGAAUUGAGUACGGCGAUUCAUGUGCUUCUGCCAAUAUCUUCUUCCUUAGACCUUCUUGGCCGGGUCGCAAAUCCUUCCUCGGAACCUUAGCGUACCUUGCUGAUCUCUAGAGAAAUCAUGUGUCUGUCCCUCUUGCAUACGCUUGGCAUAUAAUUGCAAUGAUUUGUCAUCUGCUUGAGCGCUACGAAUUUCUUCUUCGAGGGUAGGAGCAACUUCCAAUAUACUGGCAAGACUGGCAUCCAUGAUUACCAAAUUGAGCUAAGCGAAUUCUUCAUAAAGCUCAGGAGGCAAAGAUUCCAUUAGAGCAUUCAGGUUGGCCGGUUUGUGGCUGAGGGCAUCAGGAACCACGUUAGCUUUGCUCGGGUGAUAAUUUAUACCGAGGUCGUAAUCCUUAACCAACUUGAGCCAUCUUCGCUGACGAAGGUUCAAAUCGGGCUGAGUGAAUAUAUACUUGAGACUCUUGUGGUCGGUAAAUAUCUGGCACCUCUUUCCGAUAAGAUAGUGCCUCCAAAUCUUCAAAGCAUGCACCACCGCAGCCAAUUCCAAAUCAUGAGUGGGAUAAUUUCCCUCGUGUGGCCAUAGUUGUCGGGAUGCAUAAGCCACAACCUUGCUAUCUUGCAUAAGUACGCAUCCAAGGCCUUUUCUAGAGGUGUCACAGUAGACAUCAAAACUGCGGUAGACGUCGGGAAGAGUCAAUACUGGUGCUGACGUCAGUCUAAUUUUCAGCUCAUUGAAACUCUGUUCGCAGUCCUUAGUCCAUUCAAACUUCUUAUCCUUCUUUAGGAGCUCUGUCAUGGGCUUGGCAAUCUUGGAGAAUCCUUCAAUAAAACGGCGAUAAUAUCUGGCUAGUCCAAGGAAACUUCGGAUUUCUAAGACUGUCGUGGGUGCGGACCAAUCAAGCACAUCUUUUACCUUGCUUGGGUCCAUGGCUAUUCGUUCUGCCGAGAGAACAUGCCCUAAAAAUCCAACUUGCUUGAGCCAAAACUCACAUUUGCUGAACUUGGCGUAAAGCUGAUGAUCGUGGAGCCUUUGCAAAACUGCUCGGAGGUGGUCCUUGUGUUCGUCUUUGCUUUUUGAGUAAAUGAGGAUGUCAUCAAUGAACACCACCACAAAUUUGUCCAAGAAGUCCAUAAACACCUUAUUCAUCAUAUGCAUGAAGAAGGCUGGAGCGUUGGUGAGGCCGAAUGACAUAACGGUAUACACAUAGAGACCAUACCGAGUGGUGAACGCGGUCUUGGGAAUAUCUUCCUUCUUGAUUUUGAGUUGAUGAUAUCCGGUCCUCAAAUCAAUUUUGGAGAAUGCUUUGGCCCCACUGAGUUGAUCAAACAAAUCAUCAAUCCUUGGUAGUGGAUACUUAUUUUUGAUGGUGACGUCAUUCAGCUGUCGGUAGUCUACGCACAUCCGAAGACUGCCAUCCUUUUUAUCCACGAAUAUCGCGGGUGAUCCCCACGGUGAAGAGCUUGGGCGGAUGUAUCCUUUCUGCAGCAUCUCAUCUAGCUGUUCCUUGAAUUCCACCAAUUCUGAUGAAGACAUCCGAUAAUAUUUCUUGUGUAUCGGUGUGGUUCUAGGCACCAAGUCAAUUGCAAACUCCAGUUCUCUCUCUGGCGACAUUCCUAGUAAUUCCUCAGGAAAUACAUAGGGAUACUCACUGACCACCGGAAUCAAUUCCAACUCUUCAGCCACGGCGGUGAAAACCAUAUCCUUCUUGGGUACGCUUUUACGGGCAUAAAAACUUGCAGUGCGACCCUCCUGAUUUGCCAUGGUAAUUUCUCUGGUCGCACAGUUGAUGCAUACUUGGUAUUGGGUCAACCAAUUCAUUCCCAGAAUAAUAUCCAAUUUGUCAGAAUCGAUGAUUAUCAGAGACGUCAGAAACCCGACCCCCUUGAUAUUAAUUUCCAGAUUACGGUAGAUCAGAUUGCUUCUAAGCAAGGAUCCCGUGGAUUGUACCAGCAUAUGUUUUCCCAAAAUUGAGCAAGGAAAUUUGUUUUGGGCAGCAAAACUCCGCGAAAUAAAAGAGUGGGAAGCCCAGAGUCAAAUAAAAUUAUGGCAGGUAUGUUAUUAACAGGAAACAUACCAAUGACAACUUAUGGGUCCUCUUGGGCUUCAUCGGUGGAUAUAUGAUGGAUUUUCCCUUGGAUGGCACUCGGGCCGAAAUAUGGCUCCAGAUAGUUCACUUGCGGACGGAAUGGAGCUAUUGGCUUGCCGUUCUUGGGGCACUGUCUGGCAUAAUGUCCGUUUUGCCCACAACUGAAACAGGAAUUGUUGCGCUGACAAUCUUCACGUACCGGGCUGGUCAUGAUAUUCUUGACUUGAGUGGUGGUCUUGUUGACAUUUUGCUGCCAGUUGGUUUGUACUCAACCUGAGUCUGUUGCCAAGUACGAGCCUUCUGCACGGGUUGCAUAUCCUUCUUAGGCUCAAAUUUGCGCUUGUGGUCAUUAUUAGCUGGCUUGUUGUUGUGCAUGAGCUUGUGUUCCCUUUCUGCGACAAGAGCCUUGUUCACCAGAGUUUGGAAGUUUGGAAAAUCAAACAUGCUGAGAGUGCACCUGAGAUGCUGAUUUAGUCCUCCAAGAAAUCUAUCGACCUUCCGUUCCUCGGUGGCCACAUCAUAGAGUGAAUAGCGGGCCAAAUGGUUAAAUUUAUUCAGGUACUCGCUGACUGACAUCUUCCCUAAGUGAGAGAGAGGAAUUCGCGCUGCUUGAUUUUCAUAAUUCCGGAGGGAAUAUGAUACUUGCGGAAAUGAUCCUUGAAUUUAGUCCAAGUACUUUCCUCGUCCGUGGGCCACAUGGCCUUAGCAUUAUCCCACCAUAUCGUUGUAGCUCCUUCAAGAUAAUGUGUUGCGAAAGGAACCUUGUCUCCUUCUUCAGUGCGAGAAAUUUCCAGUUUCUUCUCAAUAGUCCUUAACCAAUCAUCAGCGUCCAAUGGAUCAAUAACUUGACUGAAACUAGGAGGCUUGGUUCGCUGAAAAUCUGACAGCUUGGAGUAAUGACCAUUCUGAUGUCCAUUCUGCCCAACCAUAACUUGCACACUUUUCAGUAGUUCCAUCAGAUCGUUGUUCCUUCUUUCUUCAAACAUUCGCAUGAUUUGAUCAAUAGAAGGCGGAUGCAACGAUGGAGGUGGAGGUGGUUGGUACGGCUCGGGGGAAUGUCCUGCUUGUCUUGCAGAGCGACGAACAGGGACAUCCUCACAAGCUUGGCUGCUGCUGCCUCCCCGCGACAUCCUAUUAUUUAGUUUCCCAAUGCAAAGCAACUGCGAUGAGAAAUAUCCAAAACUGGGAGGAAAGCCAGUGACAAAUCCAGAAGAAAACAGCGAAAGAAACCAAGGCGAAUAAAAAGAGAGUUCCAACAUAAUUACACAUAGACUCAACAUAAGAGUUAAACAUCAUGACAGGGUCACUACCCUCAUACAUGAAACUAAGCAUCACAACACGUGCGACUACAUCCAUACAUCAUACUCAUGACGAUGGUGAUACUCUAGCGAUCUACUGCUCGAAUGGCGUUGUUGUGGGCUCCUCUCCUGAGCCGGACCCAGAUCCUGAACUGAUAGUGGUGACCUCCGAGUUAAGAGUGACGCGACGGCGCUGCCUCGAAGGCUCUCCCUUAGGGGCAGGUGCGGGAUGGGAUCUAAGCAUAGGAGCUGCAGGAGUAGUGACAAGGGAAGCCCACGCAGCAGGAGCACUGCGAGGUUUUACUGCCAAAGGGGUAGUGGUACUCUGAGUGGUGGAAGAGGCUGGAGGAACGUAUGGAGUGAAACCGAUAGUAGGGAGAGGGUUCCUAUUAUGAGCAGCGGCGAGAGCUAUCCGGUCGCGGGUUAGCUCCCGAGCUAACUCGUAGUUCAAGAGAUAACUGGCAGUGAUAUAACGGGAAAGGUGGCUAGUAGGACGAUCGCAUGCUGGAUUAAUCAGAGGAAAGCGGAUACGCCCAUUCUCGUGCAUAGAUGGGUAGCAAAAGAAACCUGGGUGGGUGUGCAUUCGAACCUCGUUGUAGCGCAAGUCUACAAGAGCUUCGAUUGCAGCAAACUGGACCGCCUGAGAUGGCAUAGAAGCGAGACCACCCUUAGUAGAACGAGUGUAAGCGCCGGAAGGGGAACUGUGGUGUAGAGUGACCUCAGCAUAAAACUCAUACAAUGAACCGGCCAGAUGCUCUCGAUACACCUGAUACUCUUGAUCAGCACCCUCUGGGUAGAGUCAUCACCACACGUUCUGAAGCAGGUGCGGCGAUGUGUACGGAGCUGGCUCAUGAUGGUACAAGAUCAGAACUGGAGCCAUCCACACUCACAACCAUCAUAUGUUUAGUAAUAACAACAGAUAAACAUGCAUGCUAUGCAACAACCAAUUCCUAUGACUACCGGCACUCAGACAAAGCUAUUUACCGUUCCACUAACACACUAACGGUCUAGCGUGUCCUACAAUCAGCGCGGCUCUGAUACCAAGCGUUGUGGCACCCCGGCUCAGAGCAACUGGUUUACCUUGCAUUGCCAGCCCAGAGAUCAAGUCUUCUGGCAACACACAACAACAUGGUACAGAAGCACCGCUUUAUUGAUGCUAGUGGAAUACAUCGGUCUGAUGUUACAUCGAGAUAAGAGGCCAAGCGACACACAUGGUGCGGCUGAACAGUAUGUACAUUAUUUAAUGAACAUGAAGGGCCUCGGUCACAUGAACUACGCGACAGCGGAAGAACGAUGAAGUGGAACUCCAUAGCACACGGACACCGAUGUGGACACGGCCUAGACGCUGGGAGCUCUCCGAUUGCGAAACGACUUUCCUGAAAGCUGGCAUGACACGUCAGGUCAGUACAUUGAAUGUACUUGCAAGCUCACAGCAAACAUAAGCACAAUGACAAACAAUAUCAUGACAAUUAAUCAGUUUAAUGCAAUGCAAGAAAUGCUACUAAUGCGGUGAAACCAACAUGUGCACUGAGUCCCACGGACUCGCUUACCAGACGGGUUACCUCGUAACCAAACGGUGAUCGUACACAUAUCACAACUGAAACCAAUCACUCAUGAUCAGCUCAUGAGCUCCGAAAUCAUCAUGAAGUCAGUGCCAUCAAUAGUUAUUUAGUGUGCAAGAUUAAUUAUCAAAGUUGAUCCAUGUGUGACUUACUCCCGAGUUGUGCCCAUAACCGAGGACGCGGCUAUCGAUAGAUUUAAUACACUCUGCAGAGGUAGCGCACUUUACCCACACCACGGAAUCCAAGGCCUCGCACUCCCAUUCGGGUGGACCAACGGCAUUCCGACGAAACCCUCCCCUUGUCAUGACACUCUCCCGGCCACUCCGACAAACUCCCUCUCAGGGCUAUGUCCUGGGUGGUCCCGUGUCUACCAAAGACACCAACGGCCAAUGUCGUGGCAAAACAGUCCCAAGCGGGGACAAGGUACCAUAAAAACAAACGGGCACACAAGGCUAUGUCUGCUUACCGGGCCAGGGUAUGCACACCCAUAACCUUCCCUCGUUGGAGGCAUCGGCAAGAGACACAACAAAGGACCGAAUUAAGACCUCCCACAAGGUAAAUGUGGUCGCACUGAGAAAAACCCGAUUCAGUGGCACCAUGACUUGAUCAACGUCAUAUUCAAUUUGGACUUAUUAACAAGUUUAACUUGAAAAUAAAAUUUAAUCUACCAAGUCAUACGAUGCCAUGAUCAUGCAACUAAUCGACAUGUAAAACAUGCAACUCCCAUGUAUGGAUCAAACUUAUCAACAUAACUUACUUGCACUACUCAUGAUUAAACUUUACUGGUUCUACGUCAUUUUUAGUAUCAUGCAAUAUUUUGAUUAACUCAUAGUUUAUAUGAAAAUAUCACUUAACAAAAGAACUAUCAAUAUUUCUCAAAGCAAUCUAACUAAGGCAAAAUUUUAUUUUACCAGAUUAAACUAGUCCAUGCAUUCAACCAGCAACUUAAACAAUCAUUUCAAGCAUGACAAAGUAACUAGCAAGCAACCAUGUUUAUUUUAAAAAAAUUUAAAUGCAUAUAAGAACUCAUAUUUAAGUAGAAAAAUCAUAGAUAUUGAAAUGACACCAUCCAAAUGCUGGUGUGGCUUGCCUUAGUGCAGAGGAGGGUCACACUCCUCCUGGUUAUCUUCAAGGCAAGUCCCUCCUUCUGCAAAUAUUUAGAACCCACAAAACAAAAUAUCAAAAACCAUUCUGAAAAUCACCAGAAAUUCUAGACAGCAAGGAAAAUUCCACAUUUUUGUGUGCUGCUGGAGCUUUCUGAAACAAACACAAUGCAAAAAGAAUCACCUCAUUUGGACUUAUGGGCUAGGAGUUAUCACUGGUCAAAGUUGUGGUCAAAUAUUUGAAUUAAUUUGAAUAAAUCAAAAAAACCUGGGGGAGACGUCGAUGGCGUAAAGCCAGGAUACGCCUCCACUCGUACCGCUUCGGGUGCGAGUGGAGAGGUUGACACUAGUCCCCACCGGUCAGGAGAGAGAGGGGGAGAGAGGGAAACAAAGCGCGGCGGCAGUCCGCUGGAGCUUAUGCCAGCGAUGAGUGGGUCUUGGGCAAAACCAGAGGGAUAGAAGUGGAGAGGGGGUCGUGGCGCACCUGCCCGUACCCGUGGCUUGCUGGGGGAUGGUCGGAGCUGCUCGCAGUCAAGCUUGCAAGCGGCGGUGGUGGACGGGGCUUGCCGAAGAGUAAGAAGGUGACGGCGAGAGGCGACUCCAGGGGCUCAACUACGUCCAGGCGACACGAGAGGAUCACAAACAACGCGCCUGAGAGGUUGAUUGAGCUCGAGGGGUCUGGAGCAGGGUCGUUGGGCUGCGGGGAUCGCCGAUGAUCUCUGGUCGAGGUCGACGGCCAGAGGCCUACCCGACCAGGCUAUGGCUCUUCUACGAGGUCGUGGUGGUUGUGUGGUGCGGUGUGAGGCUUCGAAGCGGAGGGAAUGGCUCUAUAUAUAGCUGGAGCGAGAGGGGGGUACGUAGCGCCGCCGGAGUUCUCUAGAGACCGGCGAACGGCGACAAAAGGCUCCAGUAAGAGGGGGCAAGGGCUCAGUGUGUAGGCGGGAGCUGUCCACGCUCACGGAUGAGCACAGGAGGCAGGGGAGAAGAAGAUAAGGGCACCAGCGCACUGUGGCUUUUGGCCACGACGUGCCCGUGCUUGCUGCGGGGUCUCCGGCGUCGACGAGCGCCAGGGAGGGGUCAAUGGUGAUGAGUCGAGGCUGGUGGCAUUGUGCGGCAGUCGUCGGCGAGCUCUCGCUCGAGCACGCGCCGAACAGAGGUGUUGGCGUUACUCAGAGUGUGUCGAGCGCAUGCCAGACCCCGUGUCCACACGCGGUCACCGCCCUGGCAUGGUCAAAACGAUGCCCACGACUGGCCAAACCUUGUCUGGGCUAAAUUCCAUGCAGUGAUAGGUCUAGGAAAGCUGAGGACUCAUCGCCAGGCCGACCAGAUGUGACUCAACCAUCUUGGCAAGUUUCUGGACAGAAACUUGGCUGCUACGUUUCGAUAUCUUCUAGAUGGCCAUGAGGGCUGAUCUCCUGGGGUUAAGGUUUUCCUAGGAGGAUGAAGAGGCUCAAGAAAAAUCAGGGCCAAAGGAUCAAGGAAAAAUACACUUGCUGUACAAAGUGCAAUUUUGGACCAGAAGAGAAAUUAUUUUCUGUAGCAAAAUAUUACAAAAAGUCAUGCAAUAUUUUUGCUGGGGAAAGUGGGCCAUGGUUCAAAAAAUAUUCAAGAAUUAUUUCAUAAUUUUUGGAGCAAUAAAAAUGGGGGUUGCUUUGGAGCAUUAGUUUCUAAAAUAAGUUUCAGAAGAGAAAAUAAAUAUUUUUCUUUUAUGAAAAAUAUUCAUUUGAUUAUUUUGGGGAUUUUUCAGAGAAAUAGGAUUGAAUGAAAAGUAGAUAGGUCACUUGGGUGAAAGUCAAGGGCAUGCCCAAGUGAUAAGUCCGGUUGAAUUGAUUCCAAAAAUCCAAAUCCAAGGCAAAGGCAAAACCAAGUCCCGAAAAAGAGAGAAGGCAAAAUCCAGGCUGUCACACUAUUUCCAUUCACUACUGCAGGAUGCUGCUAACGUGACACUACGAUUAGAGACCCUUCGAAGAAACUGUGUGCGAUGCCAUAAUCGCAAACGGUGAUGUAAAAUAACCGUCAAAAAAGGUGCAAAACGUUUGUGAUGGAGGAUGCAUCAAACACGGUUCACAUUUUAGUUGCGUGUGCGAUGCAGGGCAUACGGUUCAGCUCAAUUAACUAUUUGUGAUGAGGAGGAACAAAAGAAAUGGGCAGCCAGGUGAAGGUGUGUGUGAUAUACAGCAUACGGUUCACUCGAAUGAACUGUUUGUGAUUAGGCAACACAAAAGAAACGGGCAGCCAGAUAAAGGUGUGUGCGUUAUACGUCAUGCGGUUCACUCGGAUGAACUGUUUGCGUUGAGAGAAGAGAACGGAAACUGUUAAUAUAACAAGAUGUGUGUGAUACGUGGCAAACAGGUCUGUAAUCAGAAAUGUGUGCGAAGACCGAUAAUAACACAGACGAUUGCUUCUAAUAAGACGUAUGUGAUAUGCUUUGUCUACACAACAUCUAUUGGCUAUUGGGGGACGGGUGGUCAUCCGAAUAAGCCAUAAGGAUGCGAAGAGGCAUCCUAUUAGCAAGGACUAGCUGUUCCACCAGUAGCUCAUGUAAGAAAACUUUUAAGUUAAGUGUGCUCAGGCUGGAGCAACCAUCAGAUGGGUGACUGGAUGGGAAGUUGUGUUGAUGUUAAAUUAACUGAUAGGAUGUGUCAUAUCUGUCAAAUUAAAUGACUGAUACGACCCAUCACAUGAGUUAAUUUAACCUCGAGGUCCUUUUUUUUAACACAUGUUAAAGAAGGUCUACCGCACUACUUUUUGACAAUGUGCGAUACGUGGCAUACAGUUGAUCCAUCUGACCUGUUUGUGAUGGAAUAGGCCAUGUGUGUUGUGCGCAAAUGCUUGCUAGUAUUCAACCGUUUGGGAUUGAUGAAUUCAUCACCGACGGGUUCCCUAGUGUGGUCCAUGUUCAUCUGAUCAUCAUCUACUUCUUGUGCUAGCUCGAUGUUCCUUCUAUGCUAAGUUUCCAUUAAUUGAUGGCGUUUUAUGAACACGCCACCAUUUCCCACCAUUUCCUCACUUGUUUCCCGCCAUCCAACGAUAUUGCACAUAGGCGGCACGUGACGCACAGAGGCGACAAGCACAGCCUGUAGAACAUCCACCUUUUCCAAGCAUGCCAACCCACCAAAGUGAUGCCUCUGCCAUCAACCUCGUUGACAAGGAAAACGAGCAGGUGCCACGGCCCGACGAGGCCGAGGCUCUCCUCGGCAAUGCGAUGGACGACACCAUGAUGCGCGUCAUCGCCAGGGUUGAAUAGACCUGUGGCGCAUGGCUCUUGAGCACUGCGGAUCAAGAUAGGCAUGUCAGCGUCGACAGGCUGCAGCUCGCCGCACAACAUGAUCGAUGGCGCGCCGCAGAGCAAGCUAGGCGCGUCCGUGCCGAUAGGCUGUGGCUCGCCGCACAGCGAGACCGUUGGAGUGCCAUAGAGCGAGAUAGGCGCGGCGCGCCGCACAGCAAGAGUGGAUCCAUCGGCGCUUGCCUGCUGUCGACAUGGCGUCGCAGCUGGGUACACGUCCUGUCAGUACCCCCAUUCCUUGCCAGGAGUGGGCAGAGGCCCUCAUUGUCGUACUUGCACCACAGGCCAGCCGCGUCAUACUCAGGGGCGGGCCCAGGAAUUGAAGACUGUGUAUUGAAAUUUUGAAUUUUUUUGGGAAGCCUAUAGCCUUCCUUUUGGCGCGUAUAACCGAUUAUAGUAGUAUAUAUAUUGUACUAGUUAUAAACUAUAUAAAAGAUACUUCAUAAUAUGUUAUAUUCAUCAAAAUUGAUCAUAACUUGCAUCGUUCAACGUAUAAAAGUAAUUGUUCAACAUAUUGUGGAAGAAUCUAAGAUAUACAGAGGAUAGAAAAUAGAAAAUGAUAAGAAACCUUAAAAAUUACAGGAGUGAUAUUCUUUAUAGAUAAUGUUCACUGUAGAAAAAUCAAAAUUUAUAAACAUUCUCACAUUACAUAUUUAAAUGGAAAAUUGCAAACUCUCAUGUCUAAAUAAUUCAUGUGUCAGGACCCCGAUUCCAAGUCACAUCGAUCUAGCCGGUAACACCUCAUAUCACUUUGCGGCCUCACGCACGGUAUUCCCACGGGUGUCGCCUUACCAUGUCCCGGGACCGUUUGCGCCUUUUGGCUCACGUAUAUGAUAGUGUCGCUAGCAUCAAUAUGACAGAGAACCCGGGCUGACAUGGCUAGUCGUGAACCCAAAGCGGCACUAACCCAUGGGGAUAGGCAUACAUGAAUCAACUUCGAGCAUGUCGGUCAGCAACGUGUGAAUCCGAGCUGUAGCACUGGGCUAACAGGACUUUGGGAACCCGGGCUAUAGCAGGCUAGGCAGGACUCCGGAUGUCACCGCAUGACAUUUCCCCGAAGGGACAGACACAAGAACAAAGUGAAUCACAUGCCGGCCAGUCAAGUGUUCCGGAGCUGUAGUGCUGGGCUAGCAGGACUCCGGUGACCCGGGCUAUAGCGGACUACUAUGGCUCAUGGAAGCACAAGAUUACAUUUCCCCAUAAGAGAGGCUACCAAGGAUAAACAACUAGGUUGUCGGAUCCGACACAUACCAAGCAUUUCAAUCAUACACACAAUAUGCUCGAUAUGUGUAAAUACAACAUGGCAUCACAACAUAACUCUACGACUCAAGUAUUUAUUCAUUAGGCUCCGAGGAGCGAGAUAUUACAAACAUGGGUCUCAUGACCCAACAUUCAGAGCAUACAAGUCAAAGCACAUGCGAAAGCUUAACAUGUCUGAGUACAGACAUCUACAAAUGAAAAAGGCUGAGAAGCCUGACUAUCUACCAGAUCCUGCCGAGGGCACAAGAUCGUAGCUGAGGUAUCAAGCUAAACAUCGAAGUCCACACGGAACUACUAGCAAGACUGACGUCUCUCUGCAAAACAUAAAAUAGGCAAACGUGAGUACAAAUGUACCCAGCAAGACUUACAUCAGACCUAUCUACAUAUGCAUCGGUAUCAAUAAAGGGGGGUGGUGGAGUUUAACUGCAGCAAGCCAGCUUUGACUCGGUGGCUAUCCUGAACUACGACUGCAAGUAACUCUUUGAGGUGGCGCACAUGAGUCCGCACAUUCACCAUAUCAAUACACCACUAUGGAUCUACUCCAGUCUCCCUACGAGAAGGCCAUCCAUAGCACUCACGCUUAUCUUGCGAGUUUUAAAGUAUCCACUUUCAGUUAUCUAUGAACUGUUAUAGGCAACCCAGAAGUCCAUUACCGCGGACACGGCUAUUCGAAUACAUGAUGUUAACCCUACAGGGGUGUACUUCUUCACACAUGCUCGCACCACUUAUCGCCGUUUACACGACGUGUACUCGGCAACCUUCAAGCGGAAGCCCAGCGAGGGUGUCGGCCACGGCCUACCUAAACACUCAAGUCUCUAGUCCAGGUUUAUCGCCUAUUCAGGUUCCAUCCGUAGGGAGUCCGGCCGAGGUUUCCACAUACGGCCCCGAACGAUGUGUACAGGGUUCCGAGACACCAAACGGGCGCCCGACAUGCCCGGCCAUGUGCCUACCGCAUCACAGCCCACCCCUCCGGUCAGCGCUGCCCACGGCCUCCAGCAUACUACAAACACCAGAAACUACUUGCAACUCCUGGACAGAGGACAAGGGUGAUCAAGAAGUCGAGAUGGUCCAUUGGUUUCGGGCCCAAUGAGUAGUAGUAACUGUUUCAUGGAUCACAAACACAGAACUCAGUUGCUGAGGACGGCUUCAAUGAGACAACCCACCAUGUAAUCCUACAUGGCCUCUCACCGCUACCUUUACCAAAUCAUGUUCACACACUUAGCUCUCAGCAGUAGGACAUGUUUACACACCUCCGAUUCAUCCCCGAUGAAUCAGACCUGACUCAACUCUAAGCAGUAGCAGGCAUGACAAACAAGCAUGAAUGAGUAGGCACAUCAGGGCUCAAACAACUCCUACUCAUGCUAGUGGGUUUCAUCUGUUUACUGUGGCAAUGAUAGGUCAUGCAGAGGAAAAGGGGUUCAGCUACCGCAGCCACUACUAGAAAAACCGCUACUAAUGGCGCACCUAGUUUGGCCAUUAAUGGCGCAUCACUGGUGCGCCAUUACUAGCACGCCAUUAGUAAUUUUUACUAAUGGCGCACCAGUGGUGCGCCAUUAGUAUCUGGUAUACUAAUGGCGCACCACUNNNNNNNNNNNNNNNNNNNNNNNNNNNNNNNNNNNNNNNNNNNNNNNNNNNNNNNNNNNNNNNNNNNNNNNNNNNNNNNNNNNNNNNNNNNNNNNNNNNNNNNNNNNNNNNNNNNNNNNNNNNNNNNNNNNNNNNNNNNNNNNNNNNNNNNUCCAUUAGUAUGCCUCCCAGGGGCCAUGUAUACCUAGGUGCUUUGGCAUACUAAUGGCGCACGACCACGAGAUGUGCCAUUAGUAACCGCGGCAUGCUAAUGGCGCACUGUCGAGUGAUGCGCCAUUAGUAUGCUUUGUCAUACUAAUGGCGCACUGUCAUGUGAUGCGCCAUUAGUAUGAAUAUUAGGUUUUUUUUAUUUUUUAUUUUCUGUUUUUUGCACAGGUUACAAAAUGUAUAAUUUGACAAAAUAUAGACAACACACAUCAACAACAGAUUCAUCGAAUACAAUAGAAGAUUAGUCUUUGAAUACAAUUCAUCAUAUUAGUCUCCGAAUACAAUUCAUCAUAUUAGUCUCCGAAUUGAAAAGACCGAACAAAGAUAGAACAUUAUAUUACAAGUCUCGAGACCGCGAGUAGCGAGUUUGUCUUCACAUUACAAGUCGAUAUCGAUCAUCUAAACUACCAUCACAUAGAAGAGAGCUACGGUCAUCACGAUGAGCAUCAUCACGAUGAAACUCGUCUUCAUCCGGUUCCUCCAACGCUCCCUCCCCUCUCCCGCUAGAUAGCGGGCGUAUCUAGAUUCGGCCUCGGCCCUAGUGGUGUACCCUUUGUAACUGUUACCGCUGAAUCGGUGAACCUGUCUCCGACACUCCUCCCAGUCAUCGUAGACUCCGGGAACCUUACCCUUGUACACGACAUACGUCGGCAUCGCUAUGCACUAGCCAAAUGAAACGUUAGUACCAAUUCACAGACAAUACAUAAGCAAUAUAUAAGUAUGCAACAGAACGAUCGGAAGAGAAAAGCAAGACAUUAAUAGCAUCGAUUACAUCUAAGUUGAACGACUCUCGAAACCAAAGAGACAUACUACAAGUUCAUUAAAGUUUAAUUACAACAUGAGACAAUCGAUGUUUCAGAACUAGACACAGCAUCACUGCUUUCGACUCGACUCAAGGGACCGGAGCGUGGAUGAAGCCGCCGUCUAUCGUGGGAGUCAUGAAAUAACGGUCGUUGUCAGCCUGCAUUUGUAGCAUUGUGUCGAUGUCACUGUUGGACGGUUGAUUGUUGAGGUAGAACUGCCCCGAGGUACGAAGGACAUCUUGAUGGAUGAUUUCCGCAAACUCCGACUGGAUGCGAAAGAAUUCUUGUCGGAGGUCCGCGUCCUGGAUUGCCGACACGCUCUUUGCCCAAUCUUUGAGUUUACUCGGUAGCAGAAGUUGAUGAUGGUCCCGUACGAUCGCCCGCAUGUGAUGGAUGGCGUAGUAGGCACCCUUCUGACCGCCAGGCGGCUGCUUGACGCAGCAGAACGUUGUAUUGUGGGAGAACACGUGCUUGCCGUACUUACGAAUAGGCCUGGUGAAGGUACCUCCAGAUUUGGCGUAGCCGGGGAGAACAUCAUCAAGAACCUUCUUGACAUUUGUGUAGUCUACGUUCGACUGACGGUCCGGGUCGAAAUACGUGGCCAUGGAAUAUUUGGGGCUUAGGAGGAUGAGCGUGCAACGUGUGUCACUGCAGAAAACACAGAAUGUUAAAAGAAAAAUGAUCGAAAUGUAAGAAUUCAUAUGUUACGGGCCGGUUGAGGGGAGGACUUACUCGGGAAAGUAAGGCACGAGGAAGUUAUCCUUAUCUUGGUUUGCCAGAAUGACGCCUUCGAGGUAAGAACUCGCGACUUGCCGGUCCCCAGCGCUUCCCAAGAUCUUGGCACGCAUGUAGAAGGGGUCGACUAUCACGAUGUCCGGGGUCUUGUCGCGAAUGAUCCGCAUCUCCAUACUCAGCAAAAAUAGCCGAACGAAGGUGUAGUGCAGCGGAUGAAGGUUCAACAUAGCGUGGAUGUCAUCAAAACGCAGGACGAUCGUACGCCCGAUGGAGUUAUCCACAAAGCCCUUGCCCUCUGGCACCUUGGCCGCAAAAACUGGGUAUGCCACAUCCUUCUCCCUGAGAUGCCGCUUCUCCAAAGAAAGAACACUGUCAUGCAGACUCCGCAUAGCACCGGUUGCAGCAUUGAGCAUAUUUGUCGGUAGCAUCGCCCUACCCGCCACAUGCACCCUCCUCGAGAUAUCCUGCGGUGAAGGUGGCCCGUCCUGAGCAUGGAUCGUACUCUGUGCCGGCUGGCUCGCACCCUUCUUAGUCUUUCUUUUGCGUGCCUUCUUCUCCUGUAAUGGGACCGAGUUUUGCUCACAGACCGCCUUCUUGAGUGUGUUGGGGCUGAUAAUAUUUCGCACCUCGCCUAUUUGAGGCUCGGUGAAGUCGGCAGCUGGAGGCGUCUCCUGAGAGCUGAACGCCAGACGGCGCCUGUUGCAACUUGGCUUCUCCGCGGUACCAGCUAGAUCGCACACGUCUUUUGUUGGGUUUGGUUCUUGAGAAGGAGGCCCCAUGAAGUCGCCAUCGUACCCAUGAUCGGCAAAGUACUGAUCAACGUUGCGAAAUGUAUCAUCGUCGUCGUCGUCGUCGUUCUGAUCCUGUGCCAUAUGCAUGUUUGGAUCCAGUGGCAUAAGGAUGUCCGGCACCGUUGCGGCGGUCUUGCCAUGGGGCCGACUUGGCGCCGACACGACUGGCGGUGUUGUCUUUGGGGUGGUGUCCCCCGCCCCCAAACGAAUCUGGCUCUUCGGCCAAAGCAGGGGCCAACUCAAGCAUGCGCUAAGGGUCAUCACGUCAUCAUCGUCGGCCCCGACGGGUCGAAUCGGAGGUAACAACUCGUCGCAGCCUGGCAGCACCCGAACCAGUUGAACCCUAAACAAGUUGGGUGGCAUCUGGGUACCGUGGAACAAGGGGUUGCCCGGUUGAACUAUUUUGCCCUUGGCGACAUCGACCAACUCGUUGUUCACGAAGUGGAGGAGAGUGCACGGAAUGUCGGCGGCGCCCUGCGAAAACAUGUAGGGCGGCAGGGAUGCCCAGUCAAAGGCAAGGAGAUGAAGUUCUCGGCCGAGAGAGGCUUAAUUAGUUACCGUGAUGAUGGCGUCGAGCUCGGCUAAUGUAGAGGCACCGCCAACGGCGGGCGUGCAGUUGACGGAGGGGCCGCUUGCUGCAGAGGUGCCGGCCGGCGUACACCCGGGUGCAUUAAGCUCCCGUGCCGGUGUCGGAGACACCGAUGCCGCCUCCGCCGGAGGCACCAAUGGCCCCGCCAUCGCAUUAUGCGAGUUGCUAGCCGUGAAGCUAGGAAUCGGGGGCAGCCCUUGUUGGCCGCCCGCAAUCCACGCACUCAACCCCGAGAUCAAGGUAGGCACAAUGGCGGUGAUCGUCGCUCCGAGUCGUUGUUCCACUUGCUCUUGGACAAUCUCCGGAAUCCGCGCCACCUGUGCCUUGAGUUCUUGAACCUCUCGCGCCUGGCUUUCCAAGCUGGUCUUUUUCUCCUUCCGCACACCAGCGGUAUAGUAUGACCCCCAUUUUGUCGACAAGCCUUUGCCGGCCACACGACCAGCUGACGUCGGCUUACUGAGCUUAUCCUUGUUCUUCAUUACAUUCAACCCCCUAUUUAGAGUGGUGUCCCAAGGGUUGCUCUUAGUCGACCCCGUGCUACUGCUUUCAGUCGCCUGCGGAAGGAAUGUGAACCAUUUAGAAAUUUGGCUUCAUUAAUUAGAAUGCAAUCAUAUGGAGCUAAUUACGCGGGGGUGUAUUCCUUACCAGAACAAGCUCAAGCUGCCUGGUCUUCGGAUCCAUGGUAAGCUCCUUUGUUUUUGGGUCCUUCUUGUACCGGGCCCUGACAAAGUUCCUGGUCUGCUUGUCACCGUAUUUAUCGAAGAGGGGCGGUAGGCCUUGCUCGGCACGGUCCGCCUCCUCCUUGUCCCAUAUAGGCUCCGCCACUCUGUAACCGCCGGGACCGAGUGUGUGUUCCCCUAUGUUCAGCUCCCGCAUUUGUUUCCCCCACUCACUUGAUUGGGAGUUUGCGGUGCUUGAGCAAUUGAUCUUGAAGUCGUUGUAGUCAUCUUCGGUGAUCGAAGGAUUUUUCUCCUUGAUCUUCUGAUAACUCUCACCUUUCUCGAUCAUUCUCUUCACAUUGCUUUUCCAAGUAGACAGGGCCUUGCUCAUCUUCGUGAGGGCAACAUUGUUCACUUUAUUCCCUUUGAGGCUUGUGUUUGAAAAUUCAGCGGGGAACUUGUAUCGUUCGUGCAGCUUCGUGAAGAGGAGGUUGCGCAAAUUCCCUCUGUCAGGAUGCCUCAGGUUCUCGGUGUUGAUCGAGACGGUGCUCCGGACAAUGCAUCCGAGCUGAAGCGAGUACCCCUUGACUAUUCGUUCGGGCGUUGUUGGAUUCCUGUUGGAGUCCACUUCAGUAACUUCCUCCUUGAGGGUGCGGAGCACGGUCAGGCGCCGGUCCUUCCGUUGCCUCUUCGGUUGGCUGCCAUCUAUGCGUGCGCCGCCAUCAUCAAUGGUGGCAUCCUCGGCGGCACCAUCAGUGGUGGCAUUAGUGUGGUCAUCCUCGGCGGCACCAUCAGUGGUCUCAGGAUCGAUGGGGAAGGCGGCGGCCUCAUACAAGUGAGGUUGUUCCUCCAUCUCCUGGGACAGCUCCCAGAAUGCCUUGCCGCCCGAACCCCCGGCCUCAUCGUUGUGGGCCAUGUUUCUCUCUAAAUAGAAACAAAGUUUGGUCAAAAAGUUGGUUAUUGUCAAGGAACAAGAUCAUGGUCUCAUCAUUUAGGGUUUGUCGACACCGAGGCAUCCUAAAAUCUAAGCUUUUAUCAUUGAGGGUUUUUCGACGCCGAGGCACGCUAAAAGCCUAAGCUUUCAUCAUUUCGGUUUUAUCAUUUAGGCAUUAGUCACAAGUACUCCGGGGCACUUGAUCCUACUUAAUUAACUACUACGAUACCCCGGCCCAUGCAUUAGUCACAAGUACCCCAUAUGUCCUAUUUUUAGCAAAGUCAUGCUAAAAUUCACGGAAAAUUUCAGCAUGACCUUUGCUGAAAAUAGGACAUAUGGAGUACCCGAAUUUGCCGGAAUGGAAGUUAAUCGACAUUCCGGCAAACUCAAGGGCCUCUCGGGGUACCUGCAAAAUCAUUAUCCCAGGUGGACAUGGAUGCAAUGUCACAUGUCACAUGGAUCCCACACCCACAGGAGCUGGUGAAGCUUCAUGUGUAUUUCACGAAAACCAGCCUGACUAAAGAGCUUUAUGUAGAAAACAAAUCACUCCACCAGCUCACACAGGAUCAUCCCUCUAAGCAAUUACUCAAAAUGGGCACUAGCAGCAAAAAGGGAAAAUGCAAUUUAUGGCACAUAGAUGUUGAUCCACUGACAUUCAUAAAUUUCAGAAGAGAAAACAGCAGGCAUUGCGCAUGCAGUAUUUACUGCUAACCAGGGAGAAGAGGUUCUUAUUUUCACUCCCAACAACAAGCAGGAAAACGUCUACAUCGAUGCACUCGGACGAAGAAAGUGCAGCAUACAUAUAGUUCAUAACAGAGUGCACUGUGUGCAGAAACAGGAAGCGUACUAUCAAUCAUCCACAUAUUUUUCGACAAAGAUCAAUCAUCUAUAUAGUAAGGGAUAGCUAAAUUCGCACUUUACUAAACAAACUAUCCCUCAAGUUAUGCUAUGAAAACAUAUUCGGUUUUUGAGACACCAACAAUUAAGAACCUACAGACAAGUAUUAAGAGAGCAGCUACACUAGGAUUAAAGAAAUUGACUCCUAACUACUACCCAGUUCAGCGUUGAGACUCCACCAAUUAAGGUCCUACAUAGUAAUAGACCAUCUAAAAUAGCAUUCCACUACUACCCACUACAAGCAGUAUGUGCUAAACUAGCAUGUCACUACUACAGACUAGAUUGGAAACUGGGUCCUAGCAGCUACAUAUUCAGUUUGCAACAUAACCAAUCAAGACCCUACAAGGUGCCACUUGUUCAUCCUACCAAGAACAGCAGCAUCCAGAAAAGCUCCAUAUUUCAUGCACUCUGCUUCUACACAAAUGUGCUCUGCUCCUAGCUAGUUUCAGUUCAGAUCUGAUUACUCUUUGCUCUUAUCCUGGUUUAGAUCUUGUGGUAAUUAAAUAAAUGUCCGUAUAUGCAAUUGCAGACCAAAACAAAACUACAAUUAACAGCCCCUGUUUUAUUGCAAGUAAAUUUGCUAUCUUAUACUCCCUCCUCUCUGGAUUAGAGAUCCUGCGUGUAAUCUAGGUUGUCUAUUUUACCAACAUAACAAUACAUAUCACAAAAGUUAUACUAUUAGUAGAAAGUACAAUAAAUCUUCAGCAAGAACCAGUAAGGUCCAUAUAGGGCUCUGGCUCCAACUAUAUCAUGUUUUAUUUAAACACAGUAUGUUUCAAUUCCUCCUCUAUACAAAUCUUGAGCAAGGACCAGCAUAUCUAUAUUACUAUAUAGUGUACGAGUUUUGAAGAUUUGAAUCUCAAUGAUAGGAAAGAAUCUGAACCGUUGAUAUAGUCCAUCGAAUGGUCCAAAAUGUUGGGAUUCGCAUCUACAGUGCCAGCUACAAUGCAUCUGCAGUAUAGUAAAGAUUCUGCUGUUUUCCAGAACCAUCUACAAACAAGAAAAGUUCACCUGCUUGCUACUGUUGUGCAUUUGUGUGUGUAGCAGGCCGAACCGAGCAUACAAAUAGACAGGCAGUCUGCGGCAGCGUGCACACUAAUCACGUUGGCAAGGAACGAGGUGAUGUUUUGGCCUUUUGGGAUAGUUCUUAGAGUUGGCUGUACUAUAAGAUACUACUUGGGGAUGGCUUGAGAAGUAUUCAAUGGUGGUUAGCGCAUAUGCAUAUCUGAUGGAAUGAUUAGAGAGUUUUUGGAUGGAGAAAAAGAAGCGAGAUAGUCUCGACCAUGGAACACAGCGAUGAACAUUUCCUUUCUGAAAAAUAUUGAAGGGGGCUGGAAAUAAGAAAAGAAACUUUUGUUAUACCUCGCAAAAAAACUUUGGUUGUAUAUGAGAAAAUAUACUGGAAUAAAAUAAAUAUGGAAAUUGAUCUGUCCAGACUUAUUAUAUGCAAACCCGUUUAUGUUUCAUUUUUCAUUUUUAAUAAAAUUUAUAGUUUGAGAAUUGUUCUUCUCACAUUGUAAUAACUCAUAUAUAUCUCAAUGGACGACUAAUAGAAUUACUUUAUUGCUUGCUGUAGGGGGCAAAAAGUAGAUAAGUUUUCAACAUUGUGAUAAUCAACAAUGAAAUCAAUCACANNNNNNNNNNNNNNNNNNNNNNNNNNNNNNNNNNNNNNNNNNNNNNNNNNNNNNNNNNNNNNNNNNNNNNNNNNNNNNNNNNNNNNNNNNNNNNNNNNNNNNNNNNNNNNNNNNNNNNNNNNNNNNNNNNNNNNNNNNNNNNNNNNNNNNNNNNNNNNNNNNNNNNNNNNNNNNNNNNNNNNNNNNNNNNNNNNNNNNNNNNNNNNNNNNNNNNNNNNNNNNNNNNNNNNNNNNNNNNNNNNNNNNNNNNNNNNNNNNNNNNNNNNNNNNNNNNNNNNNNNNNNNNNNNNNNNNNNNNNNNNNNNNNNNNNNNNNNNNNNNNNNNNNNNNNNNNNNNNNNNNNNNNNNNNNNNNNNNNNNNNNNNNNNNNNNNNNNNNNNNNNNNNNNNNNNNNNNNNNNNNNNNNNNNNNNNNNNNNNNNNNNNNNNNNNNNNNNNNNNNNNNNNNNNNNNNNNNNNNNNNNNNNNNNNNNNNNNNNNNNNNNNNNNNNNNNNNNNNNNNNNNNNNNNNNNNNNNNNNNNNNNNNNNNNNNNNNNNNNNNNNNNNNNNNNNNNNNNNNNNNNNNNNNNNNNNNNNNNNNNNNNNNNNNNNNNNNNNNNNNNNNNNNNNNNNNNNNNNNNNNNNNNNNNNNNNNNNNNNNNNNNNNNNNNNNNNNNNNNNNNNNNNNNNNNNNNNNNNNNNNNNNNNNNNNNNNNNNNNNNNNNNNNNNNNNNNNNNNNNNNNNNNNNNNNNNNNNNNNNNNNNNNNNNNNNNNNNNNNNNNNNNNNNNNNNNNNNNNNNNNNNNNNNNNNNNNNNNNNNNNNNNNNNNNNNNNNNNNNNNNNNNNNNNNNNNNNNNNNNNNNNNNNNNNNNNNNNNNNNNNNNNNNNNNNNNNNNNNNNNNNNNNNNNNNNNNNNNNNNNNNNNNNNNNNNNNNNNNNNNNNNNNNNNNNNNNNNNNNNNNNNNNNNNNNNNNNNNNNNNNNNNNNNNNNNNNNNNNNNNNNNNNNNNNNNNNNNNNNNNNNNNNNNNNNNNNNNNNNNNNNNNNNNNNNNNNNNNNNNNNNNNNNNNNNNNNNNNNNNNNNNNNNNNNNNNNNNNNNNNNNNNNNNNNNNNNNNNNNNNNNNNNNNNNNNNNNNNNNNNNNNNNNNNNNNNNNNNNNNNNNNNNNNNNNNNNNNNNNNNNNNNNNNNNNNNNNNNNNNNNNNNNNNNNNNNNNNNNNNNNNNNNNNNNNNNNNNNNNNNNNNNNNNNNNNNNNNNNNNNNNNNNNNNNNNNNNNNNNNNNNNNNNNNNNNNNNNNNNNNNNNNNNNNNNNNNNNNNNNNNNNNNNNNNNNNNNNNNNNNNNNNNNNNNNNNNNNNNNNNNNNNNNNNNNNNNNNNNNNNNNNNNNNNNNNNNNNNNNNNNNNNNNNNNNNNNNNNNNNNNNNNNNNNNNNNNNNNNNNNNNNNNNNNNNNNNNNNNNNNNNNNNNNGAGUAGGGAAGGGGUGCGGGGGGUCGGCGGCGGCGGUUGAGUAGGGGAGGGGUGCGGGGGGUCCACAAUUUUUUUAUGCAUUUAAAAUGUUGUUUGAUACUUAUUUGUGUUUAAAUAUGUUCAAAUUUGUUUUAUAAGACAGUAAUAAUUUUUUUAUAAGACAGUAAUAAUUUUUUAAAAAAUAUCAUCGAUCUUAGCUAGCUAUCUGUUCACAAUCUUCUUGCCCUUCUUUUUCGCAAUUGGAGUUCUUCUAUGGAACGGACGUCCUUUAGGUAGGGUGGUCCUGCUUCUUCUUGUGGUGUAUGCUGCUACUUCAUCAUCGUCAUCAUGUUCGAUCCUCGGGUCGCCGUACUUGUCGAAGUCUUGCUCAUUGGCUACUCCAUCCAUUCCGAUGAUCUUCCUUUUGCCUCUCCUCACGACAACACGACUGGGCUUUGGCGGGUCGGUAAUGAAGAAGCAUUGGUCCACUUGGGAAGCCAGUACCCAUGGCUCAUUUUUCGCGGUGACGUUUGCGCCCGCGGUCUUGGAUUUGGCUUCAGGUAUAACCAUGGUGGUGAAAUACCGGUCUUCUUUUAUGACGUUCUUGGCCCAUCUGACACGGAACAUCGGGACCUUCUCUCUAGCGUAGCUCAGCUCCCAGAUCUCCUCGAUCCUUCCGUAGUAUUUGUCCUUGUCGUUACCGGUGUAGGAUUCCAUCGUUACCCCGGAGUUCUGAUAACCAUCGCUCUUCAUGUCCUUGGCCUCGGUGUAGAAUGUGUAGCCGUUGAUAUCGUACGCCUCAUAGGUCAUCAGGUUGUGCUCGGCGCCCUGUGACAAGGCAAAUAUGAGUUGUUCUUCCGCGGAAGAAUCCUCAUGUAAAGGGUACGACAGAAGCUUCUGCUUGAACCAACGCGUGAAACAUGAGUUGUGCUCUUUGAGUAUAUCUCCGUCCGUCCUCUGUUGGCGUCGGUCAUUGUACGUCUUCUUAAUAAAGGUUUUGUGCUCUACCACCCAAGGAUCGACCAUGUCUAUGUGUUGUAGCGCGACUAGGUUUGCUCUUUCAAAGUCGGCGAGUCGACCCUCGAAGUCGACAUGCAUUUUGUGGCGACCCUCACGGUGACCCCAUCCAGCGAGCCUGCCGAGGUGCCUGUUGACGGGCAGACCAACGGGGUUCUCGAUGCCUAGAUAAUUCGUGCAGUAGGAGAUGCACUCUUCGGUCAGAAAGCCCCUGGCUAUGCUUCCUUCUGGACGUGACAUGUUGCGAACGUAUCCUUUGAUGACACCAUUCAUCCUUUCAAACGGCAUCAUGCUGUGCAGGAACGUCGGCCUGAGUUGGAUGAUAUCCUCCACUAUAUGGACCAGCAGAUGCACCAUAACGUCGAAGAAUGCGGGCGGGAAGUACAUUUCAAGCUCGCAUAGUAUCACCACGAUCUCUUCCUGUAGCCUUCUGAGUUGCCUCACGCCAAUCGACUUCCGAGAGAUGACAUCGAAGAAGUUGCAUAGGCCAAAUAGCGUUUCACGGACAUGCGCGUCCAUGAUCCCACGGAUUGCAACUGGAAGUAUCUGCGUCAUCAGCACGUGACACUCGUGAGACUUCAUCCCGCUGAACUUCUGCUUCGCUGGGUCUAGGUAUCUGCUUAUCUUCCCCGCGUAACCAUAAGGAAGUUUUACUCCUAGGAGGAAGGUGAAAAACUGCUCGAUCUCCUCCUGACUUAGAGUGAAGCACGCGGGAGGGUAGUCAUUUCCGGUCUUCUUGGCCUUUUUGCCUUUGCGACGACUUUAUGUGUCCUGCUUCGCCUCAUCAUCAUCAUCAUCAUCAGCAUCAUCAUCAUCAUCAUCAUCAUAUAUAGCGUGAAGCUCCUGCCUGAUGCCCAUUGAUUUCAAGUCUGCCCUUGCUUUCGGCCCAUCUCUGGUCCUCUCUGGCAUGUUGAGCAGGCUACCAAGCAGACUCUCGCACACGUUCUUCGUGAUAUGCAUGACAUCAAGGCUGUGAGGCACACGGUGGAUCUUCCAGUACGGCAAGUCCCAGAAAACAGACCUCGUUUUCCAUACCUUCAGCGGCGGCUCUGGCGCCUUUCGCUUCUUUCCCGGCUCUGGCGCCUUUUUCUUCUUUCCUGGCAGUGGGCAGUCUUUCCAAUUUUUCAACAGCUUGUCUAUUUCCUCGCCGCUCCUCGUACACGGGCGUUUUCGGGGUUCGGUUUCACCAUCGAACAGAUCCUUGCGUUUCCUCCACGGGUCAUCAUCGCGAAGCCACCUUUGAUGUCCCAUGAACACAGUUUUCGAAGACCCGGGAUCUCUAUCUAGUUGGCGAUACGUUGUGUCAUCCAUGCAUCUUACGCAUCCAGAAAAUCCGUGGACUACCUGCCCCGCAAGAUAUCCGUAACCGAGAUAGUCGUGCAUCGUCGUGAGCAGUGCGGCUCUCAUAGGGAAAUAUUCUUUGUCUGCGGCGUCCCACGUAUUGGCUGGCAUUUUCCACAGCGUGUCAAGCUCCUCUUUCAGCAGCCCCAGAUAUAGAUUGAUGUCGUUCCCUGGUUGUUUCGGCCCUUCAAUUAGCAUACUCAUGUGAAUGUACUUCCUCUUCAUGCACAACCAGGGGGGAAGGUUGUACAUCCACACAAACACAGGCCAGGUGCUAUGUGUGCUUCUCUGGCUGCCAAACGGAUUGACUCCAUCGGUGCUCGCGCCCAGCACGAUGUUCCUUGGAUCGUUCCCAAAUUCUGGGUAUUCAAAGUUCAACGCUUGCCACUGGCUCGCAUCCUUAGGGUGACUCAGCAUCUUGUCUUUUUUAUCUAUCUCCGGAUCAUUUGCGUCAUCUUCUCGCUUCUUCUCCUCCCUAUCCGCGUGCUAACGCAGGAGCUUUGCUACCUUAGGGUCCGCGAAAUACCGCUGCAGACGAGGAGUGAUCGGAAAGUACCACACCACUUUUCGAGGAGCUUUCUUCCUCUUCUUGUAUCGAGUGACAACGCACACCGGACAUAUGGUAGACUCCGCGUGCUCGUCCCGAUAAAUGAUGCAAUUGUUCAUGAACACAUGGUAUUUCACGUGCGGUAAAUCCAGAGGACACACGAUUUUCUUCGCCUCCUCCAAACUGGUCGGGCACUUGUUCCCCUUGGGAAGACGUUCGUGCCAGAAUGGCAUGUUCUCGUCGAAGCAUGCGUCGGUCAUUUUGUGUUUUACCUUCAUCUCCAGAGCCAUGAGCGUUACUUUCAGGCGGGUAUCCUCGGGCCUGCAUCCUUCAUACAAUGGAGUAACCGUGUCUAACUCAAGUUGAUCCAUCUUGGCUUUCUCUCGGGCGGCAGCUCUUGCGUUAUCCGUCUGCUUGAGAAGCAGCUCUUGAAUAUGAGGGUCCUGCACCCAGCCCAUCGAUGGUCCAGCGUUGUCUGCUUCGCCGGCAUCAUCAUCAUGUCCUGCAUCUUCUACAUGAUGACUGUGUACAGCAUCACCGUCGUGAUCAUCUCCUGGGGAUUCUUCGUCUUCUCGCCCGCCCUAGCCGCGGUGGUUGUCUUGCUGCCCUUCCUCAUUUCUUGCCCGGCCCCCAUGGACGACUUUGUAGUCAUCGUCAUCACCUUGCCACCGAUAGCCAUCCAUGAAACCACGCAAGAGCAGGUGGUCCCGCACCUGCCCGGAAUCCGGGUCCGCAAUAAGGCUCUUCAGCUUGCAUCUUCGACAUGGACAUCUUAUCUCCGUCUCGUUCUUUUGAAGCAUCUCGGCCUUCGCGGACCUCAAAAACCUAUUCACGAUGCCUUCGGUCAUCAUGCGGACCAUGGUCGCCUGCGGGGUAGAGCGAAACGAUAUUUUAGAACCAAGAAAAAAUUUGGCAUGACUUUCCCUAAAAAUAGGACCAAAAAGAAUGCUUAAUGCCAAAAUUCUCGCCAAAACGGAAAUGAAUCAACAUUCCGGCAAAAUAUUGGCAACUAUCGCAUUUCAAAUACCGGUACACCUCCAAACACAAACACAUAUGCAACACCACAAACAUAUGCAACACCACGAACAUACAUAGAUCUAGCUAGGCCAUAAAAAGUGCAUGUGCACAUUGUUGUAGGGAGAACAACAUAAAUAUAGCUUCCCCCCUUACUUACCUACCAAAACAAGGUAACUUAACCACUUAAUUUGAAUGAAUCUAUGGUGGAAAUGAGGUGAAAAAGAGGAGGCACCCGAGACAAGGAGGAGGCGGUGGAGAGAAUGAAGUGGGGAGAAAGUGAGUGUGGGAGGAGAGGCUGUCCAAAAUAUCUUCUUGCUGCCCACUUACUAAUGGCGCACCAACCACAAAUGCGCCAUUAGUAAUCAAGGUUACUAAUGGCGCACCACCUGGUGGUGCGCCAUUAGUAGUUUUGCAAAAAAAAAGAUACUAAUGGCGCACUCCCACACGGUGCGCCAUUACUAGUUUAAACUAGUAAUGGCGCACCGCGAGUGAGUGCGCCAUUAGUAGUUUUGCAGAAAAGGGAAUAAAAAUAAUAAAAAAAAAACAACAUUAGUGGCGCACUUUCUGACUGGUGCGCCAUUACUAGUUACAACUAGUAAUGGCGCACUUCCUAUGGAUGCGCCAUUAGUAUGUUUGGACAGGCGCACUAGUUCAAAAAAAUUUGAUACUAAUGGCGCACCAUGGGCCAGGUGCGCCAUUAGUAGUUUCAACACUAAUGGCGCAUCAGAAGGUGGUGCGCCAUUAGUAUAUACUAAUGGCGCACCACUUGUCUGGUGCGCCAUUAGUGCCAAUCCCAUCUAUAGCCCUUUUUCUAGUAGUGAGCAUGUAACAGUUCAAUCCUUGUUGUCCUAAUGCAGUAAAAGAGAGCAAGAGCGAGAGAGUGGGAUUAUAUCGGAAUGAACAAGGGGGUUUUGCUUGCCUGGCACUUUUGAAGAUAGUAUAGUUCUUCAUUGGUGUCAUUGAUCACAUCGUCGGAACACGUCUAUCGAGAGGGAACAACCACCAACAAACAAAAGAGAAACACAAUCAAUGCCAUGCAACAAUAUGCUGUUGGUUGGCCUAAUGCAACUAGCAACAAGUUAAAUGGAGUUGGUUUGAACACUAGGUUCAAAUUCAAACUCCAUAUGUGCUUUCUUAAAUGCCAUUUCAUUGAAUUGUCCUAAACAGCAACUUUAAAUUGCUCCAACAUGCAUGAAAAUGGUACAGAUGGAUAGAUUGCAUUUUUCUGAUAAUUUUUCAUAUAUAAAUUAUUUCAUUUGGAGUUAUGGUUGAUUCUCUAUGAUUUUUAGAAGUUUCAACUAUUUUUUGGAAUUUCUAAAUCAUUUCUGAAAUAAGAAAAACCAGAAAAGCAUUUACUACGUCAGCAUGACAUCGGUGUGACGUCAGCAAGACAACAUGACCGUUCCUGAUCAAAUCUGACCAGUGGGUCCCGCGUGUCACUGUCUAGGCUAAUUAACAAAGUUAGUUAACGCUAAACUAACCCUAAACCCAGGUUAAUUAGGGGCCUGGGCCCACACGUGGUUGACUCAGGGGAGUCAAACCCCUGGUCAAAGGUGAAAUGCGCCGGCGGCUUGACGCCGGCGACGGCAGGCGCAAUGGAGUGCUGCGGAAUCGCUGCUCCGGCCACAGUUUGAUGCACGGAGGGGUGCUACGCAGAGCUGGAACCCGUCCAUGUCGUUUGGUGCAGGUGGCGUCGCCAUAGGUGACCUAGAACGAUGACGGCGUCCUCAAAUGCGGCGGCCGGAGUUCGGGUGAUGAUGCAAACGUCGCUAUGGUGCACGGCAGAAGCAACGGGUGGUUGCUCUGGGCUCGUGGAGCUGUGCUGAGCACGGUGACGCGCUCGGUUUUGAGCCUGAGCAGCUGCGGCGACGGCGGUGGCAUGGCCGGCGGGCGGAAGCUUUCGGCUCCGGUGAAGAGCACGGUUAGGGGACGCGUUCGGUAGCGAGAAGAGAGGGGAAAGAUGGCGGGGCUCACUGGGGGUCGUAGGAGAAGGUCAGCGGACUCGGGGAUGGCUUGGUGACGGUGAAUUUGUCGAUGGCGUCCGGCGGCCGUGCGGAGAAGACGAGGUCGAGGACGAGGCUUCAGGGCGUCCGGGGUCCAGCGGUUCGGUGUAGAGGUGCGCGGCAGCGAGGCGGAGCUCGUGGGAUAGCUAGCGGGCGUGGGGAGAUCGGUGGAUGCGGCAAGAGGCGACGGUGGCAACGGCUCCGUUCGGGUUGUGGUGAGAGAGAGAGAGCAGAGGAGGGGAAAGAGGUCCAAGGAGAGAGGGGAGAGGUCGAGGGGGUCGGGGGGUGUGCGUGGCGUCGUCUAGAGCGUCCAGAGCGAUGUCGGGGAGGCAGCGUGAAGCAGGAGGUGGCCGAGGCACGUGGCCGCGCGCAAGGGGCACACGCCCGUCCUCCUGGCAGAGGAGGAAGACGACAGGGAAAGAGGCGGUGGUGGGCUGGGCCGGCUUUGCCCAGCUGGGCUGCUACUGUGCCAGGCCAGUGGGCCCUGCCAGGUAAGUUCCUUUCUUUUUAUUAAUUCAUGUUUUCUAUUAUUUGUAUAACUUCAUGGCUUUAUUAAAAAUGUCAGGGCCUUUCCAAAAAUCAUGAAACUAAUCAUGACUACUGUUUGGAAUAUAUCCAACGGUAAACAUUUUAGUGUAUGAUUAUUUGAGCACUUAAAAUAUUUAAAAGCAUUUAAAUGCCCAAAUGCAAACACUAUAAGAUUUAAUUCAGAGCCCAAAUAUGUCAUGGAAAAAUGUGCAACACCUCUGGUUAUUGCUUCUAGCAUUUUCCAGAAAUGAUGAACAUUUUUUGAAAGCCAUUUGGAUUCACUGAAAUUAUUUUAGUUGAACCUAGUGAAUUCCUUUGAUGCUAGGGUUUAGGCAAUCCCCAUUUCAGGUUUAAGAGAAAUUUAAACAUGAUGCAACACAAGACUAACUAGACCAGAGCAGACCAGAACUAGGGAUGUGACAUCAUGAUCGACUACAAACAAGUUCUAAUUUCACAAUAAUCAAAUAGGCAGACAAAUGUUCAAACUAACUUACUUUUGUCAGUAUGUAUUGUAGUGCAUCCUCCUCAACGGCACUAGAAGAAAACUGUGCUCCUGCCUGCACCAAUAGAUGUAUUCAGUUGGACUAAGAAAUAAGAAUUGGCAUGAUAACAGAGCUAACAAUUUCAGAAGUGAAGGAUUAAUAUAUCCAAUUAGCAAUUAUACCUGAAUCUGUCGGAUGUGGCUUUGAAACUGAACCAAUGCAUGUUGGCUGCUGCCCGCUGCUGGAUCAGAACCAGGGUAAGCAGGGGAUGGAUUCGUCGCGCUGUCCAGGCCGCCGUGCACACGUCCAAUUGUCGAGCAGGUGAUGGCAACCGUCAUGGCCUCAUGGCGGCUCGCCGCUCGCGUGUGGGGAGAGAACAGGGCAAGGUGCCGGUUCGUCUCCGUCUGACCUGAUCGAUAAAUUUUUCUGAGGGUUGAUGGUCGAGAGAUCGAUGGUCUGCGUGCGUGCAUGCACUACAGCCACUUGGUCCAAUGGGCCAAGUCGUGUAGUCAUGGAGUUUUGGGCUGAAAUACUUAACUAGCAAGUUUGACGGUAUAGUUUCAUUUUUUGGCAAAAAUAUUGGGUAUUCAAUUGAAUACCCUUGAAUUGAGGUAGGCCCGCCCCUGCCCUAGCAUUAUAUACAUUAUAUAUAUCUAGUGUUUUGGCAAAAAUAUUGGGUAUUCAAUUUAAUACCCUUGAAUUAAGGUAGGCCCACCCCUGGCCGUACUUGCACCGAACGUCCGUCGUGCCGUUUGCAUGGGUGCUGCCAUUCGCCUUGUCCGCGGCCCGCUGGAUGCCAACGCGCUGGUCCGUAGGCUCGACCGCCUCCUUGGUCCAGGUGUCCACCUAGGCGCAGUAGAGGAACAUGGCCGUCACAUCCUCGAGCGGUGAUCUCCGAUGAAGUAGCCAACUUCGAGCUCAAGAUCGCGCUCCAGAUUUACCGCGAGCGUGUCGAUCGCUAGGAUGAACGCAUGCACGAGUUCAGGCAAAGCCAAGAGCUACCGUAGGCAAGGGCUGCUGGUCAUGGUCUCAUGGACGCGUUUUAUUUUGAAAAGUCAUUCCAACGUGGAUAGCUAUGUAUUCACGGCAAUCAUAGUAUUGCUCUGUUUAUUGCUCUGUUUCAAUGUGUGUACUCUGUUUGCCAUUCUUAUAUGUUCUAUUUCAAUGUGUGUAUAUAGGCUUUCCAUUCUGUAUAUGUGGAUGAUAACAGCUAGAUUCAAAUUAGUAUAGGAAAACAGAUAGAAAAUGGAAUUCAUAAUAUAUAUAUAUAUAUAUAUAUAUAUUAAUUGUUCAUUAGCUCAUCACAGAAUAUAUAUAUGUAAUAUCAUCACAUAUACGUGAUGAUACUUAACUACUAGGUACAAUGCAUAAAAUUGAAAACAAACAAUACUAAAACUAGUAAUCCCUCCUGGAGCCACUAUUCCGGCAGCCCCUCGCAAGCAGCUCCCUGGUGCGCAGCGUCUUCCCAGUGCGGAGGCAGUACUCCGCCUCCUCCGCCUCACAGCGCUUGACGUACCGAUCUGCCUCUUACUGGCGGAUGCGCGUAGCCGAUCUUGACAUUUUGUUGGGCACCCACCGGAGCUCCUCGUCGGUGGCACGCUGGAGCUUAUCGGCCCACCUCCACGCAGCAACGAGGCGCCCAACGCCUAUGACCUUCCUCAUGAAGUACCCAUCUUCGUACACCUCCUCGGCACGACGACGCGCCCGCCCCCAAAGCUCCACCGCCUCCUUUUUUGAGGCGGCAUCACGGGCUUCACAGGCCGCCCGGUAGCUGGCUUCCUCCUCCGCCAUCUCCUUCUUGAACGCCACUUGCCUCGCUUUCUCAGCCGGCGGCAGCGACUUCCAUAGAGAAAGAUUGUACUAGCCCCAAAACCAAUCCAAAGUUGGGGGGGUCCGGUGCAACCUCGUCAGGCGGUGCGUAGGGGUCCUCGUCACUGCUAAUCGAGUGAGCAUCCUUGGGGGGCGGUGACUCCUUGUCUGCGCGUGGGCAGACCGGCGGCACCGUGGCAGAGAUUUGAGAGAGAGAGAGAGAGAGGGCGAGCGAGGGGAGGAUGUAGAUGAAAAUGCAGGCGGGACGACGUGAGCAAGGUAGUAUUUAUUGGCGGCCGGAAUCUAGAUCGACGGGGACAGUACACAUGCUGGUCGCCAGAAUUUACGAGUACUGUAGUUUGAAUUACACAUGAUUCCCGCAGAAAAAUCCAUGUGUGAACAAAAUAGCUGACGGUUUCCAAUACAGAACCGUGUCUGAUUAAUGAUCCUCGCCACUCACCUACCAAACCUCAAGCCUCGAGAUAGAGUGCCAAUCGUGUGGGGCCAGUUGUCUUGCCAGAUCUUUACAUUUUCUUUUUUGAACACCAGAUAUUUACAUCGUCUGAUGAUUUUUUAACUGGCACACAAGUACACAAAAAUAUGAUUUUUCAAACCGUUAUGGUUAGGCGUUGCAUGUAGAUGUAGUUCAAAUUUGAAUUAUGGUCAUUAAAUGGUUAGAAAAUCACUUAAAUGUCUUUUAAAGGUCAAAUGACCCCUGAAAAUUUCCAAAUUUUCACAUGACAGUUGUAUUAGUGCAUGUUAAACGUGGAAAAAAACUUGAAGGCCGUAAGAGGAAGCAAUCUCCUGUUCAUCACCAAACAUGCAUUGUUACCUCUCGGAACUACAAACCUUUUAGUGAGUUGCUUCGGUUUGUGAGGGGUGUGUGUCCAAACUUUUUUCAAACAGGCCAAUUUGUUUACCACAUCAUCUUGGUGGCAUGACAUUAAAUCAAGCAAGGUUUCAUGUUUUUCUGAUCAUUUUUUAAUUUUAUGGAAUUAAAAUGCCAUGGCACUCCAUGCAUGUGCCCAUUCCUUGAGACCAAUAUGUUUGAAAACUCCUUCUAAUUUACUGCGCAUGGAAUUAACUCACACACAAUGUCACACCCUGAUUUUCAUGCCACAACACUUAAGCUAAUAAAUCAUGAUAAAGUGUGGUUUGACAAAAACUUUUGCAUUAUUUGGCUUUUAUUUGGAGUUGAUUUCCUCUCUGUGUUUUUCAAGUGCUCUUUAAAGUCAACACAACUCCACCUUCUAAACUUCAUCUCCUUGCCCCAAGCUUCUGCCCAAUGAUCAUGUCAUGUGUAUAGAGCAAUAUAGUGUUUUCUUACAAAAAUAAUUUGGCCAAAAAAAGUAUUUUCAAAAAUUAGUUUUCCAAAAACCCCUGAAUUGAGGUUUGCACUGCAAGUACUUGAUUUGGGGUAUGAAAAAUAUUUCAAAGAGUAUAUUUGAAACCUAUUAGACAUAGGACUCCCAUAAACCACAAAAAUAUAAUUUUAAAAGUUAUUUUCCUAUUUUAUUUAAAGGCUUUUUCUUUAGGCCAGAAAUUGUCUUUAAUAGGUUAAAAUUAUUUUAGUGCUUUAAAAAUAUUUUUGAAAAACCUAGGGAAACUCAGUGGACAUAUAUUGUCCAUAUAUAUGAGUUUCAACAUAUGGUCAUGUUCAAAAUAUUGUACAAAACCUCCCAAAACCAUUUCUGCCCAUUUCAAGGAUUUGAAAUUUUCUACAGGAAAUAUUUUCAUAAAAAUCCAAGGAAAAUCCAGCAAGUCACAAAUUCAUGUUGUGAUCACCUUGCAAAGCCUCAUGUCAAUCAAGGUCAUUUUGGUUCACCAAAAUGCCCCAAAACCCUCUCUGUCCAUAUCCAAAUUUGAACAACUCUACAUUACCAAGUGUGUCCUUUUGAUCUGAAUUUUUGUGGACAAGUUCAAAUCCCCAAAUGAUGAAACUACACCAAGUGGUGCAUCAAGCAGAAUAGUUUUGGAUGACUAGAUCUUGAAAAACCCAUUUCUGCUGAUUUCUAGGGUUUACAAAAGUUGCACUAGCAACUUUGCCCAAAUGAGCUCAAAUUUUGUAGAACACCCUAUUUCUAAGUGCCAUUCCAUCCUGUUAAAUAUCAUGGCAAGUGGGAUUAAUUUUUUUGCCCAAACCAACAACAAACACCUUGUGCCAUUUUUCCAAAAUCAUCAUUUUGACCUCUUCCACUAAUCUCCUUGAGCCCAACUUUUUACCACAGCUCCUCCUAGUCCUCUCCUACCUCCAGUAACCCUCCCCUGGCCAUUGCUCAAUUAUUGAGGGGUAAAAUACCCCCAUUUACCUCCUUGGACAGCCCCUCUCUCCCUCUUCUUCUACCUCUCUCUUCUCCUACUGGCCACCCAGGGCAUCCAAGGCCAUCUCCCACUUCUUUACUUCCCCCUAGAGCUACCAGACACUUUUGGCCGCGCCCACAUUGCAUAGAAAAUGGCCAUGCCGGCCAUUAGGGCGCUCUGGAGCGCGCUACAGUGUGCUCCCGCACUGUAGCCGCCCUCUGCCCGAUGAACCCGGCCGCCUCAGGCCUUCCAAGCGUGCCAGACGAUGCAUCUCGAUGUCCGCGGCACGCUACACUGUCGGCCCCCUCCUCUCUCUCCCUCUCCGGCUCUCCUCGCAUGCGGACAGAGCGCUGCCCGAGCGCGCCAUUCGCUGCCCGCGAUGGGGACCCGCUCUGCCGCGUUCCCCGCUCCCUAUCUUCUCCCCGUGGGUGUUGUCGACCCCCACGAACGCCCUAGACUCGGCGCAGCACCCUCCCGAGGCCCGUAGCGACAAGCACGAGCCCAUGGUGGACCGCCGCUCGCCUAUAUAAGGCAUCCCCGAGCCCUCCUCUCGCCACCACUCGUCCUCUCCCACUCCAAAUAGCCCCACUGAGCCUCCCGUUCAUCCCCAGAGCCGCCCGACCUCGAGAUCGAGCUCGAGCUCCACUGCUUCGGGUCGCCGUCGAUCUCAUGGUACAUGCCUCCUUUGCCCUCUCUCUCUCUCUCUCUCGAUCUGGAACCGCCUCACCUCUCUUACCACUUCCCCUCUGUCUCCCCUCUCUAUUGCAGCCAGAAUCGACCAGGGCAAGCACCUCCCGAAGCCCUUCCGCCGGCCUCCUCGUCGCCGGCGAACCCCUACACUCCGGCGACCACCUCCACCUCCACCCGAACGGCGACUCUGCCCUGAGCACGCCGGUGCCCUCGGAUCACCUCGCCAUAGACCACAGCGACGCCGGUGAGCUCGCCUCCCUCUCUGGCCCGAGGUUGAAGACGACGGCCGUGGGGCCCGUCGGUCAGCCUCACACUCUGACUGGUGGCUCCACCCGUCAGGUUUAAAACACAUGCGCGCGUGCACUGGUUCACUGCGUCGGCUAGAGGCGUAUUUCCCAAAUAUGCCUUCGACGUGGCAGCCUUGCGCGGGCUAGAUUCCCCUUGGGCCUGCUGCACUGUGGCCGAAUAGGCCCAGUUGCACAGUGGCCUUUUUCCUUUUUUCUGUAACUUUUCCAAAAAUUCCACAGGAUUCAAUAAUAAUCCAAAUGCAAUAAUUCCAACUCCUAAAUUCUUGUAAUAAUCCCACCUAUUUAUUGGUGUAGCUUUCACUCUUAUCAAACCAACUUUUCUUCACUUUUCAAAUUUAAAUUUGAAUUUGAGCAUUUAUGCCUGUCAUUUAAAAUUCCUAGCACUGUUUCCAUGACUCCAAAUCCAAAAUUAGGAAUUUCCCCUUCUUAGUUUUCACCCUAGUAUUUAACAAAAAUGAGUUGACAUUUUUCUGAGCACUUUGGUUUUUCUGUUUUAUAAUUGCCUUAUUUUUCUCGCUAUUAUUUUGCGACGAUAGAUUGCAUUGCCGACAAAGGAGUUGGACCAGAAAACUUUGAAGACCCAAGAAGACUUUGCUAAGCCAGGCAAGCAGCCCUUUGACCAUGUCUAUGAAACCCUUUUUAUGCAUGUCAUAUAGCACUAUAUUGUUGUUGCAACGGAAUCAUGAUGAGGUGGUAACCACUUUGAUGGGUUGCCUCUGUUACUUCCUCGUUGAUACUUGCAUUGUGCAUGACCCUACCUCCUUAUGAGGGUUAUGCCGGUGGGAGUAGAUAGGGUGCUAAAGUAGUUGCUACGCAAAAAGGGACGGGAAUAUGCAUGGUGACGGAGAAAAAGUAUUUUCAAAGGACUUUUCGAAAACCCCGACGGGUGCCACUUAUACCCGGGGGAGAUAAUGAGUUGGGUAGCAACUUGAUGACAAUGUGGUGUACCGAGGCAAGUGUGUGUGUUGCUUUUCAAAACGGAUUGGUUUGCGACCAUUAUUCCAACCUUACAUGUGCAACCACUCUACCCUUAUAUGGGAAAGGGAAUUAUUGAUUACCUAGGCCGAUACUAGCUUGGAGCCCGCAUUACUAGUGACGGGAGAGUUGUUGUUGCGCUCUCUCGGGAUGGGGUCGUGCCAGGUAGGGCGGCCAUGACUGUUUUCACAGGGCACCGGAUACACCGUUGUGUCCCCUCUCGGAUGUUACGAUCUCGAGUGAGUCUCGUAUGAUGUACAUCGUGAGGAUACGGAACAACGAGUGGACUCUUUGUUAGUGUCGUCUACGGAAAGAUAGUGAUCGGGUGCUUACCCCGGGUACUUGAGGUACCGCGGGUCGUGGAUGACACGGAAGUUCCCCGGAUCUUGUGGGUAAAGUGUGCAACCUCUGCAGAGUGUAAAACUAUUCGAAUAGCCAUGUCCACGGUCAAGGACAGUUGGGUAACCGCUCUUGGGCUACGUCCACAUGUUUACAAACCAGUGUGUGUGUUUGGAUAAGUGGGAAGAACUACUUGGGUCAAGUCAAAUGACUUGACAUGAUUGAGUUGGGUUGAUGCCACUCUAUUUAUGUUGAUAUCUAUAACAUGUCCUCAUGGUUAAUUGAAUUCUCCUGAUGCAUGUCUUAAAAAUUUACCUAUAUCAUGCAUUGUUGUACCUUGAACCAAAACAUGGGUUGCUUGCGAGUACAUUCAAAGUACUCAUUGGCUUGCCACUGGUUAUUUUAUUGGCCAGGCAUGAAAGAACAGGAUAUAAUGAAGAGUACCUUGGUGACGAACAUGCGAGCUAGGACGCUUCCCAGUAGGAAUGCCUGUAGGGUUAAGGCAGAUGGCAUGGGUCCAAGUUGUUAUUGAAGAUUUCCGCUGCGAUGAUACACUCAAGACUUGACCAUAAUAGUCCUACUUGUGUAAAACGGUAUGUAUGGAUGUAAGACUCUUGGUAUUCAGCUUCUAUGUGUUCAGUGAGCAUUGAUCUCUGGGAUCACUGUACAUGUGCAUUCGGUGAUCUCGACUUAUGGGUCGGGUCCCCACACACAAGUACACAAAAAUAUGAUUUUUCAAACCAUUUUGGUUAGGCGUUGCAUGUAGAUGUAGUUCAAAUUUGAAUACGGUCAUUAAAUGGUUAGAAAAUCACUUAAAUGUCUUUAAAAGAUCAAAUGACCCCUGAAAUUUUCCAAUUUUCACAUGAUAAUUGUAUUAGUGCACGUUAAACAUAGAAAAAAAUUUGAAGGCCGUAAGAGGAACCUUCUCCAGUUCGUCAUCAAACAUGCAUUGUUCCCUCUGGGAACCACGAACCUUCUAGUGAGUUGCUCUGGUUUGUGAGGGGUGUGUGUCCAAACUUUCAUCAAACAUGCCAAUUUCUUUACCAUGGUGGCAUGACAUUACAUCAACAAAGGUUUCAUGUUUUUCUAAUCAUUUUUUUAUUUUUGGAAUUAAAAUGCCAUGUCACUCCAUGCAUACGUAUGCAUGUGUCCAUGUCGUGAGACAAAUAUGUUUGAAAAUUCCUUCUAGUUUACUGCUCAUGGAAUUAACUCGCACACAAGUACACAAAUAUGAUUUUUCAAACCAUUUUGAUUAGGCGUUGCAUGUAGAUGUAGUUCAAAUUUGAAUUACGGUCAGUAAAUGGUUAGAAAAUCACUUAAAUGUCUUUAAAAGGUCAAAUGACCCCUAGAAUUUUCGGAAAUUUCACAUUACAGUUCUAGUAGUGCACGUUAGACAUAGAAAAAAAUUGAAGGUCGUAAGAGGAAGCUAUCUCCCAUUCGUUAUCAAACAUGCAUUGUUCCCUCUCGGAACCACGAACCUUCUAGUGAGUUGCUCCAGUUUGUGAGGGGUGUGUGUCCAAACUUUCGUCAAACAUGCCAAUUUUUUUACCACAUCAUCUUGGUGGCAUGACAUUACAUCAACCAAGGCUUCAUGUUUUUCUGAUCAUUUUCUUUAUUUUUUUGGAAUUGAAAUGCCAUGUCACUCCAUAAAUUCCUUCUAGUUUACUGCACAUGGAAUUAACUUGCACACAAGUACACAGAUAUGAUUUUGCAAACCGUUUUGGUUAGGCGUUGCAUGUAGAUGUAGUUCAAAUUUGAAUUAUGGUCAUUAAAUGGCUAGAAAAUCACUUAAAUGUCUUUAAAAGGUCAAAUGACCCCUAGAAUUUUCAAAAAUUUCACAUUACAGUUGUAGUUGUGCACGUUAGACGUAGAAGAAAUUGAAGGCCGUAAGAGGAAGCUAUCUCCUGUUCGUCAUCAAACAUGCAUUGUUCCCUCUCGGAACCACGAGCCUUUUAGUGAGUUGCUCCGGUUUGUGAGGGGUGUGUGUCCAAACUUUCGUCAAACAGGCCAAUUUUUUACCACAUCAUCUUGGUGGCAUGACAUUAAAUCAAGCAAGGUUUCAUGUUUUUCUGAUCAUUUUUUAAUUUUUUAGAAUGAAAAUGCCAUGGCACUCCAUGCAUGUUCCCAUGCCUUGAGACCAAUAUGUUUGAAAAUUCCUUCUAAUUUACUGCACAUGAAUUAACUCGCACACAAGUACACAAAAAUAUAAUUUUUCAAACCGUUUUGGUUAGGCGUUGCAGGUAGAUGUAGUUCAAAUUUGAAUUACGGUCAUUAAAUGGUUAUAAAUCACUUAAUUGUCUUUAAAAGGUCAAAUGACCCGUAGAAUUUUCCAAAAUUUCACAUUACAGUUGUAGUAGUGCACGUUAGACAUAGAAAAAAAUUGAAGGCCGUAAAAGGAAGCUAUCUCCCGUUCGUCAUCAAACAUGCCUUGUUCCCUCUCGGAACCAUGAGCCUUCUAGUGAGUUGCUCCGGUUUGUGAGGGUGUGUGUCCAAACUUUCAUCAAACAUGCCAAUUUCUUUACCACAUCAUCUUUGUGGCAUGACAUUACAUCAACCAAGGUUUCAUGUGUUUCUGAAUUUUUUUUGGAAUUAAAAUGCCAUGUCACUCCAUGCAUACAUAUGCAUGUGUCCAUGUCGUGAGACAAAUAUGUUUGAAAAUUCCUUCUAGUUUACUGCACAUGGAAUUAACUCGCACACAAGUACACAAAUAUGAUUUUUCAAACCGUUUUGGUUAGGCGUUGCAUGUAGAUGUAGUUCAAAUUUGAAUUACGGUCAUUAAAUGGCUAGAAAAUCACUUAAAUGUCUUUAAAAGGUCAAAUGACCCCUAAAAUUUACAAAAUUUUCACAUGACAGUUGUAGUACUGCACGUUAGACGUAGAGAAAAAUUGAAGGUCGUAAGAGGAAGCUAUCUCCCGUUCGUCAUCAAACAUGCAUUGUUCCCUCUCGGAACCACGAGCCUUCUAGUGAGUUGCUCCGAUUUGUGAGGGGUGUGUGUCCAAACUUUCGUCAAACAUGCCAAUUUUUUUACCACAUCAUCUUGGUGGCAUGACAUUACAUCAACCAAGGUUUCAUGUGUUUCUAAUUUUUUUUUUUUGAAAUAAAAUGCCAUGUCACUCCAUGCUUAAUUGUCUCAUAGCCGUUAGACCAAUAUGUUUGAAAUUUCUUCCAAUUUACUGCACAUGGAACUAAAUCGCACACAAGUACACAAAAUAUGAGUUUUCAAACUGUUAUGGUUAGCUGUUGCAUGCACAUGUAGUUGAAAUUUCAAUUACGGUCAUUAAAUGGCUAGAAAAUCACUUAAAUAUCUUAAAAGGUCAAAUGACCCCUGAAAUUUUCCAAAAUUUGACAUGACAGUUGUAUUAGUACUACAAAAUUUCUCAUUCAUUUAAAACACCAUCCGUUGCCACUUUACUCCAAAUUCGUCUUUCACAGCUAAUAAAAAAUAUCUACAACAUCACACACAGUUGUUUUCUAGGAACCGUUUGAGAUGAAAAUAUCUGGGUCUAUUUAAGUCUCACUCCUUAAGCUUCGCUGGCUCGUCUGCUCCAGUGUCGGCAACCCCCGAAUCCAGAAUCCUGAUCCCCAUUCUCGCACCCCCUUCUUGCAAAGAUGACACCAUGGAAACGCUUCGUGAAGGCUCAUACGAUGGUCGCGUCCCCCCGAGCACUGCCGCCUGCGCUGUGAGCGCGGCCGCCUACGCCGAGAGUGCCGCCGCAUCCGCAUUGAGCGCGGCCGCUUCCGCCGAGAGGGCAUCUACGGCAGCCGACAGGGCAGCUGCAGCAGCCGAGACGACUAUAGCUGCUGCUACGACAGUGGCUGCAAACACCGAGAGCGCUCGAGCUGCCGUCCGUGCCGCCGAUGUCGCCCUAGCCCGGGUCGAGGCCAUCCACACCAAGAUCGAGGAUGCACAUGCCAAGAUAUUCCAGGCCACCUCGGACUCCAACAUGCAACCCACGUCUGAAAAGGCGGCAGUGAGGUCGUCGAGCGGGAGCUGGAGAUGCAGGAGGCGGCGGAGAUCGAGGAGCGCCGGGAGGAGGAGUUGCGCGUGGCCGAGCUCGAGGUAGAGAAGAAUCUGUCCGUCAAGGAAUCGACGUUGUAGUAACAACGCGAGCUCUGGCGUAGCCACUACUACGAGUACUACAACCUUGAGGGCGGCGCCGAGGACGAGGACGCGGUCGACUUCAGUAGGGGGGACGCGGAGUGCACCAACGGCGGCAUGUCGCUAGGACAAGUCAUCGACGUCUCAUCUCACACCAGCGAUGCAUAGGCCUGCGCGGCGGCGGAUAUGUUAAAAUUAUGCAUACUUAGGCUCUGUUUUUAAUGAUGGUCUUUUGUUAGAGCAAUGUUUAGGUCAACAAGCUCUGUUUAAUUACUAAAAUUGCUCAAUUCAGUAAGUGUGGUUUGUCUGCUGUACGCUCUUUUGUGUGUCCAAAUUAGCAAGCGAUGUUAAAUUAUGCAAUGACGUACCCGGGGAAAUUUCCACCAAAAUUUGAAUUAUCAAACUCAUCCCAUGUGCGUAAAGUAGAAGAAUCGUUUGCGAUGCACACAAUCUUUCAAAGUGAAUGGUCUGGUGGCACCGCGCGCAAAGUUUCCCUCCACAUUUCCAAAUUUUUGGCCUACCGCCAAAAUAUCUACCCCCGCCCCCUUCCCCACCCCCUUUUCUCCCCGACCACAAGUCGCAUUUCCCCUAUUUCCUCCUUCCUUCCUUCCUUGCUAAGCUAUAGCCGCUUCCUAGCUCUCGUCGUCUUGCGUCCUACCGCCGGGUUCGCCAUGAUCUUCUUCAAAGACCUCUCCAGCUGUUUCUCCUCCAGCGACUACUCCUUCACCACCCGGGUAUGCCUCUCUUUUCUCUCUUGGGCUAUGACUUGGAUUGAAGGAUUUUUACCCGGCGGUCGAUUUGACUCAUUUCUUCCUCUUGUAGCUCCCUAGGACCAUCAGCGACAAUGAAUGGAGCGGGGUGGCUGGCGAUCUAUCUGCUCGUUGUCACCAUCAAUCUCCAUGCGUGAAGCUAGUUGCAUUUGAUUCUGUUGACAGUGGGAGGAAGUUUCUGGCAUGUGCAGAGAAGGUUAGACCCUCUUUAUUUGUUACAAAUCAUUUGUUAGAUGUGAUUCAGACACUGUCACGGUCCCAACCCAUUCAUACCACACCUUCAACCAAAUGCAUCCUAAGACAGUGUCACAGUUUGUACCUAGUAUCUUAAAUUGUUGCCAUCUCAUCAGCGGUGCCAUUAGAAAAUUAUUUGGCGCCGCUUCAGCAGUUUGUGCAGCCAACUUUGGUCCACACAUCCGAGUAGCCAAGUAGUAAAAUACUAAAUCUUUAUGGCACGAAGGAACUGGGCAUCGCAGAAACUACGUGCUCAGGAGUCCGGGUCCCUGAUUUUUUUCUGCUGCAUCGGCUCGCCAGUGCAGGGCACCGGUGCGAGAUGUAGCAACAGUUGUCUUUACUCCAGUUUUGGCAUACAUAGUGGACAGCCUUAGUGCUAUUAGUUCUAUGUUACUAAAUUUGUGCAUGUACACACCUGUUAGUAUCAAUUUGCUGUCAUCCAAACACUGUCGCUAUGCUGUUGCAGUUAUAUUUACUUUCCUCUUAAAAUGUUCAAUUUGUUAUUUCUUGUACAUGAGUAAGAACUUGUAGUGUCGUUGUAGUUAAUUAUAGCUUCUGAUGUUCCAGAAUUCUGUUGUUGUCUUAGUACCAAUUAUUUCAUUUGCACAUUGAUCUUUUUGAGAAGAUAUGUCAUAAUUAACAUGUUUCUUCAGUUUUUCAAAAUAAACAUUGGUGAUUUUCUAUGUUGCUAUAAACCCAUUUCCCCUACAAUUGUUACUGAUCUAGUUUUAAAUAUUAUAGGAUGAAUGGAAGUGUUCUUACUUGGAGUGGGUUGAUCAAGAGUGGCCAUAGUGUUUGAAGAUGUGCCUAGCGAAGCUCUGGAGCAUGUAUGAGGAAGAGAACAGACUUAGGCUUAGAGAAACAGUUGGCAACGCUCAAGAAUAUUUCAAGAUGCAGGAUAAAAAGUUGAAGGUGAAGAAUGAGCUCAGGUUUUUUAAAUCAGACUUUGUUAAGAUGGUGUUGGCGAAGGACGAGGCACUUUCCUAGUUGGCCCGUGCAAAACGGGUUCUUACUGAACUGAAAGCAGAGGUGGAUAAGACGAGCCUGGAUGAUAUCGAUUAGGGAAAUGAAUAUAUUGUUCUUAUGAAGUUGAACUAGCUAUAUGUUGUACUGUGUUGUUUUCAUGUAGCUACCGUACUGUGAUGUUAUAAUAUAUUUAUGUGCCUGAUAUGAAAUUGGAAAAUAGUUGUUCGAUGUGAACUGUGAAUUUGCGUAAUACUGGAAUUAUUAAUUGUAAACUAACAAACCUGCUAAAUGUGUCAUGGACCUUUGCAAACGAUUCUAGCAGUAAAAGUGCUUGCGAUGGAUAGCCCAAUGCCACACAGUUUUCUUCAUCAAAUCGUGUGUAAUGUAGUUGAUAAAAGCAAACAGUUAACCAAGCCGGACCAUGUGUGAUAGUUACACCUUUCACACACGAGCCUACACAUAAAACGGUGUGGGAUGUACGUACGAACAUAAACGUUUUCCCUGGAUAUGUGUGGGAUGUACAUAAGAACGGAAACAUAUUCCUUGGAUUGACUAUGUGUGAUAUACAUACGAACGGAAAUGAUUUUCUGGGAUUCACCAUGUGGGAUGUACAUACCUACAGAAAUGAUUUUCUGGGAUUCACCGUGUGGGAUGUACAUACCUACAGAAAUGAUUGGGUUUCGAUGCCUCGCCCGAUCGCACAUGGCCCCAGCCUGGGUCCCAGGAGGGCCUAUCCCCAACAAUUUCUGGGUCGUGUGGGAAGGACCCCCCUAUCGCCCACACUCACUUCACGACGGUUCCAAAUGCCUUCGCGGAAAGGGGUUAAAAACUGUUUGUUUAGGACCGACGCGCACCAGUGAUAUAUAAGUUAUUUUGUUAUUUUCCUUUCAGCCCUCCCUGCGUGCUCCCGCAAACUCCAUUAUUGGAGGGGAAUUCUCUACCACCUAAAAUGGUAGAGAGCGACACGCUGCUGCGAGCCCCCUCGCCUAUCGCCAUGGAGGACACCGAAGUGUCGUCCUGAAGGGCCUCUCCUGGCCGAGGGGGGGUGAACGAGGCCGUUGAUGAACACCCGAGGUUAAUACGUCGGUCGCUGGAAACCUGGGGAGGCAACCCCAACCGACAAUGGGGACCCCCAAUAAUCUGGGCCCCAGCCGACCACCAUGCCGGAGACCAGCAUGGCUUCGGGAUUGGAUAAGCAGCCCCCUAUGAAAGAGGGGGGAGGAGCAGCAGCUCCCACGGCGGCCUGCAUUAAUCCGGAGGCGCCCAACGCUCUGGAGGAAGCACUGCAAAGUGCUUCUAUCGUGGAGGAGUAUCGCACCCUGAUGGGUGUGGUUAUGGAGAAGGUUCAGUCUACUAAAAAUGGACUUAACGAAGCCUUUUGCAGCCUAUUAACAGGCUUGGAGGUAUGCGACGUAAUGUUUCUAAAAACUUUUCGUAUAAAGGAAUAAACUUGUGUAUGGACAGUAGCCCCUGAGGCUCUGUCCGGUCUAAAAGAAACCGGACAGAGGAUCCACAUAGUAUUCGGGAGAGUAACGUAAUGUGUUGUUGUUGUAACAGGCUUCCAUGUUGGCGGCAAUCGCCCAUGCCGUGGAAGUUUUCGGACUCAGUCAGAAGCUUCAGGCAGCAGAUGAGGAACUCGACCGCAUUAAUAAGCGGUUCGACGAGACGCAAGGUAUGCGUACAAUGUUAAGAAGGAAUGUAUUUUUAUAUCGGAAGUGAUAUGCAUAUUGAAAGGUUAACUCAUAAAAUGCUUUGAUUAUUAGCACAGUUGGCACAACCGAGGUCGAGACCCUCAAAGGUGCCCUUGCCUAGGCCAAGAAAGAGGCGGAGCCGAACAAGGCAGCCGCUGACAAAGUGGCUGCAAAGGUGAAGACUGAGCAAGCUGCCCGCCGCCAACAUGAAGCUCGGGUGGCCGAAGUCGAGCAGGAGCUGAAGGAUGCCAUCAGCAAAUGCAAAACCUUGGAGCAGAAGACUUCGGACCAGUCGUCCGAGCUUGCCAAGUCUCUCCAUGAUGCCAAAGAGGCGCGGAUCGAGUCCCGGAAUGCUCGCGAGGAGAUCCAUCAGGGGAACAGAUAGCGGCUGGUAAGGCCUUUCUUUUGCAGAGUAUCUUUGGAGGUAAAACGUGUGCCUUGCUUACCCGAGUGUGGAGUUCUCCAGGCGCGUUUGCGGAUCUUCCGAGGAGUGCCAUCGAUGCCACACAGUUCUUUCGAGCCCAGGAGGGAAACUCGACGGAGAAGCAGUUCUGGUCGCAAUUUCUCGCAUUGGAGCACCCGAUGCCUCUUAACGACCAGCUGAAGCAACUGACAGAGCUGCAUAGGGUGGCCGGCUUGGCAUCUAAUACUCCAACUCUAGCCAACCGAGCCUAUUCCAAGCAGCUACUUCGGUUUGGUGAAGCGGCUUGUCGAUGUGCGGCCAUGGAUUGAUACUGUAAAGCGUUCGUCCUGCAUAGAGGGUGCCCGGAUGGCCAUCACCCGCGUCAAGAUGCAAUGGGCGAAGAUGAAGGCCACCGAAGUGGCAUCCGCAGGUCCACCCGAAGGCAAAGAUCAUCGGAAGCCGGAGAGGUACUUCGGUGACAUCCUAGAAGGAGCUCGAGUGAUAGAGGGUCAAUGUUCAAAUGACGUAAUAUUUGAUUGAAAAUGAUCGGGUUAUACAAACUAUGUUAUGAACCCAUGUUGUUAUAUAUCUUAUGUUUGUGCCUCAAGCGACUUUUCCUCCUGUGUGUCCGUUUUUGUUAUAUUUCUGAAAGUUGCCAGUCGUCGGCUUCAGCCCCCAUAUAGGUACUACAGGGGUGUUCGACAUAUCGCGUGACCACACUUUAUCCAACGUCUCGGUCCGUAAAGGAGGUGUCCGCGAGGUGAACCAGGCAAUCGGACUAUGUGGCUUUAUUAUUUUCACUUAGCCAUAGGAGUUUGACUGUGGAGCUAAGUACUAGCCCCUGGUGCGUGUACGGCUACCCGGACUACGGUGCCUUUUCCACGCGGCUGGACGAAGAACAACCCCUUGUAUAACACGGGGUGAAUCGCUAACGAUUUGUAGUAUGAGACUAAGUCGCCAAAUCGCUGACCAGCUCUCGCCUAUCAUGACAGUCAGUUUCCGGCUUUCUCUACCGAGGUACUUGACCGGAUGAACCAGAAAUACAAUCGCAGUAGUUCUCCCUUUACUACCUUAGCCGAACAAGCGGAACGUAAGGUAGUAAGCACAGGAGCCGGGAAACCCAACUAUAGACCAAAGACAUGACUCGGAGCCGAUGCAUAUAAUGCAAUAUCCGAGAUGCCGAAGAGUACCCAAUAGGUGUUCAGACUUGAAAUGUGCAGGGCCAAAUACAACCCCGGUGUUAAGGCUGGACUAAGGCACGUGUGGCAGUCUGAGGUAGGGAGGGAACACAGAUGAUAAUAUAAAAUAAAAUGGCUGCCAAACAAAGUGGUGAUCAACUGUUUCCCUUAUACCCUGAUUAAUAUGUCAAGCCAUGUUAUUACAGAUAAUGCCAAAAACAUCGAGGUCACUUUACAUGCCAGAAGCUUAUACAAGGGAAGGGUGUACACAGAGCCUAAACUAAAUGGUUUAAAAAUCCCAAUGAUGCCCUGCUGCACGUCUGCGCCGUUUCUCUCGUCUAUUAAAAGAGGAACCUAGAAAAAGGUCCCCGCGCGACCGUAGAUCAGGUAGGUUCUUUAAUGAGCAUAUAGUGGAAGGAUAUUUGAGGUCUGAAUAGGGUCAAGCCGUACUAUAGACCUUUUUCGUAGUGUGCCUCUGGCGCUGCCCAUGGUAUUUUAAAGGCGUAAUUGUGUACGUGAGGUACAUAUACCGCAACCUUAUGGGGCAACCGGCAGAGGCUAAACUGCUAUUCGAGCUUAGGUUCAAUCGAGCUACCGCAUUGUAACACGGCUCAGACACAUUUAAUAGUGUCGUGGGUCUUAAUGACCGAUGAGUUCUUCAGCCUGAUGAGGCCGCCCUGUAUUUCAGCUUCUAGGACCAUGGUAUGUUCCUCGGUAUGGGGGGAGCGCUCCAUAUUUCCCAUUUACUGUGAUGAUGCCACGAGGUCCAGGCAUUUUGAGCUUUAGAUAAGCAUAGUGUUGGACUGCAUUAAAGCGGGCAAAAGCAGUUUGUCCGAGCAGCGACUGAUAACCACUACGAAAAGGGACGAUGUCGAAGAUCAAUUCUUCGCUUUAGAAAUUGUCUAGAGAGCCGAAUACUACUUCUAAUGUUAAUGAGCCCGUACAACGGGCUUCCACGCCGGGUAUCACUCCUUUGAAGGUAGUGUUGCUAGGCUUGAUUCUUGACGGGUCAAUACCCAUCUUACAUACAGUAUUCUGAUAGAUCAAGUUGAGACUGCUGCCGCCGUCCAUAAGGACUCUAGUGAGAUGGUAUCCGUCGAUGAUAGAAUCGAGUAAUAGGGUCGCCGAACCUCCAUGACGGAUAUUGGUUGUCUGGUCCCUGCGAUCAAAGGUGUUCGGACAAGCCGACCAUGGGUUGAAUUUUCGGGCGACGGGGCUCUACGGCGCAGACGUCCCUUAAUGUGCGUUUGCGCACCCUCUUGGGGAUGUGGGUAACAUAGAUCAUGUUUACCGUUUUCACCUCGGGGGGAAAUUGCUUCUGUCCCCCCAUGUUCGGCUGACAGGGCUCAUCAUCGUCCUCGCUUGGAGGUCCUUUCCCCUUAUGUUCGUUAUUUAAUUUACCGGCGUGCUUGAAAACCCAUCAAUUUCUAUUGGUGUGGUUGGCAGGCUUGUCAGGGUUGCCAGAAUCUGGCAAGGCCUCUCUAGUAUUUUUUCCAAGUUGGAUGGACCGUCUCCAUUACCCUUGAACGGCUUCUUCCGCUGACCGGGUUUGGAACCACUGAAUCCGGCAUUUACUGUCGUAUCAUCUGUUUCUUCAUUAUUGUUCCGACGCUUGUUUUUGUUGCGCCGUGGCCUGCCAUUGUCAUCCCUGGUGUCAGAAGUUUCGGGGUCGCUGGUACUACUCCUUCUGCGAGCCAACCAGCUAUCUUCGCCCGCACAAAAGAGGGUCAUAAGUGCAGUAAGAACUGCCAUAGUCUUCGGCUUCUCCUGCCCGAGGUGUUGGGCGAGCCAUUCGUCACGGACGCUGUGUUUCACUACUAGGGAAACCCUUAUACACAAAAUAUUAGCAGUAGUGCUGGAUAAAAUAAAGUGCUGCUGCUACUUAGUAGUAGCGCGUUGCUGUAAAAGGCGCUACUGCUAUCCUUUUAGCAGUAGAGCAUGUUGUAAAAAUUUGUUGCUGCUAAGUUUGAAUUGGGCGCACAUGGCUAGCCCCACUUAGCAGCAGCGCGUAUCCUUAUGUAGCGCUACUGCUACUCUCCGUAGUAGUAGCGCUUUUCUUCAACCCGCGCUGCUACUGACCCUAAAUUAUCGUCCCCACACGGCCGACCCUCUCACUAUCCCUCUCAUUCACUCUCCCCCACACCCGAGCCGUCGUCCGCCACCGCCACCGUCGCCCGACCACCAUCGCCGGACGCUCCUGCUCCUCCGAAAUUGAGGUAGUCCCUCCCUCCUCCCUCCUCCCCUCCCUCCUCCUCGCACCGCGCCCUCCUCCCUCCUCCUCCGGCCGCCCCCUCGUCCCUCCUCCCUCCUUCUUUGGCCAAGCCCUCCGNNNNNNNNNNNNNNNNNNNNNNNNNNNNNNNNNNNNNNNNNNNNNNNNNNNNNNNNNNNNNNNNNNNNNNNNNNNNNNNNNNNNNNNNNNNNNNNNNNNNNNNNNNNNNNNNNNNNNNNNNNNNNNNNNNNNNNNNNNNNNNNNNNNNNNNNNNNNNNNNNNNNNNNNNNNNNNNNNNNNNNNNNNNNNNNNNNNNNNNNNNNNNNNNNNNNNNNNNNNNNNNNNNNNNNNNNNNNNNNNNNNNNNNNNNNNNNNNNNNNNNNNNNNNNNNNNNNNNNNNNNNNNNNNNNNNNNNNNNNNNNNNNNNNNNNNNNNNNNNNNNNNNNNNNNNNNNNNNNNNNNNNNNNNNNNNNNNNNNNNNNNNNNNNNNNNNNNNNNNNNNNNNNNNNNNNNNNNNNNNNNNNNNNNNNNNNNNNNNNNNNNNNNNNNNNNNNNNNNNNNNNNNNNNNNNNNNNNNNNNNNNNNNNNNNNNNNNNNNNNNNNNNNUACUAUUCUUGUAUAAUGUAGUUUUUUACUAUUUUUUAGUAAGUGUUUAAUAGAAUUAGUAAGAAAAUUAAUAGAACUAGUUGAACUAGUUUAUUUUUAUUUAUAGUAAGUGCUUUCUUGAACUAGUUGAAUUAAUAGAACUAGUUUAAAUUUAGGUGUAUUUAAUAGAAUUCUAGGUUGAUUCGUUUUGAAGUGGACAUGUCAUAUUUUGACCAUGUCACAUUUGUUGUGAUUUUUUAGUUAAAGCAUUUAUUCUCGCAUUGACGUCGACGAUACCUAUGCCGCAUCCUCGUCAUCGACUUCGGUGGAGGAGGCCUGCUUGAUCAGAGGGGCCAUGUCCAGGACUGGGCUCCGCCGGGCUGGUACUGGGAGGUGCUACCUUCUGGGGGCGCAACUUGGUGAGGAGCUAGCCCUCCAUUGACCCGAACCUUCUUUCGUGGCGGUCGCGUAGGACACUAACAAUGUGGAGGCUUGCAUCCCCCGCGGAGGUGAUACGUCACCGUGUCAGUGAGGAGGAUGAGCACGUCCAUCGCUACAUGGUUGCGUUCGAGGGCAGGUUCAAUAAUACCUGGUAGGUUCUUUAGGGAUCUCACUGGAGCUAUUAUCCUAUGAUGGUUCCUUCUCUUUGUGAGUCCACCGCUAGCGCCGAUACCCGUCAUUCUCUAGGGUUGUAGCUGUAUUAGUGAUGUUAUAUGUAUGAUACUAUUCGAGAUGUAUUAGUGAUAAUAUUUGAUGAUGUACGAACACAAGAGAUGAUUUAGUUUCGCUUAUUUAAAUGCAUGCUAAUUUGAAUACUAAUUUAUUUUAUGGUUUAGUUUCGCUUAUUGAAUGCUCAAAUUGGAGAGCACUAUGCAAGCCAUAUGCAUUUGAUUAGUUGAUAGCUUAUAGGGUUUCACUAAGUCCUAAGAUGAGGAUAAUAAUGUUUUUAUUUAUAUUUUGUUUUUGCAGCCAAAUCUCCAUGUCGUCGUCGCCGUCGUCCUCGUCACCGACCCUCUCCGACCUCGAGGUGAGACCAACCAAAUCGCCAUGUCAAUAUGAGUCCUAUAAGAUAUUUUGAAAUGUUUUUGUUCAUAUUUUCAACCAUUGAAAUGCAAUGACCAUCCAGUUUGAAUGCAAAUAGGAUAUGUGCUUGCCCAAGUGGCCAUGUUUGCAAGUAACACCUCCGAGUGGCCUAUGUUUUGCCGGAGUGUUGAUUAAUUUCCGUUCCGGCAAAUUUCAGGCGCUCGAUAUGUUCUUUUUUAGCAAAGGUCAUGCCAGAUUUUUCUGUGAAUUUUGAAUGACUUGUUCUAGAAUAUGUAGGAAAUAUCAAGUGGCCUGGAUUUUCUAGAGAGAUAAUUAAAUGACAUUUCGGGUUGACUUUAAGUCUGUCGAGGCUCCAUACACGACAAUCAAAAAAUGAGUGAAGGAGAAAGUCUGCACCAUAUAUGAGAGAAGAAGAAUCCCGACUGUUGUCGUGGGGGUCAUUUCUCCUUCUUCUCCUUGUGCUAGACCUUUGUUAUGCACUAGGGGAAGGAGGAGUAACGACCAUCACCGACGGUUGAAAAAAUAGUGAGGGAGUGUGUCCACCAUAUGUGAGAGAAGAAGAAUGCCGACUGUUGUCAUGGGGGUCGCUUCUCCUUCAUUCCUAUGUGCUAGACAUUUUGGUUUAGUACACUCGGGGAUGAAGGGAGGAGCGACCAUCACCAACUGAAUAUAUACACCACGUGAGCUGAGAGUUUUCAAAAAAAGACUCGACGGACCGAUAGUCAACCCGUGCUGAAUAAUAAUGAUCUAAUUUAGUUUUUUAGUACAUAUAUUGAAAUUUAGAAGUUUAAUCUUUGAAUUAUGAACAUAGGAAAUGUCGUUGGACGACGAAAGUCUCACGGAGUGCUCUUGGUGCAGCGACGAUCGGGGUUUCUGCGACAGGCCUCACUUGGUAGAAGGUCGGUGCUUCAGCAUUAAGCUCCAGGAGACCUUCGAUGUUGUAACGGUACGCAACAAUGCAAAGUGUUUUUUCGUAAUUAAGCUCGACUUCUUCUUCUUCUUCAACGUGUAAUUUUUGUCUUUUACAAUUCGACUACCUUAUCCGAUGCCAUGCAAGACGCUAUGUCUUGGAGAGGAUGGAUUUUGAAGAUCAUGAAAAUAUGGGAACCAAGAUAGUUCACCUAAGGACCCAUCCUGGUUUUGAUUUUGCUGUAAAUAUAUACAAUUCUAAGAGCGUAUCCCUUUUUGGUUGCCCGAAUUGGGAAGCACUUUGCAAGGCAUAUGAUUUCCAUGAGGGUAUGCUUGUCACCAUGGAUCUUGGUGAUCCUGACAAGACAAUAUGGACAUUUGGGUCCUUGUUGAUACCCUUCCAAUUCUACCGCUAUGUGAGUUUCUCAAACAUAGUUAUUAAGUAAUUUAUAUUGUUUAUUUCAAAAUAGUUGACAGCUUAUUUCCAUUGAUAGCUUAUUUUCAAUCUUCAAAGAAUGUGCGGAAGAUGGUAGACAGAACCUACUACACCGAUGACGCAGAAUUAACUUAUCAGGAGAAAAAUCAUCUGAUCUCAUUUAUUAAUGAUCUUGAGAAUUACAAUAUCUAUUAUCAAACUCCUGCACAUUAUGGUCAAUACGUGCCACUGGUGCAUGUGUUGAACUACGCUAACAUCCGUGGAGAUAGCAUGGUAAGAUUUUUUACUAUUACGACAUCCGUGCAUCUUUUGCAUAAAUUCUUCUAAAAGUAAACUACAUUGCUAACUACGAAGUUAUUACUAUAUUUUUCAAUAGAAAAUCUUGAAGGAUUAUGUGCCUCACCCGAUGUUUCCGAAAGGUCGCCUUGAUGUUAUGAACUUACGGCCAGGUCAUCCUACGCAUCACUUAUGUAUGGUCAGUCGUAGGGAGGUACUUGGAAGCAACAUUGUGCGACACGCAAGAAUUGGAGACAGGAUAAUCUCCAUUCUCCAUAAUGGAGAGUCAGGGCCUAUCUUGUUUUAUGCUAUUUUACCUAAGAGAGUGUAGUAGGUCCUAUUAGAGAGGAGUAGGUCCUAGGUACAAUGUGUUAUUAUGUGGUACAAUGUGUUAGAGUUGAUGAUGAUGUUGAGGAGGAGUUGUGAUUAUGACUAGUGACCAAAUUUCUAUAUGAUGUCUCAUUGACGAAAAUGAUGAUCAUGAGGAGUUGUUAUAUGACAAUUAUGUAUUAUGAUGAUAAGUUGUUAAUGAUAUGAUGAUGAUGAUGAUGAUGAGUUAUUAUGCCAUUGGGUGAAAGAACCGCGGUUUAGUUCCAAGUGGAUGGAUCCAAAGUUCCAUGCACUUGAAACUAAUCCACGGUUCUUUGGUAAUAACUCAUUCUGAUGUAAAAACAAUCUCUAAAUUGCUACUGUAUGAAAACUUGUAUAAUGGCAUAUGAAUACGACAUAAACAAGAAAGAAAUACCUAGCAAUAGUAGUAGCGCGGGUAGAGAGACGCGCUGCUAGUAAUUACCAGCAGUGCUGUCUAGCAAAAGCGCUACUACUAAGCAGGUAUAGCAGUAGCGUGGGCAAACACACGCUACUAAUAAACCUUAGCUGUAGUGCCAUAGCGGUAGUGCGCCACCCCGCGCUACUGGUAUACCUAAAACCGGCACUAGUGCUAGCCUUUUCCCUAGUAGUGUUUGAAUGCCGCCAAGGCUUUGGCGUAUGGACAGUCCAUGAUUUGGUUCUUUUUAAUUAAGAGCCGAUUCCAAAGUUUGUGAGCCGACUCUCCGGGUUGCUGGACUAUGUGACUUAGGUCAUCAGCAUCCGGUUGCCGGACAUAAGUGCCCUGAAAGUUGGCCCGAAAAGCAUCCUCUAAAUCUUCCCAGCUUACAAUGGAGUUCUCUGGGAGGCUAUUCAACCAGUGCCGUGCUGGUCCUUUCAGCUUUAGAGGGAGGUAUUUAAUGGCGUGGAGGUCAUCUCCGCGAGCCAUGUGAAUGCGGAGAAGAAAAUCUUCAAUCCAUACGGCAGGAUCCUUCGUUCCAUCGUACUGCUCGAUGUUCACGGGUUUAAACCCUUCCAGAAAUUGGUGUUGCAUUACCUCACCGGUAAAGCACAUAGGGUGUGCGGCACCUCUAUACCGGGCAACAUCGCGACGGAGUUCAGAUGACAUCUGUGUUCGGUGCUGACCUCGGACUUGAUUAUAUUUAUUGUGCCAGGCUUGAUGGUCAUUAUUUCGUGUUGGGGCACAUCCUCUUGAUCCGUAAAUUGAUUUGGUCUGGCUGGCUCUAUUGGUCAGGUCCUGAUGUAGGUCAUACGUGUAGCCCGGGGCCGCUGUCUCCCUGCCUCUAUGGGGAGGGGGCCCGGGUUGGUGUUAGACAUGAUUAGCCAUUUUGUCCCGUCCACGUGGUGGUCGGUCCAGUUGAUCAGCCUGAUUGUAUUUUGACGGUAUUGGCACAAGGGCCUCGUCGUCGAAUUGUGGCAGUAGCCCGUGUUUUGGGUAACUCUUUGUUGGGCACUCGAAGUCGUAUUCUUCAGCGGCUAGGACCUUGGUCCAUCUGUCGUUGAGCGUAUCCUGUUCGGCUUGAAGCUGUUGUUGUUUCUUUUUUCAGGCUCCAUCACUGGCGAUGAAAUGUCGCUUGAAGUGUUCUUGUUCGAGGGGUUCCUCUGGGAUGAUGAAAUCAUCGUCGCCAAGGCUAACAUCCUCUUUGGAGACAGGUAAAUAGUUACUAUCUUCUUAAUCCUCAUGAUCGGCGUGUUCGGGGCUGUAUUGACCCUCCUCCCUUUCAUCCUGCUCGAACGCAGGCUCGAAGGGGUGGUCGGGGUCUUCGAUGUUGUCAGGAGUGUCAUUAUCUCUGGUGCCGGUAUUGCUUUCCCUUGCCCGACGCGAUCGUGAGCGGCGCUGCUGACGUUGGCGCUUUGGUGGUUCAUCGACGGGCUUGUCCUCGUUUGGAUCUUGAGUGCCAUCGUCGUCCUUCUUCUCAGGUGUAUCCACCAUGUGUACGUCGUAGGUAGAAGUGGCCGUACAACGCCCGGUGAUGGGUGGGUUGGAUCUUGGUUCGGUUUCGACAUCGUCGUCCAUGCCGUCGAUGUCUUCGGAGGCGUAAUCUAGCAUGUCAGUUAAAUCCUCGACAGUGGCUAUUAAGUGGGUGGUGGGUGGGACGUAAAAUUCCCUAUUCUCGCCCCCCAGUUCAAGCUGGGCGUAGUUCGGAGGCGAUUCUUCCGUGAUGGCGAGAGAUUGUAUUAAGUCCAGCGUUUCGUUUAAAAGCGAGAGUUGGACAGGCGUCUGAGGAUAUGCGGAGCUAAGCUUGGCGAUAACCUCCUGCCCGAGCCCGAGGGGCGCAGACUUCGAGAGUUCAGAGUUCAUGUCCGGAGCCGAGUCCGGCUCCCCAACAACCGAAAGAGUCUAGUUUGACUCCGGGUCUGCCAAUGGUGCGGUUGUCUCUGAGUCUCCGGCUGGAAGCUCCAUGGGAGAAAAGAGUCCGGUCGGGUUUAUCCUCCCGUCUUCGGACGAUGCGGUCCGCUCCAGAUGUAAGGCCAGGGCGAGCGUGAAUGUCGACCCUUGGACAGGACCUGAUAGUAGAACCGAAUGGCCUUCUUCAUGCGGGCGAGGAGCGGCGGCCGAGGCUGUGAACCCCUCGAAGAUCAGGUCUCCUCGGAUAUCAACGAUGUAGUUUAGACUUCCAAACUUGAUCUGGUGACUAGGGGCGUAGCUGUCGACCUACUCGAGGUGACCGGUCAAGUUGGCACGUAGCAUGAAGCCACCAACAGAAAGAGUUUGGCUAGGGUGAAAGGUCUCCCCAAAAACAGCAUCGUCGUUGAUGACGAGGCGAGCCAUCGGUUCUUCCACCGACAACACAACGGAACUCUCAAUGAAAGCACCAAUGUCAGUGCUAAAACCGGCAGAUCUCGGGUAGGGGGUCCCAAAUUGUGUGUCUAAGGAUCGAUGGUAACAAGGAGACAAUAGGGACACAAUGUUUACCCAAGUUCGGGCCCUCUUAAAGGAGGUAAAACCCUAUGUCCUGCUUGAUUGUAUUCGAAGAGUAUAGGGGUUACAAGAGUUGAUCUACCUCGAGAUCGUAAUGGCUAAACCCUAGAUGUCUAGCCUAUGAUUAUUCUGAUGGCCUCCACGGACUAAACCCUUUGGUUUAUAUACACACCGGAGGGGCCUAGGGUUGUACAGAGUCGGUUUGCAGAGGAAGGAAAUAGUACAUCCGGACACCAAGCUUGCUGUCCAUGCAUAUAGGAGUCCUACCCAGUCACGGGGGGUAGUCUUCUGUUUUAUCUUCACGGCUCAUCAGUCCGCCCCAUACCGAAUAGACCGGACACCCGAGGACCCCCUAAUCCAGGACUCCCUCACCGAGCAACUUCACUGUUUUUUUCACGGCGAACUGAAGUAACCGCACUGCAUCAUUUUUGGAGGCGUACUGGACUGCGUGUACUGCAUUGUCUAGAAUAAGUAAACUGAGAUAGUUGCGGAAGUUUACUGCUUACCUCAUGUUGUCGUGCUUUCUUGCGUUUGUAGGAGGAAGUUCCCUUCUCGUCCGUCUGCACAACUUUUUUGUUCACCCGUGCAGUCCACUUGCCCUUCAGAAGUUCAUGAGCAGUCUGGACGUUGCUCAAGGUGAGUGGUGAUGGAGGAUUUGCUCCGAAGGUCGUUGCAGCCUUAAUCCAAGAAGCUGUCGUGGAUGAAGGAACCUUGCACACAGUCCUCCUUGCUCGAAUUGGUGUGAUGUCGAGGCAGCACAACUCCACAUCUAAUGAGGGACAUGUAAUUGAAGACGCACCGCUCAAUGAUGUGGUAAUUGAAGGCCAGGAGGAGAUCGGCGGUGGCGCUACUGAGCUACUACCGAGGAAGAAGGUCGAUAUGCGAGCGGGGAGGCGUUGCUUGGUUGCUGCUGCGGAGGAAGGCCAAGAGGCGAUGGAUGGCGGCGUUGCUCGGUUGCUGCCGCAGAAGAAGACCGAGAGGCGACGGGCGGCGGUGCUGCUUGGCCGCUGCCGCAGAAGAAGGCUGCGAGGGAAGCGACAGCGGCGUUGCCGACCGCCGCCGCGGAAGAAGGCCGGGAGGGGAGUGGCGGCAGUGCUCCCAGGCCGCCAUCAUGGGAGAAAGCGGGGAGGGGAGUGUCGGUUCAAUAUCCGGCGUAUCUUGUAGUAGGGGUCCUAAGCUAGGCGUCUUGGAGCGAUGGUAACAUGGACACGGGGUUUUACCCAGCUUCGGGCUCUCUUGAUGAGAUAAUACCCUACAUGCUGGUUUUGAUUGUAUUCAUAUGGGUGUAGUAUAGAGUACACGUAUCUACCACAAGAUUGUAGUGAUGAAUAUGAUAUUGCCUAUUGACUACCCUCACCUCGGUUUAUAUAACACACCGAAGGCCUAGGGUAUUAGGAGAGUCCUUGGCUUGGGCGCCAAGUCUUGUGGAAUCCUUCUUGUAUGCGGCAUGGGCUGUCCGAACUGGCCCAAUAGUGAACCGCCAUGGGGGUCCUCGGCCAGAUCCAGCUGGUCGGGAGAUGACGUGGUGAGUACCCACUAGUCCAGGACACCGUAAGUAGCCCCCUGAACCGGUCUUCAAGUUGGGGACGCUCCUCGAUUCUUCCGAACUGUUCUUCAUCUCCGGUCGUUGGUUUUGAAAACUGCUUCAACAAAUCUUCCCAUCUUCGAUCUUGAGGAUCGCCGAGCUAAAUCCGAAGAGUUCACACAUCGGGCAUCCGAGGAGACCUUCAAGUUUUCGGCCUUUAUCAAUGCCUUGUAAUUUUUUACGCCACACCUUGAGUUUGAAGUUGUUCCCGUGAGGGGUGUCCUCUCGCAUCCGAGCUCCAAUGCCGGAGUGCCCUUGAGGUAUCUUUUGCAGCCGAGCACCAACGCCGGACUGUAUUCGAGCUCCAACGCUGGACUGUAUUCGAGCAUCACCUCGGCCAUGGGCUGAUUUUUAUGAAUUUAAUUCCGAUUUGUGCAAUGUAUUCUCUGCCGAGAUGUAUAGCCAAUAGCCUUCAAGGUGCGUGUUGGCCUAAUAUCUGGGAUGCACCUGAAGGAUUAAAUCAAAUCGCUUUUCCCAGUAGCCCCUGAGACUCUGGUCGAUUCGUGAAAUCGGCCUGAGGAUCAAUUCCUAGCUCGGCAGCAUACUUAGGAAUAGAAACGCGGUGUAAUAUAUUAGUGGAAAUAGUGAUCGGCGAAUGGGCCCCGGAGAGAGGGCCGUGAGAAGUCGCCGUGAUAUAUCAGCUUGACGCCAAAUAUGUCCCAGAUGGAACUUAUUGUUGUCCAAAAACGCGUUUGUCCAUCGUUCGGCCAUGCCGAACAUUGAGCACUUUGAAUAUUCUGCAUUGAAUAGGCAAUGCAGUAGCCCCCGAGCCACUGGUCGGGUGGCAACACCAGAUCAGGGGAUCGAUGUGCCCAUUUAAUAUUUAUAAAUAAUGAGCCCAAAGCCCAAUAGCCCCCAAGCCUUAAUGCGGGUACGGGUGGCCGAAUUAAGGAUCGAUGUCCAUAGUAAAAUCAUAAAUUAUGUGUAAUGACUCUAUGUAUCCAAGUACUUUACAUCAUUAAUGCUCGGAUCCGCAUUGUACAAAACUUUGUUGACCGACCAUCGGCUUCAACCUCUUCGGCCAGUAGCCGAGGAGUGUUUUCCUACUUUAUAAAGCCGUUAUAAGGGCAAAGAUUUAUGGAAAACAAGGCAAUCUGGCCAUACGGUUUUAUAAACAAAGGUACACUGAGAGAUAUGUUAUAUUACGUUUUAACGUAAGAAACAUCUUCCAAAGAAAAUAGUCCCGCUAUCGGUUCCUUUCUUUGGGUCGACAUGCUUAUCAUGAUCAUGAAACCUCACCUCCGAUCAAUGUGGGGGGGAAAUAUUGAGGAUUUAGUUCGGGGAAAGUUCCCGAACUCUAUGGUAUUAAUGAACCAAAAUUUUCACUUCCGUCAUUGCCGACUAAUGUGAUCCUUUAAGAUUGCUAGCUUUCGGCUUCACCCAAUCUGAGGUACUUACUCGGAUGACCCGGUAGUAACAAUCAUAGAGGUGCUCCCUUUACCACCUAGCCGGACAAUCGGGAACGUAGGGGUAAGCACAUGAGCUAGGCAACCCAGCUUGGCCAAAAUCUUAAGUCAAAUUGAUGCAUAUUUAUGGAUUUAUAACGAUGAUUGCGGAAGGCAGCCCUUGUAUAUUAAAUACAAAUGCCGAUGAUAUGUUUAUUUUGACUCCGUUGCGACCAUUUAUCAGUUGAAAGUGGACCAUCGUCGUCUUCUACCCCUUUGUAGAUACUACGCAGGGUGUUUCCGCAAUAACAAGACAACCCUUAGCCGACGUCUUGGUGCCCGAAGGCGUUUGUGUUAGCGGAAACGAGGCAAUCAGAUAUGCGGGCUUUAUAACUUUCACUUAGUCAUAGGAGCUUAAAGUUGGGAGGCCAGCUACUAGCCUCUGGUUAGUGUUCAGCGACAGCCAAGGUCAAGCCGUUAACACUUCGGCGAACGUUAUGAACGGCUCGUGGCCUAACAUGGGGUGACCUCCAUCGAUCUUAUAAUUUAAUAUAGUCAUAGGAUCGCUGACCAGUUUACACUUAUUGUGACAGUCAGUUUUCGGCUUUCUCCACUGAGGCGCUUAACCAUGCUAGCUGGAAGCACAAUCACAGUGGUUCUCCCUUUGCACACCUAGCCGAGCAAAGCGGAAAGUAGGAGGCAAGCACGGGAGCCGGGCAACCCAACUAUUGACCGAAGACACAAUUCCAAACCGAUGCAUAUAUAGCAAUAUCCGAGAACGUUUUUGUCGAAUCUCUAAAGGUGUUCGGCGUUGCACUGCGAGACUAAUGCUGGAAACACACAAAUAGUUUAAAAGUGCCAUAGGCUCGAAAAGCCAAAAAACUUAUUCAAAAGUUUAAUGUCCGAACUAGAUCAAGUGUUCGGUGCCAAUCCGAAAAUUGGUCUUAGAAAAAGAAAAUUGUGCUUCUGUCGUGCUUUAACAUGACACAUCCUAUCUCAAGACUUCAAGCGGGUCAGCCUAUGGCUUCAACCUCCUAUCCAGAAGGUGAAGUAAUUCUUGUUAGGCCAGUUUAGCAAACUAAACUCUAGCGGCUUUGAGAGAGAAAUUAGGCUCCUUGGCUAUUGACCACACACUCGCGUCGAAAAAAGGAGUGAUAGGAAAAGACUUUGCAAUGACUAAGAAAAAGAACACUUAUUAUAAAACAGCUCACACUAAUUUAAGAGCCCCCAAGUGACUUGGGUGAAAGAAUUUUAUGUAUAAUGAUGGUAUGUACCGAAGUACUUAUAUCAUAUCUGUGUUCACCAGAACUUUAAACGUGUCUUAACCGACCGUCGACUUCUCCCUCUUCGGUCAAGGGCCGAAAAGUGUUAUGUACUUCACCUGUCGACAAUAUCGACGGUGUUUCCUGUUGGCGUUCUGGGAACGGGGGUCCCCAGACUUGCCUGCCUGCGACCCGUGGCGUGGCUCGAAGGGGGCCCAGCACGGCCCAUCUUCAUCAACACAAGACCCAAGACCCUCGCGAGGGGCCAAGCCUCGCAGGGCGGAUGGCGCGGAGCUUCCUCAGGCGCGGCCUCAUCAGGCUGGCUCACGAGGAGGCGGAGAGAUCAAGGCGGCGUACCUCAUGAGGUGCCCAUGACACAAGCCAUGACGACCGAGGGCGCCAGGCGGGCGCCAGCCCGCGCAGUGUCCUCCUUUCCUCUUUGGUGCAAAGGGGCAAGCGCAGGCGAGAGCAUCAAGCAAAGGCACCCGUUUCGGUGCAACGAGACCAAGACCAGUCCAACGGUGGGGAGGAAGUCAUUGUGGAGCCCAAGCUAGCAUCACCACCAGAGCCUUUGGCAGGCGAGGACCAACUUUAGUCAGGAUAAGUGUACCAGAUGUUCCCCUUCAAAAUGGCUAGCUGUUGGCGCCCUUCCCGCUCAAUAUUUGGGAAGAGGCCCAGGGCCUUUGCCUAUAAAUAGGACUAGCCACCUCCAGGGCAGACCCCCGGGCAAUCGGUUAGAAAAGGCAUAGGCAACAGACAGAGAGAGAGAGGGAAAAGGGCGAUUGAACUCCUCAUAGUGGUUCAUCCCCCCAGCCAAGAACAGACCCUCGCGAGGCUGUUCUUUCUUGUAUUUCUCAUCAUCAUCAGCCCAAGAGGCAAUCCAUCACGCCAAAAACUAGAGUAGGGUAUUACACCAUAACGGUGGCCCGAACUAGUAUAAACCUUGCGUCUCUUGUGAUGUUCUUUCCAUAGCUUAGAUCUUAGCGAGGCGGCGGGGUGCAAGUAGGUGGAAGGCGUAAUCUCCGCACGCACCCCAGAGUUUGAACCUCAAGGGUCUGCCGGAACCCGAAAUCCGACAUUUGACGCGCCAGGUAGGGGUGCGCCGGAAUCCACCCUUCUACCGCUUCGUGUCCCGUCGCGUCGUCAUCACCAUGUCCAGCGACCAGGCGGGCAACCCAGAUCCAUGGGCGGCGUGGCCCGCCCGCGCAGAGCCGCUCGCCUCGGGCGACCCCGCGCCCCAGGAAGCUCAUGAUCCGCAGGGCGCUGCGGGCCGCGGGCGACGCGGACAGGCUUCCACAACCCUCACACCGCGGCAAGCGCGUUCGACAGCAAGGGCCUCCAAUCACACCGCGACCACGACACCGUACACCCGCCGGGAGCAGGAGAACUCAAGGGCCGCGCUCACGGUGGCCCGAGAGCUGCUGCAGUGCAGGCUGCUGGAAGGCGGCCGCGACGUGCUGCUGGAGCGGGUUGCCGAGCUCCUGGGCUUUGCCGCCUCGGGGGCUCACCCCUUCUGCACUCAGCUCCCAUCUCAAGCCCAGGGCGGCACGCGCGGGGGCUCCGCGCACGCCCGCGGCUCCAAGGUACUCCAACGCCAAUGAAGCUGUCGGCACCGGACCGGCGGCGGCGCUGCCCCUGCCCCCGGUCCGUGAAGAAGAGGGACUCGGCGCGGCCCACGGUCCCGGUGGGCAGCCGCGCUACCACCCCAUGGUGGGCGCAUCAAGCAGAGCUGCGUGGGACGCGGAGCACUACGACGUGGCCUUCGGGAUGACGGCGCCGGAAGAAUACAUGCCCCACAUGAUGGACCAAGGGCACCCUCACGAGGGCGAACAAGGCUCGCUCCUCAGCCCAAGCUGGGGGGACGAGGCACCAGAAGUUGAACUCUUCCAGGAACCCAGGGACGGCCCCACCGUCCACGCUGGAGGCAAUGAUCAUCGGGUACCGCUACUUCCUCAGGAGUAGGCAUACGCUAAUCAUGGAUCACAGGAGGUGCAGGUCGCCGCAGCGAGCAGCUGCCCCGCUCCCACAGUCUCCUACCCCUCGGGAGGAGGGCGCAGGGGGCUACAGGAGAGGGGCAGAGAUCCGACAUCACCACCGCGGCGUUCGGAGCAAGGCGUUCUCAAGAGGUAGGCCCUCCGCUGGGGAGGUGCCUCAGGGCCUGCCCCUAGCAGAGGACCCGUGGUCGUCGGGGGAACCGCUGGCGACCGCUCUACCCCAUCGGCGGCGUCCUGGUUUCCGGUCGUCGUUGAUGGCCUAGAGUGUGGUGCAAGGCGGGGCCCUCGUCUGGCGAUAUGAAGCAAGGUCGAUACCUGUGAAGAAGGCCCAGUGCUUGUGAAGCUCGCCGCCCCGUGACACUCUCACGUAAUAAUGAGUGGGGUUGUACACGCCCCGGAGUCUCAGGGGUGCCGGCCUCAGGCCCUGGGGCUCCCUCCCACGCCCAGUGGCAGCACUUAGCUCUAUGCUGGUGAGGAGACGUCCAAGACUAGAUUAGGUACCGGACACGGCCUUUUGUCCGCUUUCAUUGCUUUCCCCUUUGGUUGUAACUUUCCCCCGCUGGAUUUAAAAGUUGGAUUCGAAUUUGAGAUUUGCGUGUGUUUGGGGAAGGGGUGCUUAGUCUCGUUCGAGCCAUUUCUCGCGUUUUUAUUACCACUUCGCCUUAGCUGCCUCCCCUCACGAGUCAGGUCAGGCCUAGCUUGCGCGCAGCCCAGACUGCUGCCGCCGCGUCCUCUCGGGAGGGUUUCUAAAUGCCUGUGAAGAUUAUCCUUUUUGAAAAAGGCCCAGAGCCUGUGAAGAAGGCGAAUGCCUGUGAAGAUCAUCCUUUUUGGAGAAGGCCCAGAGCCUGUGAAGAAGGCGAAUGCCUGUGAAGAUCAUCCUUUUUGGGAAAGGCCCAGAGCCUGUGAAGAAGGAGAAUGCCUGCGAAGAUUAUCCUUUUUGGAGAAGGCCCAGAGCCUGUGAAGAAGGCGAAUGCCUGUGAAGUUGUCGCGCUUGGGAAAAGGCCCAGAGCCUGUGAAGAGGGCAAAUGCCCAUGAAGCUUGCUUCCCCCAAGAAAAGGCCCGAAGCCUGUGAAGAAGGCUAACGCCUGUGAAGCUCGCCGCCCGCGACACUCUCACAUCCUAUGGAUUCGGUUAGAGAAGACUCGAGACGCCAUGGGCCCCCAUAGGCUACCUCAGGGCCCGCACGAGAGCGGAGGUAAACUAGCCAACCAGCGCGUCGCUUAGCCAGCCACUUGGCGCGGGCGCAUGUGCAAUGUAACAUCUACUAAUACGAUGAACACAAGUUUUACAUGAGGGGCUCCCCUCCCAAAAUGCUCUCACAAUCAUCAGGCCAAAACCUGAGUUCUAUUCAUGCAGGGUAAGGAAACAGGGACAACGCAUAAUCAGUCGGAUAAAUCACCCAAUGCAUCCUCAGAAGCACCUCCCGAACCGUAACUGGCAUCGCUAGACUCGCCAUCGCUGUUUGCGUCGCCACCAGCGGCGUCAGGGUCAUUCACCACGCCGCCCUCGUCAGCAGUCAUGAUCACGUCGUCAUUGUCCGAAGUGAAGGCCCUGACAAGAGCAUCCACAUUGUCUUCCACCCAGUGCGCCAGGUCGUCCCGGACGGCCUGGGGGACUGGGGCGAUGGCGGCGUCGAAGUCGAAGUGGGGAUCCAUGUUCUAGAGAUGGCUGAAGAGACGGGAAAAGGCGCGCCCGGGCAGGGCGCGGCUCCUCUCCUCCACCAACAUGUCGGCCCUGGCCGACCAUGCCUCCAGCUGCAUCACCACGGCGGUGAAGAACUGAAGGUUGCCGGCGUAGUUGAUUGUGCGCGGCUCGCCAACGUCCGCCUCACAGAUGUUUCCCAAGGCUGUGUUGGCUCUCUCCCGGAGCGUGGAGAGCAUGGGGCCGUGCCCAUGCUCCUGGACCUGCCGCUGACGUAUUUCGUCCGCAUUCUGGUGCGCGACGGCCUCAGCCUCCUCCACCCGCUGGCAAAGACGGAGCACCUUGACCCGGGAGGUGGUUGACUCCCCUUGCGCUACCUCAAGCGCGGCCCGAAGAGCAUCGGCCCGCCGCGUCGCUUCCUCCAGCUUGGUCCUCAAGGCUGCGGUCCUACCUUCAGCCUCGACCCGGAUCAACCCCAGCCUCCCCUCGAACUCGCGCUCGAGGUCUUGGCGCGCCAUCGCCACCCGACAUCCAACCUCCUCCAGGAAACGGGCUUCCCGUGCAGCGACAUCAUCCUCCGCCUACGUCACCAAGCGCUCCCUCGUCUCCAGCCGCUCGUACUCGCGGGUGCGUUCGGCGGCUUCCAGCGUCAACGCCUCCUCACACUUCUGGAGCUCUGCUGGGUCGCCAGAGGCCACCUUCAUCGACGCGAGAGCUGCCUCGCGCAGCUCCGCCUGCUCCUCUAGUGAGUGGCACCAGGCCAGGAGCUCACGAGCCCGCUCCUCAACCGCCUCUCGCCAUCGGUCGGCUUCCCGGGCCUCCUCAGCGGCCUGAGAUCGGGCCUCCCGAGAGGCCUCCAGUGACGCCUUCGCCUCUUCGUCGUCAAGAUCGCGCUGAUGGCGCGCAAGGGCAAUGGCGCCCUCCAGCGCGCGCCUCUCUGCAGCCAGGCGCAGGCCCUGGGCCUCGAGGCGCGCGUCUUCAUCAGUGAGCUCCUCCCCAAGCAGACUCACCGCUUCAGUCGCCCUUCGAAGGAAUCCUUGGCGAUGAGCGUGACGCUCCCGGGCACGCUCGAGCACGUCUUCCACACCAUCAUCUGCCCCAAGCAAGCGCCGGGGACCACGAAUCAGCGCUCCCCCUCCGGGCAGGGGGCUGGGGGCUGGCGCCCUCGCGACGGCCGGGCGCGCCAAGCCAGAAGCCCGGCCUGGAACCAGCCCGUCUCCGGAUGAAGGGCGCAGGGAGCGCCUCAGCCAGUCGCAGUUCACGACCAGACGAGAAGCCCAUGGAAGGCUGGCCAUGCCAUGAGAAGGCCCGCGAAGGAAGAUCGCGGGGAACGCAGGACCUUGAUGCACCUUGGGACGAUUCGCCCCGCCGAUCGCCCCCACCACAAGGGUUGUGCUGCUCGGAGCACCUGAGGACGGUGGAAGGGGCGAAGCCAAGGGGGACGGCACCUCAGCCUCCUCCGCGAGCUCGGCCGAAAGGGGCCUGCGGAGUAAGGAUCAGUAAAAGCAACAAGAGGAUCGGGAGCUGGAAAAGGAGAAGGCUUACUCGUCAGUGGCGAAGUACUUCCUACGCUUCAGCAGGCGACAAGGGUAAUCGUCACCCAUGGCCUCCCUUUUCUUCCGGAGGGCUUCGAAGUCCACGCGGAAGCGGCCCAAGAGUUGAGCGCAGGGAUCAACCUGCGACGAAGACGGAGCGUCAAGGCGAUCCGUGUCAGGGGCGCCCGCCUGAUGCGCGCUGCCGAUCGCCUCGCCUAGAGAAGCAGCCGGAGCCUCAGGGGCCUUAGCCGCAGGCGCUGAGGGCAGCUGCUCGCCCCCCUCAGCCUCAGCGGCACGGGCCCCAGGAGCUGCUCCCUCAUGAGCAUCGCCCCGCGUUGCCACCCUAUCGGGAGCCCCCUCGGCCUCUGGAGCCUCAUGCCUCCCUGCUCCGCCACUUGAGGAAGAGUCGCCUUGACCGACUGGAAGGGCAGUCACCACCGUUGGGUUCUCGCGAGGCCCCUGGAGGCCGGCGGGGCACAGCUGUUGGGUUUCGUAGUAAUUUCAAAAUUUUCCUACGCACAUGCAAGAUCAUGUGAUGCAUAGCAACGAGAGGGGAGAGUGCUGUCUACGUACCCACACAAACCGACUGCGGAAGCGUUCACACAACGUAGAGGAAGUAGUCGUACGUCUUCACAAUCCAACCGAUCAAGCACUGAAACUACGACACCUUCGAGUUCGAGCACACGUUCAGCUCGAUGACGAUCCCCAGACUCUGAUCCAGCAAAGUGUCAGGGAAGAGUUCCGUCAGCACGACGGCGUGGUGACGAUCUUGAUGCACUACAGCAGCAGGGCUUCGCCUAAACUCCGCUACAGUAUUAUCGAGGAAUAUGGUGGCUGGGGGCACCGCACACGGCUAAGGAAUAGAUCACGUGGAUCAACUUGUGUGUUUCUAGGGUGCCUCUACCUCAGUAUAUAAAGGAGCCAAGGGGGAGGGGGGCGCCGGCCAGGAGGAGGGCGCAGGAGGAGUCCUUCUCCUUCCGGGAGUAGGACUCCCCCCCCAAUCCUAGUUGGACUAGGAUUCCCCGAGGGGGAAAGAGAGAUAAGGGGGGCCGGCCACCUCUCCUAGUCCUAAUAGGACUAGGGGGAGGGUAGAGGCGCAUGGCCACCUUGGGCUGCCCCUUUCUCCUUUCCACUAAAGCCCAUCUAGGCCCAUAUGGCUCCCGGGGGGUUCCGGUAACCUCCCGGUACUCCGGUAAAAUCCCGAUUUCACCCAGAACACUUCCGAUAUCCAAACAUAGGCUUCCAAUAUAUCAAUCUUUACGUCUCGACCAUUUCGAGACUCCUCGUCAUGUCCGUGAUCACAUCCGGGACUCCGAACAACCUUCGGUACAUCAAAAUGCAUAAACUCAUAAUAUAACUGUCAUCGUAACCUUAAGCGUGCGGACCCUACGGGUUCGAGAACAAUGUAGACAUGAUCGAGACACGUUUCCGGUCAAUAACCAAUAGCGGGACCUGGAUGCCCAUAUUGGCUCCUACAUAUUCUACGAAGAUCUUUAUCGGUCAGACCGCAUAACAACAUACGUUGUUCCCUUUGUCAUCGGUAUGUUACUUGCCCGAGAUUCGAUCGUCGGUAUCCAAUACCUAGUUCAAUCUCGUUACCGGCAAGUCUCUUUACUCGUUCUGUAAUACAUCAUCUCGCAACUAACUCAUUAGUUGCAAUGCUUGCAAGGCUUAUGUGAUGUGCAUUACCGAGAGGGCCCAGAGAUACCUCUCCGACAAUCGGAGUGACAAAUCCUAAUCUCGAAAUACGCCAACCCAACAUCUACCUUUGGAGACACCUGUAAUGCUCCUUUAUAAUCACCCAGUUACGUUGUGACGUUUGGUAGCACCCAAAGUGUUCCUCCGGCAAACGGGAGUUGCAUAAUCUCAUAGUUAUAGGAACAUGUAUAAGUCAUGAAGAAAGCAAUAGCAACAUACUAAACGAUCGGGUGCUAAGCUAAUGGAAUGGGUCAUGUCAAUCAGAUCAUUCAACUAAUGAUGUGACCUCGUUAAUAAAAUAACAACUCAUUGUUCAUGGUUAGGAAACAUAACCAUAUUUGAUUAACGAGCUAGUCAAGUAGAGGCAUACUAGUGACACUUUGUUUGUCUAUGUAUUCACACAUGUAUUAUGUUUCCGGUUAAUACAAUUCUAGCAUGAAUAAUAAACAUUUAUCAUGAUUAUAAGGAAAUAAAUAAUAACUUUAUUAUUGCCUCUAGGGCAUAUUUCCUUCAGUCUCCCACUUGCACUAGAGUCAAUAAUCUAGAUUACACUGUAAUGAUUCUAACACCCAUGGAGCCUUGGUACUGAUCAUGUUUUGCUCGUGGAAGAGGCUUAGUCAACGGGUCUGCAACAUUCAGAUCCGUAUGUAUCUUGCAAAUCUCUAUGUCUCCCACCUGGACUAGAUCCCGGAUGGAAUUGAAGCGUCUCUUGAUGUGCUUGGUUCUCUUGUGAAAUCUGGAUUCCUUUGCCAAGGCAAUUGCACCAGUAUUGUCACAAAAGAUUUUCAUUGGACCCGAUGCACUAGGUAUGACACCUAGAUCGGAUAUGAACUCCUUCAUCCAGACUCCUUCGUUCACUGCUUCCGAAGCAGCUAUGUACUCCGCUUCACAUGUAGAUCCCGCUACGACGCUUUGUUUAGAACUGCACCAACUGACAGCUCCACCGUUUAAUGUAAACACGUAUCCGGUUUGCGAUUUAGAAUCGUCCGGAUCAGUGUCAAAGCUUGCAUCAACGUAACCAUUUACGACGAGCUCUUUGUCACCUCCAUAUACGAGAAACAUAUCCUUACUCCUUUUCAGGUAUUUCAGGAUGUUCUUGAGCGCUGUCCAGUGAUCCACUCCUGGAUUACUUUGGUACCUCCCUGCUAGACUUAUAGCAAGGCACACAUCAGGUCUGGUACACAGCAUUGCAUACAUGAUAGAUCCUAUCGCUGAUGCAUAGGGAACAUCUUUCAUAUUCUCUCUAUCUUCUGCAGUGGUCGGGCAUUGAGUCUUACUCAAUUUCACACCUUGUAACAUAGGCAAGAAUCCUUUCUUUGCUUGAUCCAUUUUGAACUUCUUCAAAAUUUUGUCAAGGUAUGUUGUUUGUGAAAGUCCAAUUAAGCGUUUUGAUCUAUCUCUAUAGAUCUUUAUGCCUAAUAUGUAAGCAGCUUCACCGAGGUCUUUCAUUGAAAAACUCUUAUUCAAGUAUCCCUCUAUGCUAUCCAGAAAUUCUAUAUCAUUUCCAAUCAGUAAUAUGUCAUCCACAUAUAAUAUCAGAAAUGCUACAGAGCUCCCACUCACUUUCUUGUAAAUACAGGCUUCUCCGAAAGUCUGUAUAAAACCAAAUGCUUUGAUCACACUAUCAAAGUGUUUAUUCCAACUCCGAGAGGCUUGAACCAGUCCAUAAAUGGAUCGCUGGAGCUUGCACACUUUGUUAGCUCCCUUUGGAUCGACAAAACCUUCUGGUUGCAUCAUAUACAACUCUUCUUCCAGAAAUCCAUUCAGGAAUGAAGUUUUGACAUCCAUCUGCCCAAUUUCAUAAUUAUAAAAUGCGGCAAUUACUAACAUGAUUCGGACAGACUUAAGCAUCGCUACGGGUGAGAAGGUCUCAUCGAAGUCAACCCCUUGAACUUGUCGAAAACCUUUUGCGACAAGUCGAGCUUUGUAGACAGUAACAUUACUGUCAGCGUCAGUCUUCUUCUUGAAGAUCCAUUUAUUCUCAAUUGCUUUCCGAUCAUCGGGCAAGUCAACCAAAGUCCAUACUUUGUUCUCAUACAUGGAUCCCAUCUCAGAUAUCAUGGCUUCAAGCCAUUUUGCGGAAUCUGGGCUCACCAUCGCUUCUUCAUAGUUCGUAGGUUCAUCAUGAUCUAGUAGCAUGACUUCCAGAACAGGAUUACCGUACCACUCUGGUGCGGAUCUCACUCUGGUUGAUCUACGAGGUUCAGUAGUAUCUUGAUCUGAAGUUUCAUGAUCAUUAUCAUUAGCUUCCUCACUAACUGGUGUAGGUGUCACUGAAACAUUUUUCUGUGAUGUACUACUUUCCAAUAAGGGAGCAGGUACAGUUACCUCGUCAAGUUCUACUUUCCUCCCACUCACUUCUUUUGAGAGAAACUCCUUCUCUAGAAAGUUUCCGAAUUUAGCAACAAAAGUCUUGCCUUCGGAUCUGUGAUAGAAGGUGUAUCCAAUAGUUUCCUUUGGAUAUCCUAUGAAGACACAUUUCUCCGAUUUGGGUUCGAGCUUAUCAGGUUGAAGCUUUUUCACAUAAGCAUCGCAGCCCCAAACUUUCAGAAACGACAACUUUGGUUUCUUGCCAAACCACAGUUCAUAAGGCGUCGUCUCAACGCAUUUUGAUGGUGCCCUAUUUAACGUGAAUGCGGCCGUCUCUAGAGCGUAUCCCCAAAACGAUAGCGGUAAAUCAGUAAGAGACAUCAUAGAUUGCACCAUAUCUAGUAAAGUACGAUUACGACGUUCAGACACACCAUUACGCUGUGGUGUUCCGGGUGGCGUGAGUUGUGAAACUAUUCCACAAUUUUUCAAAUGUACACCAAACUCGUAACUCAAAUAUUCUCCUCCACGAUCAGAUCGUAGAAACUUUAUUUUCUUGUUACGAUGAUUUUCAACUUCACUCUGAAAUUCCUUGAACCUUUCAAAUGUUUCAGACUUAUGUUUCAUUAAGUAGAUAUACCCAUAUCUGCUUAAAUCAUCUGUGAAGGUGAGAAAAUAACGAUAUCCGCCACGAGCCUCAAUAUUCAUCGGACCACAUACAUCUGUAUGUAUGAUUUCCAACAAAUCUGUUGCUCUCUCCAUAGUACCGGAGAAUGGUGUUUUGGUCAUCUUGCCCAUAAGGCACGGUUCGCAAGUACCAAGUGAUUCAUAAUCAAGUGGUUCCAAAAGUCCAUCAGAAUGGAGUUUCUUCAUGCGCUUUACACUGAUAUGACCUAAACGGCAGUGCCACAAAUAAGUUGCACUCUCAUUAUCAACUCUGCAUCUUUUGGCUUCAACAUUAUGAAUAUGUGUGUUACUACUAUCGAGAUUCAACAAGAAUAGACCACUCUUCAAGGGUGCAUGACCAUAAAAGAUAUUACUCAUAUAAAUAGAACAACCAUUAUUCUCUGAUUUAAAUGAAUAACCGUCUCGCAUCAAACAAGAUCCAGAUAUAAUGUUCAUGCUUAACACUGGCACCAAAUAACAAUUAUUUAGGUCUAAUACUAAUCCCGAAGGUAGAUGUAGAGGUAGUGUGCCGACUGCGAUCACAUCGACUUUGGAACCGUUUCCCACGCGCAUCGUCACCUCGUCCUUAACCAAUCUUCGCUUGAUCCAUAGUCCCUGUUUCGAGUUGCAAAUAUUAGCAACAGAACCAGUAUCAAAUACCCAGGUGCUACUGCGAGCAUUAGUAAGGUACACAUCAAUAACAUGUAUAUCACAUAUACCUUUGUUCACCUUGCCAUCCUUCUUAUCCGCCAAAUACUUGGGGCAGUUCCGCUUCCAGUGACCAGUCUGCUUGCAAUAGAAGCACUCAGUUUCAGGCUUAGGUCCAGGUUUGGGUUUCUUCUCUUAAGUAGCAACUUGCUUGCCGUUCUUUUUGAAGUUCCCCUUCUUCUUCCCUUUGCCCUUUUUCUUGAAACUAGUGGUCUUGUUGACCAUCAACACUUGAUGCUCCUUCUUGAUUUCUACCUCCGCAGCUUUCAGCAUUGCGAAGAGCUCGGGAAUAGUCUUGUUCAUCCCUUGCAUAUUAUAGUUCAUGACGAAGCUCUUGUAGCUUGGUGGCAGUGAUUGAAGAAUUCUGUCAAUGACGCAAUCAUCUGGAAGAUUAACUCCCAAUUGAAUCAAGUGAUUAUUAUACCCAGACAUUUUGAGUAUAUGCUCACUGACAGAACUGUUCUCCUCCAUCUUGCAGCUAUAGAACUUAUUGGAGACUUCAUAUCUCUCAAUCCGGGCAUUUGCUUGAAAUAUUAACUUCAACUCUUGGAACAUCUCAUAUGCUCCAUGACGUUCAAAACGUCGUUGAAGUCCCGAUUCUAAGCCGUAAAGCAUGGCACACUGAACUAUCGAGUAGUCAUCAGCUUUGCUCUGCCAGACGUUCAUAACAUCCAGCGUUGCUCCUGCAGCAGGCCUGGCACCCAGCGGCGCUUCCAGGACGUAAUUCUUCUGUGCAGCAAUGAGGAUAAUCCUCAAGUUACGGACCCAGUCCGUGUAAUUGCUACCAUCAUCUUUCAACUUUGCUUUCUCAAGGAACGCAUUAAAAUUCAACGGAACAACAGCACGAGCCAUCUAUCUACAAUCAAACAUAAACAAGCAAGAUACUAAUCAGGUACUAAGUUUCAUGAUAAAUUUAAGUUCAGUUAAUCAAAUUAAUUAAAGAACUCCCACUUAGAUAGACAUCCCUCUAAUCCUCUAAGUGAUUACGUGAUCCAAAUCAACUAAACCAUAACCGAUCAUCACGUGAGAUGGAGUAGUUUUCAAUGGUGAACAUCGUUAUGUUGAUCAUAUCUACUAUAUGAUUCACGCUCGACCUUUUGGUCUCCGUGUUCCGAGGCCAUAUCUGUAUAUGCUUGGCUCAUCAAGUAUAACCUGAGUGUUCCACGUGUGCAACUGUUUUGCACCCGUUGUAUUUGAACGUAGAACCUAUCACACCCGAUCAUCACGUGGUGUCUCAGCACGAAGAACUUUCGCAACGGUGCAUACUCAGGGAGAACACUUCUUGAUAAUUUAGUGAGAGAUCAUCUUAUAAUGCUACCGUCAAUCAAAGCAAGAUAAGAUGCAUAAAAGGAUAAACAUCACAUGCAAUCAAUAUAAGUGAUAUGAUAUGGCCAUCAUCAUCUUGUGCUUGUGAUCUUCAUCUCCGAAGCACCGUCGUGAUCACCAUCGUCACCGGCGUGACACCUUGAUCUCCAUCGUAGCAUCAUUGUCGUCUCGCCAAGUUUAUGCUUCCACGACUAUCACUACCGCUUAGUAAUAAAGUAAAGCAUUACAUCGCGAUUUCAUUGCAUACAAUAAAAUGACAACCAUAAGGCUCCUGCCAGUUGCCGAUAACUCGGUUACAAAACAUGAUCAUCUCAUACAAUAAAAUUCAGCAUCAUGUCUUGACCAUAUCACAUCACAACAUGCCCUGCAAAAACAAGUUAGACGUCCUCUACUUUGUUGUUGCAAGUUUUACGUGGCUGCUACGGACUUAAGCAAGAACCAAUCUCACCUACGCAUCAAAACCACAAUGAUAGUUUGUCAAAUAGACUCCGUUUUAACCUUCGCAAGGACCGGGCGUAGCCAUAAUUGGUUCAAAUAAAGUUGGAGAGACAGUCGCCCGCAAGCCACCUGUGUGCAAAGCACGUCGGGGGAACCGGUCUCGCGUAAGCGUACGCAUAAGGUUGGUCCGGGUCGUCUCGUCCAACAAUGCCGCCGAACCAAAGUAUGACAUGCUGGUAGGCAGUAUGACUUAUAUCGCCCACAACUCACUUGUGUUCUACUCGUGCAUAUAACAUCAACAUAAAUAACCUAGGCUCGGAUGCCACUGUUGGGUUUCGUAGUAAUUUCAAAAUUUUCCUACGCACACGCAAGAUCAUGUGAUGCAUAGCAACGAGAGGGGAGAGUGCUGUCUACGUACCCACGCAGACCGACUGCGGAAGCAUUGACACAACGUAGAGGAAGUAGUUGUACGUCUUCACGAUCCAACCGAUCAAGCACCGAAACUACGACACCUCCGAGUUCUAGCACACGUUCAGCUCGAUGACGAUCCCCGGACUCUGAUCCAGCAAAGUGUCGGGGAAGAGUUCCGUCAGCACGACGGCGUGGUGACGAUCUUGAUGCACUACAGCAGCAGGGCUUCGCCUAAACUCCGCUACAGUAUUAUCGAGGAAUAUGGUGGCUAGGGGCACCGCACACGGCUAAGGAAUAGAUAACGUGGAUCAACUUGUGUGUUUCUGGGGUGCUUCUACCUCAGUAUAUAAAGGAGCCAAGGGGGAGGGGGCGCCGGCCAGGAGGAGGGCGCAGGAGGAGUCCUUCUCCUUCCGGGAGUAGGAUUCCCCCCCCCCCCCAAUCCUAGUUGGACUAGGAUUCCCCGUGGGGGAAAGAGAGAGAAGGGGGGCCGGCCACCUCUCCUAGUCCUAAUAGGACUAGGGGGAGGGUGGAGGCACGCGGCCACCUUGGGCUGCCCCUUUCUCCUUUCCACUAAAGCCCAUCUAGGCCCAUAUGGUUCCCGGGGGGUUCCGGUAACCUCCCGGUACUCCGGUAAAAUCCCGAUUUCACCCGGAACACUUCCGAUAUCCAAACAUAGGCUUCCAAUAUAUCAAUCUUUACAUCUCGACCAUUUUGAGACUCCUCGUCAUGUCCGUGAUCACAUCCGGGACUCCGAACAACCUUCGGUACAUCAAAAUGCAUAAACUCAUAAUAUAACUGUCAUCGUAACCUUAAGCGUGCGGACCCUACAGGUUCGAGAACAAUGUAGACAUGACCGAGACACAUCUCCGGUUAAUAACCAAUAGCGGGACCUAGAUGCCCAUAUUGGCUCCUACAUGUUCUACGAAGAUCUUUAUCGGUCAGACCGCAUAACAACAUACGUUGUUCCCUUUGUCAUCGGUAUGUUACUUGCCCGAGAUUCGAUCGUCGGUAUCCAAUACCUAGUUCAAUCUCGUUACCGGCAAGUCUCUUUACUCGUUCUGUAAUACAUCAUCUUGCAACUAACUCAUUAGUUGCAAUGCUUGCAAGGCUUAUGUGAUGUGCAUUACCGAGAGGGCCCAGAGAUACCUCUCUGACAAUCGGAGUGACAAAUCCUAAUCUCAAAAUACGCCAACCCAACAUCUACCUUUGGAGACACCUGUAAUGCUCCUUUAUAAUCACCCAGUUACGUUGUGACGUUUGGUAGCACCCAAAGUGUUCCUCCGGCAAACGGGAGUUGCAUAAUCUCAUAGUUAUAGGAACAUGUAUAAGUCAUGAAGAAAGCAAUAGCAACAUACUAAACGAUCGGGUGCUAAGCUAAUGGAAUGGGUCAUGUCAAUCAGAUCAUUCAACUAAUGAUGUGACAUCGUUAAUCAAAUAACAACUUAUUGUUCAUGGUUAGGAAACAUAACCAUCUUUGAUUAACGAGCUAGUCAAGUAGAGGCAUACUAGUGACACUUUGUUUGUCUAUGUAUUCACACAUGUAUUAUGUUUCCGGUUAAUACAAUUCUAGCAUGAAUAAUAAACAUUUAUCAUGAUUAUAAGGAAAUAAAUAAUAACUUUAUUAUUGCCUCUAGGGCAUAUUUCCUUCAACAGCCCCCACUCAUCGAAGAUAGGCAUCUGGCUCACCAGGUCGCCCCUGUUCCGGCAGAGGUACAGCAAGGCCCCUCCCUGCUGGAUGCUGCCAGGGUUGGGGUCCCCAGUCAGGAUCAAGAGCGCUGUCCUCAGCACUUCAGGCGUCAGGUCCUCUUCUUGGAGCCUCAUAUGAUCGUCACACCCGCUGAGGGCCCACAUCCGGCGGGAGUGGCGUUGGAGUGGAGCAAUGCGGCGUAGCAGGAACUCCUUCACCACCUUGGGUGCCGUCACGCCAAGCGCCCUCAAGAACGCCAAGCGGUGCCAGACGAAGACGAGUCGGGGGCUCUCAAGCGUCUCCUGGCCCCAGCCCGAAUUGGGGACGGCAGGCGAAGCUGGCUCCGACAGCAGGGGGCUGGGCACCCCCACAUCCACAAACAGCCACCGCUCGCGGAACCCAGCCGCCGACGGAGGGAGCCUGAAGUCAAUCCCUGAGGCUGCUGUCUUAGACGCGGCAACAAAGCUCGCGCACGUCGAGCAUUGGGUAGGAUCGACAAGGCACAGAGAGAAGAAGUGGCGCAGCAAGGCAACAUAAGGAAGGAUGCCCACCAUUGCCUCGCAAACAAAAGCGAAGACCGAAAGAAGGAUGAUGGGUUCAAGACUCGGAUGCAUCAUAUGGAUCUGAUAGUGGGAAAGCACGACAUUGAAGAAAUCAGAAAAGGGGGGAACCAGACCCGCCCAUAGGGCAUCGACAAAAUACUGGACCUCGGUGGCUAUCCUGCCGAUGGAGAAGUGGGACGCGGGCCAAGCUGUCGUCCUCCCGCAUUCGUUAAAGAUGGUGGCCAGAGCCGAGCUGACCUUGCCCAAGCUCUCGGCGGGAGCCGCCAAUGGCGGCGAGCAAGGCGGAGGCAUGGGUUUCUUCCCUCUUUCCUUCUUCGUCGGAGCCAUGGCGAUGGGAAGGAGGAGGGAAGGUUCGAGAUUAGAUUGGAAUCAGGAGCUGGAGUUCGAGAGGAGGAAGGACAGAGGACGCUCGAGCAACGGAAAGGGGAGCGGCUGUGUACGACUACUAGUCCGCCUAGCAGGGCGCAAAAUAAGGGGGCGUGGGGGAACAGUGCCGCCCACGUCCAAUCAACCGCCACACAGUGCCCAAGGCCGCAGGCUGUUAGGGCCCGCGGCGCUCCGCCCUUGCCCUUCCGCCUCCCUGCAUGGCCAAGUCCGGGCGCGCCUUGGGCCCGGGGGCUACUGUCGGUGUUCUGGGAACGGGGGUCCCCAGACUUGCCUGCCUGCGGCCCGCGGCGUGGCUCGAAGGGGGCCCAGCACAGCCCAUCUUCAUCAACACAAGACCAAGACCCUCGCGAGGGGCCAAGCCUCGCGGGGCGGACGGCGCGGAGCUUCCUCAGGCGUGGCCUCAUCAGGCUGGCUCACGAGGAGGCGGAGAGAUCAAGGCGGGGUACCUCACGAGGUGCCCAUGACGCAAGCCAUGAACACCGAGGGCGCCAGGCGGGCGCCAGCCCGCGCAGUGUCCUCCUUUCCUAUUUGGUGCAAAGGGGGAAAGCGCAGGCGAGAGCAUCAAGCAAAGGCCCCCGUUUCGGUGCAACGAGACCAAGACCAGUCCAAUGGUGGGGAGGAAGUCAUUAUGGAGCCCAAGCUAGCGUCACCACCAGAGCCUUUGGCAGGCGAGGACCAACUUUAGUCAGGAUAAGUGUACCAGAUGUUCCCCUUCAAAAUGGCCAGCUGUUGGCGCCCUUCCCGCUCAAUAUUUGGGAAGAGGCCCAGGGCCUUUGCCUAUAAAUAGGACUAGCCACCUCCAGGGCAGACCCCCGGGCAAUCGGUUAGAAAAGGCAUAGGCAACAGACAGAGAGAGAGGGAAAAAGGCGAUUGAACUCCUCAUAGUGGUUCAUCCCCCCCAGCCAAGAAUAGGCCCUCGCGAGGCUGUUCUUCCUUGUAUUGCUCAUCAUCAUCAGCCCAAGAGGCAAUCCAUUACGCCACAAACUAGAGUAGGGUAUCACACCAUAACGGUGGCCCGAACUAGUAUAAACCUUGCGUCUCUUGUGUUGUUCUUUCCAUAGCUUAGAUCUUAGCGAGGCGGCGGGGUGCAGGUAGGUGGAAGGCGUAAUCUCCACGCGCACCCUAGAGUUCGAACCUCAAGGGUCUGCCGGAACCCGAAAUCCGACAUUUCCGAUAACCAGGCAAUCAUGCCAUAAGGCUGUAACAGACAAAGCGCGCUUAGGGAACUUAUGCUAUAUUACUGACGAAGUGUAAGAAGCACCUUCGAAGAAAAUAGUACCCACACCGAUACCAUUCUUCGGUUGCUCAUUGUUACUAUGAGACUUGUGCAAUAGAUUUUUUGUACUCAUGAGUUCCAUUGUGUGCCGACCAUAAUUGAAAACGAUAAGAGCGCUAGCUUUCGGCUUCACCCAGUCUAAGGUCCGAGCUCGGAUGACCCGACCGUGACAAUCGCAGAGGUGCUCCCUUUACUCCCUAGCCGACCAAUCAGGAAAAUAGGGGUAAACACAGGAGCAAGGCAACCCAGCUUGCGGAACACUUAAGUCAACAUGGUGCAUAUUGUGCCAUAAUACACGAACAAGGAACAAAGCCAUACAAGUAUAGUCAUAUGCAAGACGAAAACCUUCAUAAAGGAAGCCCCCAAGUAAACGGGGUAUUUGAAUUUGUGUGUCACAAACAAAGUUUGGACAAGGAAGUUUUUCACAAACACCUUUUUGCCAAAAAAGUACAAUGCUUGGUCGAACCGAACAAAAUUCAAAAUUGAAAGUCUUUGAGCAUGAAAGAGACUUAGCUGAUUAAUGUGCUCGGUAUUGAUGACGAGGUCUGGAUUAUGGCGGGACGAAUACAUAGACCUCGGCCUGGCUGAGGUCCCAACCCCCAAGCCGGUUUCGGAGUGUCCGAUAAAAGAGCUCGGCUUGACGAAGUGGCGACAUAGCGCAGUUGGCAUGUUGAAGAGCAGCCCCCGGUCCAGCCGAGCUGACGAAGCUGGUCGACUGAUGAUGCCGGAGUCCCCGGAGUAGGUUUGAUGAAGAGAUGGCAAAGCCCCCGGUCCAGCCGAGGUGACGCGGUAGGUCGGUAAGGCGACGACAGAAACCCCGCAUCAGCAUGUCGGUACGCCGAAGUGACAGCGCUGCCCGACCCGAAUCAUUUACCUGUGCAUAGAAAAUAGUGCAAGAUAAAAGUAACAACAAGUAAUGAUAAUAAUAAUAUACUUUUUUAAAAAAAGUUAUUCUACUUAAUUAACUUAAGCGAAGUAACUAAUUAAAUAAAAAUGGCCUGAGGGCCGAGGUCGGUGCGGCGGAGUGGCCGCACGGAGAUGUCGGCAGGGGGACACGAGUCGAGGUGACGCCCGAACUUAGUCGAUACAGGCGGAAUGAGUACGUCGGCUCGCCAUGACAUUGUCUACAUGCAUGAAGUAGCACAAGACAGGUAAAAAUAAUAAAGUAAAAAUAAAAUUUACAGAAUUGUUUAUGUGAAAUAAAUUAUUAAAAGAGAGGUGGCCUGGCGCGAGGCCAUUGUCGACACAGGGCAUCGGCGCAGCGAGGUGACAAAAUCCGGAUUCGCACGGUCGCCCGAAUUACGGAUGCAAUGCGCGCGGGGCCGCGACGGCAUAUCGGAUCGCCCUGAAACGGCGGCCGCAGCGUAGACCUGAUUGCAAAACCUGCAGGACCAAGAGUCGCUGACCAGCAGAAAAUAUUUUUUGAAAUAUUAUUAAUAUGCACAUCGUGAAUAACUAGAAGGAUUGCACCUGAUGAUUUAUCCGACGAUGUCGGAACUGGUGGCAGACAAGAUGAUCAUGGACGAGGGACGUCCAGGCAAGAGUGCUUCAGGACUGCGUCGGGCCAACCAAUAUACGGAACGACCGAUCAGUAUGUCGCCGCCUAGCAGAAUUCCGUUAACUGACCUCGGAUCGCGCUGGCCAGAUUGAUCUCCACAGGGAGUUGCAGCAACAAUUGUUGAUGGCUUGUGUGCCGAGGAGGAUAGAGCUCGGACAAAUUUUUUUCCUUGAGCCGCAUGCGAGCAGAAGAAUCAACAAUCAAUCAACAUAUCUUGUCCACCAUUAACUUUCCGGCAUACAUAAUGCAGUGCAGGACAGAUAUAAAAAAAUUCCUUUGUAUAAUUUAUUUAUUCAAAAUAAAUAAUUUGAGAAAUAUAGUUUGGGCGCCGAGGUCCGCUUGUGACAGUGGUGACGCGACGGUGCGGACGCAGCUCGGUCCGAAUUCGCAGGAUGGCGAUGCUGGUGUGGUGCGCUCCGGACGUGCAGGGCAACAAUACUGACAGGACACAAUGAAGCUGCAAGGAGUUUGGCCUGGAGCGCCGGCGAGAUGCCUGCCAGGUCGGGGCGAUGGAGCGCCAUGGCAUCGCGUUCGAGUCACAGACGAACAGUCCGCCGUAUCAUGGAUAUGAAGACAGCCCGGUUGCGUACAAAGUACCUGACAAGCCAAAAAGCUGACACAGAGCUUUAUGUAGAUUAGAAUUCAAAGUGUGCGUGUACUAAUUAUUUGAUUAAUAGUACGUCUUGGCAGUAGCCAACAGCCUUGAUACUUAUAUAAUUUAAUUUAAAGCAAUGAGACAAAGAGGAUCUCCUGGUGGAUGACGCCGAGUGGGAAUUUCCUCGGCUCCGCGUGCACUGCUUCGCGCGAGUACUUGAGUGCUAUACAUCCUUCUGCCCUAGGCUGCCGCCGCAUGAAGCUCGGUUGUUUUUUCAUUUGUGUUGGCUGUCUGUGGUAGAUCCUCCAGCCCUAGGUUGCCGGUGGCCGCCGCAGAGCCCGGAUUAGAUGUACUAGUUGGCGGCGUUGUUAAGAAUUUCUCCAUUUGCAAAGAGAGUUGUACAAGGCGGCAACAAUGAUUUUGCAAAGUAGAUAAUUUACGUUUGAACAGAUCUAGCUGAAAAAAAUAUCACCUGGUCAUCCCAUCGAUCUGUGACGAUCACCCAGCAGGCUCUCAUUGAAAGCACCAAUGUCGGUUCAAUAUCCGGCGUAUCUCGUAGUAGAGGUCCUAAGCUAGGCGUCUUAGAGCGAUGGUAACAUGGACACGGGGUUUUACCCAGCUUCGGGCUCUCUUGAUGAGAUAAUACCCUACAUGCUGCUUCUGAUUGUAUUCAUAUGGGUGUAGUACAGAGUACACGUAUCUACCACGAGAUUGUAGUAAUGAAUAUGAGAUUGCCUAUUGACUAGCCUGGCCUCGGUUUAUAUAACACACUGGAGGCCUAGGGUAUUAGGAGAGUCCUUGGCUUGGGCGCCAAGUCUUGUGGAAUCCUUCUUGUAUACGGCAUGGGCUGUCCGAAAUGGCCCAAUAGUGAACCGCCAUGGGGGUCCUCGGCCAUGGGAGACGACGUGGUGAGUACCUCCUAGUCCAGGACACCGUCAGGGAGUGGCGGCAUCCCUCCCAGGCCGCUGCCACGGAAGAAGGCUGGGAGGGGAAAGGCGGCGACGCUCCCAGGCCGCUGCCACGGUAGAAGGCCGGGAGGGGAGGGGCGGCGGCACUCCCAGGCCGCUGCCGCGGUAGAAGGCGGUGAGGGGAGGAGCGGCGGCGAUCUGGUGGGGGAUGUGCAAAAUAAGGUGGGUGUUAUCAGAAUAAGGGUCUUAAGGGGUGUUAUCAUNNNNNNNNNNNNNNNNNNNNNNNNNNNNNNNNNNNNNNNNNNNNNNNNNNNNNNNNNNNNNNNNNNNNNNNNNNNNNNNNNNNNNNNNNNNNNNNNNNNNNNNNNNNNNNNNNNNNNNNNNNNNNNNNNNNNNNNNNNNNNNNNNNNNNNNNNNNNNNNNNNNNNNNNNNNNNNNNNNNNNNNNNNNNNNNNNNNNNNNNNNNNNNNNNNNNNNNNNNNNNNNNNNNNNNNNNNNNNNNNNNNNNNNNNNNNNNNNNNNNNNNNNNNNNNNNNNNNNNNNNNNNNNNNNNNNNNNNNNNNNNNNNNNNNNNNNNNNNNNNNNNNNNNNNNNNNNNNNNNNNNNNNNNNNNNNNNNNNNNNNNNNNNNNNNNNNNNNNNNNNNNNNNNNNNNNNNNNNNNNNNNNNNNNNNNNAUGAUCCGUUCUACGAGAAAUUCUAUUUAUAUAUAUGCAUAACGUGUACAAUAUGUAGUAGCGUAAAAUAUGUUUGAAAUCAAAAAUAAUUAAAUGGAAAACACAAAAUUAAAGGAAAAAAUAAACCAUAAACCCCUAAACCUUUUGGUCCCGGUUGGUGUCACCAACCGGGACUAAAGGACCCCCAGCCCCAGAGCGGACUCGUGCCACGUGGUACCUUUUGGUCCCGGUUCAUGUCAUGAACCAGGACUAAAGGACCCCUGGCCCCCAGCGCGGACUCGUGUCACGUGGUGGGCCUUUGGUCCCGGGUCGUGACGAACCGGCACUAAAGGGUGGGGGGCCUUGAGUCCCCACCCUUUACUGCCGGCUGAUGAACCGGGACUAUAGGCUCUUACCAACCGGUAUUUGCCUCUCAUGUAGGUUCAUGUUAAUUUUAUACAGUAAAGGGGAAUUCCUUAGAUUUUGUGGUCUCCAUUUUCUUUGUAAAAAGUGAUCAAACUAGACAAGGAAAGCCAACUGCUAUAAGGGCAGUCAAAAACUUACACAACCAAGUUUCGAGAAAAUGCGGAGCAAUCCUAGCUGAAUAGUAUGGAACCAAAUCAAUGCUUGCAGUCUAGUGAUACGGAUGUGGUAGAUGAUUACAUAUAACUAAAACAUGGAACAAAAGGGAAAGAGUUCUCUAAAGAAGACACAUACCUCUUUCAUACUUCUUUCCACCCCACUCCCAUCAAUAUCUCCUCUUACAUCCAAACAUUGCACAAUCCACCUUGACUGGUGCUCUACAUGUUCAACAUUUUAUCAUUGUUAAUUAACCCAUAAAAAAUAUGAUGACACGAGGCAAUAGUUUCGCCCAUAACAAAAUUGUGAUCAUACUAUCAUCUUAACGGCUGACCGGGCAGCUAUUAGAUCUAAAAAUGCAAUAGAAAUUUAGAAUCGCAUGUCACUUGAGGAAACACGGUUUCUCUUCAAGUCAGUAGUCAGAAUUGGUGAUAUAUAUUUACUUAAAUUGUUGGUGUUUGUUAGAUCAUGAAAUGAUGUCGGUAUCCCAUUACGCUGAGAGGAUGUCAUAUGCAGCUGUGAAUCAACACCGGACACAAAGCAUCACCUUUCAAAUACAUUAAUAAAUAAUAAUAAAAUUCCAAGACGCUUUAGAAUUUUUAUUCAUCAUCCUACACUAUUCUUGUCCUAUAUUGGUAUCAGUUUAUUACGAUAACUACAGAAGCCCAAAGAAAAAUGCAGUAUAUUCAACCCAGUUUGCGUACAUCAAUUAGUAGAGACAUAUGAUGUGAUGUUGCAGUUUGCAUUAAUAAAAAGGCGGCAUUCAUUAAUACCAAAAGCAUUUGGUGAAAGUACAGUUUACUUGCAGAACAGGAUCAAACGUACAAAACAGCAGCAGGAGUUCAAUUCAAACAUAUAUGCAGACAUGCGUACAGUAUGUACUAAAUAACAAAAUUAGGCCCUUGCAAAGCUGAGAUGUCAAUACGUGCGAGAACUACACCACACCAACCCGAGUACUGUAGAAAACAUUUGCUAAGUGCUCCCACAAAUCGAGCACAGAUCAUAACUUAUAAUUAAAAGAUAUAUAUGUGCGUGCUCUCAGUGGGCACCUCGCUGCUAUGGUCAGUUACUUGAGAUUGUGGAAGCCCGCGCCGGCCCGAAUGGAAAUCUUGCUCGGCGUAUAGCUCUCGUCCAGCUUGAAACGCAUGUAGAGUGCAACAAGCGGGCCCCAACAAAAAAUUUAGAACCGAAAAAGAAUCAUGUAUCUAAUGUGGAUGGCGAGUCGUCGACCGCCUGAUCUUUCACGGUACUAGCAGCAGGAACAAGAAAUUCCGGUCGAGCAAAGAUGCAAGACCGUAAGAUCAGAAACUUGUGUCGAGUAGAUUGGAUCGACUCCACACGCAACAGCAACAAAAUCCCUUCGGAUCAGCAACAAAGAUAUUUGGUGUCCCCCGACAUGGGACGUUUUCUGUAGUUUUAUUGAACUCACGACUAAAACAAAAAUCUGACCUGAUACAUCGGCCGUAGCCAGCCUUUUAUAUAGGCGUCACACAGCCAAACCGACCAACGAGAGGAACUAAAACGACACGGACUCUAUAUCAACUAAUCUCUGUUAUACGAAUAGGAAUCUCUCUCCUAACUACUAAAUAAUACUUUCCUAAUAAAAUAAUACGGCUACGCUGAUCAUGUACAUCUAACCCAACUUAACUAGGACUCUUAGCAAAGUGGAACCCCAGUUGGAAUUUCUCCAGCCAGGUUACAACUACACGGUGGUGUUCUGAAGUUUGGCUUGAUGUCUUCCUUCCAUGAUUCAGCUGAGUGAAUUUGAAUACCAACAGAGCCAAUAUAAAGUAUACACGAAGUCUGUAUAGAUGCAUGCGUUGGAGUUUUCAAUUCCUUUGCACUAGUACUAUUGUGUUUCUCCAUAUCUUGAACAUAUGGCACGACCCUGGACAUCUCCAUGGUGUUUCUCUCUUUUCUAGUAGCUAUAACACCAAUGACCACAUCAUCCCCUCCUCCUUUAAGAAAAACCGUCCUUGAUUUUAAAGUAUUCUUCUCAAUUUUCUUCUGCAACGAAACAGUAGCAUCAACCUGGAUUGUGCUAUCAAACAUUGGCUGCAACACACGCCGCUUUCCGGCCUCCCAAAAAGAAUAAGUGUUGGACCUCCCCUCAUGUGUGGCACGUCGAUCAUAUUGCCAAGGCCUCCCCAACAACAAGUGGCAUGCAUUUGUUGGCAAAACAUCACAUAUCACCGUAUCAAUAUAAUCGCCCACAGAAAAAUGAAGACGCACCUUGUGAGUAACUUUCAACUUGCCCGAUUGAUAUAUCCAUUCGACACAGUGUGGUUGUGGGUGCUUCCAAGUAGGCAAUGCUAAGGCAUCCACCAAGUCCUUGCUGACCGCAUUGGUGUAGCUUCCUCCAUCUAUGAUCAACUUACAAUUGGUGUUUUUGAUUUGGCAUUGAGUUUGAAAAAUAUUCCAACGUUGCCCUUUAUCCUCAAUGCGAUCCUCUUGCACUCGCUGCACCAUUAGUGAAGGAUAUGACUCAGCAGCUUCAAAAUUCGCAACCACAUUGUCAGCAUCCCUAGAUUUUUCACUAGAAGUGUCAGAAACUGCCUCUUCAUCACUAGAGGAUGCAUAGCCAUCUCUCGUGAGUAACACUCUUUUGUCAUUAGGACAUUCACGCUUCAUAUGUCCCCUUCCUCCACACUUGAAACACUCUAUGUCACUAGUGCAUCCGGUCGACUGUGCACUAGAAUCAACCAUCGACAGUCCUGAUUUUGAAGCAUCCUUUUGCACAGAACCAUGAGAGCGAUUUGAUGAUGUCGCCCUGGAGCUAGGACCGACAUCCUCAUUCUUAUGCUGUGAGCGUCGCCAUGUGUUCAAAGUGGUACCGGGAAUUGUGUUGACUUGGCGUCGCUUAAUCUGUUGUUCCGCACACACAGCUUGGUGCACAAGAUCUUGUAUGUUGUAGUAGACCACCAUCUCAACACGAUCUUGCACCUCGAUAUUCAGCCCAUUAAAGAAACGUGCCAUGGUCGCCUCUGGAUCCUCCGUUGUCCCUGUACGUAUCAUAAGCAAUUCCAUCUCCUUGCAAUAUUCAUCAACACUCAUAUUACCUUGAGAGAGCCGCUGCAACUUGUUGUACAUAUCUCUUUUAUAGUGUUCAGGAACAAAACGACGCCUCAUGAAUUCUUUCAUACCUCGCCAAGUCGUCGGGCGAUGUCUUGAACGACAAAUUUGAUUCCACCAAAUUAGCGUGUAACCGGUGAACUCAAUUCCAGCAAGUUGAAUUUUCUUCUCCUUGCUAUAAUGAUGGGCAUCAAAUAUCUGAUCAACACGCAUCUCCCACUCCAAAUAGCCUUCUGGUUCGCACUUGCCGGAGAACGAAGGGAUUGAAAUUUUUAUGCGCCCAACUCCAUCAUCCAAAGGCACACGCACAGCUUGACCAACUCGGUCAUGCACUCCACCAUGAACGGAAGUUUCAAGACGAGGCUCAUAGUGUCGUGGUCGUGGCGCGUAUCCCGCCUGGUUAGCGCCAUCAUCGAAACCAUCCUCUCCAGCAUGAGCGUGUGCCGCCAAACGGCGAUCAUGCACGCCGGCAUGUCCGUCGUGAGCUGGUGGUGCAUAAUGCAGUGGAGCAGCCGGAGCAGUCUGUGAUGGUGCAGAAUUCGUUGCCGGCAUAUUGAUGAUGUCUGCCAAACCAUCGAAUCGAGUGAUCAGGACAUCUAUCCUUUUGCCGAGCGCAUCAUGACAUUGCUUGAUGUAGUUGCAUGUGUGGUCAAACCCAUCCCGAAUAUUUUGUGGAAUACCAUCCGCAUACACCGGACGUACUAUUUCCUUAGAAUCAGCAGCAACCUCAUCACCCUUGUUGACCGAGGUUGACAUCUUGAUCAACACAGUACCGUGAACAAUCUUAGCUCUGAAUACCACUUGAUGUGGACUCGACUAGAUGGCGAGUCGUCGACGGCCUGAUCUUUCACGGUACUAGCAGCAGGAACAAGAAAUUCCGGUCGAGCAAAGAUGAAAGACCGUAAGAUCAGAAACUUGUGUCGAGUAGAUUGGAUCGACUCCACACGCAGCAGCAACAAAAUCCCUUCAGAUCAGCAACAAAGAUAUUUGGUGUCCCCAGACAUGGGACGUUUUCUGUAGUUUUAUUGUACUCGCGACUAAAACAAAAAUCUGACCUGAUACAUGGGCCGUAGCCAGCCUUUUAUAUAGGCCUCACACGGCGAAACCGACCGACGAGAGAAACUAAAACGACACGGACUCUAUAUCAACUAAUUUCUGUUAUACGUAUAGAAAUCUCUCUCCUAACCAUACUAAAUAAUACUUUCCUAAUAAAAUAAUACGGCUACGCUGAUCACGUACAUCUAACCCAACUUAACUAGGACUCUUAGCAAAGUGGAACCCCAGUUGGAAUUUCUCCAGCCAGGUUACAACUACACGGUGGUGUUCUGAAGUUUGGCUUGAUGUCUUCCUUCCAUGAUUCAGCUGAGUGAAUUUGAAUACCAACAGAGCCAAUAUAAAGUAUACACGAAGUCUGUGUAGAUGCAUGCGUUGGAGCUUUCAAUUCCUUUGCACUGGUGCUAUUGUGUUUCUCCGUAUCUUGAACAUAUGGCACGACCCUGGACAUCUCCAUGGUGUUUCUCUCUUUUCUAGUAGCUAUAACACCAAUGACCACAUCAGUAUCUAGAAGAUUAGAUCCGUGUAUGCUAUGGUUGUCCUCAGCUGGCUCUUCUGGGACCACUUCGCAUGCCAUGCACAUAUAUACAUGCGGCAUGAGGAAAUCAAGAUCCAUUGUAAGUCUAAAAACAUGCCCAGAUUCAACUGAAGGUUACAUAUUAACCGAAACAAACGUGAUGUUAGAACUCAGGAAUCUCUCUCUCUCUCUCUCUCUCUCUCUCUUGUUCUCUCUCUCUUGCUCUCUCUCUCUCUCUCGCUCUGUCACUACUCCAUGGAACAAGCGCCACUGUGUACGAUUAAAUGCGAUCAGUCUACUUGCAAAUCGGUCAGAGUCACCUAUGUAUUCAAGUAGGAGUAUUUAGCAAAUAUUAUUCGAUACGACUUGCUUCUAUAAACUUUUUUUUGGCACACAAAGCGGCAGAAUUAACCAUUCAGCUCAGUAGCAGUAUACAACAUGGAUUACAAAGCCCUGAAAAUCAAAAUUAGAGAGGAGAGAUACUACAGGGCGAGCAAUAUUCCUAUGAGCCGAAGCAUAACAGCAUAUAUCAGGCUCUUCAUGAGGUCUAAGAACCGGCUAAGCUACAUUGUGUGCAAUACCAUUGAUAUCUCUAGAAAUAUGGAACACCUGGGAAUGAAGAUCAGAUGAGAAGAAGAAAAAAAUCAGCCAACAUCCUCCUAAUGGCCCAAGGAACAGAAGCAUCAGUAGUCUUUCUAGUUGCUGCAAACGACGCCAAAAAAGACAGUCUGUGAGGAAAAGAGGCUGGGAAAUGUUGAGUCGGUUAGCCAGUUGAGCCGGAAAAUCCUAUUUGCCGCUCGCUGCGGCGAAUUGUCGAGUGAUCGCACAGAGCAGCGUAGCGAGCGACAGACAUGUGCCGGCCCACUUAUACGUAGUGCGUCCAACCGGUUUUGGGAACCUUCUAGAAGGUUCCAUGAACCGGGUUUUUUACUGUAUCCUUUUUUUCUUGUUCUUUUUCGGCUUUCUAUUGUUUUUUUAUUUCUCUUUUUUUGUUUCUGUUUCUUUUUCAUUUUUUCAUUUUUUUCAUUUUUUACAUUUUUUGUUUCUUUUUCUUUUUCAGAACAUGUUCGCAGUUUUACAAAAUAUUUAGGAUUUUAUUUUUCAUUUCUUGUUUCUUUCCUUCUCUUUUUUUCAUAAAAAACAAAAAAAAGUAAAUUUUGUUUGUGUUUCCAAAAAAUGUUCAGUUUCUGAAAAAAAAGUUCUCAAAAUUCAAAAAUUGUUCUCGUUACACAAAAAGGUUAAAACUUUCAUAAUUCAGAAUAUGUACCAGAUUUCAUUUUUUCACAUAUUCAAAAAAAAAUUGCGCUUCCAAAUUUGUUCUUCAUUUUUCAAAAUUGUUCUCCGUUUCAAAAUAUGUUCUCAAGAUUCCAAAAAUGUUUGUGCCUUCAAAAAUUAUUCGUGCUUCCAAAUUUGUUCAGUAUUUUUCAAAAUUGUUAUCUAUUUGAAAAUUUGUUCUCAAGAUUCAAAAAAUGUUCAUGCUUCAAAAUUUGUUCUCAAGAUUCAAAAACCGUCGUGCUUUAAUAAAUUGUUCACAAAUUCCAAAAUGUUCAUGUUUUCGAAAAAUGUUUGGGUAAUUCAAAAUUUGUUCGUUUUCAUAAAAUAUGUUCACAUAUUCGAAAAAUGUUCAUGUUGUAAAAAUUUCACAAAUUCAAAAAAUUGUUCUCAGUAUUUAGAAAUUUAGUUCUCAAAUUGGAAAAGUGUUGAACGUUCGAAAAAUGUUCAGGAAUUUCAUAAAAUGUUCACAGUUUACAAAUUAGGUUAUAAAUUUUAAAAAUAAUCAAAAAUUUUAAAAAAUGUUCGCGGUUUCACUUUUUUGUUUGGAAUUACAUAAAAUAUUUCAUUUUCAUAUUUUUUUUUCAAUAUUCAAAAAAUGUUCAAGGUUUCAAAUUUUUGUUCGGACUACAAAAUUUAUCCACAUUUUUUCACAAAACUUUUUCUAUGUCCGUGUUACUUUUUUUUAUCUUUUCUUUUUAAUUAUCUUUCAGUUUUCCUUUCCACAAUUAUUUCUUUUGUUAACAAUUUUUAUGGGAUUUGAAAAUGUUCGUAUUUCUUUAAAUUUGUUCAUUUUUCCAGAUUUUGGUCCGGUUUUAAAAUUAUCAUCAGAAAUUCCAAAAAAGAUUAGUACUUCAAAAUUUGUUCAGUUCUUUUCAAAAAGUGUUCGAAAAUACAAAAAAGAUUAAAUUUUGAAAAUGUUUGCAUUUUUUAAUUGUGUACACAAAUCCAAGAAAUGUUUGCGGAUUUCAAAAUAUGAUCUUGUUUUCAAAACUGUUCACAAAUGGAAAAAUGUUCAUGUUUCCAAAUUUGUUCGCAUAUCAAAACAUGUUCUCUUAAUUAUAUAAAAAAAUCGAAAAUUGUUCUCGUCUUUCAAAAAAUGUUCAUUUUUUAGAAUAAUGUGCGCAUUUUUUCGAAAGUGUUCCUGUUUUCCAAAAAUUUCACAAACCCAAAUUUUUUAAAGUUUUCAUAUUUUUACCGCAAAUUAAAAAAUGCUUGGGAGAAUUUUGUAAGAUAUUUGCGUUAAAUAUUCAUAAUUUCGGAAAAAUUAGAGUUUUUCAAUUUUUGGUCCUGUUUUUAAAAAAUGUUCGCAUUUUGAAAAAGUUGUUCGUGGUUUCAAAAAAUGUUCUUGUUUUCUAUUUGUUCCUGUGUUUACAAAAAAAUGUUUGAGAUUACCAAACAUAGUCUGUGAGCACAUUUUGAAAAUGUUUGUUUUCGUAAGUAUAUUUGCUUUUGUGAAAAAGAAAAGAGAGAAUUCCUUAUUUGGACCUUUGUUAAAUUUUGCUUUCUUUUUUGGCCCAAAAAACAUUUUUCUUCCUUUUUUGACACUCAAAGUUCAUUUUGUUCCCUAUGUGACACAUCCAUCCAUUUUUUCAUCCAAGGGUGUUAAAUGGCAUGUAGAAAGACAAUUUUGCCCCUGAUGAUAUUAUGAACAGAAAAGAGGAAAAGAAGGGGUGUGAACGACCAAAAAAAUAUAUGAGGCGGAAUCUACACUCCUGCCUCUUUUCCUCCUCACCGCGGCUCGGGCGCUAAGCCGAGUGUUUUCUGGCCGUAUGAAGUGUGCACAUAGGUAGAUGUACGAAAGCUAACUUCCUAAGCAGACAGGCAUGCACCUUGAUUGAUUCUGGAGCACACGUAAAACUAGCUAGCUUGGCACUAGCCAAUGACACGCACAUCAGGGCAGCUAGUAAGGGCAAAGCCGAUGGGUUGCUAGAUGGACAAUGGCAUGAGCGUGUGUAGCAAUUUAAUCGUGUAUAUAUGGGUAGUGACUCGAUUCAUGUAAGUAGUUUAGAUAAUUAUUUGGACUCGAUGGACACAUUUUUCGGAACGAGUCAAUGUGCUCUUGGCUUCUUGCAAAUUGCAAUUAACGUAAUGGCAUGAGCGUGUGCAGCAAUUGAGGCACGAACACAGCUCAGCCACAUCACCUGUUGAUAUGUCACGGUCUAAUCUAUCGCCUGUAAUAUUAAUCUCUACAAAUUUAUAUGCUACAGUAGAGCAUGAAUGGGUUGCCAUUGUUCCACUCAUCAUAUUAUUUAUUUAUCCCCUGCAAAAAAAAGAUUCAUCGUAUAAUAAUGUUUUUUAUUUAACCACGACAAAAUAUAUCACAUUACCUCUGCGUUUGCUCAUAAAUAAUCUGGUCACAUACUAUACCUAGGGGUACAACGGUCUUCUUAGGUCAGACUUAACACCGUUACUAGACAAAACUAAUGGAAGUGUCACAUAGGCACAAAAUGAAGUUUGAGUGUCAAAAAAGGAAGAACAAAAAAUUUAAGGCCAAAAAGGAAAGCAGAUUUUAAGAAAGAGCCAAAUAAAAAAUUCUUUCAAAAGAAAACCAUGUUCGAUAUUUUUAAAAAAGUUUAUUUUUUCCGCAUAAUCUCAUAGUUAUAAGAACAUGUAUAAGUCAUGAAGAAAGCAAUAGCAACAUACUAAACGAUCGGGUGCUAAGCUAAUGGAAUGGGUCAUGUCAAUCAGAUCAUUCAACUAAUGAUGUGACCUCGUUAAUCAAAUAACAACUCAGUGUUCAUGGUUAGGAAACAUAACCAUCUUUGAUUAACGAGCUAGUCAAGUAGAGGCAUACUAGUGACACUUUGUUUGUCUAUGUAUUCACACAUGUAUUAUGUUUCCGGUUAAUACAAUUCUAGCAUGAAUAAUAUACAUUUAUCAUGAUUAUAAGGAAAUAAAUAAUAACUUUAUUAUUGCCUCUAGGGCAUAUUUCCUUCAACAGCCCCCACUCAUCGAAGAUAGGCAUCUGGCUCACCAGGUCGCCCCUGUUCCGGUAGAGGUACAGCAAGGCCCCUCCCUGCUGGAUGCUGCCAGGGUUGGGGUCCCCAGUCAGGAUCAAGAGCGCUGUCCUCAGCACUUCAGGCGUCAGGUCCUCUUCUUGGAGCCUCAUACGAUCGUCACGCCCACUGAGGGCCCACAUCCGGCGGGAGUGGCGUUGGAGUGGAGCAAUGCGGCGUAGCAGCAACUCCUUCACCACCUUGGGUGCCGUCACGCCAAGCGCCCUCAAGAACGCCAAGCGGUGCCAGACGAAGACGAGCCGGGGGCUCUCAAGCGUCUCCUGGCCCCAGCCCGAAUUGGGGACGGCAGGCGAAGCUGGCUCCGACAGCAGGGGGCUGGGCACCCCACAUCCACAAACAGCCACCGCUCGCGGAACCCAGCCGCGGACGGAGGGAGCCUGAAGUCAAUCCCUGAGGCCGCUGUCUUAGACGCGGCAUCAAAGCUCGCGCACGCCGAGCAUUGGGUAGGAUCGACAAGGCACAGAGAGAAGAAGUGGCGCAGCAAGGCAACCGAAGGAAGGAUGCCCACCAUUGCCUCGCAAACAAAGGCGAAGACCGAAAGAAGGAUGAUGGAUUCAGGACUCAGAUGCAUCAUAUGGAUCUGAUAGUGGGAAAGCACGGCAUUGAAGAAAUCAGAAAAGGGGGGAACCAGACCCGCCCACAGGGCAUCGACAAAAUACUGGACCUCGGUGGCUAUCCUGCCGAUGGAGAAGUGGGACGCGGGCCAAGCUGUCGUCCUCCCGCAUUCGUUAAAGAUGGUGGCCAGAGCCGAGCUGACCUUGCCCAAGCUCUCGGCGGGAGCAGCCAAUGGCGGCGAGCAAGGCGGAGGCAUGGGUUUCUUCCCUCUUUCCUUCUUCGUCGGAGCCAUGGCGAUGGGAAGGAGGGGGAAGGUUCGAGAUUGGAUUGGAAGCAGGAGCUGGAGUUCGAGAGGAGGAAGGACAGAGGACGCUCGAGCAACGGAAAGGGGAGCGGCUGUGUACGAUUACUAGUCCGCCUAGCAGGGCGCAAAAUAAGGGGGCGUGGGGGAACAGUGCCACCCACGUCCAAUCAACCGCCACGUGGUGCCCAAGGCCGCAGGCUGUUAGGGCCCGCGGCGCUCCGCCCUUGCCAUUCCGCCUCUCUGCACAGCCAAGUCCGGGCGCGCCUUGGGCCUGGGGUCUAUUGUCGGCGUUCUGGGAACGGGGGUCCCCAGACUUGCCUGCCUGUGGCCCGCGGCGUGGCUCGAAGGGGGCCAGCACAGCCCAUCUUCAUCAACACAAGACCCAAGACCCUCGCGAGGGGCCAAGCCUCGCGGGGCGGACGGCGCGGAGCUUCCUCAGGCGUGGCCUCAUCAGGCUGGCUCACGAGGAGGCAGAGAGAUCAAGGUGGGGUACCUCACGAGGUGCCCAUGACGCAAGCCAUGACGAUCGAGGGCGCCAGGCGGGCGCCAGCCCGCGCAGUGUCCUCCUUUCCUCUUUGGUGCAAAGGGGGCAAGCGCAGGCGAGAGCAUCAAGCAAAGGCCCCCGUUUCGGUGGAACGAGACCAAGACCAGUCCAAUGGUGGGGAGGAAGUCAUUGUGGAGCCCAAGCUAGCGUCACCACCAGAGCCUUUGGCAGGCGAGGACCAACUUUAGUCAGGAUAAGUGUACCAGAUGUUCCCCUUCAAAAUGGCCAGCUGUUGGCGCCCUUCCCGCUUAAUAUUUAGGAAGAGGCCCAGGGACUUUGCCUAUAAAUAGGACUAGCCACCUCCAGGGCAGACCCCGGGGCAAUCGGUUAGAAAAGGCAUAGGCAACAGACAGAGAGAGAGGGAAAAGGGCGAUUGAACUCCUCAUAGUGGUUCAUCCCCCCCCAGCCAAGAACAGACCCUUGCGAGGCUGUUCUUCCUUGUAUUGCUCAUCAUCAUCAGCCCAAGAGGCAAUCCAUCACGCCACAAACUAGAGUAGGGUAUUACACCAUAACGGUGGCCCGAACUAGUGUAAACCUUGCGUCUCUUGUGUUGUUCUUUCCAUAGCUUAGAUCUUAGCGAGGCGGCAGGGUGCAGGUAGGUGGAAGGCGUAAUCUCCGCGCGCACCCCAGAGUUCGAACCUCAAGGGUCUGCCGGAACCCGAAAUCUGACAUUUUCGAUAACCAGGCAAUCAUGCCAUAAGGCUGUAACAGACAAAGCGCGCUUAGGGAACUUAUGCUAUAUUACUGACGAAGUGUAAGAAGCACCUUCGAAGAAAAUAGUACCCACACUGAUACCAUUCUUCGGUUGCUCACUGUUACUAUGAGACUUGUGCAAUAGAUUUUUUGUACUCAUGAGUUCCAUUGUGUGCCGACCAUAAUUGAAAACGAUAAGAGCGCUAGCUUUCGGCUUCACCCAGUCUAAGGUCCGAGCUCGGAUGACCCGAUCGUGACAAUCGCAGAGGUGCUCCCUUUACUCCCUAGCUGACCAAUCGAGAAAAUAGGGGUAAACACAGGAGCAAGGCAACCCAGCUUGCGGAACAUUUAAGUCAACAUGGUGCAUAUUGUGCCAUAAUACACGAACAAGGAACGAAGCCAUACAAGUAUAAUCAUAUGCAAGGGGAAAACCUUCAUAAAGGAAGCCCCCAAGUAAACGGGGUAUUUGAAUUUGUGUGUCACAAACAAAGUUUGGACAAGGAAGUUUUUCACAAACAGCUUUUUGCCAAAAAAGUACAAUGCUUGGUCGAACCGGACAAAAUUCAAAACUGAAAGUCUUUGAGUAUGAAAGCGACUUAGCUGAUUAAUGUGCUCGGUAUUGAUGACGAGGUCCGGAUUAUGGCGGGACGAAUACAUAGACCUCGGCCUGGCCGAGGUCCCAACCCCUAAGCCGGUUUCGGAGUGUCCGAUAAAAGAGCUCGGCUUGACGAAGUGGCGAAGCGCGGUUGGCAUGUUGAGGAGCAGCCCUCGGUCCAGCCGAGCUGACGAAGCUGGUCGACUGAUGAUGCCGGAGUCCCCGGAGUAGGUUUGAUGAAGAGAUGGCAAAGCCCCCGGUCCAGCCGAGGUGACGCGGUAGGUCGGUAAGGCGACGACAGAAACCCCGCAUCAGCAUGUCGGUACGCCGAAGUGACAGCGCUGCCCGACCCGAAUCAUUUACCUGUGCACAAAAAAUAGUGCAAGACAAAAGUAACAACAAGUAAUGAUUAUAAAUAAUAUACUUUUUAAAAAAAGUUAUUCUACUUAAUUAACUUAAGCGAAGUAAAUAAUUAAAUAAAAAUGGCCUGAGCGCCGAGGUCGGCGCGGCGGAGUGGCCGCACGGAGAUGUCGGCAGGGGGACGCGAGUCGAGGUGACGCCCGAACUUAGUCGAUACAGGCGGAAUGAGUACGUCGGCUCGCCAUGACAUUGUCUACAUGCAUGAAGUAGCACAAGACAGGUAAAAAUAAUAAAGUAAAAAUAAAAUUUACAGAAUUGUUUAUGUGAAAUAAAUUAUUAAAAGAGAGGUGGCCUGGCGCGAGGCCAUUGUCGACACAGGGCAUUGCGCAGCGAGGUGACAAAAUCCGGAUUCACACGGUCGCCCGAUUUACGGAUGCAAUGCGCGCGGGGCCGCGACGGCAUAUCGGAUCGCCCUGAAAUGGCGGCCGCAGCGUAGACCUGAUUGCAAAACCUGCAGGACCAAGAGUCGCUGACCAGCAGAAAAUAUUUUUUGAAAUAUUAUUAAUAUGCACAUCGCGAAUAACUAGAAGGAUUGCACCUGAUGAUUUAUCCGACGAUGUCGAAACUGGUGGCAGACAAGAUGAUCAUGAACGAGGGACGUCCACGCAAGAGUGCUUCAGGACUGCGUCGGGCCAACCAAUAUACAGAACGGCCGAUCAGUAUGUCGCCGCCUAGCAGAAUUCCGUUAACUGACCUCGGAUCGCGCUGGCCGGAUUGAUCUCCACAGGGAGUUGCAGCAACAAUUGUUGAUGGCUUGUGUGCUGAGGAGGAUAGAGCUCGGACAGAAUUUUUUCCUUGAGCCGCGUGCGAGCAGAAGAAUCAACAAUCAAUCAACAUAUCUUGUCCACCAUUAACUUUCCUGCAUACAUAAUGCAGUGCAGGACAGAUAUAAAAAAAUUCCUUUGUAUAAUUUAUUUAUUCAAAAUAAAUAAUUUGAGAAAUAUAGUUUGGGCGCCGAGGUCCGCUUGUGACAGUGGUGACGCGACGGUGCGAACGCAGCUCGGUCCGAAUUCGCAGGAUGGCGAUGCUGGUGUGGUGCGCUCCGGACGUGCAGGGCAACAAUACUGACAGGACACAAUGAAGCUGCAAGGAGUUUGGCCUGGAGCGCCGGCGAGAUGCCUGCCAGGUCGGGGCGAUGGAGCGCCAUGGCAUCGCGUCCGAGUCACAGACGAACAGUCCGCCGUAUCAUGGAUAUGAAGACAGCCCGGUUGCGUACAAAGUACCUGACAAGCCAAAAAGCUGACACAGAGCUUUAUGUAGAUUAGAAUUCAAAGUGUGCGUGUACUAAUUAUUUGAUUAAUAGUACGUCUUGGCAGUAGCCAACAGCCUUGAUACUUAUAUAAUUUAAUUUAAAGCAAUGAUACAAAGAGGAUCUCCUGGUGGAUGACGCCGAGUGGGAAUCUCCUCGGCUCCGCGUGCACUGCUUCGCGCGAGUACUUGAGUGCUAUACAUCCUUCUGCCCUAGGCUGCCGCCGCAUGAAGCUCAGUUGUUUUUUUAUUUUGUGUUGGCUGUCUGUAGUAGAUCCUCCAGCCCUAGGUUGCCGGUGGCCACCGCACAGCCCGGAUUAGAUGUACUAGUUGGCGGCGCUGUUAAGAAUUUCUCCAUUUGCAAAGAGAGUUGUACAACGCGGCAACAACGAUUUUGCAAAGUAGAUAAUUUACAUUUGAAUAGAUCUAGCUGAAAAAAUAUCACCUGGUCAUCCCAUCGAUCUGUGACGAUCACCCAGCAGGCUCUCAUUGAAAGCACCAAUAUCGGUUCAAGAUCCGGCGUAUCUCGUAGUAGAGGUCCUAAGCUAGGCGUCUUAGAGCGAUGGUAACAUGGACACGGGGUUUGCUUCGGGCUCUCUUGAUGAGAUAAUACCCUACAUGCUGCUUUUGAUUGUAUUCAUAUGGGUGUAGUACAGAGUACACAUAUCUACCACGAGAUUGUAGUAAUGAAUAUGAGAUUGCCUAUUGACUAGCCUGGCCUCGGUUUAUAUAACACACCGGAGGCCUAGGGUACUAGGAGAGUCCUUGGCUUGGGCGCCAAGUCUUGUGGAAUCCUUCUUGUAUACGGCAUGGGCUGUCCGAAAUGGCCCAAUAGUGAACCGCCAUGGGGGUCCUCGGCCAUGGGAGACGACGUGGUGAGUACCUCCUAGUCCAGGACACCGUCAGGGAGUGGCGGCAUCCCUCCCAGGCCGCUGCCACGGAAGAAGGCUGGGAGGGGAAAGGCAGCGACGCUCCCAGGCCGCUGCCACGGUAGAAGGCCGGGAGGGGAGGGGCGGUGGCACUCCCAGGCCGCUGCCGCGGUAGAAGGCGGUGAGGGGAGGAGCGGCGGCGAUCUGGUGGGGGAUGUGCAAAAUAAGGUGGGUGUUAUCAGAAUAAGGGUCUUAAGGGGUGUUAUCAUAAUAUAUAUAUAUAUAUAUAUAUAUAUAUAUAUAUAUAUAUGAUCCGUUCUACGAAAAAUUCUAUUUAUAUAUAUGCAUAACAUGUACAAUAUGUAGUAGCGUAAAAUAUGUUUGAAAUCAAAAAUAAUUAAAUGGAAAACACAAAAUUAAAGGAAAAAAUAAACCAUAAACCCAUAAACCUUUUGGUCCCGGUUGGUGUCACCAACCGGGACUAAAGGACCCCAGCCCCCGGCGCGAACUCGUGCCACGUGGUACCUUUUGGUCCCGGUUCAUGUCAUGAACCAGGACUAAAGGACCCCCGGCCCCCAGCGCGGACUCGUGUCACGUGGUGGGCCUUUGGUCCCGGGUCGUGACGAACCGGCACUAAAGGGUGGGGGCCUUGAGUCCCCACCCUUUACUGUCGGUUGAUGAACCGGGACUAAAGGCUCUUACCAACCGGUAUUUGCCUCUCAUGUAGGUUCAUGUUAAUUUUAUACAGUAAAGGGGAAUUCCUUAGAUUUUGUGGUCUCCAUUUUCUUUGUAAAAAGUGAUCAAACUAGACAAGGAAAGCCAACUGCUAUAAGGGCAGUCAAAAACUUACACAACCAAGUUUCGAGAAAAUGCGGAGCAAUCCUAGCUGAAUAGUAUGGAACCAAAUCAAAGCUUGCAGUCUAGUGAUACGGAUGUGGUAGAUGAUUACAUAUAACUAAAACAUGGAACAAAAGGGAAAGAGUUCUCUAAAGAAGACACAUACCUCUUUCAUACUUCUUUCCACCCCACUCCCAUCAAUAUCUCCUCUUACAUCCAAACAUUGCACAAUCCACCUUGACUGGUGCUCUACAUGUUCAACAUUUUAUCAUUGUUAAUUAACCCAUAAAAAAUAUGAUGACACAAGGCAAUAGUUUCGCCCAUAACAAAAUUGUGAUCAUACUAUCAUCUUAACGGCUGACCGGGCAGCUAUUAGAUCUAAAAAUGCAAUAGAAAUUUAGAAUCGCAUGUCACUUGAGGAAACACGGUUUCUCUUCAAGUCAGUAGUCAGAAUUGGUGAUAUAUAUUUACUUAAAUUGUUGGUGUUUGUUAGAUCAUGAAAUGAUGUCGGUAUCCCAUUACGCUGAGAGGAUGUCAUAUGCAGCUGUGAAUCAACACCGGACACAAAGCAUCACCUUUCAAAUACAUUAAUAAAUAAUAAUAAAAUUCCAAGACGCUUUAGAAUUUUUAUUCAUCAUCCUACACUAUUCUUGUCCUAUAUUGGUAUCAGUUUAUUACGAUAACUACAGAAGCCCAAAGAAAAAUGCAGUAUAUUCAACCCAGUUUGCGUACAUCAAUUAGUAGAGACAUAUGAUGUGAUGUUGCAGUUUGCAUUAAUAAGAAGGCGGCAUUCAUUAAUACCAAAAGCAUUUGGUGAAAGUACAGUUUACCUGCAGAACAGGAUCAAACGUACAAAACAGCAGCAGGAGUUCAAUUCAAACAUAUAUGCAGACAUGCGUACAGUAUGUACUAAAUAACAAAAUUAGGCCCUUGCAAAGCUGAGAUGUCAAUACAUGCGAGAAGUACACCACACCAACCCGAGUACUGUAGAAAACAUUUGCUAAGUGCUCCCACAAAUCGAGCACAGAUCAUAACUUAUAAUUAAAAGAUAUAUAUGUGCGUGCUCUCAGUGGGCACCUCGCUGCUAUGGUCAGUUACUUGAGAUUGUGGAAGCCCGCGCCGGCCCGAAUGGAAAUCUUGCUCGGCGUAUAGCUCUCGUCCAGCUUGAAACGCAUGUAGAGUGCAACAAGCGGGCCCCAACAAAAAAUUUAGAACCGAAAAAGAAUCAUGUAUCUGAUGUGGAUGGCGAGUCGUCGACGGCCUGAUCUUUCAUGGUACUAGCAGCAGGAACAAGAAAUUCCGGUCGAGCAAAGAUGCAAGACCGUAAGAUCAGAAACUUGUGUCGAGUAGAUUGGAUCGACUCCACACGCAACAACAAAAAAAUCCCUUCGGAUCAGCAACAAAGAUAUUUGGUGUCCCCCGACAUGGGACGUUUUCUGUAGUUUUAUUGAACUCACGACUAAAACAAAAAAUCUGACCUGAUACAUCGGCCGUAGCCAGCCUUUUAUAUAGGCGUCACACAGCCAAACCGACCAACGAGAGAAACUAAAACGACACGGACUCUAUAUCAACUAAUCUCUGUUAUAUAUAUAGGAAUCUCUCUCCUAACUACUAAAUAAUACUUUCUUAAUAAAAUAAUACGGCUACGCUGAUCACGUACAUCUAACCCAACUUAACUAGGACUCUUAGCAAAGUGGAACCCCAGUUGGAAUUUCUCCAGCCAGGUUACAACUACACGGUGGUGUUCUGAAGUUUGGCUUGAUGUCUUCCUUCCAUGAUUCAGCUGAGUGAAUUUGAAUACCAACAGAGUCAAUAUAAAGUAUACACGAAGUCUGUGUAGAUACAUGCAUUGGAGUUUUCAAUUCCUUUGCACUGGUACUAUUGUGUUUCUCCGUAUCUUGAACAUAUGGCACGACCUUGGACAUCUCCAUGGUGUUUCUCUCUUUUCUAGUAGCUAUAACACCAAUGACCACAUCAUCCCUUCCUCCUUUAAGAAAAACCGUCCUUGGUUUCAAUGUAUUCUUCUCAAUUUUCUUCUGCAACGAAACAGUGGCAUCAACCUGGAUUGUGCUAUCAAACAUUGGCUGCAACACAUGCCGCUUUCCGGCCUCCCAAAAAGAAUAAGUUUUGGACCUCCCCUCAUGUGUGGCACGUCGAUCAUAUUGCCAAGGCCUCCCCAACAACAAGUGGCAUGCAUUCGUUGGCAAAACAUCACAUAUCACCGUAUCAAUAUAAUCGCCCAUAGAAAAAUGAAGACGCACCUUGUGAGUAACUUUCAACUUGCCCGAUUGAUAUAACCAUUCGAUGCAGUGUGGUUGUGGGUGCUUCCAAGUAGGCAAUGCUAAGGCAUCCACCAAGUCCUUGCUGAUCGCAUUGGUGUAGCUUCCUCCAUCUAUGAUCAACUUACAAUUGGUGUUUUUGAUUUGGCAUUGAGUUUGAAAAAUAUUCCAACGUUGCCCUUUAUCCUCAAUGCGAUCCUCUUGCACUCGCUGCACCAUUAGUGAAGGAUAUGACUCAGCAGCUUCAAAACUCGCAACCACAUUGUUAGCAUCCCUAGAUUUUUCACUAGAAGUGUCAGAAACUGCCUCUUCAUCACUAGCGGAUGCAUAGCCAUCUCGCGUGAGCAACACUCUUUUGUCAUUAGGACAUUCACGCUUCAUAUGUCCCCUUCCUCCACACUUGAAACACUCUAUGUCACUAGUGCGUCCGGUCGACUGUGCACUAGAAUCAACCAUCGACAGUCCUGAUUUUGAAGCAUCCUUUUGCACGGAACCAUGAGAGCGAUUUGAUGAUGUCGCCCUGGAGCUAGGACCGACAUCCUUAUUCUUAUGCUGCGAGCGUCGCCAUGUGUUCAAAGUGGUACCGGGAACUGUGUUGACUUGGCGUCGCUUAAUCUGUUGUUCUGCACACACAGCUUGGUGCACAAGAUCUUGUAUGUUGUAGUAGACAACCAUCUCAACACGAUCUUACACCUCGAUAUUCAGCCCGUUAAAGAAACGUGCCAUGGUCGCCUCUGGAUCCUCCGUUGUCCCUGUACGUAUCAUAAGCAAUUCCAUCUCCUUGUAAUAUUCAUCAACACUCAUAUUACCUUGAGAGAGCCGCUGCAACUUGUUGUACAUAUCUCUUUUAUAAUGUUCAGGAACAAAACGACGCCUCAUGAAUUCUUUCAUACCUCGCCAAGUCGUCGGGCGAUGUCUUGAACGACAAAUUUGAUUCCACCAAAUUAGCGCAUAACUGGUGAACUCAAUUCCAGCAAGUUGAACUUUCUUCUCCUUGCUAUAAUGAUGGGCAUCAAAUAUUUGAUCAACACGCAUCUCCCACUCCAAAUAGCCUUCUGGUUCGCACUUGCCGGAGAACGAAGGGAUUGAAAUUUUUAUGCGCCCAACUCCAUCAUCCAAAGGCACACGCACAGCUUGACCAACUCGGUCAUGCACUCCACCAUGAACGGAAGUUUCAGGACGAGGCUCAUAGUGUCGUGGUCGUGGCGUGUAUCCUGCCUGGUCAACGCCAUCAUCGAAACCAUCCUCUCCAGCAUGAGCGUGUGCCACCAAACGGCGAUCAUGCACGCUGGCAUGUCCGUCGCGAGCUGGUGGUGCAUAAUGCAGUGGAGCAGCCGGAGCAGUCUGUGAUGGUGCAUAAUUCGUUGCCGGCAUAUUGAUGAUGUCUGUCAAACCAUCGAACCGAGUGAUCAGGACAUCUAUCCUUUUGCCGAGCGCAUCAUGACAUUGCUUGAUGUAGUUGCAUCUGUGGUCAAACCCAUCCCGAAUAUUUUAUGGAAUACCAUCCGCAUACACCGGACAUACUAUUUCCUCAGAAUCAGCAGCAACCUCAUCACCCUUGUUGACCGAGGUUGACAUCUUGAUCAACACAGUACCAUGAACAACCUUAGCUCUGAAUACCACUUGAUGUGGACUCGACUAGAUGGCGAGUCGUCGACGGCCUGAUCUUUCACGGUACUAGCAGCAGGAACAAGAAAUUCCGGUCGAGCAAAGAUGAAAGACCGUAAGAUCAGAAACUUGUGUCGAGUAGAUUGGAUCGACUCCACACGCAGCAGCAACAAAAUCCCUUCGGAUCAGCAACAAAGAUAUUUGGUGUCCCCAGACAUGGGACGUUUUCUGUAGUUUUAUUGAACUCACGACUAAAACAAAAAUCUGACCUGAUACAUGGGCCGUAGCCAGCCUUUUAUAUAGGCGUCACACAGCCAAACCGACCGACGAGAGAAACUAAAACGACACGGACUCUAUAUCAACUAAUCUCUAUUAUACGUAUAGGAAUCUCUCUCCUAACCAUACUAAAUAAUACUUUCCUAAUAAAAUAAUACGGCUACGCUGAUCACGUACAUCUAACCCAACUUAACUAGGACUCUUAGCAAAGUGGAACCCCAGUUGGAAUUUCUCCAGCCAGGUUACAACUACACGGUGGUGUUCUGAAGUUUGGCUUGAUGUCUUCCUUCCAUGAUUCAGCUGAGUGAAUUUGAAUACCAACAGAGCCAAUAUAAAGUAUACACGAAGUCUGUGUAGAUGCAUGCGUUGGAGCUUUCAAUUCCUUUGCACUGGUGCUAUUGUGUUUCUCCGUAUCUUGAACAUAUGGCACGACCCUGGACAUCUCCAUGGUGUUUCUCUCUUUUCUAGUAGCUAUAACACCAAUGACCACAUCAGUAUCUAGAAGAUUAGAUCCGUGUAUGCUAUGGUUGUCCUCAGCUGGCUCUUCUGGGACCACUUCGCAUGCCAUGCACAUAUAUACAUGCGGCAUGAGGAAAUCAAGAUCCAUUGUAAGUCUAAAAGCAUGCCCAGAUUCAACUGAAGGUUACAUAUUAACCGAAACAAACGUGAUGUUAGAACUCAGGAAUCUCUCUCUCUCUCUCUCUCUCUUGUUCUCUCUCUCUUGCUCUCUCUCUCUCUCUCUCUCGCUCUGUCACUACUCCAUGGAACAAGCGCCACUGUGUACGAUUAAAUUCGAUCAGUCUACUUGCAAAUCGGUCAGAGUCACCUAUGUAUUCAAGUAGGAGUAUUUAGCAAAUAUUAUUCGAUACGAGUUGCUUCUAUAAACUUUUUUUUGGCACACAAAGCGGCAGAAUUAACCAUUCAGCUCAGUAGCAGUAUACAACAUGGAUUACAAAGCCCUGAAAAUCAAAAUUAGAGAGGAGAGAUACUACAGGGCGAGCAAUAUUCCUAUGAGCCGAAGCAUAACAGCAUAUAUCAGGCUCUUCAUGAGGUCUAAGAACCGGCUAAGCUACAUUGUGUGCAAUACCAUUGAUAUCUCUAGAAAUAUGGAACACCUGGGAAUGAAGAUCAGAUGAGAAGAAGAAAAAAAUCAGCCAACAUCCUCCUAAUGGCCCAAGGAACAGAAGCAUCAGUAGUCUUUCUAGUUGCUGCAAACGACGCCAAAAAAGACAGUCUGUGAGGAAAAGAGGCUGGGAAAUGUUGAGUCGGUUAGCCAGUUGAGCCGGAAAAUCCUAUUUGCCGCUCGCUGCGGCGAAUUGUCGAGUGAUCGCACAGAGCAGCGUAGCGAGCGACAGACAUGUGCCGGCCCACUUAUACGUAGUGCGUCCAACCGGUUUUGGGAACCUUCUAGAAGGUUCCAUGAACCGGGUUUUUUACUGUAUCCUUUUUUUCUUGUUCUUUUUCGGCUUUCUAUUGUUUUCUUAUUUCUCUUUUUUUGUUUCUGUUUCUUUUUCAUUUUUUCAUUUUUUUUCAUUUUUUACAUUUUUUGUUUCUUUUUCUUUUUCAGAACAUGUUCGCAGUUUUACAAAAUAUUUAGGAUUUUAUUUUUCAUUUCUUGUUUCUUUCCUUCUCUUUUUUUCAUAAAAAACAAAAAAAAGUAAAUUUUGUUUGUGUUUCCAAAAAAUGUUCAGUUUCUGAAAAAAAAGUUCUCAAAAUUCAAAAAUUGUUCUCGUUACACAAAAAAGUUAAAACUUUCAUAAUUCAGAAUAUGUACCAGAUUUCAUUUUUUCACAUAUUUAAAAAAAAUUGCGCUUCCAAAUUUGUUCUUCAUUUUUCAAAAUUGUUCUCCGUUUCAAAAUAUGUUCUCAAGAUUCCAAAAAAGUUUGUGCCUUAAAAAAUUAUUCGUACUUCCAAAUUUGUUCAGUAUUUUUCAAAAUUGUUCUCUGUUUGAAAUUUUGUUCUCAAGAUUCAAAAAAUGUUCAUGCUUCAAAAUUUGUUCUCAAGAUUCAAAAACCGUCGUGCUUUAAUAAAUUGUUCACAAAUUCCAAAAAUGUUCAUGUUUUCAAAAAAUGUUUGGGUAAUUCAAAAUUUGUUUGUUUUCUUAAAUAUGUUCACAUAUUCGAAAAAUGUUCAUGUUGUAAAAAUUUCACAAAUUCAAAAAAUUGUUCUCAGUAUUUGGAAAUUUAGUUCUCAAAUUGGAAAAGUGUUGAACGUUCGAAAAAUGUUCAGGAAUUUCAUAAAAUGUUCACAGUUUACAAAUUAGGUUAUAAAUUUUAAACAUAAUCAAGAAUUUUAAAAAAUGUUCGCGGUUUCACUUUUUUGUUUGGAAUUACAUAAAAUAUUUCAUUUUUAUAUUUUUUCACGAUUCAAAAAAUGUUCAAGGUUUCAAAUUUUUGUUCGGACUACAAAAUUUAUCCACAUUUUUUCACAAAACUCUUUCUAUGUCCGUGUUACUUUUUUUGUUCUCUUUUCUUUUUAAUUAUCUUUCAGUUUUCCUUUCCACAAUUAUUUCUUUUGUUAACAAUUUUUAUGGGAUUUGAAAAUGUUCGUAUUUCUUUAAAUUUGUUCAUUUUUCCAGAUUUUGGUCCGGUUUUAAAAUUAUCAUCAGAAAUUCCAAAAAAGAUUAGUACUUCAAAAUUUGUUCAGUUCUUUUCAAAACGUGUUCGAAAAUACAAAAAAGAUUAAAUUUUGAAAAUGUUUGCAUUUUUUAAUUUUGUACACAAAUCCAAGAAAUGUUUGCGGAUUUCAAAAUAUGAUCUUGUUUUCAAAACUGUUCACAAAUGGAAAAAUGUUCAUGUUUCCAAAUUUGUUCGCAUAUCAAAACAUGUUCUCUUAAUUAUAUAAAAAAAUCGAAAAUUGUUCUCGUCUUGCAAAAAAUGUCCAUUUUUUAGAAUAAUGUGCACAUUUUUUUCGAAAGUGUUCCUGUUUUCCAAAAAUUUCACAAACCCAAAUUUUUUAAAGUUUUCAUAUUUUUACCGCAAAAUAAAAAAUGUUUGGGAGAAUUUUGUAAGAUAUUUGCGUUAAAUAUUCAUAAUUUCGGAAAAAAUUAGAGUUUUUCAAUUUUUGGUCCUGUUUUUAAAAAAUGUUCGCAUUUUGAAAAAGUUGUUCGUGGUUUCAAAAAAUGUUCUUGUUUUCUAUUUGUUCCUGUGUUUACAAAAAAUGUUUGAGAUUACCAAACAUAGUCUGUGAGCACAUUUUGAAAAUGUUUGUUUUCGUAAGUAUAUUUGCUUUUGUGAAAAAGAAAAGAGAGAAUUCCUUAUUUGGACCUUUGUUAAAUUUUGCUUUCUUUUUUGGCCCAAAAAACAUUUUUCUUCCUUUUUUGACACUCAAAGUUCAUUUUGUUCCCUAUGUGACACAUCCAUCCAUUUUUUCAUCCAAGGGUGUUAAAUGGCAUGUAGAAAGACAGUUUUGCCCCUGAUGAUAUUAUGAACAGAAAAGAGGAAAAGAAGGGGUGUGAACGACCAAAAAAAUAUAUGAGGCGGAAUCUACACUCCUGCCUCUUUUCCUCCUCACCGCGGCUCGGGCGCUAAGCCGAGUGUUUUCUGGCCGUAUGAAGUGUGCACAUAGGUAGAUGUACGAAAGCUAACUUCCUAAGCAGACAGGCAUGCACCUUGAUUAAUUCCAGAGCACACGUAAAACUAGCUAGCUUGGCACUAGCCAAUGACACGCACGUCAGGGCAGCUAGUAAGGGCAAAGCCGAUGGGUUGUUAGAUGGACAAUGGCAUGAGCGUGUGUAGCAAUUUAAUCGUGUAUAUAUGGGUAGUGACUCGAUUCAUGUAAGUAGUUUAGAUAAUUAUUUGGACUCGAUGGACACAUUUUUCGGAACGAGUCAAUGUGCUCUUGGCUUCUUGCAAAUUGCAAUUAACGCAAUGGCAUGAGCGUGUGCAGCAAUUGAGGCACGAACACAGCUCAGCCACAUCACCUGUUGAUAUGUCACGGUCUAAUCUAUCGCCUGUAAUAUUAAUCUCUACAAAUUUAUAUGCUACAGUAGAGCAUGAAUGGGUUGUCAUUGUUCCACUCAUCAUAUUAUUUAUUUAUCCCCCGCAAAAAAAAGAUUCAUCGUGUAAUAAUGUUUUUUAUUUAACCACGACAAAAUAUAUCACAUUACCUCUGCGUUUGCUCAUAAAUAAUCUGGUCACAUACUAUACUAGGGGUACAACGGUCUUCUUAGGUCAGACUUAACACCGUUACUAGACAAAACUAAUGGAAGUGUCACAUAGGCACAAAAUGAAGUUUGAGUGUCAAAAAAGGAAGAACAAAAAAAUUAAGGCCAAAAAGGAAAGCAGAUUUUAAGAAAGAGCCAAAUAAAAAAUUCUUUCAAAAGAAAACCAUGUUCGAUAUUUUUAAAAAAGUUUAUUUUUUUCGCGUAAACUUCAUGUGAAAUGAGCUGGCAUUUUGGACAAAGAAGUCUAUGAACACGGUUGGUAGCGAUGUUGGUUCACUCACUUGAGGUCAUGUAAUCGAUCCCACAAACGUACAUUUUUUGAAAAAAUUACGAACUGCUCUUUGUACUAUACUAGGAAACAUGCCCGUGUGUUGCUACGGGGUAAAGGGGCAGUGGUUGGAGAGAGAGGGGUGCAUGGAGAACUUUGGUCGAGUGCAUUUUUUUUCUCAACUUUGAAGCACAUUCUCCAAAAGUUCAGUUACUAAUUCAAAGAAUUUUUAAAGUAAGAGCGCACAUGAUGUUUUUUGUUUGAUUUUCAAUACCACAUUGUACAUUAGACCGUCCAUAUAUAGUGACAAUGCAUAUCUGACCUGCAAAUUAAUCGUCACGUUGACAAUCAAAAAAUCAUACACGCAACACUUAUGUUGAGUUACUAAUAUCACACAAUAAAAAAUGUCGUAUACUUCGCCUAGCAUCUAAGAAUGUUGUGUGCGUGCUACCAUCAAGUCCUUUUGGUAUAUAGGAUUCUCCAUCGUAAUUGAAUCUUUGUUUAAUAUGUUGCGCCCCAACCCACGGAUAUCUGUAAUCUGCUCUAUUUUAGCUUUCUUUUGUUGUGAUUGCAUAUUUAUGUAUUUCUGCCUUUCUCAUGCGCACUUUUUUUAUCUUCUGUGUUGGCUCCAUGUUUGCAUAUUUCUUCUUCCCUUGUUCUUGGGCCGAAUCUUUUAUUCUUUUGUUGGUUGAUAGGCUUCAUGAUGCUUUUUCAGUUUUUUCUGUUGUUCUUCACUGGUCAUUUAGCAUUAGUUUUUUCUGUUGUUCUUCACUGGUCAUUCGUAAAUACGGAUCUCUAUCUUAUUUUUUCCCUCUUUGUUCCUUGGCAUCCAUGACUCGAGAUUGCCAUACAAAUUUCUUGCGUACAUGAGAUUUUUGUAUACUAUAUGAAGUUGUUGUUGAUUAAAUCACGAAUAUAAAAUUUGCAUCAUAAAUAGAGCAUAUGUAGCUACGUAUAAAUAAAUCUAAUUACACCUGGACAUAAGCAUGAGAAUAUAUGUGUUGUUUGCAUGCUCAUGUUUUUCCUUGAAAAGCAAUUUAGAAAGCAGAAAAAUAAUAUUAAAGUAAGAGCAUUGAUUCACCAUGUUUUUCGUCCGACUUAAGUAUGACAUUGUAAAUCAUUCUGUCGAUACCUAUUGACAAAGCAUAUACCACACUGAUAGAUUAACCAUUGCACUGACUUCACAAAAUAAAAAUGUCGUAUAUGCAACACUUGAAAAGUAAUUUUUUCUGGAUGCAAUUGCUCUUGUUUCUUCAUAGCAUCAAUGUUUGGGUCAAAAUAAGUGGUUGUCUCGUUCCUUCGUACCACCUUCAACAUAAUCAUCUUCAAGGACUUCUCUCAAGAAAACAACUUCUCCAGGGACAUCAAGCAUGACAUCUUCUUCCUGAUCUAAAAGAAAAACUUUAUUGACAACAAUUAAAGACUUUGUGGCCAUGAUAUGUAAAUGCCUAUGUUUUGCGCUGAUGAUUUAUUAUGCACUCGUAUAAACUAGAAUCAGCAGCGCCCGAAGAUAAUUUAUGUAUUUACUUCAUUCGGCGUCCAGACAUAUGUGUUUUCGCCGCGUGUGUCCUGACCUAUUUAGUGAGUCAAAACCACAAACAGAUGCAAAUCUUCCUUCAAGAAGAAGAAAAAAUAAAACCAAACCCGGCAUGUGUAUGUGAUUCAGAGAAGGCGACUGAUAGGCGCCGGUCGACCGGCCGAAAGCCUGCGCCGGUCACCUACCGGCCGUUCGAUUCACCCCAUCCCGCACCGUUGAUUUUCCUUCUUCUCCUUUCUCAGCCUGGUCAACGCAUCCCUUCCCUACACCAGCUAGUCAACGCGCAGCUCUUACAUCGGGGGCUCCUCGUGAGGCACGGCGGCCGCAUUCAUCGGCGUCGAGCCAGUCGCCCUUCGGAAGCACCCACAUUUCUGUAGCUUCUCGCUUGCCACUGUCGGCUGCAACAUAGGGCGUAGUCACCACCGCCCGCCAAUCCAGCAAAAAAUGGCCGGUUCAUCCCCGCCGUCGCCGCCAACACACCGGCCGUCGAGCAGAUGCAGCAUCACGCGUCGCCGCCGCAUCACGGCUCACAUACCCCCUCUCGUCGGGCUGCAGGAAACCAAGGCGCAGGUCCUAGCAUCCUUGCCGCGCCCGCCGCCUCCGUUGUAGCUCCUGGAGUUGCUGGUGUUGGUAUUGAUCUAGAGGCCCAAUGGGCCAAAAUAAAAAUAAAAGACCAGAAAUAAAGUUACGUUAAAGAGAGAAACAGGGAGGCCACGAACCAACGUUCGUACCCCUCGAUCUCAACUUACGCGCCCUAAUCGGGGGCACCCUAACCAACUAUGGUUUUGGUCCCCUGUCGCCAGCGCACAUAAAAAGAUGGGGGAGCAGCCGGCACCUACGUCAGACUAGUUCUCGUACGGUUUACUCCUACUCCCCACAUCCCUAAACCCUAACCGAUCUGGGGGAGCGUUGCAUGACGGGAAGAUCAUCUCCAAGCUCUGCCCCUGUCCCUGGGCAGUGCCGGUGGCGCCCGGAGGGACGCCUCUACCUGCAGCGAGCAUCUUCACCGAGCCUGCAUCAAGCCUGCAUCGAGCAGGCACGGGACUUCGCACCGUCGACACCAAUGGCUGCUUCCAUUGGUGGUAAGAACCUAAUCCAUCUCUCUGAUCUGUGCUAUUAGGUGAUCUAACGCCUGGCUUACGAUCUGUUAAGUAUAUCCUACGGGAUGAUAAGUUUAACAAUGGUAUCUUGAGCAUGGUUAAGCCUAGAUUAGAUCCCUAAGAUGAUCUGCUUAAGUUUGAUGAUCCUGAUUACGUACUAAUGAUUAAGGUUUAAGUCUAAUGGUUCAUGAAUAAGGUUAGAUUGCCCUCUGUUGAAGUUGAUGUUUGAUCUCUAGGGUUAUGUGUUUCGGUCAAAGUCUCAUUUGGCUAUGGGUCAGUGCUAAUUAUCCAGUGAUUAUGAUAAAUCAUGUUCUGCUAGUUUGAUUUGCCACGUUUCCGCAUCAAUAUUGUUAAUUAGCACUGGUUUUAGUUCCUGUUAGCAAUUAGAACAUGAUGAAUUGGCUAAGUUAAAGUCAGCCGAACCCUAACUCUAGAAAAUCCCCAAAUUUGAAACCCUAGUUUUCCUUUUGUGAAAUCCUCCAUUGGUGAGUCCAAAUGAUGAAUGAAAUUGGAAGAAGAGAAAAGAUGACGGGCACACCCAGAUGACGCCGGCUUUCUGGGUCCGCACGGCCGCCGCUGUGCGUGCACGUCAUGGCCAGGACGCCGCAGCCCUUCAGGAUGGCGCGCGGAAUGAAGUAGCAGUCGCCGCUGGUGCGCUCACGCACGCGCGCGUCGCUUGGCCUCUGUGCCUCGGACGUCGUCGGCCGCCGCCAAAAGCUUGCGGCGGCAGCCGCCGGCGAAAUGCCCCACCGCUGCGUCGUCGCGUCACCGGAGCUACGCUCGACGGAGGAGCGCACGGGACAAAGUCCAUUUGCACGCUGCUCCGGCGAGCGAAGCUACCGCGUCGCCAUGUCCGGUGUGCCUCACGCCGCCGUGACCUCAUGUGCGGGCGCAUCUCGUCGUCGCCGCCGCAGUCGCUCUCUCUCACGGGAGCGAGUGAUUCGGGAGGAAUGGGGAUUAGGUCUAGGGUUUGACCAGGCAGUGUUUUGCUCCACUCCGGAGCGAUCGGAGCCGUCGGCUCGAUCCAACGGACAAGCCCAACGCGCUGCUCCAGACGGGCCGUCGGCCGAUGAACGGGCCGCUUUUGCGGCUGGGCUUUGGCCCAAGUUGCCAUAGCCCGCAGACAAAGAUUUUAUUUAAUAUUUUUUUGUUUGUUGGGCUAGAAUUUGAAGAGCUGCCGUGGGUCUUGGGCUAAAAAUUAAAGUUUCUAUGCGUUUUCUAUUUAAUCAGUGUAUUUCCGUAUUAUGAUUAUUCCCAAAAUGUUCUUGCACUGUUGUAAAUAGAAAAUUGCCAGAAAAAAAUGAUUAUGAAAAUUAUGUUUUAGUUUUCUGAAUGAAAUGGAACCAACGAGAAAUUUUAUUUAGAAAACUUUUAUGGAUUAAUGUUUGUGUCAUUUUAUGGUAUAUUUAUGUUCAUCUCAUGGUAACAUCAAUGAAUGAUGAAUUAUUAAUGUUGGAAAAUUGAUAUUACACAUGAGAUUAAUGUGAUCAUUUUUGUAAUACAGACCAACGUUGUUUUACAUUUUUGAAUCACUCUGUUAAUUCCUUAUUAUUUUCUGCCCAACAGUGAUAUAAUUUGGAGUUAAUUUUUGCAUAAAAAUUUAUCAAACCAACGUAGGUUAAUUUUUGUGCAAUUUAAUUCAAUUAUGAUGUUCUUUUCCUUUACUUAUGAUAUUUUGAAAUCAUGACAGCUUCUGGUUCUCGUGGCCUCGAGAUCGAGCAACUUACUGGGAAUAACAUCCAAUCAUGGAAGGACUCGUUGCUUUUGCACCUCGGAUGGCAUGAGGUUGACCUCGCACUGAGGGAAAGUAAACCAGUGGAACCUGCAAAGGGUGCCACCGGGUAUGCUGAGCUUAAGAAAGACUAUGAUGCUAAAGUUGAGCAGUGGAGAGGUCAAACAGAAUGGCGCUCCUAAUUAUGAACUUCUCCAUCUCGACUUAGAUUAAAGGGGCUAUUCCUGCCAAUGAAAGUGCCGCCGAAUAUUUGAAAUCGGUGGAAGAACAAUUUAAGGGCUCGGAGAAAGUGUAUGCAGAUGAGCUUUUGCACAAGCUGCUUGCAAAAUAUGACGGGCGUGGAAAUGUGAGGGAGCACAUCUUAAGUAUGAGCAAUGCUGCGGCAAAGCUUAAAACCAUGAAGUGUGACUUGAACGAAGAGCUUCUUGUGCUCCUAGUUUUUAGGUCACUACCCUCACAAUUCAAUCCAUUCAAGAUAAACUAUAACUCUCUUGAAACCAAAUGGAAACUAUCUGAACUCAUUGCACAUUGCGUUCAGGAGGAAGAGAGAAUGAAGAGUGAGCAGAAAGAUCAAGCUCUCCAUGUUAACUCUGCAAAGAGGAAGCAUGAGAACCAUGCUCAUAACAAUAAUGUGCCCAACAAAAAGCAGUAUUCCAAAAAGAAUCCUCCAAAGCCUAAGCAAUGCAACGAGGCAAGUUGUUCACGUCCCGCACCUUCAGCGGCUACUUCAGUUAAUCUUACAAAUGCCGCUGGAGAAAGACUUUGCAAUUUUUGCAAGCAGCCAAAUCAUUUCAAGGCGGACUGUCCAGGUUUUCUUAAGUGGCUGAAUAAAAAUGGUAAGGAUGAGAUCACUCUUGUAGAUGAAUCUCUAUAUGUUGAUUUUUCUGAAUCUACAUGGUGGAUUGACUCAGGUGCGACUGUUCAUGUCGCGAAUUCUUUGCAGGGAUUCCAUAUAAGCCACACCCUAAAGGGAACAAGAAGACUUAAUCUCGCGAAUGGGAAGGAGGCUGAAGUUGAAGCCGUGGGCUCCCUCACCUUGAAGUUGCACACUGGUUUCCUACUUCAGCUCAAGGACGUUCUUUAUGUGCCUACUUUGAGUAGGAAUUUGAUUUCAGUUUCAUGUUUAGAUGAUUUUGGAUUUCAUUGUACCUUUGGGGAGAAACAAUGUUUUUUAAAGUAUUGUAAUAAGGAUGUUGGUCUCGCCGUCCGACGAGGCAAACUUUAUAUCUUAAAUCUUUCCGGUUAUCCUAUGUAUGUGAAUCUCUGCGAAAUGAAUAUGAAUGAACGCAAUCAUAAAAAGAAUGGGAGAAGUAUCAAUCCUUCUUCGAAAUUGUGGCAUCGUCGCUUGGGCCACAUUUCGAGGGGGAGAAUGGAACGAUUGAUUAAAGAAGAAAUACUUCAUCCGCUAGAUUUCUCUGAUGCGGGCAAUUGUAUUGACUGUAUUAAGGGAAAAUAUGUGAAAACAAUUAAGAAAGGAGCAGUUAGAGCCCGGUCCUUGAACUUAUUCAUACUGACAUAUGCGGACCUUUUAACGUAAAGUCUAUGGAUGGUUUUGAUUCUUUCAUUACCUUCACAGAUGAUUUCUCUCGCUAUGGCUACAUUUACCCCAUACGUGAUCGAUCCGAAGCUUUGGACAAAUUUAAGAUUUAUAAAGCCGAGGUUGAAAAUCAACUCAACCUAAAGAUCAAAGUAGUACGGUCUGACCGCGGGGGAGAAUAUUAUGGCAGGCAUGCUCCUUAUGGGCAAAUUCCAGGACCGUUCGCAAAAUAUCUUGCUGAAAAUGGAAUAAUUGCCCAAUAUUCAAUGCCUGGUGAACCUCAGCAAAAUGGCGUAGCUGAGCGUCGCAACCGCACUCUUAUGCAUAUGGUACGUAGCAUGCUUAGUCAUGCGAACUUACCAGUAAGCCUUUGGAUGGAGGCAUUGAAAAAAGCUACACACAUCCUAAAUCUUGCUCCAACUAAGUCAGCACCGAGCACACCUUACGAGAUGUGGGCGGGAAAGAAACCGAGCUUGAAUUACUUACGAGUGUGGGGCUGCCCAGCUGAAGCUAAAGUAUUCAAUCCACAUAUUAAGAAAUUGGACCCAAAGACAGUUAGUUGUUUUUUCAUUGGGUAUCCUCAUAGAGGAAAAGGAUAUCGCUUUUAUUGCCCAGGUCAUACCACCAAGUUAGUGGAAACCAGGCAAGCGGUGUUUUUUAAGGAUAAUGAAGUCACUGAGGUUAGGGCGAUUGAUCUUGAGGAGAAGCGGGUGUACGUUCCAUCCCCGACUAUCCAACAGAACUUUAUCCCUAUGCCUAAUAUGCACGAGACACCUACUGGUGAUCCCGAACCUGAAGUGGAUCCUCAAACCGACGAGGAGCCUCAGCAUAAUGAAGAUCCUCAGCCUGAUGAGGAUCCUCGGCCAAAUGAUGAGCCUCAACCCAAUGUUAAUCCUCAACCUUCUCGGGCAAGAGAAAAUGCACAUACUAAUGAGCCUACGAGAAGAUCACAACGGGAAAAGAAAAAGGCCAUCUCUAGCGAUUAUGUCACUUUCAUGUGUGAGGAUGAAAAUGACAUAGGGAAGGCACAAGAUCCGACCUCAUAUAAAGAAGCCACUAAAAGUGAAGACUCGUCCAAAUGGUUGGUAGCCAUGGAAGACGAAUUGAAAUCUAUGAGCUCAAAUGAUGUUUGGGACUUAGUAGAAGUUCCUUAUGGAGCCAAAAGGGUAGGCUGCAAGUGGGUCUACAAAACCAAAUAUGAUUCCAAAGGGAACGUCGAAAGGUUCAAAGCGAGACUUGUAGCAAAGGGUUUUACGCAGAGAGAAGGAAUCGAUUAUAAGGAGACCUUCUCGCCUGUGUCAUCCAAAGAUUCUUUCAGAAUUUUCAUGGCACUUGUAGCUCAUUAUGAUUUGAAGCUGCAUCAAAUGGAUGUCAAUACGACAUUUCUGAAUGGUGACUUAAAGAAGAAGUUUACAUGACUCAACCUGAAGGUUUUGUCGUGGAAGUAAAAGAACACAUGGCAUGUCGUUUAAAGAAAUCCAUAUAUGGCUUGAGGCAAGCUUCAAGGCAGUGGUACCUAAAGUUCGAGGAGAUUAUUAGAACUUUUGGUUUUAAAGAGAAUGAAGUGUACAACUGCAUAUAUGUUAAAUUUAAAGGCAGUAGGUUCACAUUUUUUGUCCUAUAUGUGGAUGAUAUUCUAUUGGCUUGCAGCGAUAAAGAUAUGCUGCAUGAGACCAAGAGAUUUCUGUCCUCAAAAUUUGACAUGAAGGAUCUCGGUGAAGCCUCGUAUGUCCUUAGCAUGGAGAUUCAUUGAGAUAGGUCCAAAGGAACAUUAGGACUAUCACAAAAGGCAUACUUUGAGAGAGUACUAAAGAAAUUCUAUAUGCAUAAGUGCUCUUCCUCACCUGCCCCCAUAGUUAAGGGCGAUAAGUUUGGGACAUUCUAAUGUCCGAGGAACCAAAAUGAAACUGAUCAGAUGAAGUUGGUUCCUUAUGCUUCAGCUGUCUGAAGCAUCAUGUAUGCUCAAGUAUGUACAUGCCCUGACUUAGCUUUUGUAACCGGGAUGCUUGGCAGAUUUCAAUCUAAUCCAGGACCGGACCGCUGGAAGGCCGCAAAGAAAGUCUUGCGUUGUAUGCAAGGUACUAAAAGUUUCACGCUUACAUAUAGAAAGUCCGAUAACCUGGAAGUUAUUGGUUAUUCAGACUCUGAUCUUGCCGGGUGUGUGGAUAGUAUGAAAUCCACGUCAGGUUAUAUAUUCACACUCGCUGGAGGAGCCAUAUCGUGGAAAAGCUCCAAGCAAAAGAUAGUUGCCUCAUCUACGAUGAUGGCAGAAUAUCUAUCAUGUUUUGAGGCCAUCGGGUAGGCUGUAUUCCUAAAGAAUUUCAUUCCCGGACUUAAAGUGGUUGACAGCAUUUCCAAACCACUGACAUUGUACUGUGAUAAUGAACCUGCAGUUUUCUAUGCCAAUAACAACAAGUCAAGUGCUGCUGCCAGGCACAUUGACCUAAAGUACCAUGUUGUUCAACAUAGAAUCCAGGAUCAAACUAUUAAUGUUAAGCAUAUCAGUACGACACGUAUGCUUGCAGAUCCGCUUACUAAAGGCUUACCACCCAAUAUAUUUCGUGAGCAUGUAGCCGGCAUGGGAUUAUUGGAAGCCUCUUGAUUCUGGAAUUAUGGGACCGCUAAUAUAAACCACUCCCAAUAAGUAAAAUGUGUUCCACUUUGAAAUAGGAUGCGCGCUAUGAGUAUUGAGGUUCAAUGGCUUUUCAUCGGCUAUUGUAACACCUUACUCUGGUAUAUUAUUCCUAUGGAGAAUGGACAAAAGUCAUUGAGCCUAACAAUCAAGGGGGAGAAUGUUGGUAUUGAUCUAGAGGCCCAAUGGUCCAAAACGAAAAUAAAAGACCAGAAAUAAAGUUACGUUAAAGAGAGAAACAGGGAGGCCACGAACCAACGUUCAUACCCCUCGAUCUCAACUUACGCGCCCUGAUCGGGGGCACCCUAACAAACUAUGGUUUUGGUCCCCUGUCGCCAACGCACAUAAAAAGAUGGGGGAGCAGCCGGCACCUAUGUCAGACUAGUUCUCAUACGGUUUACUCCCGCUCCCCACAUCCCUAAACCCUAACCGAUCUAGGGAGCGCUGCACGACGGGAAGAUCAUCUCCAAGCUCGGCCCCUGUCCCAGGGCAGUGUCGGUGGCGCCCGGAGGGACGCCGCUACCUGCAGCGAGCAUCUUCACCGAGCCUACAUCAAGCCUGCAUCGAGCAGGCACGGGACUUCGUACCGUCGACACCAAUGGCUGCUUCCAUUGGUGGUAAGAACCUAAUCCAUCUCUCUGAUCUGUGCUAUUAGGUGAUCUAACGCCUGGCUUACGAUCUGUUAAGUAUAUCCUAUGGGAUGAUAAGUUUAACAGCUGGUUCCAUCAAUUUCACUUGCCGGAUGCAGCAAAACAUGGCUCCAGUCCAGCAUCCUUACCGUGCCCGCCAAUCCCCUGUAGCUCCCGGAAAUGCCAGUUCCAACACGCUGAGAUGCUGGUUCCAGCAAAAAAGAUACACGGUUCCAGCAAUUUUCAUCGCCGUUGAAAAAUGCACGGGUCCCAACAAGCUGCCGUCGCGCGGCGUCGCAGCACACCGCGACACCAGUUCCAUCAAUGGAGGUCGACGGUUCCAGCAUUUUUCGUUGCCGGAUGUAGCUCACCAUGCGUGCCGUGGUAGCAAAUCGUCGUCGCCCGUCGUAGCAUUUUUUUGGCCGUUUCCAGCAGUGGAGGUCGUCGGUUCCAACAUUUUUCACCGCCGGUUGUAGCUCGCCAUCCGUGGCAUCGUAGCAUUUUUGCCCGCCCCGUCGUAGCUUUUUUCUUCGCCGUUUCCAGCAGUGGAAAACGCCGGUCCCAGCAUUUUUCGUCUCCGUGCAUGCCAUCUUCGUCACCUGAUGGCUCCACCACUCCAGCACGGCCGGUCGCCGCCGACACUGGCUGGCGAGGUGGCAGUCCAGGCUCACAGCAACCCCACUCCCCCCACCUCACGGCUGCCGCCGCAGCUCCGUAGUGCCGCAGCUCUAGCACGCUACCGCAGUUCCUCACUUCCCCUGAUGUGUGGUGGAGAAAAAACACAGAGAGAGGGGUAAGGUAGAGAUUGAGCGGCCGAGAAGAGGAUGGGAAUGAGGGAAGGAUAAGGUUGCCGCCGCUUUUCUCUUGGGGGCCCGCAAAAGGACGCGUGCAAAGGAGCCGAGCGUGGUUUGGGUCUCUUAGAUCAGGCCUAAUCUAACGAUCAGCGCCCAUCUGGCCGAAGUUUCAGCUGGUCUGCCGGUAGGGAACGUUUCCGUGCUAGGCGUCGGCACGCCGGCCCAAACACUCGGCCGGUCGCGUCCUAGCCACACGAUUAAUUUAUUCCAACCGUUUGAUUUGGCUAGUCUUUAGUCUAUCUCAGACCAGGGAGAUUUCCCACGUCACGCAACAUUUAGCGGAGAAAAAAGGAUAGAGAGAGCAGCGCCCCGCUCGUCCUCGGCCGCUCGUGUUUGCCGGCCUCCCACAGGCAACCUUGGCUGGUCACGGCGGCACACCACAACAGGUAGCCAUCGUCGUAGGUGCGAGGCCAUCGUCGUCCCGCGCUCGCCGGCUGCUAGUGCCACCUGUGCUCGCCCUUCCGCUGGUCGUGGCUGCGCAUCACAAAUAAGUCAUCGUCGUCAUGGGCGUGAGCGUGCCGUCGUCAUCGCGGCCAUGGAUGCAUCCGUCGCAGCACGAGGUCAUUGCCAUCCCUUCCAACUUCGUUGUGGUCGUCAUAGGUUCGUCAGGCACAGUUGUAGCAAACCCGGCGGCCCAUUGUAGCAUCCCGUGGUGCCUAUCUUAGCAUCUUUUUUGGUCGUCAGGUCUCCGUUGAUGAGUCGCCGGAAACGGUUGUAGCAAACCCGAUGGCUGGUUGCAGCUCCGCCAUGCCCAUUUGCAGCUUUUGCCAAUACGGUCAUAGCACGGUAAUCGCUGGUUGUACCUCUGUUGCCUUUGGUUGCAGCUUUCGCCAACACGAUCAUAGCACGUGUCGCCGCUGGUUGAAGCUCCGGCAGGGCACGAUUGUAGCAUGGGUUACCGCCGGUUACACGAGUCGUAGCAAGGGUCACCGUGGCUCUGCUGCAGCUUCCCAGACAAUCGUUUCCAGCACCUUAGAUUGGAGGUUGUAGCUUCUCACUCAGUCGGUUGCAGCUUCCCGGUCGCCGUGGCCCCGUUGCAGCUUCCCAGACGGUCGUUUCCAGCACCUCCGAUUGGGGGUUGUAGCUUUUCACCCAGUCGGUUCCAGCACCUCCGGCUGGGGGUUGCAGCUUUUAGCCCCGGCCAGUUGCUGCAUUUUGCGACGACCAAAGGACAGGGAAGAUGACUGCCAUGGCAGCGUGGAAAAUUGAGAGAGAUGGUGAGAGAGGUGCGGAGCAGAGACCUAUAGGAAGAAAAAUGGUGGUUAGAGAAAAAAGAGGAAGAAGAUAAGAAAACAACUAGCGAUGCAUGGGCCUCGAGCUAUUAGAUAAGGUUGAAUCCAACCAAUGUUGCUUUCAAAGCGUGGGUCCCGUGGGACCGCGUCUAGUUAGCCGCGGCCGGCCGAAAGUUUAGCUGGUGCGCCGGAUAGAAAUGUUUCCCUAAUCCUAUACGUGUCUUGUGUCUACUGUAGCCCGCUUGGGUGUCCCUCGUAAGGCCAACCAUAUCCAGCUGUAGACAAACCAGUCGUCUCGAGCGGGCGGCCUCUGUCGUCUGGCCCCAACCACCGCUGUUCUCAUCCUCCUCCUCGUCUCAGUCGCUCACUGAUGUCCCAUCUUUUUCUCCCCCAUCUCUUUGUCAAGCAGAGAGCUACUACCACGCAGCACACUCCCUUAAUGUCUGCCGCUGUUUCUAAGGCCCCCCGGAGCUUGAUCCAGAUCGGUAUCGAGGCCACCACUGAGCCGCCUCCCCUCCUCCGUCCUCCACGCGCGCGCGCUCAGCGCCCGAUCCACCCCUUCCCCAUCCUCGCACAUGUUGCCCUGCUUUCUCCUUCUUCCUCUAAGUUCUUUCUUUUCCUUGGCAGGGAGCAUGCAGGGAGCCUCGUGGCCGCUACCACAACCGGAUGUCCUCGCGUCGUCGCCGCCUCCGAGUUUGUCGGCCGCUGGCGCCCGUCCUCCCCUUUAUUUUGUAUUAGCAAGUUUUGCCACCUGAAUCAAUUGUAAAUUGGGAUUUUUCAUGGAAGCAUCUGAUGAUUCGGUUUGUAAUCUCCUAUUAUUGGAGAGUUUACUUGUUCCUUGAAUCCCUCUUUUCACUUGCAG